UUUUAUUCACUCGUUGACUUUUCAACUGCUGUGGUUAUUUAUGGGUGAAAGAUAAGGGCAAUUACAAAAAAUUUGCAAAAUUUGUCAAUUUCUUAGAUGGUAGAAAUUGGAGUAUAAUAUUUUGGAGCAAGCAUACUUGAAAUUUCUGUCUUCAAUAUUUUGAUGCUUUCUUAUCCCAUGCACAAAAGUACUAGAAAAAACUAAUAACAACUAACCGAAAAUCCCAGGCGUCAUAUUCCUUUUUACCGCGUUUUAAAAUGCACAACAAUGAUAUUCUUACAAAUUUGCAAAAUUUGUCAAUUUCUUAGAUUUCAGAUAUUUUAAUGCUUUUUUUAAUUUUUGAUCUAGUAAAAAUACAUAGCCUUCACCGGCAGGAUUCUAGUCUUGGCUUUCACCUCUCUAACUCAUCUGUUCCCAUUGGGAUUCCAGAAGCUAGAAAAAUGUGUAGUUUUCAGAUAAGGAGGCUUGUCAGUUCUCUAGUAAGAAUCCAAUGAUUUGCUUUUGAACGUCCAUCUAAUUUGUGGAUCCUUGCAUCAGAAUUUGAUCAAUCCAAAAGGAAUUGCUUUUAGACAGAAGAAGAAUAGCAGCACCUAGCCUACCCGCAAACCUGAAACUAUUAGAUUGAGGUAAAAAAAUCAUUGACCCUCACAUGUUAACUUCUUCUAGUUACUUUCGUUGGGAAAAAAAAAAACAUUUAAGGAAUUUGCAAUUUGUUGUUAGUUAUGGUAUCUGAUGUUCUUUUCUGCUUUAGCAUUUGUAGAAUCUACUGUAUUAUGUGUUGGCAGUUGCCGUAUCUGAGGUAACUUGCCUUUAUUUGUUUGCUUCUGACUUAAGGACACCAACAUUUGCCAGAGAUUUAGAGAAUCAUCUCAAAACACUUAGCAAACUUGACAAACUUCAAGAUGCACUUGCCCCCACGCCUUAUUCUCAACAACGCAAAACUUGUGAGUACACCUAUGCCUGCAAUUAUUGUGAAGUGUUCGCAAUUCUGAUGCAGAGAAAUGGUUUCUUGAUGCAAAGUAUUAAACUGUUAAGAUUUAUCCUGCAGGCUUGUUAGAUGCUGGAUACGCGAAAAGCCAACAACAUCAAGAACUGCAACUCCAAGACCAGCUUUGCGUUAAUUCAGUCAGCUGUAAUAAUGAUGCAAAUGACACUAUAUCAAGCUGGACUUAGAGACUAGUCAGAUAAAUCAUCCAUUUCAUCAACGGUUAAUGUCAUGAUGGUGGCUAUCAGAGGAAACAAAAGAUGUGUCGGAAUCUAUACAAACAUUGAGAAGCAUGAGAGGAGCUUUGAUUUUGAGUAGGGUCAAUGAACUCAUAUUGGUAAGUGGUAAUUAAAGAAACUUUGUAAGCUUAGUAGAGUUUCAGUAUUUUCUGUUUGGAGUAUAGUUGAUAAGUUGACUCUGUUUAAGAAGCCCGAUUAUAGUAGCUGACUGUAUUAACCUUUUUUUUUUUUUUUUUGGGUCUGCUGUUGUUUUUGGUUUCGAUUAUUUUUUCAACAUUGGGUUGAUCUGUUGAAGAACAAGCUUGGGUUUGAUUAUGCUUUAACUACAAGGAAGAGCCAGACUUGGAUGCAGGCGUUAAGCUUUUAAUGGGUAAGAACAAAUGAAUGCUUUAACUAUGUUUCUCACUUAUUAAAAUGCACGGAUUGAAGGCAUCUGGGUUGAUCCUGACAAUGUGAUGGAAAUACUUCUCUGUUUUCAUAUAACAGGACAAAUAGAGAUCUCUGAUCAUGCCUGAAUUUUUGUUGCAUUGAAAUUUCUACCAUUAUCAAACAUAGAAUGAACUAGGGAUACAUUAGCUUAAGACUAAAUUUUGAGAAGGAAGUUUGUACUUGCAGCCUAUAAAAUCAUGUCCAUGUUGUACGUUUCUUUGGGAAAUGAAAGAUUCUGUGUGUUCUUUUAUUUCAAGUUCACUGAAAUCACAUUUGUUUUCUCAGCUGCUUUCCAGAAGGUAACAACAUCAAUUUCAAAAAUGCUGGGGCAAGAUGUAUCAUGCAGUGCGACUCAACUUGAGAAUUCCUGGCCACAUUACCCGUAUGUCUAAUGAUCGCACAGUACAACCUUGAGAAGCUUGUAAUGAGUACACAACUGGGUGCAAGUAGUUUUGAAAUGAAUUUGCCUCAAAUGAUUUCUUGCCGGUGAUUAAUAUAACCUCUAUUCCAAAAUUCUUGGAACUGGUCAUACUAGCAAUGAAGGAUUGCAUACAUUGAAGACAUAGCUGAAGGCCUUGCGAGAGCUCUGUCAGCCCUUGUACCGGAAAACAGCUGGUCGUAGUCGCUUGUGAAUGAUAUGAUUAAUAGAUACUGCAAAAAUGAAUUGUGCCAUACAUUUUCAGCGCUCUGUGAAGAUGUCUUGGUCAUUUGUUUGAUGCUUGUUUGAUUUAUGUUGUAUUCAGCCAUAAAUCAGAGAUUCAGAACUUGGGUAUGUUUCUGGUUUCCAAAUCAAAAAAUUGCCUUGUGAUGUUAGUGUUCACUGUUUUCACAGGAGAUCAGGUUCCUUGUUAAUGAAUCAAGAAGAAGGCAAGCGCAUCCAUGUCCAAGUUCAAAUGUGUCUCCUCUAUUUUCUAUUACCCACUCAUUUAUUUUGAUUUCUUCAUUGUAAUUGAAUUAGUUUUUUAUUCCAAAUUAGUCAAAACCUCGUAGAGUCAUUAAGUUCUUUUAGCAUUUAAAGACAGAACUACGAACCAAAUGAUUUAAGUUCUUCGUUGUAAUUGAAUUUGCUUUCCCAUCUUUAAAGAUAUUAUGUUCUUUUUCACUUUUUCGAUUUGGUUAGUGGUGAUUUCUUAAAGACUCAAUCCAUUUGCGUUAAUACAUUUUUCUUUUGCCUUGAUUUCUGUUUCUUGGGGAGUUUAUACAUAUUCUUAUUUUAUGCUACACAUGCCAUAUACAGAUUCUUAUUUUAUGCUUCACAUGCCACAUGAAAGGUCAAAGCCUUGUGUGUGAUUAGAAUUUACUGGCAUCAUAGUAACUUUAAACCAUUGUGACGUUUUAGUAAUAACAGUCUGAGCUCUCCCUGAAGGAUUCAAAGCAUUUUAUUUUAUAUUAUACUCCUUUAUAUGGUUUGGCUGGUCUCUUUUAAGGCAAUUCCUGUUUAAAGUAAUCAAAAUUUUGAUUUCGAAGUGUCUUUCAACACUACCGCUAGUUCUUUAAGAAAAGUAAAUCGAUUUUGAGUCUUCUGUAUCAUCUGAUUGAAAUACAUGAAAGCACUCUUAGCUGCAAAAGUACACUUGGAGUUAUAAUAGCAUUCUGAAAUCUCCUUGAAGGAUUCAAAAGCUCUUUAUUUGCUAGUCUUUGCUUGCAAUAAACUCCUUUAAUAUACAUUGGUUGAUCUUCUUUAAAGCAAUUACCAUAAGUUCUUUAAAUAAUAAAACGAUUUUGAGUCUUCUGUAUCAUCUUGUUGAAAUACAUGAAAGCACUCUUGGCUGCAAAAAUGCACUUGGGGUUAUAUAUAAAGUCUUCAACAGAAUUUUAUUUCCCCCUUUAUCCUCAUGGUGGUUUUUUUAGUUGUUUUUUAAGAAAUCGCUUGAAGGUUCUCUUUAAAAAUAAUUUUAACAUAAGCAUUCUUUAGAAGCACUUUAGAUGUCUGGCAUUUAGAAAAUUUUGUUCCUGUGUUCACAUAAUAUAAUAUAUAUAUAGAAAGCUGACUGUAGAAUAGAGGAGAACGAGUUGGUGUUGGUCUGAACUCUGAUCUUUGAACCUCAUGUGACUCCACUACUUUUUACUUGUUCUGUACAAGGUCUUUUAGCUUUUCAAAAAGUUUUAGCUUUAUGGAUAAAAUACUGUUAAUUGUAAUCUAUAAAUAAUGAAAGGAAUUAAUAAAAUAUUAGGUAAAUUUUAUUUUCUAAAGUGUUAUGAGUUCUAAAACGGCUGUAUGUAUAUAAAUUUAUUUACACAUAUAUUUAUAAAUAUGAUUAUAUAAUAAUAUUUUAUGUGUACAUAUCAUAAUUGAUAACUAAAAUAAAUAUUUUUAUUUUAUUAAUGGUUUUUUCGUCUCAAUGUAGUUGGUAAUAAUAAUCUCUUUAGAUGUAACGAUUUUAUUUCCUAACUGAAUAAGGAAAAUUUUAGAUUUUUAUAAUAAAUGUUAAAUAUAUUUAGAAUUACAUUAAGUAUGAAAUAAUCCUCAAAAUUAGAUUUUGAAAAGUUAUUCUUUUCUUGCUUUUAAAAAUAUGUCAUAUGAUGAGAUGAUUUUACUAAAAGUGAUUUUUUUAAAAAAAAUUACUAAACAUCAAAAUUAACUCUUAACUUUUUAAAAUCAUUUCUAAUCUUCUCAUCCUAAGUUCUUUAUUGUUUUGUACAAAAUCCAAGGUUUUGACUUUUAUAAAAUGCCCACUCAAAAAUAAAUUAUUUUCUAAUUAAGAUUUGUUGUUAAUGUAUAACUCGAAGUAAUAUUAGAUAUUUGUAAUUUUAUUUCAAAAAUUUUAUUCAAAUGAUAUGGCAAGCAAUGAACAAUAGUUGAUAGCAAUUUGUUUUUUUUUUUAACAAUGUUCAAAUCAAUCAGUUGCAUUAUCUCACCAUUUUUAUGAUGUCAUGUUAUUUUAAAUGAUUUUUUUAAUUUUUAUAUAAAGCAUACGACGUGUUAACAUCAUUUGCAUAACUUGACCUUUUUUUUUUCCUACAAAUAGUAAGUCAAAUUUACUCACCCUAUUUGUACCUAAAAUCUACCUAAAACUCAUGCAUCACUGUAAAGCAAAUCCAAAGAUUGCGGUACGUUUUUCUUGGUAAGAAAUCAAUAAUUAGGUCAAGUACCGCUACUAAGCGUGCUCAAUUAAUUCUAAAAUACGGUGAUCAAACUCAUACUUCACGCAAGAGGAUAAGGGCUAAACCUCAAUUAGGCAUUAUUCAUCCAAAAUUCAUUGACUGGGCAUUCUUUGCAAGUGGUAGCAUGGGACAGCUAAGAUAAUUAGCAAAUGAUAUGGACCAUACGCACCCGUAUGUUUGUGACAUGUGAAUCUUGGCAUUAAAGGAAAGGUAAUGUGUUAAAAUUUAAUAGAGCCCAACUCUUCAUUGAAUGAUUAUCAGAUCCAACGAGCAUCCUUUGAUGGGAUUAUUUUAAGUCAAUUAUUGGUGGAUUGGGGCCCACUUGACUCUACCAAAUCGGGCUCCACCAUAUCACCUAUUAACGACCACCUGUCCUUAUCAUAAAUAGCAAAUGUCACUUGUUUUAUUUUGUAUUUUACCAAAAGCAAAGUCACUACGAGCACUAAUGAAAGUGACCCCAAUUUUGGGGGUCAUGAACUUGGGAUUAUUAUGGACACAAGAGACAAGCGCAAUGUUUCUCAUUUCUCACUAGAUAAGAUUUAAGUUAUCAACCCAAUAUUAAUAAAUUCUGCUUGAAAAGUAAAGUUUGAAGCUUCAUUUUGCGAAUAUUCAAUGGUUAACAUUUAAGGGUGCGUUUGGGAUUGAGGUUGGGCAGCUGUAGCUUAAAAGCUACAGUACUAAAGUGUUUGGUAAACACUAGCUACUGUAGCUUUUAAGCUAUGUUGAUAUAAUUUUUCACUUGUAUAAUAUAAAAUUUAUUAUAUCUUUAAUAAUUUUGAUAAAAUUAUUAUUUAAAAUUUAUAUUUACUAUAUAUUAUUAACUUUUAUUUCAUAAUUACAGCUUUUUUUUCACAGCAGCUGUAGCUUAAAAGCUACAGCACCUCAAUCCCAAACACACCCUAAGUAAUUAACCUGAUAUUAAUCCAAUUAAACUUUUUAUGUAAUCCAAGUCAAACAUAUAUUGAUAAACCUAAAUUAAUCUAAUUGGACAUAUUAUUUCAACUUGAAAAGGUGAAUCUAUCAUUUUUCAAUUAAUUUUGAAUCAAGCUAUGUAAAAUAUAAGCUUAUUAAGGACAUAUUUGAAAAAUUCAAAUUGAAUUAUUUGACAAUUACAUUUCAACUAAGUUGUACUGCUAAUUAACUUCCUCAACUUAAAAUGUAUUUUUCUCAAUUAAUUCGUAACAAAGAAUGUUAGAUGUUUUGUUCGAAUAAUAACAUUCAACAUCCUUAUUCUUUAUGAUUAUUGCAUAAAAAAUAUAUUUUAUCCAUUUACGUCACAUAUGUUCCUAAAUUGUAUAAGAAAAUCACUAAAUUUACUCUUGUAAGUUACUAUAUCAAUGAACAUGAAAUUAACUAAUCAUUAAAGUCUCGGAAUGACAUCAUGAGGGGGAUUCAGUUACAUUUAUUGAUAGGAUUAUAUAUAUACCUUCUCAAAUAUUAGUAAGAGCAAUUAAACAGAUGCAGCAAUUAAAAAUAUGGAAUUACUUAUCUCGUCAAUAACUAACGAUAUUUUUUAUCUAUGCUCGAUAGGCGUCUGAGCUAUAUUAUAAAUUGUAAUAUUUGUAGAUUGUAACAAUUAUUAAAAAAAAAAAAAAAAGCUCCCUAAGACUAAAUGACAAAAGGACUGUUUUGAAAUAGAUAGAUAAAAUAUGCCCUUAUUUGAGAAAAGGUAAAACACUAGGGAUCUAAAUGUUAUUAUAAUCCCAUGCACAAAAAUACCAGAAAAAACUAAUAACAACUAACCGAAAAUCCCAGGCGUCAUAUUCCUUUUUACCGCGUUUUAAAAUGCAACAAUGAUAUCACUACUACAAAAAUGACAUUUACUGACACUUUGUUUCUGACACUUAGUAAAAAGUGUCAGAAAUGGUGUACAUUUGGACCAUUUUCCUCCUUUAACAAGUAUGUAUCAUAAAUCAUUGAUACUAAGGUGUCAGUAGCUUAAAACUCAGUGAUUAUUGAUACUAAAGCAUCAGUGAUAAAAAAAUAAUAGUAUUAAUUUUGUUUUAAUUUGAACUCGAACUCAAGAUCUCUAAACUUAAAAUUUGUAAGUUUAGAGUGCAAACCAUUGAUGCAAGUGUUUUUAAAUUUUCAAUUUGAUUAAUUUUUUUAUUUAAUUAAAUUUUAUACAAUUACUUUGUGGACAAUAAUAAUAAUAAUAAUAGUUUUGAGAAUAAUAUUUUUUAUUUUGCCACAUGUCAGCUUGUAAUUCGUUGUUAAUAAUAAUAAUUUUACUUGACCACGUGUCGACUUAUAGUUUGUUGUUUUAUUAAAUUACAAUGCGAACAACUACACUAUAUAAUUUUUCAAAGUAUAAAAUGAAAAUAAGAAACCCUAAAUCUAACCUAAUCAAACACACCACUUCUUAAGUUGCUGCCGCCGCUCCCCUGCUCCUUGACUUUCACUGCUGCCGGCCGCUGCUCCUCGACUUUCACUGCUGUCGGCUGUCGUUCCUUGACGUCACUGCCGCCUUUGCUCUGCUGUUGCCAAGCUUCAGCCACCGACGACUAGCUAGCCACCUUUCAGUACGUCGCUGCUACCACUUUUAUGCCGUCACAUCAACUUCAGCUCAGCCAGCCACCGUUCCUUUACCGCCGAGAUCAAGAACCAUUUCUUUCUCUUCUCUCUUUUGGUACAGGUAUGAAAAUAUUGCAGAGGAGUUAAUCUGUUAAUUACCUUUCUGUACGUCGCUGCUGUCAUUCGUGUACGUCAUUGCUGCUACUCAUCUUGGUCACUGCUGCCGCUCCUCUGCCGCCACGACAAGCUUCAGCCUUUUUGACAAAACAUUUCACUUGGAAUUAUAAGCAAACCCUUUUGAGACCAUAAAAAACUAAGCCAAUUUCUUUGGUUUCAAGGCCUUGUUUUUUCACUUUGAAAUCGGAUCAUACAAUGACAAGCCAAUUGAAAACUUCUGUUCAAGAUUUCAUUGUUAAAUUCAGCUUUAUUUUUAUUAUUUGUGUUCCUUUCAUUUUCUUUCCCUUUUUUUGAUUUUUAAUUCAAUUUGGGAUUUGACAGAUAUAUUUUUUAAUUUUUAUAAAAAUUUAUCUUAUUUGCAGGAUGCUAAGGGACAGGAUGUUGAUCUUAGCAUCUACAAGGGAAAGGUUCUUUUGAUUGUCAAUCUUGCAUCACAAUGGUGUGCCUCAGCUCCUUUCAUUUUUAAUUUUUUUUCCAUAAUGAUUUAUUGAUUAUUGUUGAUGCUUCCAUUUAAUUAAUGCUAAUACGUGUUAUCUAUCUAUCGGGAGUCUAAAUUUUAUAGAAUUAUAUCAUACUCGGAAGUAUGCAUGCUCCCAAUACAAAUAAGUGUUUAUAAGAGAGGAUUUCACCCAAAAUCUUUAAUUCUUGCAAAAUGCUAGUGGCUCCGUUUGCACAAGUUUAGUUUUCAUCCAUGUUCGUUCCUUUACCAUAGCGGUUCCUUUACCACUGAGGUCAGACACCAUUUCUUUCUCUUCUCUGUUUUGGCACAGGUAUGAAAAUACUACAGAGAAGUUUCUCUAUUAAUUACCUUUUAUGAAAAUAAUAUAUAUAUAUUAUUCACAUGUUUAAUUGAGAACAUCUAAUAAUAUAGUAAUAAUAUAGUGGGCAAACUAUAGGAAGGUUGUUAGUAGACAAUUCUAAUUUUAGCUUUACUUUGCAAAUGAAAGAUUAGAAAUAUUCCGUCGAACCCAUUUUACUAUAUUGGAGGUUUGGGCUAAUCUUGUAUAGAUUUUUGCUCAGAAGAAGGAUGGUUCUCCAAGGGCGGUGGGUUGGUUUUUCUAUAGACUAUUCCCCUAUUUUCCCAUUUUGCUUUUCUUUGAGGAAACCUGGUCCAUUUUUUUUGUGUUUUCUUUCUUCAAUCAAAUAUGUAUUUCUCAAUCUCCUCUCAAAAAAUACCUAUCUCAUUUUAUUAUAUGUUUAUGAAUUACUAAUUGUAUUUUGUUAGUAUUCCAUGUUCGAAGAAGAAUAUUAGAUUGAAGAAAGAAGAAUAUUAGAUUGAAGAAAGAAGAAGUUGUUCCUUUGCUAAUCGUUUGAAACCCAGGUUUGCACUGAAUCUGAUUUUUAUCUUUAACUUUUUUACUUGACCCAUACUUGAAUCAAAUUUUUGCUCCACUUUCCUUUCUUUCGUCAAUUUAAUUAUCAAUCCACUUCAAACCUAAAAAGAUUUAGUAAUUGGGAAACCCUUUUUUUUUUAAAGAAUUGCAAAGUACUGUAAUUGGAAACUGGGUUCAUGUCUUAAAAAGUAACCUGAUUUGUAAUGUUUGGCUUAUAGUGGCCUUCUAUUUCUGUUUUUCAUCUCGGCUUGGUUAAUUUCUUUACUAGUCGUUUAAAUUUUGUUAAUUUUUAUUUUUCCUCUUUAAGCUCAUUAAAUAUCUUUUUUUUUUCAAUUUAUGGCUUUCGGUCCAACUGAUCAUCGUUGAAUGUGGGCACUAUAAAUGUUAUAGUGCUUGUUAACUUAAUGUAUUUGAUCAUAUAUUAUAGUAUUGUUUACUUUAAAUUUAGACAAUGAAAUAGAUUACAAAAAAAAUAACUUAUGCUUGUCAAGUUGUAGACACCAUCGUUCAUGUCAUCAUUACUGAAUAUUGAUGUACUUAUUAAGUGUUCUCUUUAAUACUUGAUAGAAUACUUUUGGUGAAGCAAUUUUGGUAUCAUGAUUGCAGGCUGUAAUUAACUUGGGAACGUGUAGAUUCUACAAUUUCUUUUUCUGAUUCCUUAACUUGCUUCUUUUAAUCCUACUCUUCUAUGUUGAAGUAAUUUAUGAAUAUUUUUGCUUCAAAAUAACUAAGAUAUAUUUUUCACAGUAUACUAAUUGAUUUUAUGCAUUUGUAGGUGGGAAAAAAAUGAAGCCGUGGAUGGAUAUUGAGUGACCUUGUGCUUUUUUUUUUUUUUUUUUGGGUUGGAAACUUAAUUGAGUAGUAGUUAGCACUUGUUGUUUAGAGAUUGUUGAAAAUUUAAUUUGAUACUUAUGUUAAGUCUUUUACAUAUAGUGAUGUAGUUGAAUUGUGUGAAUUUAUGUGAUGUAUUUGAGAUGUUUAUUAUAUGAAUUGUGUUGCAAGAUAUUUAAUAAUAAAUAUAUUUCGUGUUUUCUUUUGGUUGUACAACAAACACGAAAAAUAUAAUUAAAAUAAAAAUAUACUAUUAACCAAAAGCAGUAUAACAUUACUAAAUACUGACACUACAUAUUUAAAAUAACAAUAAGAAUUUUUUAUAUUAUCGAGUCAGUUUCUGAUACUAUAGUCACAUAAAUUACUGACAUGUAAAUAGUAUCAUUAAAUACCAACAUCAUCGUGUCAUUAUUUUAGUGAUACUAUAGUGAAACAAAUUACUGACACAAAAAUUACUGACACCAAAAAUUAGUGUCAGUGUGUUCUGGCUUGAGCAACACUGACACAAUUAACAAGUGUCAAUAAAAGUAAUUACUGACGCUAAAUUAGUGUCAGUAAAACUCAUUUUUCUAGUAGUGUAUUCUCACAAAAGUUGGUACAAAGGUUUGUACAACCAGGGCCUCUUUGUAAAUUAUUUCAAAGUUUUGUGUUAUUUUUUAAAUUUAUGAAUUUUGUUAAUUUUGAUUGAUUGGAGCAUUUCUCCUUCCAUCUCUUCUACAUCUAUCUUUAAAUUUCUUUAAAAUUUUGACUAUAUCUUUAUAGAGUUCUAAAUGAUUAUCUUUUUCAUAAAAAUCUAUACUUAAAUUAAUCCCUGAAUUUAUAAUCAUUUGUCUUCUUUGAGUCAUAGACCAAAUUUUUUCUUCUAACAUAUCUAUAUAUACUCCUAAGCUAUCUUUGCAGCUUAGAUACAUUCUAUCAAAGCUUUCGCAUAUAAAUUGUAAUUUGAGAUCUGCAUCUUGAAUCAACAUGUCUAUAUUAUCCAUUGUUUUACGCUCGAUUUUGAGUUCUAUUAUUAGUCUUGCACAUGUCUUGGAUUAUUUCGAGGGUAGUUAAAAUUGAUUCUAUUAAUGCUAUCCUGUUUUCUUCUUCAAAAGAAUCAAAUAUUUCUGAAUCAUUAAUUUCUUUUAUUUCUUCAUACAAGCGUUUGUUUGUCGCUAAUCUUGUUUUAAUCAAGGAAACUGUAUAAGCAGCUUGAUAUUCUUGACAAAAGUCUAAAUGAUCUAUUGCAUCUAGAAAUUUAUUAAUAGAUCUUUCCAUUUUUAAGAAAUUGAGUUACUCUUAUCACUUCCAAUCUUUUAACAUCUCAGAAAACAAACAAGGCCCAACAUGCUUCCGUUUGUAGCUAAAAUAAAAGAAGAGUUCAUAUCACUAACCAGUGUAAUAUCUCUCGGAAUUCUGAGAUAGACUCACUAAUUGCCUCUAACCAUAGAGAGGUCCAUGGUUAGCACCACUAUAGCUCCACAUAUCAUACAAAAUCACUUCAACGACUGUUCCAUAUGGCCCAAAGCAACACACAGCAGACUGGCCUAAUAGGAUAUGUUUAAGUGAUUUUCUUGCAGUUGUCUCUGGAAGAGUGCUUAGUAAUAGAAAAUCUUCUUCGUUUAGUACAAGUAUUGGCAUGUAAGGUUCUUGGUUAAUUUUUAAAAGAUGUAUAAGAUAUCUAGAAGAUGAUAAUUUCACUCAAAAGAGUUUUAUUUAUUCCAUCAUUGAAAUUGUUUACAGAGGAAGGUUACAGAGAAUACAGAGGUAAUUGAAGGUUAGACAUCUGAUAUAUUUCCUUUCUUACAUGCUUUCAUUUAUAUAUCUCUCUAGAGAUAAGAUUAUUUCUUUUACAUAACACAUGUUCGAUCCUUGUGGUGGAAUCUCAAUUUCCUUUUGAUAAGGUGACCCCUUCUUUAUCAUUGAAGCUAGUAGUUGUCUUCUUUUCAUGUUGGCAGACAUGAAAUAUCUGGUUCUGGUGAGCUUUUUCUUUUUUGGAAUCUGUCUUUUUGAAUUAUUGAUACUUUUUGGAUAGCACCUUUUAUCUUUUUCAGUGGUCCUCGUCACGUGCCAAUUAUCAGAUCUUCAUCUAUAGACAUGUCUUCCCCACUAGAAUCUCUUUUUUUGAUCCUUCGUAGUAGUAGCCACAUGAUGAUUGAUGCUUUAGCACCUUAUAUAUCUCGUGGUGUGUUAGCAAGGUGGAUUCCACGAGAUUUUCGAAUAUGCCCUUUUUCUUUUCUAAUAUGUUAUCCUCAUCUUUAUCAAAUUCACAUUUACAAUAUAAUUCUUUGAAGCUACAUGUAUAUUCUUCUAAAUAACAUAUAUUACAUAUUUCAAGCCUUGUUAGCUUCAUUAAAUUUUCUAUCUGUUUUCUUUUUAUUUCUUGUUGAAAAUCAAUUUCCUAAUCUUCUCCCAAGAAUUUUUUUCUUAUUUCAUUUUUGAAUCUAUUUAAAACCUGAUCAACACUUUCGUUUCGAUUAUUAUUUUCUCCAUACAAUAUUCUAUUUUUAUGGUUAUCAUUUAAUCCCAUAAACCAAUGAGAAACAAUUCCUAUAAACGAAAUUUUAAGGAAUUCUAUACUAUUAUCCCUAUCAAUUUUGUGAAAUGCAAAAGCCAUUUUCAUAGAUUUAACCCAAGCGGUAAUCGUUUUAUCUCUAUCUUUGAUACAGUCUAAAUCUAACCAUACACCAUCAUGGUUGAUUGGUCUUUCUCUAUAUUCUCCUGGAGUUUUAUAAUCUUUUUUAGGCUUGUUAAUCCUAAAAUAUUGACCUUGUAAUCUUUCCUGAGUUGGUAUUUCUUCCCUAACAUAGGAAGCUCCAUUACUAGUUUCUCCUUGUUAAAAACCAUUUGGCUUUGAUUCAUUCAUUUUUAGAUGUUCUAUUCUAUUUUCAAUAUCCUGCAAAUUAAUGACUAUAUCACCUUCUUCUUCGGAUUCAGAUUCUUUAUUAGAUAUCUCUUGAUUAGGUAAUUCUAUGUUUUCACUUAGCAUUCUUAGACUUAUUAAUUUUUUGUCUUUGUUUAUUUUGUUAAAUAUCGGUUUAGAUAUUGUUAUCAUUUCUUUAUCUUUAAGUUCAUUAUAGUAAAUUAUGGUAUCUUGUAAAAUUUUGUUUUGUUUAUUGAUCUUCUGUACUUCAAUCCUUUUGUAAUUUUCCAUUUAUGCUUAUAGCGAAUUUAUUACCAAGUUGUUCAACAAUUUUUUCAAAUUUUUGUAGUUGGAUUUCAAUCUUGUUUGAAUUUAUUUUCAAUUGAACUUUUGUUCAUAAUAUUAAAGAUUUCUUGUUUUAAUCUAUCUUGAUCUUCAAUAUUAAAGUCUUUUAUUAAUAGCUUAACAAAAUCAAAUUCUUCACUCAUUCGCUCUCCUAUCAUUUUGACUUGUCUUAUAUUUUCAGCAUCAAAGCUUUUAAUCUCAAGUAUCUCAUUUAUACUUUCUAUAUCAUCUAUGGUUAAAUUAGGGUUUCCUAAUUUAUUUAAUAAAUAUAAUGAAAUCCAAUUUAAUUGAUUAUUUCCCCACAUAUCGGAAUCAUUUACUAAAUCAAAUGGUUGAAAUCUUCCAUAAGUAAAUCCUCUAUGCCUAUAGCUAGAAGGUGGUAAUAUGUUGGUUUCAAUAUUUUGAGAAAUUAACAAUGGUUUUGGUAAUUUAUUCAUAGUACCAUCUGCAUAAUAUCUCAUUAUAUUCUAAUAAGUAUUUAUGACAUAUAAUAUUUCUUAUAUCCUUAGGGAUAUUGUUUUAUGUUAAUCCUUUAUGUAUAUAGCAAAGUUUAUACAUAAUUAAAUCUUUAUAUCCUAUUAGCAUGUUGCUAGAAGGAUAAUAUUUACUUCUGAUUCUUUUAUUUUUCCAAUUGUAUUCACCUCGUUGUUUAACAUUUAAAAAUCCGUUGUAAUCUAUUAUAAGAUCAUCUACAUAAUCUUCAAUAGAGUUAAUAUUCCAUUGUUUCCAUGAAAAAUUAUUUCUAUAUACUUCUCUCCUGAUCCUAAAGAGAAGAAUAGGAUCAAUAUUUAAAUUUCUAAUUUUUAUUAUGAUGAGUUCUCCAAUUUUAAAUUCAUGAACUCUAACUAAAUAAAACUGUAUUAAUUGUUUAUCAUCCAAUAUAUUAACUUCUGAAUAAUAAUAUUGUUUAUGUUUUGUUAUAUUAUCUUUAAUUGUAUUUCUAUCUAUCAUUAAAUUAUAUCUUCCAUUAUUAAUGGAAUAAAUAACUGUUUCGUCUAUUUUUAUAUUUUAAACCAAAAACUUGGCUCUAAUACCGUUUUGCAGAAAUCAACUAAACCCAAAAUCCAAAUGAAUUCAAAUAGGGAUGUAUAUGAUUAAUUGUUAAGAUUUUAUCUAAAUUUUGUAAUUAUAAUUUUUCAAAACUCACAGUUUUGUGCAAUCAUUUGUGUAAUCCGUUGUGAGAAUGUCUUUUUCCUUGCAUCUAAGGCAACAAAGUGGAAAACGCGUACCAACGACUCACAUAACAAUAUAACAUCUGUCCCGGAUGGAGCCGGUUGUUCAUGUCAGCAACCUACUUUGAAACGACACGUGGACCGCAAUUUGUUCUUGUUCUCAACGUUGCUAUGAAAGAAAGCAUUUUUUUCCCCUUUUCUUCUUCAUUUUUUAAAGAAAUAUUUUACUAUAUAUUUAAAAAAAAAAAUCGUUGCAAUCUGAAGAUAUUAAAUUGUGGAUCUUGUAUUGUGUGAUAAGUCCGGCAUGCAAUUUUGGGCCAGCAUACCGCGCGCAUGGGAGCAUUCACAAAGAAUCUCUCGUCACUAUCGAAAACUUUUAAUAGUCAAUACAAAUGCUUCCGUUUCAUCCCAUAAACAGAUAAAAUUCACAUCUGUACACAUCUACUUUUCUUUGCUAGAUAGAGUUCCUCUGCAUUUCCCAAUUGCCUAAAGAGAAGGGGAAAAGAAAAAGAGGGCCAAAAAAUGCCUGAAAUGGUAAGGAACAAGCAAGUGAUAUUGAAGGACUAUGUGUCUGGUUUCCCAAAAGAAACAGACAUGUACAUGACCGAAAGUUCCAUAGAAUUGAAGGUGCCAAAAGGUUCAAAUGGGGUUCUUUUAAAGAACUUGUUUGGGAGAAAUACGUCGACGAGACCAGGCAUGGUGAGCAUAUAUCUGAUGGCAGAGUUCUGCGAACCGGUGUGUUCCGUAAAAGCCUGGUGCACGGGGGAACAGGAGCAGAAGUAUCCUGCUCGUCCACGAGCACGUCAUCCGCGAGGCCAAUUUCCUGUAAGAGGCAUAAGGUCAUUCCGGCUAGAGGUCGAGAGGCGAGGAGACCCGGUCGACGGCAGUUGGCAAGACAUGCUCCCCAGCCCGAGAAUCUAGGCACGACAGCCACGCUUUCCCCAGAACCGUGGCGUAACACGCAAGAUCUCACAGAACCACGACAGCCACGCUUUCCCCAGAACCGUGGCGUAACACGCAAGAUCUCACAGAACCACGACAGCCACGCUUUCCCCAGAACCGUGGCGUAACACGCAAGAUCUCACAGAACCACGACAGCCACGCUUUCCCCAGAACCGUGGCGUAACACGCAAGAUCUCACAGAACCACGACAACCACGCUUUCCCCAGAACCGUGGCGUAACACGCAAGAUCUCACAGAACCACGACAGCCACGCUUUCCCCAGAACCGUGGCGUAACACGCAAGAUCCCACGUUUGCCCAUAACGCAGCAGUCAGAGUCCCAUACCGUCUCGGAAAAAGCGGAAAACUGGGAUUCAGGGGAAGCCUAUAAAAAGGUAGCCAACGAAGGUAAAAGGGUUGGCAUUUUUGAGAUUAUAAAAGAAAUGAAAAAAGAAGAGAAAACGACGAGAAAGCCAUAAGAUCUGUGGCAAGUGUCCCCCGAACCUUCAUAUCUGACUUGAGCGUCGGAGGGUUUGCGCCGGGAAAACAACCGGCGUACUCUGACUUGUCUGUGUGCGCAGGAACCUCUGGAGAAGAAGCCUCACGUGGAGACCUCCUGGUCGUGAAGAAGUUGAUCGGACAGAGAUCCUGGUCGUAGAACGAGGAGAACCAGAAUCCCGCAUCAACAUUUUGGCGCCGUCUGUGGGGAGUGGAGCAAAAAGCUUCUGUUGAUAGCAAGAAGAGGGGUGAAGCAAGUGAAAAGCAAUGGAGACAGGAGGAAGUAGUGCACAAGGGGGUGAUAGGAUUAACGAUUCCGUGACGCUGAGGGAGAUAGUCAGUGAAGCACGGGAAAAAGUCAUGUUCGACCGGAUGGAACGGAUAGAAAAGCAGAUGGAGACCUUGACAACCAUCCUGCAUGAGCUGCGGAGCGAGCGAAGUAUAAUCCAAGAGGGAAGGGUGAGAGGCGGUGGAGUGGCACCAGGUCCCGAUAGUGCGGGGAGAAGUCAAACCACCGGGAGAUUUGGUGGUGAGAGAGGUAACGUACCUCUGCGGGGAGAAUUUCAUAGAGAAAGAGAGCAGUCCCCGGCAAGACAGACUGGCGACGAGGACGACGGGGUGGUGAAUGCAGAGGAAACAGAGUUGAGGCAACACUUGCAUGAUGUAGAGCAAGAGCGGGAUUAAGUCGCAGCACGUGACCCUGGUCGUGCAGUGCAGCUGGAGGAGGAAGUGCGCAGACUAGCGCAGAUAAUCGACGACAUGCAAGGAAGGAACAGAGCCCCUGGUUGGAGGAUAAUGCUGGAUGGAGAAUCACCGCUCGCAGCAGAGAUCAUGAGGGCAGUUAUUCCGAGAGAUUUCCGCCUCCCAGACCUCAGAUACUCGGGAAGAACUGAUCCGUUGGUGCACAUAGAGCGCUUCAACGACAUAACUAGGGUACAAGGAUUAUCUCAAUCCCAAAGGUGCAGAGUGUUCCCACUAUCCCUUGAGGGACGUGCACGAGAAUGGUACAGGAAACUUCCUCGGGGCAGCAUUAAAACCUUCGAGCAGAUGUGCUAGGAAUUCGCGGAGCAGUUUAGUGGGGCAAUGGCGCCGGAAGAUGACAUGAUGGAGCUGAAAAGCAUGAAACAGGGGGAGCAAGAAACCCUUCGGGAAUUCAUCAAGAGGUUUCAUCGGGCUGUCCUCGACUUGGGAGCCUUCAACCACCCUCAGGCGUUAAGGGGAUUGAAAGAAGGGGUGAAGAUAGGAAGGCUGUGGUACAAUUUGAGAAGCCCAGCUAUUCAAACGUAUGCAGCCGCAUACGAACAGGCUAAGAGAGACAUCGAGAUUGAAGAGGAGAAGGCUGCACGGAUUAAGACAGACCAGUUAGAAGGGCUGGGGAGGAAAGAGAAGAAAGCAUUACCGGGGAAUGGGCCGAUCAGGAGGAGGGACCACCAGGCCUCCGGUAGUGGAGCAGGAGGUCGGGUAGCCGCUUACCAGCCUCAUCAAAGGCCACCACAGUAUCAGCGCAGCAGGGCGCAACCUCCUCGUUCCCCAGCUAGGGAGCCUUGGAAAAGGCAUGAGUCGGCAUCUGGUGGUCUCCAACAACACCCCCACGGUAUCAGAGCGAGCAGACCAGAAGUACUUCCACCGCCCCCAACUCAGAGCGGGGCAAACAGGGAAAGAGCAGUGCACCUGAUCGACCAGAACCCGGACUAUGGGCGGUACACUUCCUUGAAGAUGUCCCUGGAUGAGGUGUACGAGGCCAUAAAGGAUCGAGGGCUGCUACACCUCCCUACACCAAUAACAAAGCUACCUAACAGGAGGGAUAGAGGACGUUAUUGUAAGUUCCAUGGCACCCAUGGCCAUACCACAGCAGAGUGUAGAGAUCUCAAGACCCAGGUCGAAGAUUUGGUGAGAAAUCGGUACCUGGACGAGUUUAUGGAUGGGACUUUCCCGAUGGGGGCCACAACAGGUGAAGGGGAGCAGAGUGGCGGAAACGUGAGGCGCGAGCAGCCCGCAGUAAGGGUGAUAGCUGGGGGCCCGACAUUGGCCGGAGAUUCCAACAGAUCGAGAAAAAAUUAUGCUAGGUACGCCAUGACCAGUAAAGAGGUACUCCUCAACACCCCAGCAGCCAAACGAGCAAGGGUCAGGCAAGUGCCAAUCAUGUGGACGGAUGAGGAUGAGGAAGGGAUUCUAUACCCCCAUGAGGAUGCUUUAGUCAUCAAGGCUACUGUCGCUAGCAAGAAGUUUGACCGGAUACUGAUUGAUACAGGGAGCUCAGUUGAUGUGUUAUUUAAGUCAACCCUGGAAGAGAUGGGAAUAGCCGACCGGAAGUUGGAAUAUACCAAUACCUCCUUGAAGGGGUUCGGAGGAGGGAAGCUGGUCCCUCUGGGCGUGGUCGAGCUGCCUAUCACAAUUGGGAGCUCCCCGACAGAAAGAACAAUGAUACUGGACUUUGUCGUAGUGGAUGAGGAAGGUCCUUACCAGAUGAUCCUAGGUCGGCCAUUUUUAAGGAUGAGCAAAGCGGUGUUGUCCAAUCAUUAUCUGGCUCUGAAGUACCGGGUGAACGGGGUAGUAGGAGUGGUACGAGGAGACCAGAGGAUCGCAAGAAGCUGCUACUCCUCGGCAGCAAGGGAAGCAAUGCAGAUAACAUCCCUCGAUACCCGAGUGGAAAACAAGAAGGGCAGACAAGAACCUGUAGAGGAUCUGGAAACAGUAAGCCUGGGACCAGAGAACCCGGGAAAGAUGAUCAGAAUCGGGUCGAGACUUAAGGGAGAGCAAAAGCAGGAGUUGGUGAAAUGCUUACAGGCUCAUGCUGAUGUGUUUGCUUGGACACAUGAAGACAUGCCAGGGAUUGACCCUGAGGUAGCAUGUCAUAAGCUGGCAAUAAAGAAAGGUGCUCGGGCAGUAAGGCAGAAGAGGAGGUGUUUCAACCAGGAGAGGUAUGAGGCUAUAAAUGGCGAGGUGGAGAAGCUCUUGAGAGCAGGGUUCAUUCGGGAAGUCAGUUACCCUGAGUGGAUAUCGAAUGUGGUGUUGGUAAAGAAGGCAAACGGCAAGUGGAGGAUGUGUGUGGAUUUCACAGACCUCAAUAAGGCGUGCCCAAAAGACAGCUUCCCUUUACCAAAGAUCGAUCAGCUAGUAGAUUCAACGGCUGGACAUGGUCUGCUUAGCUUCAUGGACGCGUUCUCGGGAUACAACCAGAUCCCCAUGUACGAGCAGGAUGAGGAGAGCACGGCUUUCAUCACUAACCAAGGUUUGUUCUGUUACAGGGUAAUGCCAUUCGGUCUCAAAAAUGCCGGGGCCACCUAUCAAAGGCUGGUGAACAAAGUCUUUAAGCCGUUGAUUGGGAAAACCAUGGAGGUGUACGUGGAUGACAUGAUCACCAAGUCCAAAAUCCCGGAGGAACAUGUCAGACACCUCGAGGAGACAUUCGAGCUUUUGAGGAAGUAUAAGAUGAAGCUCAACCCGGAGAAGUGUGCUUUUGGGGUCGAGUCGGGGAAAUUCCUUGGAUUCAUGGUGAGCCAUAGGGGGAUUGAAGCAAAUCCCGAGAAAAUCCAGGCGAUUGUGCAAAUGACGUCUCCCCGUAACCUGAAGGAGAUGCAGAGCCUCACGGGGAGGUUGGCGGCGUUGAGCAGAUUCAUAGCCAAGGCUACAGAUAAGUGUCAGCCGUUCUUUCAAGUGAUGAGGAGGGGAAAGAAAACAGAAUGGACCUCAGAAUGCGAGGAAGCCUUCCGGAACUUGAAGCAAUACUUGCAGCAAGCUCCGCUGCUGUCCACACCGAGGGAUGGGGACAAGUUAUAUCUGUAUUUAGCGGUAUCGGCUCGGGCCGUCAGUUCUGUUCUGGUGAGAGAGGAAGAAGGAGUUCAGUAUCCGAUAUAUUACACCAGCAAGGCCCUGCUCGACGCUGAGACCAGAUACCCACCGUUGGAGAAAUGGGCACUUGCCCUUGUGGUUGCUGCUCGGAAGUUGAGGCCAUAUUUUCAAGCAUUCCCGGUCUUGGUAAUAACAAACCAGCCAUUGCGUCAAACUCUGCACAAGCCAGAUGCCUCUGGUCGGCUCGUCAAGUGGGCUGUAGAGCUGAGCGAGUUCGACAUAGACUAUAAGCCCCGCGCAGCGAUAAAAGCCCAGGCAAUGGCCGAUUUCGUAGCUGAAUUCACAGAGCCCGAAGUAUGCUUAGAUCAACAAGAGGCAGAUAUAGGCAAUGACGAAACUCAAGUAUGGCAGAUGUCUGUGGAUGGGUCAUCAGGGGAGCGGGGUUCAGGAGUAGGGAUUGUCUUGGAAGGCCCAGAGGGGGAGGAGAUCUCUUAUGCUGUAAAAUUGGAAUUUGCAGCCACGAAUAACCAGGCAGAGUAUGAAGCCUUGAUAGCAGGUCUGGAAUUGGCUAAGGCCGUGAAAGCAAACAAAGUUAAGAUCAGAACUGAUUCCCAGCUGGUAGCGAAUCAUGUCAGUGAAAGAUUCCAACCAAGAGAGGAGAAGAUGGGGCAGUACCUGAAGAUAGUCAAGCAGAUGAUGGGGAAGUUCGAAGCAGUGGAGGUGAUACAGAUCCCCAGGGAGCAGAAUAGUCGAGCAGACAUUUUGGCUAGGAUGGCAGCAGUAGCCGACCCAAAAAUGCCAAAGUCGGUCCCUCUGGAGGUGAAGUCCGGCCCAAGUAUCGAUCAGAAUUUGGGGGUGAUGCGGAUAGAACAAAAAUGCUCGUGGAGGGACCCGAUAGUUUCAUACCUUAGAGACGGGGUAUUACCACCAGAUAAGAUGCGAGCUCGCAAGCUUAGAGCCCAGGCCUCGAGAUACACGAUGAUUGAUGGGGUACUGUAUCGGCGAGGAUAUACACUACCGUUCCUUCGGUGUUUGGAUGAGGACGACGCGGAUUACGUACUAAGAGAAGUACACGAAGGAAUUUGCGGAAAUCAUUCUGGCGGGAGGUCCCUGGCCCAUAAGGUUCUAAGGCAGGGAUAUUUCUGGCCGACAAUGCACCAGGAUGCGCAAGAGAAGACCAGGAGUUGUGUAAGUUGCCAGAGUUUUGCAAAUUUCUCUAACCAACCACCAGAGAAGCUUACCUCCAUGACCUCCCCCUGGCCAUUUGCUCAAUGGGGAAUUGAUCUGAUCGGCCCAUUGCCAAAGGCACGGGGAGCAGCAACACAUGCAAUAGUUGCUAUAGAUUACUUCACGAAGUGGAUAGAGGUAGAAGCCCUUAGCAGGAUCACAGAGAAGAAAACAACAGACUUCGUGUGGAGAAACCUGGUCUGUCGAUACGGGAUCCCUUAUGCCUUGGUAACGGAUAAUGGCAGGCAGUUCGAUAACCACAGCUUCAGGGAUUUCUGCCAGAACCUCGGGAUAGAGCUGAAGUAUUGCUCGCCUGCUCACCCUCAAUUGAAUGGACAAGUAGAAGCAGCCAACAAGACCAUCAAGAGGCUUUUAAAAACCAGGCUUGGAGCAAAAAAGGGUGCGUGGGUUGACGAGCUGUCAGGUGUGCUAUGGGCAUACAGAACAACCCACAAAACCGCAACUGGGGAGACACCGUUCGCUUUGGCUUUCGGACAUGAAGCGGUCGUGCCGGCUGAGAUAGGAACGACCACACACCGGACAAAUCAUUUCAAUGAGCAGGAGAACGACGAGCAGAUAUGUUUGAAUCUUGAUCUGCUAACGGAAAGGUGGGAGCAAGCAGCCGAGCGAUCAGUCAUUUACCAACAGAGGGUUGCUCGGUAUUAUAACCAGAAGGUGAACAUACGGCAAUUCAGGGUCGGAGACUGGGUACUGAGAAGAGUGAAUCAGAGCACCAAAGAUUCGACUCAAGGAGUGCUGGGACCGAAUUGGGAAGGGCCAUAUAGAGUCAAGCAGAUAGCGGGACCCGGAGCUUACAGGCUGGUUCGCACGGACGGCCACGAGGUGAAACGCCCAUGGAACGCAGCACACCUCCGAAAAUACUUCCAGUAAGACUUGUUCACAUGUGAAAACUAUUUUUGCUCAUGUUCAUUACCGUUUAUCUUUCACGCUUAUUGUCCAAACAAUUUCAUGUAAGUCGAAUCCUGCCAUUAAUGGAACGUCGAGGAAUUUCUUUCGCUUGAAACCGAGAAAAUUUUCCAAGGCAUGCAAAGGCUCACCAAGUCUCAAAGCCUGUCUUAUGGCGAGACAGAAGCCAAGCAUGCCAGGAUCUGCUCGGCCACGAGAAGGCAAGCAGAAUCCCAAUCCUCGAAGAAUCCAAGGCAUGCAAAGGCUCACCAAGUCUCAAAGCCUGUCUUAUGGCGAGACAGAAGCCAAGCAUGCCAGGAUCUGCUCGGCCACGAGAAGGCAAGCAGAAUCCCAAUCCUCGAAGAAUCCAAGGCAUGCAAAGGCUCACCAAGUCUCAAAGCCUGUUUUAUGGCGAGACAGAAGCCAAGCAUGCCAGGAUCUGCUCGGCCACUAGAAGGCGAGCAGACUCCAAAGCAUUCGAAGAAAUGCCCAAGGCAUGCAAAGGCUCGACAAAGUCUCAAAGCCUGUUUUAUGGCGAGACAGAAGCCAAGCAUGCCAGGAUCUGCUCGGCCACUAGAAGGCGAGCAGACUCCAAAGCAUUCGAAGAAAUGCCCAAGGCAUGCAAAGGCUCGACAAAGUCUCAAAGCCUGUUUUAUGGCGAGACAGAAGCCAAGCAUGCCAGGAUCUGCUCGACUACUAGAAGGCGAGCAGACUCCAAAGCAUUCGAAGAAAUGCCCAAGGCAUGCAAAGGCUCGACAAAGUCUCAAAGCCUGUUUUAUGGCGAGACAGAAGCCAAGCAUGCCAGGAUCUGCUCGGCCACUAGAAGGCGAGCAGACUCCAAAGCAUUCGAAGAAAUGCCCAAGGCAUGCAAAGGCUCGACAAAGUCUCAAAGCCUGUUUUAUGGCGAGACAGAAGCCAAGCAUGCCAGGAUCUGCUCGGCCACUAGAAGGCGAGCAGACUCCAAAGCAUUCGAAGAAAUGCCCAAGGCAUGCAAAGGCUCGACAAAGUCUCAAAGCCUGUUUUAUGGCGAGACAGAAGCCAAGCAUGCCAGGAUCUGCUCGACUACUAGAAGACGAGCAGACUCCAAAGCAUUCGAAGAAAUGCCCAAGGCAUGCAAAGGCUCGACAAAGUCUCAAAGCCUGUUUUAUGGCGAGACAGAAGCCAAGCAUGCCAGGAUCUGCUCGACUACUAGAAGGCGAGCAGACUCCAAAGCAUUCGAAGAAAUGCCCAAGGCAUGCAAAGGCUCGACAAAGUCUCAAAGCCUGUUUUAUGGCGAGACAGAAGCCAAGCAUGCCAGGAUCUGCUCGACUACUAGAAGGCGAGCAGACUCCAAAGCAUUCGAAGUAAUGCCCAAGGCAUGCAAAGGCUCGACAAAGUCUCAAAGCCUGUUUUAUGGCGAGACAGAAGCCAAGCAUGCCAGGAUCUGCUCGACUACUAGAAGGCGAGCAGACUCCAAAGCAUUCGAAGUAAUGCCCAAGGCAUGCAAAGGCUCGACAAAGUCUCAAAGCCUGUUUUAUGGCGAGACAGAAGCCAAGCAUGCCAGGAUCUGCUCGACUACUAGAAGGCGAGCAGACUCCAAAGCAUUCGAAGUAAUGCCCAAGGCAUGCAAAGACUCACCAAGUCUCAAAGCCUGUUUUAUGGCGAGGCAGAAGCCAAACGUGCCAGGAUCUGCUCGACCACUAGAAGGCGAGCAGUCUCCAAAGCAUUCGAAGAAUCUCCAAAGGCAUGUGGCAAAACCAUGAGCCAAGCCGGAACCUGCUCGUCUAGACAGAGACAAGCAGAUUCUCAACCGAAAAUUAAUUCAUAAUUACAUCACAAGAAAGUAAUCAAAAACCAUUUUUAUUAAUUUGUUAAUAAUUAACAGAGGGGAUAAUCUUCAUGAACAUUGUUCAUUACAAUACAAGAAAUAUAUCAGGAAGAUGGUGGACCAGUAAGCCCGGCAGCAUCGGUUGGCUGGACCUCCUCAGGUGCAGGAGGGGUAUCACCAGUUGCGUCCGGGGGGUGCUCGCCUCGCCAACAUCAGCAGGGACUGCACGAGCAGGAGAGUCUUCCUCCUCAAUCACGAUCGGCUCUACCCCAUCGGCAUCUUCCUUGGCCGCCUCCUCAUCCAUAUGUUGAGCAACACCAGCUGCAAGGUCAUCCAUCUUCAGAUCAGGGUGUUGCUUCCCGAGGACGGCCAUGAUGCAACGAUAGGAAUGCCGAAGUCCCUGGUCGUACUGGUUGUCAGCCUCCCUCUCCAAGUUCUCGACCUGAGCUCGGUGGGAGUCGCGGAGAGAUUCGAGCUGAGCCUCAUACAUAGCCUUCUGCCUUUGCAGAUCCUCCUUGACCGUGGUAAGCUCCUCCUCGAGGGAAAUGGCUUUUGCUUGAGCAAGUGAUUCUUGCUCUAUUAACUUCAGAUUCUCGAGAUUCAGCUCCCCUGCUUUCUUCUCGGCAACGUCAGCUCUGGUCGUCGCCGAUUGAAUAUCCUCCUUCAUCUUCCGGUCGUAGCGGCCAACCUUAGCCUUGUAAUAGGUGGUCAUGCAGCUGAGGUGGAAAGCGCUAUGCUGCAUGGCCCCCACCAGCUCACCCAAGGUGCGGCCGUCAAAGUCCUCCAAGUCCUUCUUGCUCAUGAGUUUAGUUAACUCAUUGAGGUAGGGGACCAGGUGUUCUGCUCGGCUGUCAGGUAAGCGAGAUCGAGGCCCGACAGGAGGAAAAGAGGAAGCAGGAUCUGUAGCUGCUCCACUAGCUUCCCCGACUUUUACAGGAGCAGGAGGUAAAAUCUUCAAGGGUGGGACCUGCUGCAUGAUGUUGGCCCGCUUUGCAGCAGGGGCAUUCUUAUUCUGGUCCCUCUUCGUGGUGGGAGGUCGGGAACGUUUUCGGGUCAGAGCCCCAAUCACAGCGUCCUCCAUCCUAUGGCCAGGAAGUAUCAAGCGAGACUCGAGCAAGUUGUAUGUAGUUAGCAGUUCUCGGCUCGAGCAGGAAUUGGCUAGUACAGCCUCGACCCGUUUGAGCUGGUCAGGUUCAAGCGGGAAGUGGACACCCCAAGAAACUACAACACAAACAGACACUUGGUUAGAGACAAGCCAAUAAAGCAAGAACAAUUAUGGAUGCAAGACAUCUAGAGCGAGCAGGCAACCUGGGACCGUGAAACGGGGUGGGACGCGACAAUCCUUCCCGCCUAUUUGUGCAACUUGACCCCAAGGACCCCCAGCAAAAAAGAAUUUCCUCUUCCAAGCCCCACCACCACCGGUUGGAAGAUCGGUUAUGGAUUUCCGGCUCUUGGUGCUAGAUUGGAAGUAGUACCAGCCGGCAUCUUUGGGGCUGCUCUUUAGCUGGUACAAGUGCUUCACCUCGUCAACCGUGGGCUCGCUUUGGCAACAUCUGUCCCACAAUAUGAACAGACCAGAGAGCACUCUCCACCCAUUGGGAUUCAGCUGACCAGGAGCUAGAUUUAGCCCGUUAAGUAUCCGGGCAAAGUAGGGUUGCAAGGGACACCUCAGCCCGUACUUAAAGCUCUCUAGAAACAGGGUAACGUAUCCCCUAGGAGGCCGGCUGGGAGCAUCCUUCUUUCCUGGGACCUUGAGAGGUAUCUCACCAGGAAUGCUAUACCUAAGCUGGAGGUCAUUGAGCUCGUCAAACAAGGUCGUGCACGUCAUGUAAUCAAUGGCAUAAUCGCGCGACAAGGCUCUGCCUCCUACUGUACCCCGUUCCUCUAGUCGUGAUGUUCCAGAUGGAGACACCUCACCAGAGUCACCUUCCCCAUUCUCACUUAAGGUGUCCUCAGAGCCAGAAGGUCCCCCCUCACCAUUGCUUCCGCUCGUGGAGGUUGUUUGGGGGGACAUCCUCCUAGCACUAGUCCCGACACUAAACCUAAUGGGUUCUAAGGGGAUCCCGGGGUCAAAAGCCGGAUCAGUGAGCAGACUAGGCAGGAAACUUAGUUCGUCGUCAUCAAUCUCAACGACUUUCUCCUUACCUUUCGACAUUCCCUAAGCCCUAACCACAACACCACCAACUACUACCUAAACAGAAGAGAAGAGAAAUUAUCUACAACUAUCCGAGACCAAGGAGAUAGAAGAAAUACCUGAAGUAAUGGUUCAGUCGGUGAAAGUCAGAGAUGGAGGCCUUUUAUGCCGGAACUUCUUUGCCGGAGAAACAGAGACGGAGACGGAGUGAAUGAUGAAUAUGCCGUUCGAGAGGAUUUGGUUUUCCUAAUGAAGACGGACUCUUGGGUUGCCAGCAUUUAACGGCGCCGAAUCCCGAGGGUCUCAUAACCGUCGGUUUGAAAUUCAAAUGAAGGGGGGGAUUUCUGCCACGUCACCUCGUCCGCAAUUAAAUGCGACAUGACUCUUGGCAGCCUUUUCCAAUCCCACGCGGGCGAGUACUAACGAGUUUCUACUGCUGGUCCACUACAUUACCCAACACCAGAAACUGGGGGACCGGUGUUUGGGAGAAAUACGUCGAUGAGACCAGGCAUGGUGAGCAGAUAUCUGAUGGCAGAGUUCUGCGAACCGGUGUGUUCCGUAAAAGCCUGGUGCACGGGGGAACAUGAGCAGAAGUAUCCUGCUCGUCCACGAGCACGUCAUCCGCGAGGCAAAUUUCCUGUAAGAGGCAUAAGGUCAUUCCGGCUAGAGGUCGAGAGGCGAGGAGACCCGGUCGACGGCAGUUGGCAAGACAUGCUCCCCAGCCCGAGAAUCUAGGCACGACAGCCACGCUUUCCCCAGAACUGUGGCGUAACACGCAAGAUCUCACAGAACCACGACAGCCACGCUUUCCCCAGAACCGUGGCGUAACACGCAAGAUCUCACAGAACCACGACAGCCACGCUUUCCCCAGAACCGUGGCAUAACACGCAAGAUCUCACAGAACCACGACAGCCACGCUUUCCCCAGAACCGUGGCGUAACACGCAAGAUCUCACAGAACCACGACAGCCACGCUUUCCCCAGAACCGUGGCGUAACACGCAAGAUCCCACGUUUGCCCAUAACGCAGCAGUCAGAGUCCCAUACCGUCUCAGAAAAAGCGGAAAACUGGGAUUCAGGGGAAGCCUAUAAAAAGGUAGCCAACGAAGGUAAAAGGGUUGGCAUUUUUGAGAUUAUAAAAGAAAUGAAAAAAGAAGAGAAAACGACGAAAAAGCCAUAAGAUCUGUGGCAAGUGUCCCCCGAACCUUCAUAUCUGACUUGAGCGUCGGAGGGUUUGCGCCGGGAAAACAACCGGCGUACUCUGACUUGUCUGUGUGCGCAGGAACCUCUGGAGAAGAAGCCUCACGUGGAGACCUCCUGGUCGUGAAGAAGUUGAUCGGGCAGAGAUCCUGGUCGUAGAACGAGGAGAACCGGAAUCCCGCAUCAACAGAACUUGUACUUGUCCUGUGAUCCGUACAUGCGACCACGAAUGACCUACAUCGAAGGAUCUUACGUUGAAUCCUUUAAACCUGGCUUGGUUAGUGCACUCGCUCAUGGCCACGCUUUUCAUUUCCAUGGCUUCUUGCUCUUUUGUUAUAGAAAAUUUAUUUUUGGUUGCAGUUUGAUUCGACUGCUAAAAUCUCGUGCGAUAAUUGUAUAAGAUAUCUAGAGUUUGAACUUCUUUCACAUUAGGGUUCAAGGAAGUUAACUUAAAUGAUUUUCAAAAUUUUAAAUGUGUACCAAAGAAUUUAAUUUCAUAGCUUAAACUUAUAUUUUGAUCAUACUCUAACUUUGGACAGGAAAAAUUAUAUUUUUCCUUUAGUUCUUUGCCUUGGUGUAUGUUGUGUGAAGUACUUGUGCUUGAAAAUGAAUUGCUGACACAGAAAUUUCUAUGAAUGCAUGCAGCCCAUAAGUGGAUAUGGGGUGGGUAAAGUUUUGGAUUCAGAGAAUCCAGAGUUCAACAAAGGUGACUUGGUUUGGGGAAUGACUGGAUGGGAAGAGUAUAGUCUCAUUACGGCUCCACACUUGUUUAAAAUUCAACACACAGAUGUGCCUCUUUCUUACUAUACUGGAAUCCUCGGUAAACUUUUUGUUUGCACAAUUUAUGUGAGCAAAUUGUGUCUUCUUUUUCAUAUGUAAAUGUUUUUGAUAUCUUGAUGUGAAGGUAGAAAAUUGCAUGUUUUGAGUUUUUGCAUAUUUGAUGGAAACACAGAACUGUACCUGAAUCUUUCAGAACCCCCUUCUCUUUGAAGUUUGAACACUUUUCUUGAAUGUAUCAACUUUAUUUAUGGGAUAUGUUGCCAAAUUGGAAAAUCUAUUCGUUAUAAAACUUUCCUUUGACAGUUUAAUCUAAGCAGAUGUUAAUUCUGCAAAUAGAGUGUGCCUUAGAUUAGUUUCAUAGAUUUGUCUCCUUCUGUACAGUAAAAACUUUGAGCAUUUUCGCCAUAUUCUGAUCAAUACACUCCAACUAGUUAGUUCUUGAGGCGUUUUAUGGUUUCGUGGAGUGAGGCAAGAUGUAUACGUUUGCAAAUUGGCAAUGUCUUUCUCUUGAUGGGUUGAGAGUUGUGAGUGUCAACAGGAAACAAGACCUCUGUUUUAUGAACUCCAAAAAGUUAUUCUGUUAAAAAGAUCGAGACAGAGGCCAUACUAUAUUUAUUAUUGCUAUAAAAGUGUGAAAAAAUAUUCUUUAUUUAAUAUUCUAAACGAUUGAGCCAUUUAGUUAUGAUACUCUGCUGUAUUGGGGCUAAUAAUCUAAGUCGGUUCAAAGUGGUAAAUUUAUAAAUUGAUAGGUAUGCCUGGUAUGACCGCUUACGUUGGAUUUUAUGAGGUCUGCUCUCUUAAGCAAGGAGAGUGUGUCUUCAUAUCCGCAGCAUCUGGUGCAGUUGGACAGCUUGUGGGGCAGUUUGCAAAGUUAUUGGGUUGCUAUGUCGUCGGAAGUGCUGGAAGCAAAGACAAGGUAUGUAAAAUUAGAAUUUGAUCAACAGAUUUGGAGUGUUUGUUUACAGAGAAAAUCUAAGAGAAAAUGUAAGAAACUUUAGCUGAGAAUAUUCAUUUUGUUCAACUUAAUAACAGAAUGAGAUUACAAAGCUUAUAUACUGCUAUCAAGAAUCAUCUUAACACAUACAUCAUUUUCACGUGUAUUUAUCUUUGAAAGAAGCUAAAUAACCAGCUUAACAAACUCACAACUACUUUGCUGACUGGACUGCCACGUCACCAUAACUAACUUAACUAAUCCAAUCAGUUAAUCACAGUUAACACAUAUUCUUAUCAUCCCCCCUCAAGCUUAAGUUCGGGGAAGGACAUUAAGCUUGGUACGAAGAUAAGCAAACUGAUCAAAAGAGAGGGGCUUGGUGAGAAUGUCUGCAAGUUGUUCUGAACUGGAAACAUGACUGAUCGUGAGUUGCUUCUGGGCAAUAUGCUCUCGAAUAAAAUGAAGAUCCAACUCAAUGUGCUUUGUUCGAGAGUGAUACUUAGGAUUGCUAGCUAAUGCCUCAGCACUCUGAUUAUCACAUUAUAGAACAGGACUUUGAGUUGGCUGAAUUUGCAGUUCUUGAAGCAAAUAAGUGAGCCAAAGAAUUUCAGAGGUUGCCGAAGCAAGAGCUCUAUAUUCAGACUCUGCUGAGGAACGAGAAACAAUGGUUUGUUUCUUGGAGGACCAAGAAAUAAUAUUGUUUCCUAAGAAUACACAAUACCCUCCAGUAGACUUUCGAUCAUCAGGAUCAGCUGCCCAAUCAGCAUCAGAAAAUGCUGUUAAAGUCACAGAGCCUGAAUUGAAGAAUUGAAUCCCAAAGUGUGAAGUAGCUUGAAGAUAUCGAAGAACCCUUUUACAAGCUUGCCAGUGUGCAAUGGUUGGAUGAGCUAGGAACUGACUAAGCUUGUUAACAGGAUAAGCUAUAUCAGGUCUUGUUAGCAACACAUACUGAAGAGAGCCCACAAUACUUCUGUAUAAUGAGGGAUUAUCAAAAACUUCACCACUGUCCUUUGUAAGCUUAUCACCUGGACUCAUAGGAGUAUUAAAACCUUUGCUGUCAAGCAUAUUUACUUUUCUAAGGAUAUCACCAAUGUAUUUGGUCUGAGAUAAAUGCAGUCCCUGAACAGAGGGUGUUACUUCAGUACCAAGAAAGUAGUUAAACUCUCCUAGAUCUUUGAGUGCAAACUCUGAAUGAAGAUAUUGAAUAACAGCCUCAAUAUGUUGAGAAUUAGAACCAGUAACUAAAAUAUCAUCAACAUAUAUAAGAAUGAGCACAAUAUCAUGGUCAAUAUGCUGAAUAAACAUGGAUGUAUCAGAUUUUGAGGAUUGAAAACCUUUAUGGAGUAAGGACCCUUUCAACCUCUCAUACCAAGCUCUAGGAGCUUGCUUGAGACCAUAUAAGGCUUUGUUUAACUUGCAAACAUAUGAUGGAUUUGCAAAGUCUAUAAAACCUUGUGGCUGAUGCAUGAACACAUCCUCUUCAAGCAUACCAUUGAGAAACGCAUUAUUAACAUCCAGCUGUCUAAUCUGCCAAUGAUGCAACACUGCUAGACUGAGGACAACUCUGACUGUGCAAGGUUUCACAACUGGGCUGAAGGUCUCAAAGAAAUCCACCCCUUGAGUUUGAUGAUAACCCUUGGCAACCAACCUAGCUUUGUAUUUGGAAAUGCUGCCAUCAGGGUUAUACUUCACCCUAAAUACCCACUUAUUACCAACUAUUUUAGCAGCACUUUCAGAGGGCACUAGAGUCCAGGUUUGAUUUCUUUGCAGAGCAUCAAAUUCCUCUUUCAUAGCACAAAACCACUUGGAGUCAUGCAAGGCACUUUUGACACUAGUUGGCUCAAGAUUUUCAGUAGCUGCUAGAUAUGACUUGGGUUUGAAGAUACCAGCUUUAGCUCUAGUAAUCAUUGGGUGAGAUGGUAAUGAAGAUGAGUGAGUUGGUUCAGCUGAAGGAUGAGAAUAAGAAGGUUGUGCUGAACUGGAACUUGAUGGAGGAGACAUUGCUGAAUGAAAAUUAGGAGAUGAUGACUCUACAUUGCUACUGUCAACCUGAGCAGAAGUUUGAAGAAAAGAAAGUUGUACUGGUGAAGAAGGGACAUCAACAUUGGAGACUUGUGAGGUAGAGUGUUUUAGAAACAAUUCUGUGUUAGGAAACUCAGUUUCAUUAAAAACAACAUGUCGAGCAACAAACACUUUACCAGAUGAAUUUAAACACUUAUAACCUUUAUGAAGUGGACUGUAACCAAUGAAAAUACAUUUUUGAGUAUGAAAGUCAAGUUUAUGCUGGUUAUAAGGUCUGAGGAAUGGAAAACAGGAGCAACCAAAAACCUUUGGAAACUGAUAGUCAGGCAGAUGAUUAUGUAAUUUCUGAAAUGGGGAUAGAUUGUUUAGAACUGAUGUGGGCAUUCUGUUGAUAAGGAAAGAAGCAGUGUGGAAUGCUUCCCACCAAAAGGAGAGAGGUAACUGUGAUUGAGCUAGAAGUGUCAGACCUGUUUCAACAAUAUGCCUGUGUUUCCUCUCAACAACACCAUUUUGAUGGUGUGUAUAUGGACAACUAUACCUAAAACAUAUACCCUCUUGCUGAAGAAAGGUUUUAAAAGCUAUAAAUUCACCCCCCAUAUCUGACUGUAGUGUUUUGAUAGACAAGGAGAACUGUUUUUCAACAAGAAGUUUGAAGUGUUUGAAGGUUUCUAAGGCUUCUGACUUUGCUGUGAGAGGAAAAAUCCAAGAAUAUCGAGUGAAAUCAUCCACAAAAGAGAUAUAAUAUCUGUAUCCACUCAUUGAAUAUUCAGGAGCUGGUCCCCAUAAAUCUGUAUAUAGAAGCUCAAGUGGUGCUUUUGUUUUAAUGGUAGUGACAGAAAAAUGAAGCUGAUGCAUUUUGCCAUGUUGACAAGCAUCACAGAAGCUAAUGAAUUUAUUUGAAAAGCAAUGUGUGGGAAGACUUUUAAUAAUUGUUUGCAAAGCAUGUUUAUUGGGAUGACCAUAUCUAUUAUGUAACAACUGAACUGAUAUCUUUCCAGCUCUAGAAGAAUUUCCAGAAACAGAACAUGCAAAAGCUUCAGACAUAUUUACAUUAUCCAACUUUGACACAUGAUUAUUUGACUCUGGUAAAGAGUUUACAACUUUAUUAUCAAAACAAAAUGACAACAUGGAACUUGGUUUAAAAAGAUUUGGAUUGCAAUCUGCAGAGUAAGGAGAGAAGACAUCAAGUGACAGUAGCUUGUAAAGACCACCUUUAACAAUCCCCUGUGCCAGCAAAGUUCCCUCCUUCUUGUCCUUAAUAAAGCACAUGGUGGAACAAAAUUCAAUGAUUAUGUUAUUAUCCAAAAGAAGUUUAGAUAUACUGAUGAGGUUUUUGGUUAUUUUAGGAACACACAAAGUAUUGGUUAAGGAUAAACAUGUGCCAAAAGAAGUAGAAAGAUGAGUGCAGCCAAUAUGUGUGAUAGUAAGACCUUGUCCAUUUCCAACAAACAACAGUUGAGUACCAUUAUAAGGAUUACCUUCAACCAGGUUUUGCACAUUGUUGGUGAGAUGAUGAGUGGCUCCACUGUCCAGAUACCAUCCCUGAUCAGCAACUCCUUCUGAGGUAGCCAUAUAAGCUGUUCUUGGCCCUGGGUUCUGCAUUGGAGAAUUUGAAACAAAAUUUCUGUUAAAUCUGUUUCUACAAUCAACAGCUGAAUGGUUUGGUUUAAAACAUAUUUGGCAGGUAAUAUUUCCUCUGCCACCUCCUCUACCAAAGCCACCAGAGGACCCUGGAUUUCCACCAUUAAAACCACCAUUUCCACUAAAUCCACCAGUAUUUCCAUUAAAACCACCAGAGUUUGAACCUCUUCCUUGGUUUCCAAACCAGCCUCUCCCUGAGUUUUGAUCCAUAAAGCCACCUCUGCCAGAUCCAUAACCUCCUCUAUUGUUGAAAUUUCCAUUUCCAUUUCUAUUCACAAAAUUAACAUUCCAAUUACCCUGGUUAUUAGUAUUCCAAUUAGCAUUGCUUCCUGACUUCUUCUGAUUAUUACCAGUCUGAGCCACAUUAGCACUAAAAUUCACCUUAGUUUCCUUAGCUACACCAGAAUGAUUACUCUCAAGCCUAGCUUCAUGAGAUAGCAACAUAGAAUAAGCCUCAUUGAUGCUCAUUUUAAGAGCAUUUGCCUCAAUAUAAACUACAACAGGAUAGUAAGCCUGACCUAGCCCUGAGAUUAAAUGUGUAAUGAAGUCAAUAGAGCUAACUGAACUUCCAGCCAUUGCUAAUUCAUCAGUUACUGACCUUAGUUUACAAAAAUAUUCAGUAAUUGACAUGGAUCCUUUCUUAAGAUUGUUUAGCAGCAUCUUUAAAUGCACUUUCUUAGCUGCUGUUUCAAAUCCAAACUGUUCCUCUAAGCUUAUCCAAAGUUCUCGAGAGUUUUUAGAAUUUACCACAAUGCUUAAGAUCUCCACACUGAUUGAAGAUAGAAGCCAGCUCAAGAUCAUCUGAUCUUGCCUUUUCCAAGUAGUGUAGGCAGGAUUUUCUGAGAUGACUGCCGCAUCUGUGCUUGUUGAUUCACCAGUCAGCAGCUGGUUUGGACAGGUACGUGAUCCAUCAAGAAAACCUUCCAGAUCAUUUGCUCGAAUGGCUGAAAGGAUCUGAGAUUUCCAUAUAGUAUAAUUCGAUCUGUCAAGCUUGAUUGGUGUGGCGAAAGUAAAUGUUGAGAUUGCGGAAGAAACAUUUGUACUAAGACUUGAAGAAGCCAUGAUCAAGAAGUGAUUCAAGGCUCUGAUACCAAAUUAGAAUUUGAUCAACAGAUUUGGAGUGUUUGUUUACAGAGAAAAUCUAAGAGAAAAUGUAAGAAACUUUAGCUGAGAAUAUUCAUUUUGUUCAACUUAAUAACAGAUUGAGAUUACAAAGCUUAUAUACUGCUAUCAAGAAUCAUCUUAACACAUACAUCAUUUUCACGUGUAUUUAUCUUUGAGAGAAGCUAAAUAACCAGCUUAACAAACUCACAACUACUUUGCUGACUGGACUGCCACGUCACCAUAACUAACUUAACUAAUCCAAUCAGUUAAUCACAGUUAACACAUAUUCUUAUCAUGUAAUCUGUGUGAAGUACUUGAUUGUUUCCAUGUUACUUUCAAACAUUUAAAUUAAAAAGGAAAUUUUCAUAAUCUUGCCUUUUCUAUGAUUUUCAAAACCAAGGUUGAUCUACUGAAGAACAAGUUUGGGUUCGACGAGGCAUUUAACUAUAAAGAAGAAGCUGAUUUGAAUGCAGCAUUGAAAAGGUUAGCAUCAAUAAAUGCCUUAGCUUGAUGCAGCUUGAUGAAGUAUGAUACACAUUUCUGACCAAUAUACUGCGUUCCCUGAUCUCUUACUUGAAAUAUCUUGGUUUGAGAACCUCAUGCCAAUGCCUUUAACAUUUUGGCAGGUACUUUCCUGAAGGAAUUGAUAUAUAUUUUGAAAACGUUGGUGGAAAAACGCUUGAUGCAGUGCUACCCAACAUGAAAAUCCGUGGUCGAAUUGCUGCAUGCGGUAUGAUCUCACAGUACAAUCUUGACAAGCCUGAAGGUGUGCACAACUUGAUGUAUCUUGUUUUGAAACGGCUUCGAAUGGAAGGAUUCAUUGUUCUCGAUCACUAUCACCUUUAUCCAAAGUUUCUGGAAAUGAUCAUUCCUCACAUCAAAGAAGGGAAGCUUGUAUACGUCGAAGACAUGGCUGAAGGUCUGGAGAGUGCUCCGGCAGCUCUCAUCGGUCUAUUCUCUGGCCAGAAUGUUGGGAAACAGGUGGUUGCUGUUGCUCCUGAAUGAAGAACAAGUUAGUGUUGUAUGUUCUUUUACCCUUUGACACAAAACUUCAAUGUCAAAGAGAGAAUGCUGCUCAUACUGCUUUAUAAAAUAAUCAAAUGAGUGCAAGUUUCAUGAUAUUUGCUGAAUAAAAUAUUGGAAAUUAAGCAGCUAGCCUAGCUCCUUCUUGUAGUUGCAGUUUGAAUGAUGCUGCUGCACAACUGCUGCCGAAAAAAAUCCUUAAUAGAUGAUUAGCAAGGUUUCAAAAAUAAAAAUAAAUGUUUGUGCAAUGUGCCGAAUAUGACAGCCACAAAGAAAGAGCAUACAAAUUGAUUGGUUUUAUGUCUUCUCUAGGAGAAAGCUACAAUACAAGAAAUUGUAUUGAUGGAGCCUUGGACCAAAUUUCUUAUUUAAAUUUUUAAUUUUUUUUAUUAAAUUACUUAUGUUAUUAUGGUUUAUAUUUUUAGAAAUUCUUUAGAAAUUAAUACAGAACUAGUAGCAAGUUGAGAAAUCUACUGAAUGGUCAAGAUAUGAUAAUGUUUAUUGAAUUAAAUUAACAAUCAUCAUUUUCAUAAAUUAUUGUCAGGAUAUUUGAUUCAUGUCAGGUGUAAGUAACUAAGAGAGCGUUUGGGACAGACACCACAGUUGCUCCCGAUGCUUUAUUUUAGGGAAAUAUCCCCUGGAAUAAUGCAUAGGGCGCAGCCCCAAACGGACCCUAAAUGUGCUAAAAAAAAAUUAAUGAGUUGGGUGUGUUUGAUAUUCAUUUGUUGUAAUUCUUUUAAUAAUUAUUGUAGAAAAAAAUAUGAUAAAAAAUUUAUAAUUAUAAAUAAAAAUUAAUAAUAUAAUAAAUAAAAUUUUUAAACAAUAAUUUUAAUAAAAUAAUAAAUAUAUUAUCAAUUUUUCAUCGUUAAUAUUUAAGUCACAAUAAUAAAUAUUUAUUAAACACUUUAAUACUAUAACUAACACUACAACUUUUGAAUUAUAACAGUACAUUCUAAAGACCGUGGAACAAUAGUACAAAAGGUGCUCGUCGUGUAAACAACACAUGGGACCCAAGCAAUAAAUGUUUCUGAUCCUCAACUUUCCUCAUCACUGUCCCUGCAAACAAUUCUGAUUUUCUUGUCUGAUAAAAAAACUGAGAAACAAUGGCGGCCGAACAAGAAGCUGUGAGCAAUAAUGUAAAGCCACAAAUUUUCAUAAUAUUAAAUUAUGAAAAUUGGGCUUUCAUUGAGAAUUAUGGGUGGCCUAUAACCCUUAUUAAGAAAGGGAUACUAAUUAUAAAUACAAGUUAUUUAUGAGAUAGUUUUGAAAAAAUGUUAUUUUUCCUUAUUAAAUAAGGUUUCUUAAGACUCCCUAUAAAUUCAUACUUUUUCCCUUCCAUGACCCUAAGUCCAUGACGUUUAUUCUUCUUCUCUGCUGCUCUUUACGCUCCUACCCAAAUCAUAGGAUUCAAACCUUUGUUUAGGAGAGAAUCAAAGCGACGAGUAAGUUAUUCUCCCUAUUCUCAACAGAUUUCUAAUCACUCUAUCUAGGGUUUAUAUUGGCACGAUUCUAGAUGGUUAUAGAUCAUAAUGCAUGAUUUAGAAUGUAUUUAGGCUUUGUUUAGGGUUUUGAUUUAUUAUGAGUUUAGUUAAUCAAUCCUUGACGUAUUAAGCACAGGAUAAUUCUGGACAAUAUGAGUAUCUCGAAUUUAAACCUAUAUUUUCUGAACGAGUUUUAUUAUAAAAUUUAUAUUUCUGGAAACUAGACAUGUAGGGCUUCUUGAGUAAAUUUUAUUUCAUUAAAUUCGACUUCGUUUUCAAUUUUAUAUUUAUUUUCGAAAUAGAAACCACUGCACUGGAAAACUGCGAUUCCAGCAUUGCGAUCGGAUUCACAAGACUAUUUGUACCACCAAACGAACUCGGAAAAUUCUGAAAGUUUAUAUGUAGGUUAAUAUAUGUGUCUAGGAUUACCAGUUUUAAUUUCAUAAUUUUCUGAUUAGUAUUUUAUUUUAUAAAAAUCACAGAACCCGUUCUGUUUGGUUUAGAUUAUGUGAAAACAGUUUCGAAUUUGCUGAGAAAUAAAUAGUUUCGAAAAUGUUUUUGAUAUCGGAUCCUCUUGCAAAUUUUACAUAGGGUACUCAUGGAUGUCCAGAAUAGUCCCAUAGAAUAUUAUAUCAUUCUGAGUCUUAGAUUAAGAGUUAAAUUCUGAGAAUCAGACCUGUACGGGUAUGAAUUAGAAAAUCAGAUUCUUAGAAUAAGUUAUUAAUUGUCAUAUCUUGUAUUUGUUUAAGGUGUUGAAGGUGAUUGAGGUUCUUAGAAGCUUAAAGGUGUGUUAAUUCAAAUUCAUUUGUCGAGGUAAGUUACUUCAUUCCUACUAUAUUGGAUAUGUAUAAGUAUUUUGAUAUUAUCAUUAUAAGUAUAAAUGUUUUCAUACUAUUUAGAAGAUUAAUGGAUUUUCAUAACAAAAUUAGCUUAUGAAAAUGUUUUCAAAACCUAAUUUCUUUUUAACAAAGCAUUUUAUAAAUACUUUUUAAAUAUGUAAGUUAUUUUGUUACAUGCCUACUUUUAUGAUUUUAUUUAUAAAAUAUUUUGCAAGCCUAAAUUAUUGUUAUGGACUUUUAUGAAUCCGAUACGAAUGUUUUAUGCCUAUGCAUGAUUUCAAUUAUAUAUGAUUGUAUGGGGGCCACCUCUUGGGACUAUAUGGGGGCCACCUCUUGAAGGCCAAAGUGUCGCAAAGUGCCACAUAUAGUGCAAAGUGCCACGUAUAAGUCAUUAUGUUUUGGCUCAUUGUCCGUAGUCAUUUUGAUUCUGAUUCUGAUCAUAUAAUACGAUAUAUGUCUGUUUUGGACCAGUACUGGGUUUCUGUUCUGAGUGUGCACACGAUAUUUUGAUUCUGUUUCUGGCCGGGUCACUGGGACUAUAGGUGACACUAUGUGACAAGAGCUAACCUUUUGUUUUCUGUAUACGUAUUAUAUGAUUUACUUCAUAAGUAAAUAUGCUUUUGGAUAUUCGGAAUUAUUAAGAAUUUAUGUUAUGUUAUCGUGAUAUAUUGUUUUAUGAAAUUUAUGGAUUAUGAUAUAUGUUUUAAACAAAAGAAGGCUUGCAAUAUUUUUGUAUCGAUAGGCCCAGUAUGUUAGAAAUUGUUUUACUUACCGAGUUGACGGCUCACCCCUCGUCAUUACUUUUUGCAGAUUAAGUUUCUUUUGAGAGGUGCGCUUAGCUUUGGAGUUAGUAAUUUUCCGUUUCCAUUUGCCAUUUGAAUAAGAGGAGGAAUAAACUCGUGUUUCUAUUUAGUUAUUUCUAUUAUGAACGUGUAAUUUGGAGUUUGAGACUUUUGUUAUUAUUUUUAUGUCCUCGGGAGAGAUUAUUUAGUAUUAGACGUUAGAAUUUGUGGAUUUAUUUGAAUAAGAAUUGGAGGUAUUUCAGUUUGAAACUUAUGAGUAAAGAUUAUGAUUUGUGAGUAACCUCCUUCUUCACGUGCUCCGCACGUGUUAGAUUUGGGGUGUUACAAAUAAGCGGGUGAUUCUAAGCAACUAUGUGACAGGUUUUCCAAAAGAAUCAGACAUGAAGAUAACAAGUGGAUCAAUAAAGCUGAAGGUAGCAGACUGUUCAAAAGACACGGUGCUUUUGAAGAAUCUUUAUCUUUCUUGUGAUCCUUACAUGCGAGAGCGUAUGAGCAAGCUUGAUAGCCCUUCUUUUGUUGAUUCAUUCCAUCCUGGUGAGGUUAGUUCAUCACGGCCCAUCUCUUGAUUUUUUUUUUUCAUUUGCUUCAAGUUUUGAUGAGUUUCUGAGGUAAUUUGUACGGUUUUGGAAUUUGAACACAAUUUGUGAUUUUGGUGCUGUAACUGUCAUUAAUGAUAUGUAGUAAUUCAAUCGGAAUUUGGAUUUAGUGCUGAUAUGAUCUCUGCUCAUUUUUUUAAAUCUUGUGUCCACAUGCAUUUUUGAAAUCUGGUACGGUUGAGAUUGUAUGUAGAUUAACCUACGUACAGUAUUCUUGUCUAAUGACUACUAACCACAACCUUAUGAGACGAUCGAAACCAAGCUCGGAUCAAUAAUCCAAUCGAGAGAGGAUCAUAACUGAAGCUUAUCGUGUGUGGGAAUAUUUCGGUUAAAUUGUAAUCAUGAUCAUGAAUCAUGCAGGGAAAAGGGAAGUUGAGGUCAAUUUAUGCACUUGAUGGAAUUAAAGAACCAAUAUUUGAUUUUGGUUUACAUUAUUUCUCAGUAAUGGUGACUUUGUGAUGUUAAAUUUAUGCAGCCUAUAAACGGAUAUGGGGUGGCCAAAGUUUUGGAUUCUACACAUCCAAAUAAUGCAAAAGAUGACUUGGUUUGGGGCUUUACCGGGUGGGAGCAGUACAGUCUCGUUACAGCUCCGCAGCUUUUGAUUAAAAUUCAUCAUAAAGAUGUGCCACCUUCAUACUAUACCAGGAUCCUCGGUAAUGAUUUUUGUUACACAUUAAGCUUUGCUUAUAGUAAUAUCAAUACAUAUGCUGCUUAAAUGCUUUCUGAUUUUUUGCCGGCCAUUGUCCAUUUUGCCCGGGAGACUAUAAUUGAAGGAAUUUACUGAAGGAAUGCUGAUUGUUGGGAAUUUGAUUAUUCUAGGUAUGCCUGGUGUAACUGCAUACGCUGGUUUAUAUGAAGUUUGCUCUCCGAAGAAAGGAGAGUAUGUCUAUGUAUCUACAGCAUCUGGAGCUGUUGGUCAGCUUGUUGGACAGUUUGCAAAAUUAGCUGGUUGCUAUGUUGUUGGAAGUGCUGGAAGCAAAGAAAAGGUGCUGUUAUAUCAUUCUUAAGUAGUAAAUAUAGCACCGUGCCUUCUAGCAGAAUUUUACAUGCUUUAUGUUCCAACUAAGCAUCCAUAUUUGAUCGUGAUAAUUAGCAAGGUCAAUAAUUUUUUUUUGACUAUUUUUUCAACGUAAGGUCGAUUUGUUGAAGAACAAGUUUGGACGAUGCUUUUAACUACAAGGAAGAGCCAGACUUGGAUGCAGCGCUCAAAAGGUCAGCUGCAACAAACGUUUCAACUCUAAUAUUUCAUUUUAAUAUUACAGAGCUUUGGUUGAAGUGUGUGAGUUGAUCCCAGAAACGUAACUUCAUCAGUGUCUCUGUUUUCAAAAAACAGGACAAAUUAAAAUCUGAUUUUGCGUUAAAAUUUCCCAGAUGUUUCCCUCAAGGAAUCGACAUCUAUUUCGAAAAUGUUGGGGGAAAGAUGCUGGACGCAGUGCUACUCAACAUGAGGCUCCGGGGCCGCAUUGCGGUAAGCAGUAUGAUCUCACAGUACAACCUGGAAAAACCCGAAGGCAUACACAACUUAGAGCAACUGAUCGGGAAACGGAUUCGCCUGGAAGGAUUUCUAGCAGGUGAUUACUAUCACCUCUAUCUGAAAUUCUUGGAACUGGUCAUUCCUGCAAUCAGAGAAGGAAAGAUGGUGUAUGUGGAAGACAUAGCCGAAGGACUCGAGAAAAUUUCUCGUAACUGCUACACAUUAAACGCGUUUCACAUUUCCACUCUCUCUCUAUAAAUAAACACGCACAUAAAAUUUCUCACUAUCCAAAAACAAAAUCUACAUAAAAAAUGGCGGGUGAAGAAGGAGUGAGCAACAAGCAGGUGAUUCUGAGCAACUACGUGACAGGGUUUCCCAAAGAAUCAGACAUGAAGAUAAUAGCAGGCUCAAUAAACCUCAGGUGCCAGAGGGUUCAAAAGACACAGUGCUUUUGAAGAAUCUUUGUCUUUCCUGUGAUCCUUACAUGAGAGGACGUGUGAGCGAGCUUGAUAAGCCUUCGUUUGUUGCCUCGUUCGAGUCUGGCGAGGUCAGUUACUUCAAUUCCCAUCUCUUGGUUUCAUAAUCUUUUAUGGUUUUAGAAGGUGUUUUAGGGAAACAUUGUGGUUUUGGUUAGUGGGCAUGAGCCUUUGAAGAGAUUAUAAUGUGUAGGACUAUGUAUGCAAUAAUAAGUAUAGGGGAUCUUGUUAGGAGAAGAUUCUCUUAGCAAAAUAAAAACUUUUAUCUUAUCAAAACAUAUGCAGGGAACUUAGUUAUGAUGUCAUGUUAGCAUUGUCUCUGAGGAUUUGAUUUCUUGAUGGGGAAAGGGGAAUUUAAGGUUACAUUAUUCAGCAAUGGUUUUUUUUUUUUUUUUUUAAUUAUGUUCAAAUUAUGCAGCCUUUGAGCGGAUAUGGAGUGUCCAAAGUGUUGGAUUCCACGCAUCCAAAUUAUAAGAAAGAUGACUUGGUCUGGGGCUUAACCAGUUGGGAGGAGUUCAGUCUCAUCCAAUCACCACAACUUCUGAUUAAAAUUCUGGAUACAAGUGUGCCUCUGCCAUACUAUACUGGGAUUCUUGGUAAGUUGUUACUAAAUUUAUCAAUGUCCAGUUCGCAUGAGCUGAAAAUCAUGUUUUAUUUAAUGCAAUGAGAGAGGGAAAUAGUAUGCUGCUUGAACGUCUAGCAUUUUGAAUUUUCAAUGAUUGUACCCUACGUAUUGGCAUGUAACUGAAGGAUUUCUCUUGAGGAAUUUACUAUUUUUUCUGAUUGUCGGGUAUUUUUCUGUUGACUCUAGGUAUGCCUGGUUUGACUGCAUAUGGUGGUUUAUAUGAGCUUUGCUCUCCUAAGAAAGGAGAGUAUGUCUAUGUAUCUGCAGCAUCUGGAGCUGUUGGUCAGCUUGUUGGGCAAUUUGCGAAGCUGGUAGGUUGCGAUGUUGUUGGAAGUGCCGGAAGCAAAGAAAAGGUGAGUUUGCACCUUUAACCCUUACGCUCUAAAUAAAAACAUAACACCUUCUGAAAGAAUUUGCAUAGAGAAUUUUGCAUGUCACAGUAUUUGUGUUCUAACUAAUCAUGGAUAUUUGAUCAUUAGUCUAACUAAAACUGACUUAUUACCACCUAGUUGAUUGGUCUUUGAGAAAUGUUAGUUGAUAUAUGCUUGAAAUCAUACUUUGUUUUAUUAGAUGAUUAUAUUAACCUGCUUCUUUUUCUUUGUGCUGUUUCUCGUUUGAUUACAUUUUCAACAUUAGGUCGAUCUAUUGAAGCACAAGUUUGGGUUUGAUGAUGCUUUUAACUAUAACGAAGAGCCUGACUUGGAUGCAGCUCUUAAUAGGUUAUCACGAAUGAAUGCCUUAACCAUUUUUCUCACUUCAUUAUUACAAUGCGCUGAUUGAAGUAAUCAGUGUUGGCUCUGAAAAUGUAAUGUAUACUUCUCUGUUUUCAUAAAACAGGACAAACAGUGAUCAGUGAUCUCAUUCGUUACAUUGAUAUUUUCUACCAUUGCCAUAUGCCCAUACAUAGUAUAAACUAGGAAUUCAGUUGCUUAAUUGAUAUUCAUUUCAGAGGGAAAUUUUCACUUGCAGCUAACAGAAUCAUGUUUGUGAUGUAUGUUUAUUUGGGAAAUGAAAGGAUUUGCUGCAUUAUUUUAUUCCAAGUUUGCUGAAAUCAUAUUUGUUUUCCCAGCUGCUUUCCUGAAGGUAUCGACAUCUAUUUCGAAAAUGUUGGGGGUAAGAUGCUUGAUGCAGUGCUAUUCAACAUGAGAAUUUGUGGCCACAUCGCUGUAUGCGGAAUGAUCUCACAGUACAACAUUGAGAAGCCUGAAGGUGUACACAACUUGAUGCAAGUAGUUGGAAAACGAAUUCCCACGGAAGGAUUUCUUGCCGGUGAUUUCUACCACCAAUAUCCAAAAUUCUUGGAACUGGUUAGUGGUUAUGGCGGCAAUCAAAGAAGGAAAGUUAGUAUAUGUCGAGGACAUAGCUGAAGGCCUUGAGAAAGCUCCAUCAGCUCUAGUUGGGAUAUUCACUGAGCAGAAUGUUGGAAAACAACUGGUUGCAGUUGCUCGGGAAUGAUAUGAUUAUUAUAUGACCAUGGACUUUAAAAGCUUAGUGAAGAUGCCUCUGUCUUAUUUGUGAUCCAUGUUAUGUUUGUUUGAGAUACAUGUUAUGUUUGUUUGAUCAAGCUGUACUCAGAUAUAAAUCAAAGAUUCAGAACAUGUGUAUGAUACUGGUUUCUAAAUCAAUGAACGCUUUGAAAUGUUAGUGUUUUCACAGGAGAAUGCAAUUUAAUUCAUCAACAAUGUCCCAACAAGACCCUCAGAGCUGUAGCUUGUAAAGUUAAUUACCAUAUUUUUUUGUAAAGUUAAUUACCAUAUUUUUUUCUUUCCAAUAUAUUGCUUAUUUCAUAGAAAGUUUACAUUAAAGUCUCAUGUUUCUUUGAAAGGUAAGCAAGUGUGAACGUUUCAAUCUAGAGCUGGAAAAUGCAUUUCCGGGCAACUUACUUGAUAAAUGAAGUUUUCAUCUCUGACCAUGAUGUUUCCCACAGGUGCAUUCAUUUCAGCUGAUCUAUUUAAUUUUGUUUUCGAAGGAGUGACACAAAAUCUCCUUUGUUAAGGGGAGAAUUUAGAGCGGCUUUGACUGUUAUCAAAUAGCCUAAUGUAAGACUUAACCAACUUCCUGCCCUGUUGUAUUCUUAUGAAUUUUGAUAGAGCUAAGAGUUUGCAGAAGCUACUGUAUUAUAUGUCGUUAGAGGCUGUAAAAAUCAAACACAUUUAAAUUUCAAUGAAAAUUUACUGGAAGUAAAUUUCCUAUGAUCCUACAGGUGACUAAUUAAUGAGAACUUGACAAUGACAAAAGAAAGUGUAUGAACUUUGCAGGCUGGCAUGCCAAUAUUGACUGGGUGGCACCAUCCACCAUCUGCAAGUGAAUAUCAUUGUUGUUUAAUCAACAUGGUGGAGUCCACUGGGACCACACCACAUCAUCAGCCUUAUCUCUAUUCCUCAAUUUUCAGUAUUCCAUACAUCAAACCAAUUUCAGUUUUGUUAUCAAUUAUAACUUUAUUGUUGGUGACGAUUCUGAUUCCUUUCUGACAAAAGGGAACCAUGGCUGCUGCUGGAGAGAUCUUACUCAACGCCUUCUUUCAGGUACUGUUCGACAGGUUGGCUUCUCGUAAUUUGAUCAGCUUUGUGCGUCAACUCCAAGGCGGGGUUGAUUCGGAGCUCAAAAAGUGGGAGAAAAAGCUGAAGAUGAUUCAGGCUGUCCUCUGCGAUGCAGAGGAGAAGCAACUGACCAACGAGGCUGUGAAGAUGUGGCUGGACGAACUCCAAGACUUGGCUUAUGACGCUGAGGACAUUCUUGAUGAGUUUGCUACUCAAGCUUUGGAAAGCAAGUUGAUGGCGCAAAAUCACGAUAGUUCUGGCCAGGUUCUCAGUUUCAUCCCGGCUGGUUUGAAUCCGAAUGCUAUUAUGUUCAAUUAUAGCAUGGGGUCCAAGAUUAAAGAUAUUACUAGCCGGCUGGAUCAACUCUGCCAAGAAAGAAUUGAACUUGGACUGCAACGGAUUACCGGAGAGGCAUCAUCAACUGCUGCUGGUGCACACCAGAGGCCACCCAGUUCGAGUGUCCCAACAGAACUUGAAGUAUUUGGAAGAGAAGAAGAUAAGGCCAAAAUUCUUGAUAUGUUAUUAGCCGAUACCCUAAGUGAUCAUGCUAACUUUGUUGUAAUACCCAUUGUUGGCAUGGGUGGGAUAGGAAAAACAACUCUUGCUCGGGAGGUUUACAAUGACAAGGCCGUUGGAGAUUGCAAGUUUGAUGUAAAAGCAUGGGUUUGCGUAUCUGACGUCUUUGAUGUUUUGGGCAUCUCAAAGGCACUUCUCGAGUCAAUCACCCGCACGCCUUGUCUUCUAAACAGUUUAAAUGAAGUGCAGGUUGAAUUGAAAGUAGCUGUGGAUAAGAAAAGAUUCUUGCUGGUCUUAGAUGAUGUUUGGAACGAGGACUACAGCUUGUGGGUAGACUUAAAAGCUCCGUUCCUGGGUGCUGCACCAAACAGUAAGAUGAUCGUCACCACGCGCAAUUCAAAUGUUGCAUCAACAAUGGGACCAGUUGAACAUUACAAUCUCAAGAGUCUGUCAGAUGAUGAUUGCUGGUCCAUUUUCAUAAAGCAUGCAUUUGAAUCUAGAGAUCUUAACGAACAUCAAAUUUCAGAAUCAUUCCGCAAGAAAGUUGUUGCCAAGUGUGGAGGCUUGGCCCUGGCAGCAAAAACACUCGGAGGCCUUCUGCGUACGACGAGGCAUGAUGUGUGGGAUGAUAUAUUAGAGAGCAAAAUAUGGGAUUUACCUCGACAAAGUGGGGUUCUCCCAGUAUUAAGAUUGAGUUACCAUCAUCUUCCUUCUCAUUUGAAAAGAUGUUUCGCUUACUGUGCAAUCUUUCCAAAAGAUUAUGAAUUCAAUGAGAAGGAGGUGACUUUUUUAUGGAUGGCCGGAGGUAUUAUUCGACAGUCCAGAAGCAAAGAGAGGCUAGAAGAUUGGGGCAGCAAGUGCUUCUAUGAUCUGGUGUCAAGGUCAAUUUUUCAGCAAACAGCAAUCUCUGAUAGUUCUAAAUUUGUAAUGCAUGACCUUAUUCAUGAUCUUGCUGAAUUGGUCUCUGGAGAAACCAUAUUCAGGUUAGAGGAGGCCAAUACUCUGUCAAGAAGAUUUGAAAGGGUUCGCCAUUCUUCCUAUGCUUGUGGUGGACGUGAUGGUAAAAAUAUGUUCGAGGUUUUCAAUGAAAUUGAACAUCUACGAACAUUCUUGCCAUUACGCUUACGCAUAAGAGGUGGCUCUAAUACUAGUUUCAUAACUCGUACGGUUCUAUCUGAUUUGCUGCCGAAGUUCAAAAUGUUGAGAGUGCUAUCUUUACAAGGAUACCGUAUCGGUGAGUUACCAAUUCCAUUUGAAGAUUUGAGACUUCUAAGGUUCCUCAACCUUGCUGACACUGACAUAAGAAGUUUACCUGAGUCAACAUGCAAAUUGCUGAACUUGGAAAUUUUGAUAUUAAGAAAUUGUUCCCGUUUGAUAAAGCUUCCGCAGAAAAUGAGGAAUUUGAUCAAUUUACGUCAUCUCGAUAUAAGAGGUGCAAAGCUGCUAAAGGAGAUGCCAUUUGGAAUGAAAGAGUUGAAGAAGCUUCAAACAUUGUCCAAUUUUAUUGUAGGCAAGGGUGAAUCCGCAUCUGGUUUGGAAGAUUUAAAAAGUUUAAACCUUCUUUGUGAUGAACUCUGCAUUGCUGGAUUAGAGAAUGUAAAUAGUCCACAGAAUGCAAGAGAAGCCACAUUAUGUGAGAAGCACAAUCUUGAAGCAUUGACUCUAGAAUGGGGGUCUCAAUCUGACAGUCCUCGGGAUGCAGUACUAGAAGAGAAUGUACUUGACACUCUACAACCUCAUGAACGUAUAAAAGAGCUGGCAAUCAGGCACUAUGGUGGUGCAGGAUUUCCACUUUGGAUCGGACAUCCUUUGUUCUCCGAGAUGAAGGUCCUUAAAUUGGAGAACUGUGACAAGUGUGUAUCUCUGCCAUCGCUUGGCCUGAUGAAUUCACUUAAGCACCUUGCUGUUAAAGGGCUGAAGAAACUAAAAAGCAUAGAGUCUGCGGUCUUUCCAUCAUUGGAGACUCUAAGUUUUGAGAAUUUGCCAGAAUGGCAGCAUUGGAACACCAAUAUCAAAGGAAAUGAGCCUGUUGAAAUAUUUCCUCGUCUCCAAGAACUUUCCAUUGCAGAAUGUCCCCAACUCUCUGGAGAACUGCCUGAGCUCCUGCCUUCUUUGGAGACACUUGUUGUUAGUAAAUGUGGAAAGUUGGUAGUUCCAUUGUCAAGCUAUCCGAUGCUCUGCAGAUUAGAAGUUGAUGAGUGCAAAGAGCUAGUGUGCAGGACUCCAAUUAAUUUUGAGUUGAUAAAGUCUGUGACUAUUUCAAAUAAUUCAUUACUCAUGAAUGGAUGCAAGGAGAUGCUAUGCCAUGGUCAAGCUGGCUCUUCACUGCAGAAACCCAAGACUAUUAUGAAUGUUUUGGAGUUCGGAAAAUUAUUGAAGCCUGGAUUUCAGAUAUUAGAAACUUUGGUAAUUGGCAAUUCUGAACGGCUCAAGUCAUGGAGUACUUUUAUUGAACCAGGGCUACAUUUGCUCGCUUCCCCUGAAGAGGUAGCAAUUGAAGAAAGUUGUGUACGUCUUGUUUUGUUUCCAGAGAUCAAUUUCUUUCCCAGAAAUCUGCGCUCUCUUCGAAUUUGCAACAGCACUGCUUUCAAAUCCUUACCCGAGGAAAUGAUGGAAAACAAUUCACAACUCGAAAGGUUGUAUAUCAGAGAUUGCGACUCUCUAACAUUCAUCGCAAGACGGAGGCUACCAGCAUCUCUUAAAAGGCUUGAGAUAGAAAAUUGUGAGAAAUUGCAACGUCUGUUCGAUGAUGAAGAGGAUGCUUCUUCUUCUUCUCCUUCAUCCUUGUCUUCCCCAGUGAUGCUGCAACACCUGAGAAUAGAGAAUUGCCCAGAGCUCACCAGUUUAUCAUCGGGUGUCCAAUUCCUUGAGGCGCUUGAAUACCUCAAGAUAGAGCAUUGUCCAAAGCUGGAGUCAAUACCGGAUGGCCUGCCCAAUCUUAAAUGUUUACAGAGCAUUUAUAUACGGAAAUGUCCAAGUCUUGUUUCCUUCUUAGAAAGAGGGCUUCCCAACGCCAUUUCAAGUUUUUACAUUUGCAGAUGUGACAAGCUCGAAGCCUUGCCCAAUGAUAUGCACAAACUCAACUCUCUUCGAGAUUUAAGCAUACAUGGGUGUCCAAGUCUUGUUUCCUUCCCAGAAAGAGGGCUUCCCAACGCCAUUUCAAGGGUUUACGUUUGCAGAUGUGAGAAGCUCGAAGCCUUGCCCAAUGAUUUGCACAAACUCAACUCUCUUCGAGGUUUAAGCAUACAGAUGUGUCCAAAUCUUGUAUCGUUUCCAGAAGAAGGUUUUCCUACCAAUCUAACAUCACUUACAAUUAGAUAUUUCAAAAUGUAUAAGACACUCGUCCAGUGGGGGUUGCACAGGCUUACCUCUCUUAAACGCCUCUGGAUUGCUGUACGUGAUGAUGAAGCAGAGUGUUUUCCAGACGAGGAGAUAGGAAUGACGCUGCCCACCUCUCUCACCGCUCUGCACCUUACUGGAUUCGAAAAUUUGAUAUUUCUGUCUUCAAUGGGUUUUCAAAACCUCACCUCUCUUCAAUCUUUGAGGAUCGAGAAUUGCCCGAAUCUCACAUCAUUUCCAGAGGUGGGCCUUCCAUCCUCACUUUUGGAAUUACACAUUAGAGAUUGUCUAAAGCUUAAAAAAGCGUGCAAAAGAGAUCAAGGAAAAGAGUGGCCCAAAAUUGCUCACAUCCCUCGCGUUGAGAUAGACGAUAAAUUCAUAUACGAUCCAGAAGCAGAGUAGAUUCUAUUAUUAAGGUCAGUUGAUUUGUAUUAUCCGCUAUAACAAGCUCCUCCUUUUUUUUUCAAAUAAUAAUUUUGCAGUCACUCAUAUGAUUCCGUUUUCACAAGUCAGAUUGUAUGUUGAGGCUAUUUGCCUUUUAAUUAUAACACUUAUUGGAGUAUAAUAUUUUGGAGCAAGCAUACUUGAAAUUUCUGUCUUCAAUAUUUUGAUGCUUUUUUAAUUUUUGAUCUAGUAAAAAUACAUAGCCUUCACCGGCAGGAUUCUAGUCUUGGCUUUCACCUCUCUAACUCAUCGUCCCCACUGGGAUUCCAGAAAUUGAAAUUUCUGUCUUCAAUGGGUUUUCAAAGCCUCGCCUCUCUUCGAUUUUUAUGGAUCGCUUCGAUUUUUGCACAAAUCUCACAUCAUUUCCCGAGGUCGAGGAAAAGAGCGGCCCAAACUUGCUCGCAUCCCUUGGGUUAUGAUAGAUGGAAAAUUCAUAUACGAUCCAGAGUCAGAGGUGUUGAUUCUCUUAUUAAGGUCAACUGAUUUCUAUUAUCCACUCUGACAAUCUCCUAUUAGUGUUUUUCCUUUUCUUUUUCAAAAUUUUGCAGUUCUGUAUAAUUGAAAAUGCCACUCACUUGUUUCCUUUUUCGCAGGUCAAAUAGUGCGUUGAGGCUAUUUGCUUUCUAUCGGUGUUUGUUAAGGUAAUUAGUGCUCCAUCAUAGGUAUGACUGGAUUUUUUUCACUUCCGUAAAUAUUGCAUUUCUAUCGGUGUUUGACUGGAUUUUUUUCACUUCCGAAAAUAUUGCAUUUUAGACUGGCAAAUUUAGCAGUAAUUUUAAUACAAUUUUGUUGGUGCCUUUUGUUCCAGAAGCUAGAAAAAUGUGUAGUUUUCAGAUAAGGAGGCUUGUCAGUUCUCUAAUAAGAAUCCAAUAAUUUGCUUUUGCACGUCCAUCUAAUUUGUGGAUCCUUGCAUCAGAAUUUGAUCAAUCCAAAAGGAAUUGCUUUUAGACAGAGGAAGAAUAGCAGUACCUAGCCUAUGUCAUAGUGUAUGGAACCGCAAACCUGAAACUAUUAGAUUGAGGUAAAAAAAUCAUUGACCCCCUCACAUGUUAACUUCUUCUAGUUACUUUCGUUGGAAAAAAAAACAUUUAAGGAAUUUGCAAUUUGUUGUUGGUUAUGGUAUCUGAUGUUCUUUUCUGUUUUAGUGUUUGUAGAAUCUACUGUAUUAUGUGUUGGCAGUUGCCGUAUCUGAGGUAACUUGCCUUUAUUUGACAAAGAUUUAGAGAAGCAUCUCAAAACACUUAGUAAACUUGACAAACUUCAAGAUGCACUUGCCCCCACGCCUUAUUCUCCACAACGCAAAACUUGUGAGUACACCUAUGCCUGCAAUUAUUGUGAAGUGUUUUCAAUUUUGAUGCAGAGAAAUGGUUUCUUGAUGCAAAAUAUUAAACUGUUAAGAUUUAUCCUGCAGGCUUGUUAGAUGCUGUAUGCUCGAAAAGCCAACAACAUCCAGAACUAGAACUCCAAGACCAGCUUUGCGUUAAUUCAGUCAACUGUAAUAAUAAUGCAAAUGACACUAUAUCAAGCUGGACUUAGAGACUAGUCAGAUCAAUCAUCCAUUUCAUCAACGGUUAAUGUCAUGAUGGUGGCUAUCAGAGGAAACAAAAGAUGUGUCGGAAUCUAUACGAACAUUGAGAAGCAUGAGAGGAGCUUUGAUUUUGAGUAGGGUCAAUGAACUCAUGUUGGUAAGUGGUAAUUAAAGAAAUUUGUAAGCUUAGUAGAGUUUCAGUAUUUUCUGUUUGGAGUAUAGUUGAUAAGUUGACUCUGUUUAAUAAGCCCGAUUAUAGUAGCUGACUGUAUUAACCUUUUUUUUUUUGGUCUACUGUUGUUUUUGGUUUCGAUUAUUUUUUCAACAUUGGGUUGAUCUGUUGAAGAACAAGCUUGGGUUCGAUUCUGCUUUAACUACAAGGAAGAGCCAGACUUGGAUGCAGGCGUUAAGAUUUUAAUGGGUAAGAACAAAUGAAUGCUUUAACCAUGUUUCUCACUAAUUAAAAUGCACGGAUUGAAGGCAUCUGGGUUGAUCCUGACAAUGUGAUGGAAAUACUUCUCUAUUUUGUUCCUGUGUUCACAUAAUGUUUGUGGGAUAUGCUUCGACGAAGACCAGCAAUGAUGAGCAGACACCUGGUAAUAGGGUUCCUCGAGCAGGUAUAUCUUGUAAGAGUAUGGUAUUCAGGGGAGCAGGAGCAGGAAUAUCCUGCUCAUCCGCGAGCACGUCAUCCACGAGGCCAAUCUCCUGUUGGAAGCAUAAAGCCAUUCCUGCUACAUUCCUGCUAAGGGUUGAGUCGAGGAGACCCGGUCAACGACAGUUGGCGAGGCGUGCUCUCCAGUCCGAGAAUCAAGGCAUGAAGGCCACGCAACCACCCACGACUACGGAAAUGGGGCAUCCACUUUCGAGAGGUGGGAGGAUAACGAGCGCGAAUGGAAGAAGGCCCGAGUUCAGAGAUGGCCUAUAAAAAAGUAGCCAACAAAGGUAAAAGGGUUAGAAUUUUUGACAUUGUAACAGAAAAAAAGAAAGCUCUAAAGAACUGAGACUAAAAAAGAAAAGCCAUAAGAUUUGUGGCUAGUGUUCCCAGAACCUUCAUAUCUAACUUGAGCGUCGGAGGGUUUACGCCGGGAAAACAACCGGCGUACUCUGACCUAGUUCUGUGUACGCAGGAACUUCUGGAGAAGAAGCCUUACGAGGAGAGAUCCUAAUCGAGGUGGAGUUGAUCGAGCAAAGAUCCUGGUCGUAACAAGAGAGCAACCAGAAUCUCGCAUCAACAUUUUGGCGCCAUCUGUGGGGACUUGAUCAAAAAGCUUCUGUUGAUAGCAAGAAGAGGAGUGAAGCAAGUGGAAAAGCAAUGGAGGCAAGAAGAAAUAGUGCACAAUGGGGUGAUAUGAGGCUUAACGAUUCCGUGACGCUGAGGGAGAUAGCCAGUGAAGCACGGGAAAAAGCCAUGUUUGACCGGAUGGAACGGAUGGAAAAGCAGAUGCAGACCCUGACAACCAUCCUACAUGAGCUGCGGAGUGAACGAAGGGGAACCCAGGAGGAAAGGGUGAGAGGUGGUGGAGUGGCACCAGGUCAUGAUAGUACGAGGAGAAGUCAAACCACCGAGAGAUUUGGUGGUGAGAGAGGUAACCUAUCUCUACGGGGAGAAAUUCAUAGAGAGGAAGAGCAAUCCCCGGCAAGACAGAUUUUUGACGAGGACGACGGGGUGGCGAAUGCAGAGGAAACAGAGUUGAGGUAACACUUGCAUGAUGUAGAGCAAGAGCGGGAUCAAGUUGCAGCACGUGACCUUGGUCGUGUAGUGCAGCUGGAGGAGGAAGUGCGCAGACUAGCGCAGAUAAUUGAUGACAUGUAAGGAAGGAGCAGAGCUCCUGGUUGGAGGAUAAUGCUGGACGGAGAAUCACCGCUCGCAGCAGAGAUCAUGAGGGCAGUUAUUCCAAGAGAUUUCCGCCUCCCAGACCUUAGAUAUUCGGGACGAACUGAUCCGCUGGUGCACAUAGAGCGCUUCAACGACAUAACCGGGGUACAAGGAUUAUCUCAAUCCCAAAGGUGCAGGGUGUUCCCACUAUCCCUUGAGGGACGUGCACGCAAGUGGUACAGGAAACUUCCUCGGUGGAGCAUUAAAACCUUCGAGCAGAUGUGACAGGAAUUUGUAGAGCAGUUUCGUGGGGCAAUAGCACCAGAAGAUGACAUGAUGGAGUUGAAAAGCAUGAAGCAGGGGGAACAAGAAACCCUUCGGGAAUUCAUCAAGAGGUUUCAUCGUGCUGUCCUCGAUUUGGGAGCCUUCAACCAUUCUCAGGCAUUAAGGGGAUUGAAAGAAGGGGUGAAGAUAGGAAGGCUGUGGCACAACUUGAGAAGCCCAGUUAUUCAGAUGUAUACAGCCGCAUACGAGCAGGCUAAGAGGGACAUUGAGAUUGAAGAAGAAAAGGCAGCACGGAUUAAGACAGACCAGCUAGAAGGGUUGGGAAAGAAAGAGAAGAAAGCAUUACCAGGGAAUGGGCCGAUCAGGAGGAAGGACCACCAGGCCUCAGGUAGUGGUGCAAGAGGUCGAGUAACCGCUUACCAGCCUCAUCAGAGACCACCACAGUAUUAGCACAGCAGAGCACAACCUCCUCGUUCCCCAGUUAGAGAGCUUUGGAGAAGGCAUGACUCGACAUAUGGUGGUCUUCAUCAACACUCCCACGGUAGUAGAGGGAGCAGACCAGAAGCGCUGCCACCGCCUCUAACUCAGAAUGGAACAAAUAGAGAAAGGGUAGUGCACAUGAUCGACCAGAACCAGGACUAUGGGCAGUAUACUUCCUUGAAGAUGUCCCUGGACGAGGUGUACGAGGCCAUAAAGGACCGGGGAUUGAUGUACCUCCCUGCCCCAAUAACAAAGCUACCCAGCAGGACGGAUAGGGGACGCUAUUGUAAGUUCCAUGGCACUUAUGGCCAUACCACUGCAGAAUGCAGAGAUCUCAAGACCCAAGUUGAAGAUUUGGUGAGAAAUCGGUACCUGGAUGAGUUUAUAGAUGAGACUUUCCCGAUGGUGGCCUCGACAUGUGAAGGGGAGCAGAGUGAUAGAAACUUUAGGCGCGAGCAGCCUGCAGUAAGGGUAAUAGCUGGGGGCCCAACAUUGGCCGGAGAUUUCAACAGAUCGAGGAAGAAUUAUGCUAGAUACGCCAUAACUAGUAAAGAGUUACUCUUCAACACCCCAGCAGCCAAAUGAGUAAGAGUCAGACAAGUGCCAAUCAUGUGGACGGAUGAAGAUGAAGAAGAGAUUCUAUACCCCCACGAGGAUGCUUUAGUCAUCAAGGCUACUGUUGCAAGUAAGAAGUUUGACCGGAUACUGGUUGAUACAGGGAGCUCAGUUGAUGUGUUAUUUAAGUCAACUCUGGAGGAGAUGGGAAUAGCAGGCCGGAAGUUGGAGUACACCAAUACCUCCUUGAAAGGGUUUGGAGGAGGAAAGCUGGUCCCUCUGGGCGUGGUCGAGCUGCCUAUCACGAUUGGGAGCUCCCCGACAAAAAGGACUAUGAUACUGGACUUUGUGGUGGUGGAUGAAGAAUGUCCUUACCAGAUGAUCUUAGGUCGGCCAUUUCUGAGGAUGAGCAAAGCGGUACUGUCCAACCAUUAUCUGGCUCUCAAGUACCGAGUGAAUGUGGUAGUUGGAGUGGUACGAGGAGACCAGAGAAUAGCACGAAGCUGCUACUCCUUGGCAGCAAGGGAAGCAAUGCAAAUAACAUCCCUUGAUACCCGAGUGGAAAACAUGAAUGGCAGACAAGAACCUGUAGAGGAGCUGGAGACAGUAAGCCUGGGACCAGAGAAUCCGGGAAAAACGAUCAGAAUCGAGUCGAGACUUAAGGAAGAGCAGAAGCAGGAGUUGGUGAAAUGCUUACAGGCUCAUGCAGAUGUGUUUGCUUGGACACAUGAAGACAUGCCAGAGAUUGAUCCUGAGGUAGCAUGUCAUAAGCUGGCAAUAAAGAAAGGUGCUCGGGCAGUAAGGCAGAAAAGGAGGUGCUUCAACCAGGAGAGGUAUGAGGCUAUAAAUGGCGAGGUGGAGAAGCUCUUGAUAGCAGGGUUCAUUUGCGAAGUCGAUUAUCCUGAGUGGAUAUCGAAUGUGGUGUUGGUAAAGAAGGCAAAUGGCAAGUGGAGGAUGUGUGUAGAUUUCACAGAUCUCAAUAAGGCGUGCCCGAAAGACAGCUUUCCUUUAUCAAAGAUCGACCAGCUAGUAGAUUCAACGGCUGGACACGGCCUGCUUAGCUUCAUGGACGCGUUUUCGGGAUACAACCAAAUUCCCAUGUAUGAGCAGGAUGAGGAGAGCACGGCUUUUAUUACUAACCAGGGUUUAUUUUGUUACAGGGUAAUGCCAUUUGGUCUUAAAAAUACUGGGGCCACGUACCAGAGGCUGGUGAAUAAAGUCUUUAAGCCAUUGAUUAGGAGAACCAUGGAGGUGUACGUGGACGACAUGAUAACCAAGUUGAACAUCCCGAAGGAACAUGUCAGAUACCUCGAGGAGACAUUCGGGCUUUUGAGGAAGUAUAAGAUGAAGCUCAACCCGGAAAAGUGUGCUUUUGGGGUCGAGUCAGGGAAAUUCCUUGGAUUCAUGGUGAGCCAUAGGGGGAUCGAAGCAAAUCCCGAGAAGAUCCACGCGAUCGUGUAAAUGAGGUCACCUCGUAGCCUGAAGGAGAUGCAGAGCCUCACGGGGAGGUUGGCGGCAUUGAGCCGAUUCAUAUCCAAGGCUACUGAUAAGUGUCAGCCAUUCUUUCAAGUGAUAAGGAGGGGAAAGAAAAUAGAAUGGACCCCAGAAUGUGAAGAAGCCUUCCAGAACUUGAAGCAGUACUUGCAGCAAGCACCUCUACUGUCCACACCGAGGGAUGGGGACAAGUUAUUUUUGUAUUUGGCGGUAUUAGAUCGGGCCGCAAGUUUUGUUCUGGUGAGAGAGGAAGAAGGGGUUCAGUAUCCGAUAUACUACACCAGCAAGGCUCUGCUCGACCCUGAGACCAGAUACCCACCGUUGGAGAAAUGGGCAUUUGCCCUUGUGGUUGCUGCUCAGAAGCUGAGGCCAUACUUUCAAGCAUUCCCAGUCUCGGUAAUAACAAACCAGCCAUUGCGUCAAACUCUGCACAAGCCAGAUGCUUCUGGUCGGCUCGUCAAGUGGACUAUAGAGCUGAGCGAGUUCGACAUAGACUACAAACCCCGAGCAGCGAUAAAGGCUCAGGCGAUGGCCGAUUUCAUAGCAGAAUUCACAGAGCCCGAAAUAUGUUUGGACCAGCGAGAUGUAGCUACAGACAGCAACGAAGCCCGAGUAUGGCAGAUGUCUGUAGAUGGAUCAUCCGGGGAGUAGGGAUCAGGAGCAGGAAUUGUUUUGGAAGGCCCAGAAGGGGAGGAGAUCUCUUAUGCUGUAAAGUUAGAAUUCGCAGCCACAAAUAACCAAGCAGAGUACGAAGCCUUGAUAGCAGGUUUGGAAUUGGCUAAGGCAGUGAAAGCGGAUAGAGUGAAGAUCAGAACUGAUUCCCAGCUGGUCGCAAAUCAUGUCAGUGAAAGAUUUCAACCGAGAGAGGAGAAGAUGGAGCAGUACCUGAAGAUAGUCAGGCAUAUGAUGGGGAAAUUUGAAGCGGUUUAGGUGAUACAAAUCCCCAGGGAGCAGAAUAGUCGAGCAGAUAUUUUGACGAGGAUGGCAGCGGUAGCAGACCCAAAAAUGCCAAAGUCGAUCCCUCUGGAGGUGAAGUCCAGCCCGAGCAUCGAGCAUAAUUUGGGGGUGCUGCGGAUAGAACAAAAAUGCUCGUGGAUGGACCCGAUAAUUUCAUACCUUAGAGACGGGGUAUUACCACCAGAGAAGCUGCGAGCUCGGAAGAUUAGAGCCCAGGCCUCGAGAUACACGAUGAUUGACGGGGUAUUAUAUCGGCGAGGAUAUACGCUACCUUUCCUUCGGUGUUUGGAUGAGGACGACGCGGACUACGUACUGAGAGAAGUACAUGAAGGAAUUUGCGAAAAUCACUAUGGUGGGAGGUCCCUGGCUCACAAGGUUCUAAGGCAGGGAUAUUUCUGGCCGACAAUGCACCAGGAUGCGCAAGAGAAGACCAGGAGCUGUGUAAGCUGCCAGAGUUUUGUGAGUUUCUCUAACCAACCACCAGAGAAGCUCACCUCUAUGGCCCCCCCCUGGCCAUUUGCUCAAUGGGGAAUUGAUCUGAUCGGCCCGUUGCCAAAGGGAUGAGGAGCAGCAACACAUGCAAUAGUUGCGAUAGACUACUUCACGAAGUGGAUAGAGGUAGAAGCCCUUAGUAGGAUCACAGAGAAGAAAACAACAGACUUUGUAUGGAGAAACCUGGUCUGUCGAUACGGGAUCCCUUAUGCCUUGGUAACGGAUAAUGGCAGGCAGUUUGAUAAUCACAGCUUCAGGGAUUUCUGCCAGAACCUCGAGAUAGAGUUGAAGUAUUGCUCGCCUGCUCACCCUCAAUCUAAUGGACAAGUAGAAGCAGCCAACAAGACCAUCAAGAGGCUUUUGAAAACCAGGCUUGGAGCAAAAAAGGGUGCAUGGGUUGAUGAGCUGUCAGGUGUCCUAUGGGUAUACAAGACAACCCACAAAACAGCAACUGGGGAGACACCGUUCGCCUUGGCUUUCGAACAUGAAGCGGUCGUACCAGCCGAGAUAGGAACGACCACGCACCGGACAGAUCAUUUCAAUGAGCAGGAGAACGACGAGCAGAUGUGUUUGAAUCUAGAUCUGCUAAUGGAAAAGAGGGAGCAAGCAGCCGAGCGAUCAACCAUUUGCCAGCAGAGGGUUGCUCGGUAUUAUAACCAGAAGGUGAAUGUACGGCAGUUCAAGGUCGGAGAUUGGGUGUUAAGAAGAGUGAAUCAGAAUACGAAAGACUCGGCUCAGGGAGUACUUGGACCAAAUUGGGAGGGGCCAUAUAGGGUCAAGCAGCUAGUUGGACCCGGAGCUUACAAGCUGGUUCGCUCGGAUGGCCACGAGGUGAAACGCCCAUGGAACGCAACACACCUCAGGAAAUAUUUCCAGUAAGAAUUGUCCAUGUUUUCAAGUUAUUUCUGUUCGUGUUUGUUGUUAUUUAUUUUAUGUCAAAACAAUUUCAUGUAAGUUGAAUCCUGCAAUUAAUGAAACGUCGAGGAAUUUCAUUCACUUGAAACUGUGAAAAAUCUACUAAGGCAUGCUAAGGCUCACUGAGUCUCAAAGCCUGUUUAUGGAAAGACCAGAAGCCAAGUGUGCCAGGAUCUGCUCGACCACGCGAAGGCCAGCAGAAUCCCAAAUCAUUGAAGAAUCUACCAAGGCAUGCAAAGGCUCGUCAAGUCUCAAAGCCUGUUUAUGGCGAGACCAGAAGCCAAGUGUGCCAGGAUCUGCUCAACCACGCGAAGGCGAGCAGAAUCCCAAUCAUUGAAGAAUCUACCAAGGCAUGCAAAGGCUCGUCAAGUCUCAAAGCCUGUUUAUGGCGAGACCAGAAGCCAAGUGUGCUAGGAUCUGCUCAACCACGCGAAGGCGAGCAGAAUCCCAAUCAUUGAAGAAUCUACUAAGGCAUGCUAAGGCUCACCGAGUCUCAAAGUCUGUUUAUGGCGAGACCAGAAGCCAAGUGUGCUAGGAUCUGCUCGACCACACGAAGGCGAGCAGAAUCCUAAAUCAUUGAAGAAUCUACCAAGGCAUGCAAAGGCUCGUCAAGUCUCAAAGCCUGUUUAUGGCGAGACCAGAAGCCAAGCAUGCCGGGAUCUGCUCGGCCAAGUAAAGGCCAGCAGACUCCCCAACAUCAAAAAAUUAUCCAAGGCAUGCAAAGGCUCGUCAAGUCUCAAAGCCUGUUUAUGGCGAUACCGGAAGCCAAGCAUGCCGGGAUCUGCUCGACCAAGUGAAGGCUAGCAGACUCCCCAACACUGGGAAAAUUAUCUAAGGCAUGAGAAAGCUCGUCAACUCUCAAGGCCUCCUCUGUGACGAGGUCAGAAGCCAAAUGGAUAAAUAAAUUAAAAUUCCAAUGCGAGGAAGCAAAUAAGAACAAUUUUAUUAAGCUCUUAAAAGUCUGCAAUUCUGUUACAUACAACGCUAAAAAAGCAAUUACAACGCAAGACAAGUUCAGGAGGACGGCGGAUCAGUAAACCGAGUAGCUUCGGUUGGCUGGUCCACUUCAGGGGUCGAGGGGGUGUCACCAGUUGCGUCCGGGGGGGUACUCGCCUCACCAACGUUAGCAGGGACUGCAUGAGGAGGAGAGUUUUCCUCCUCAACCACGAUUGGCUCCACCCCUUCGGCAUCCUCCUUUGCCGCCUCCUCGUCCAUGUGUUGAACAAUACUAGCCGCAAGGUCAUCCAUCUUCAGAUCAGGAUGCUGCUUCCCGAGGACGGCCAUGAUGCAACGAUAGGAAUGCCGAAGUCCCUGGUCGUACUGGUUGUCGGCUUCCUUCUCCAAGUUCUUGACCUGAACUCGGUGGGAAUCGCGGAGAGAUUCGAGCUGAGCCUCGUACAUAAUUUUCUGCCUUUGCAGAUCCUCCUUGACCUUAGUCAGCUCUUCCUCGAGAGUAACGGCCUAUGCUUGAGCAAGAGAUUCUUGCUCUAUCAGCUUCAGAUUCUCGAGAUUCAAGUCUCCCGCUUUCUUCUCGGCAGCAUCGGCUCUGGUCGUCGCCGAUUGAAUGUCCUCCUUCAUCUUCCGGUCGUAACGGCCAACCUUGGCCUUAUAGUAAGUGGUCAUGCAGCUGAGGUGGAAAGCGCUAUACUGCAUGGCCCCCACCAGCUCACCUAGGGUGCAGCCAUCAAAGUCCUCCAGGUCCUUCUUGCUCACGAGUUUAAAUAGCUCAUUGAGAUAGGGGACCAAGUGUUCUGCUCGGUGGUCAGAUAAACGAGAUCUAGGCCCGACAGGAGGAGAAGAGAAAGCAGGAUCAGUGGCAGCUCCACUAGUCUCUCUGACUUUGGCAGGAGGAGGAGGAGGUAGAGUCUGCAAGGGAGCAACCUGUUGCACGAUGUUCACCUGCUUUGCAGUAGGAGCAUCUUUAUUCUGGUCCUGCUUGGUCGUUGGAGGUCGAGAACGUUUCCUAGUCAGAGCCCCAAUCACAGCAUCCUCCAUCUUAUGGCCGGGAGGCACCAAACAAGACUCGAGCAGGUUAUAAGUAGUUAUCAGCUCUCGGCUCGAGCAGGAAUUGGCUAGUACAGCCUCGACCCGUUUGAGCUGGUCAGGUUUGAGCGGGAAGUAAACACCCCAAGAACCUGCAACACAAAUAGACACUUGGUUAGAGACAAACCAGUAUAGCGAGAACAAUUAUGGAUACAAGACAUCUAAAGCGAGCAGGCAACCUGAGAUCACGAAACGGGGUGGGACGCAAGAAUCCUUCCCGUCAAUUUGUGCAACUUGACCCCAGGAACCCCCAGCAAAAAAGAAUUUUUUCUUCCAAUUCCCACCACCACCAGUAAGAAGAUCGGUUAUGGGUUUCCUGGUCUUGGUACUAGAUUGGAAGUAGUACCAGCCGGCAUCUUUGGGGCUGCUCUUUAGCUGGUACAGGUGCUUCACCUCAUCAACUGUGGGCUUGCUUUGGCAACAUCUGUCCCACAAUAUGAACAGACCAGAGAGUACUUUCCACCCGUUGGGGUUCAGCUGACCAGGAGCUAGAUUUAGCCCGUUAAGCAUCCGGGCAAAGUAGGGUUGCAAGGGACACCUCAGCCCAUACUUAAAGCUCUCUAGAAACAGGGUAACGUAUCCCCUAGGAGGCCGGCUAGGGGUAUCCUUCUUUCCUGGGAUCUUAAGAGGUAUUUCACCAGGAAUACUAUACUUAAGCCGGAGGUCAGUGAGCUCGUCAAACGUGGUCGUGCACGUCAUGUAAUCAAUAGCGUAAUCCCGCGAUAGGGCUCUACCUCCUACUGUACUCUGCCCUUCUGGUCGCGAUGUUCAUAAUGGGGACACCUCACCAGAAUCACCUCUUCGAUCCUCACUCAGGGUGUUUUCCGAGCCAGAAAACCCCUCCUCACCGCUAUUUCUGCUCGAGGAGGUUGUUUGGGGGGACAUCCUCCUAGCGCUAGUACCAACACUAGGUCUAAUGGGUUCUAAGGGGAUCCCGGGGUCAAAAGCAGGAUCGGUGAGCAGACUAGGCAGGAAGUCCAACUCAUUGUCAUCAACCUCAAUGACCUUCUCUUUACCUUUCGACAUUCCCUAAGCUAUAACUAGAACACCACCACCAACUACUACCCAAGCAAAGCAAAGAGAAAAGAAAUUAUCUACAGCUAUCCGAGACUGAGGAGAUAGAAGUAAUACCUGAAAUAGUGGUUCAGUCGGAGAAGGACAGGGAUGGAGGCCUUUAUGCCGGAACUUCUUUGCCAGGGAGACAGGGACAGAGACGGGGUAAAUGACGAAUUUUCCUUUGGAGAGGUUUUAGGUUUUCCUAAUGGAGAAUAAACUCUUGGGUUGCCAGCAUUUAACAGCACCAAAUCCCGAGGGUCUCGUAACCGUUGGUUUGAAAUUCAAAUAGAGAGGUAGAUUUCUGUCACAUCACCUCGUCCGCAAUUAAAUGCGACACAACUCUUGGCAGCCUUUUUCCUAUCCCGCGCAAGCAAGAGCUGUCAAGUUUCUACUAUCGGCUUACUACGUUACCCAACACCAGAAACUGGGGGAUCGGUGUUUGUGGGAUAUGCUUCGACGAAGACCAGCAAUGAUGAGCAGACAUCUGGUAAUAGGGUUCCUCGAGCAGGUAUAUCUUGUAAGAGUCUAGUAUCCGGGGGAGCAGGAGCAGGAAUAUCCUGCUCAUCCGCGAGCACGUCAUCCACGAGGCCAAUCUCCUGUUGGAAGCAUAAAGUCAUUCAUGCUACAUUCCUGCUAAGGGUUGAGUCGAGGAGACCCGGUCAACGACAGUUGGCGAGAUGUGCUCUCCAGUCCGAGAAUCAAGGCACGAAGGCCACGCAACCACCCACGACUACGGAAAUGGGGCAUCCACUUUCGAGAGGUGGGAGGAUAACAAGCGCGAAUGGAGGGAAGGCCCGAGUUUAGAGGUGGCCUAUAAAAAGGUAGCCAACGAAGGUAAAAGGGUUAGAAUUUUUGACAUUGUAACAGAAAAAAAGAAAGCUCUAAAGAACUGAGACUAAAAAAGAAAAGCCAUAAGAUUUGUGGUUAGCGUUCCCAGAACCUUCAUAUCUGACUAGAGCGUCGGAGGGUUUACGCCGGGAAAAGAACCGGCAUACUCUGACCUGCUUCUGUAUACGCAGGAACUUCUGGAGAAGAAGCCUUACAAGGAGAGAUCCUGAUCGAGGUGGAGUUGAUCGAGCAGAGAUCCUGGUCGUAACAAGAGAGCAACCAGAAUCUCACAUCAACACAUAAUAUAAUAUAUAUAUAUAUAUAUAGAAAGCUGAAUUUAUUUAUUUACGCGCAUGUGCUAGUGCCCACUGGCAUCCACUUGAUUUGUAUCGGUUAAAUGUAUCAUACAAUACAAUAUUAGCUUGACUGUAGAAAAGAGGAGAACGAGUUGGUGUUGGUCUGAACUCUUAUCUUUGAAUCUCACGUGACUCCACUACUUUUUACUUGUUCUGUAGUCCAUUGUCGGCAGCUCAUACAAGGUCUUUUAGCUUUUUAAAAAGUUUUAGCUUUUUGGAUAAAUUACUGAUAAUUGUAAUCUAUAAAUAAUGAAAGGAAUUAAUUAAAUAUUUGGUAAAUUUUAUUUUUUAAAGUGUUAUGAGUUUUAAAAACGGUUGUAUGUAUAUAAAUUUAUUUACACAUAUAUUUAUAAAUAUGACUAUAUAAUAAUAUUUUAUGUGUACAUAUAAUAAUUGAUAACUAAAAUAAAUAUUUUUAUUUUAUUAAUGGUUUUUUCGUCUCAAUGUAGUUGGUAAUAAUAAUCUCUUGAGAUGUAACGAUUUUAUUUCCUAACUGAAUAAGGAAAAUUUUAGAUUUUUAUAAUAAAUGUUAAGAUAUAUUUAGAAUUACAUUAAGUAUGAAAUAAUCCUCAAAAUUAGAUUUUGAAAAGCAAUUCUUUUCUUGCCUUUAAAAAUAUGUCAUAUGAUGAGAUGAUUUUACUAAAAGUGAUUUUUUUUUAAAAAAUUACUAAACAUCAAAAUUAACUCUUAACUUUUUAAAAUCAUUUCUAAUCUUCUCAUCCUAAGUUCUCUAUUAUUUUGUACAAAAUCCAAGGUUUUGACUUUAAUAAAAUGCCCACUCAAAAAGAAAUUAUUUUCUAAUUAAGAUUUGUUGUUAAUGUAUAACUCGAAGUAAUAUUAGAUAUUUGUAAUUUUAUUUCAAAAAAUUUAUUCAAAUGAUAUGGCAAGCAAUGAACAAUAGUUGAUAGCAAUUUUUUUUUCUUUAACAAUGUUCAAAUCAAUCAGUUGCAUUAUCUCACCAUUUUUAUGAUGCCAUGUUAUUUUAAACGAUUUUUUUUUUAUAUAAAACAUACGACGUGUUAACAUCAUUUGCAUAACUUGACCUUUUUUUUUUUCCCUACAAAUAGUAAGUCAAAUUUACUCACCCUAUUUCUACCUAAAAUCUACCUAAAACUCAUGCAUCACUGCAAAACAAAUCCAAAGAUUGCGGUGCGUUUUUCUUGGUCAGAAAUCAAUAAUUAGGUCAAGUACUACUACUAAGCGUGCACAAUUAAUUCUAAAAUACGGUGAUCAAAAUCAUACUUUACGCAAGAGGAUCAGGGCUAAACUUCAAUUAGGCAUUAUUCAUCCAAAAAUCAUUGACUCGGCAUUCUUUGCAAGUUGUAGCAUGGGACAGCUAAGAUAAUUAGCAAAUGAUAUGGACCAUAUGCACCAAUACAUUUGUGACAUGUGAAUCUUGGCAUUAAAGGAAAGGCAAUGUGUCAAAAUUUAAUAGAGCCCAACUCUUCAUUGAAUGAUUAUCAGAUCCAAUACGCAUCCUUUGAUUGGAUUAUUUUAAGUCAAUUAUUGGUGGAUUGGGGCCCACUUGACUCUACCAAAUCGGGCUCGACCAUAUCACCUAUUAACGGCCACCUGUCCUUAUCAUAAAUAGCAAAUGUCACUUGUUUUAUUUUCUAUUUUACCAAAGUAAAGUCACUACGAACGCAAAAGAAAGUGACCUCAAUUUUGGGGGUCAUGAACUUUGGAUUAUUAUGGACACAAGAGACAAGCGCAAUGUUUCUCAUUUAUCACUGGAUAAGAUUUAAGUUAUCAACCCAAUAUUAAUAAAUUCUGCUUGAAAAGUAAAGUUUGAAGCUUCAUUUUGCGAAUAUUCAAUGGUUAACAUUUAAGUAAUUAACCUGAUAUUAAUCCAAUUAAACUUUUUAUGUAAUCCAAGUCAAAAAUAUAUUGAUAAACCUAAACUAAUCUAAUUGGACAUAUUAUUUCAACUUGAAAAGGUGAAUUUAUCAUUUUUCAAUUAAUUUUGAAUCAAGCUAUGUAAAAUAUAAGCUUAUUAAAGACAUAUUUGAAAAUUUCAAAUUGAAUUAUUUGACAAUUACAUUUCAACUAAGUUGUACUGCUAAUUAACUUCCUCAACUUAAAAUGUAUUUUUCUCAAUUAAUUCGUAACAAAGAAUGUUAGAUGUUUUGUUCGAAUGAUAACAUUCAACAUCCUUAUUCUUUAUGAUUAUUGCAUAAAAACAUAUUUUAUCCAUUUACGUCACAUAUGUUCCUAAAUUGUAUAAGAAAAUCACCAAAUUUACUCUUGUAAGUUACUAUAUCAAUGAACAUGAAACUAACUAAUCAUUAAAGUCUCGGAAUGACAUCAUGAGGGGGAUUCCGUUACAUUUAUUGAUAGGAUUAGAUAUAUGUCUUCCCAAAUAUUAGUAGGAGUAAUUAAACAGAUGCAGCUAUUAAAAAUAUGGAAUUACUUAUCUCGUCAAUAACUAACGAUAUUUUUUAUCUAUGCUCGAUAGGCGUCUGAGCUAUAUUAUAAAUUGUAAUAUUUGUAGAUUGUAACAAUUAUAAAAAAAAAAAAAAAAAGCUCCCUAAGACUAAACGACAACAGGACUGUUUUGAAAUAGAUAGAUAAAGUAUGCCCUUAUUUGAGAAAAGGUAAAACACUAGGGAUCUAAAUGUUAUUAUAAUCCCAUGCACAAAAAUGCUAGAAAAAACUAAUAACAACUAACCGAAAAUCCCAGGCGUCAUAUUCCUUUUUACCGCGUUUUAAAAUGCACAACAAUGAUAUUCUCACAAAAGUGGGUACAAAGGUUUGUACAACCAGGGUCUCUUUGUAAAUUAUUUCAAAGUUUUGUGUUAUUUUUUAAAUUUAUGAUUUUUAUUAAUUUUGAUUCAUUGGAGCAUUUCUCCUUCCAUCUCUUCUACAUCUAUUUUUAAAGUUUUUUAAAAUUUUGACUAUAUCUUUAUAGAGUUCUAAAUGAUUAUCUUUUUUCAUAAAAAUCUAUACUUAAAUUAAUCCUUGAAUUUAUAAUCAUUUAUCUUCUUUGAGUCAUAGACCAAAUUUUUUCUUCUAACAUAUCUAUGUAUACUCCUAAGCUAUCUUCAUGGCUUAGAUACAUUCUAUCAAAGCUUUCACAUAUAAAUUGUGAUUUGAGAUCUGCAUCUUGAAUCAACAUCUCUAUAUUAUCCAUUGUUUUACGCUCGAGGGUAGUUAAAAUUGAUUCUAUUAAUGCUAUCGUGUUUCUCCUUCAAAAGAAUCAAAUAUUUCUGGAUUAUUAAUUUCUUUUAUUUCUUCAUACAAGCAUUCGUUUGCCGUUAAUCUUGUUUUAAUCAAGGAAGCUGUAUAAGCAACUUGAUAUUCUUGACAAAAGUCUAAAUGAUCUAUUGCAUCUAGAAAUUUAUUAAUAGAUCUUUCCAUUUUUAAGAAAUUGAGUUACUCUUAUCACUUCCAAUCUUUUAACAUCUCAGAAAACAAACAAGGCCCAGCAUGCUUCCGUUUGUAGCUCAAAUAAAAGAAGAGUUCAGAUCACUAACCAAUGUACUAUCUCUCGGAAGUCUGAGAUAGACUCACUAAUUGCCUCUAACCAUAGAGAGGUCCAUGGUCAGCACCACCAUAGCUCCACACAUCAUACAAGAUCACUUCAACGACUGUUCCACAUGGCCUAAUGCAACACACAGCAGACUGGCCUAAUAGGAUAUGUCUAAGUGAUUUUCUUGCAGUUGUCUCUGGAAGAGUGCUUAGUAAUAGAAAAUCUUCUUCGUUUAGUACAAGUAUUGGUAUGUAAGGUUCUUGAUUAAUUUUCAAAAGAUGUAUAAGUGUUAGAGUGCAAUUUAUGCACUAGUUUUGCAUUAUUUACUUCCCUUAAUAUCAAUGUUUUGCACUUAAUAAUAGUGAUUUACUUGUGUUUUACUUUUGUAGGUCCAAUUCUAUUGAUUGAUGAUAAAAUUGAGCUAUAAGAUGAUGUUUAAGGAUGAUUGUUCUCUUGGAGAAAUUAUGAGCGUCAGAAGAACUUUGUUGAUAAGGCGUGGGCGCGUGCUGUCAAUUGCGGACCUGCAGUUUUUAGUUUAACGUGUUUUGUAUUUUUGGUUAUUUUUGUAAUUACGAAUUUAAUAUUUCAGAUAUUAAGAUUUUAUUUUAAAUAGAAUUCUAAAAGAGAAGAGAGAGAGAGUAUUUAAGGGAGGAAUCUAUUGUGAAAAAGGGGGAUUUUGGAUUGGAGAAAGAAAGAAACCCUAGAUCUAAUUUUUCUCUUCUCUCUAUGAAGAACUAAACUUAUUUUUCUAGUUGAAGGUUAACGAAGCUUUGAUUCAUCACUACUGUGAGAUCUUUCUUAUGCUUUAAUUGUUUUAUUACUUUUUGGAUAUUUGUUUAUUCUCUGAAUUUUUUUCAUGAUUAUGUUUGUUAAUUAGGUAAUUGGCCACUAUUUAAUUAUCAACUUAAUCUAUUGUCAAUUAAAGGAUUCAUCGUAUGAAGAAUUUAAUAUUUGUGACAAAUAACAUAGCAGAGAGUUGUGUUGUGAGAAUAAACAAUCUAAUUUAAAUGAAUCAUCAUAUGUGUUGAUUAGGAUUUGGGUCUCUCUGGUUUUUCAGGCUGUCAAUGAAUUAAAUCCUAUGAUCGUAUCUAGGGUUGUCCAUUGAUUAGGGAAAUAACCAACGGUCGUACCUUGGUUAUCGACUAGUAAAGGAGAGAUUGGCUAUUAGAGGGUCUCAAUAGCUAUAACCGGUCUAUUCAUAAGUAAUAAUAAUCUAUAUUUGAAUCAAUGAUCAGUAGUAGAAUCAAGCUGAGUUAAUUCCUUCAACCAGAGCUUUCUCCAAUUUGAAUUACAACUUUAAUUUGCAUUCUUGUUAUUUUGAUUUGAUUUUUAUUAUUGUCAACAAUUCCCCCAUUUUACGUUUUACGUUUCAAAAGGAUUUAAAUAAUUACCGAUCUCUGUGGACACGACCCUGCUCAAUCACUAUACACAAUUUAUUUAGAGUAGGAAUUUAUUUUUGUUCGCUUCGACACCACUGCUGCCUCGCCAACUAUUCCUUCUACAUCCGCACCACCUUUGAGCAUUCAGUUAGAGAAAAUAGAGCACAAGCUGAACAAGAUGGAGCAGAAUUUGGCCGCAUACUUCGAGAGUGUGGGUUUUACCCCACCAUUUCCGCCAAGCCCAUAGACGUUAUGUGGAUCAAAGCUCACAAUUCAGGGAAGUUUCUUUUUGCCCUUAAUCUUUUAUCCUUACGCUUUAAUUUUUAUGUGAGCUUUAAUUAUCUUACAUUGGGGACAAUGUAAGUUCUUGGUGUGGGGGAGGGAUUUUUGCAUUAUUGAUGUCUGGAAGUAUUAUUUUCACUCUACUCAUCUAUUUUCAUUCUACUCGUCCUUAAAUGAUUUUGGAGUUAGUAUGCUUCAUAUAUUAUUAUUUUUCUUUUCUUUUCUUUCUCACUACUUUUUUCCCAUCUAUCUCAAAUUAUUUACAUCUAUUUUUAUUCUAUCAUACUCUUUCAUCACUCACAUUUUAUCUUUCACUUUUCAUAUUACUACAUACAUCUUUCUCACUUCUUAUCAUUUUUACCUUUCCUUCACUCAUACCUUCUUCUCAUUCUACACCACUAUUGAUGGUUGAUUCAUUUGAAGAGUGUACAUGAUUUGAUGGCAAAUUUACCAACUUUGUGAGGAUUUGAGCCUAUGAGCAACCACUUUGCUCUAAUUAUUUUUAUUAUGUGAAUAUCAAUCUUAGUUUGUUUAUUCUAGAACUUGCUUUGUUAUGCAUGUUGAAGCCACAUUACGGGAUUUUUUGCAUUAAAAUGAUAAGGGCAAACCAUUUACCAUUUUUCUAUUCUCGCAUUUUCUUUUUUUUUUCUCUACCCGAAGACCUUGAUUUACUAUCUUUGUUUGAGCCUUAACCAUUACCCAUCUAAUUCUCUCCGUCUACUUAACCAUUUUUCUUCUUUUUUAGCCUCAAUUUAAGGAGAUUUUUGGACUCAUUGUGUGGAUAUAUUUUGUAUAUAUUUUGUUGCUUUUUCUACCUUGUAUUAAAGUUUCUCAAUUAGAUCAACAAGCAUUAUGCUUGAAUUAAAUUGUGCAAGGUUCAUUUCUUUUGUUUGAUUCAAAAAAAAAAAAGAAAGAAAAAGAAAAGGAAAAAGAAAAAAAAAGAAAAAAAAAGAAAAAUCGAAAAAAAAAGAAAAAGAAGAAAAAAAAAUGUUUACAUUCUUGGUGACUUGAGUAGAAAUAAGCGUUUCGAUAUCAUAAAGUUCGUUCAAUGAGUUCAUUCUUCUCAUUUUGAUCUCUUUUUCUUUCAUAAACCUUUCUUUUUCAUUUAACCCAUUUAACCCCGUUACAACCUUUUAAGACCCUUAGAUUUUUGUAUUUAAUUCAUGUUUUGUGGAUUGAAAUGUGAUAUAUAAGCAAGCUUAUGGUAAUAGCAUUCUUUGAUUUGAUUUGAGUGAAUAAAUGACACCCUAAACACUUUGAGUGCAUGGAGUGAAGUCAAUGAGAGGGCUAUUAAAUCUUGUUGCACUUGAAUUUUGAAUGGAUCUUCUUGGUGGUUGAAUGUUCUUAUUCUAUCUUAUGAGAUUCUAUGCUUUAAAAUCCUUGUCUCUCGAAUGUUGAUCGACUUAAUUUCUUGAGGUAUACUUGCUUAAAAUUGUUUUUGGAUGAGUUGAGAUGAGAAUUGAGUGGAGAUUUGGGAUUAGUCUUGAGUUAUAUGCUUGAGGACAAGCAUCAUCUUGGUGUGGGGGAAUUUGUUAGAGUGCAAUUUAAGCACUAGUUUUGCAUUGUUUACUUCCCUUAAUAUCGAUGUUUUGCACUUAAUAAUAGUGAUUUACUUGUGUUUUACUUUUGUAGGUGCAAUUCUAUUGAUUGGUGAUAAAUUAAGCUACAAGAUGAUAUUUAAUGAUGAUUGUUCUCUUGGAGAAAUUAUGAGCGUCAGAAGAACUUUGUUGAUAAGGUGUGGGCGCGUGCUGUCAACUACGGACCUGCAGUUUUUAGUUUAACGUGUUUUGUAUUUUUGGUUAUUUUUGUAAUUACGAAUUUAAUAUUUCAGAUAUUAGUAUUUUAUUUUAAAUAGAACUCUAAAAGAGAAGAGAGAGAGAGUAUUUAAGGGAGGAAUCUAUUGUGAAAAAGGGGGAUUUUAGAUUGGAGAAAAAGAAAGAAACCCUAGAUCUAAAUUUUUCUCUUCUCUCUAUGAAGAACUAAACCUAUUUUUCUGGUUGAAGGUUAAUGAAGCUUUGAUUCAUCACUACUGUGAGAUCUUUCUUGUGCUUUAAUUGUUUUAUUACUUUUUGGGUAUUUGUUUAUUCUCUGAAUUAUUUUCAUGAUUAUGUUUGUUAAUGAGGUAAUUGGCCACUAUUUAAUUAUCAACUUAAUCUAUUGUCAAUUAAGGGAUUCAUCGUAUGAAGAUUUUAAUGUUUGUGACAAAUAACAUAGCAGUGAGUUGUGUUAUGAGAAUAAAUAAUCUAAUUUAAAUGAAUCAUCAUAUGUGUUGAUUAGGAUUUGGGUCUCUCUGGUUUUUCAUGUAUAAGAUAUCUAGAAGAUGAUAAUUUCACUCAAAAGAGUUUUAUUUAUUUCAUUAUUGAAAUUGUUUACAGAGGAAGGUUACAGAGAAUACAGAGGUAAUUGAAGGUUAGACAUAUGAUAUCUUUCCUUUCUUACAUGCUUUCAUUUAUAUAUCUCUCUAGAGAUAAGAUUAUCUCUUUUACAUAACACAUGUUCGAUCCUUGUGGUGGAAUCUCGAUUUCCUUUUGAUAAGGUGACCCCUUCUUCAUCAUUGAAGCCAGUAGUUGUCUUCUUUUCAUGUUGCCAGACAACCUUUAUCUUGUUCUGGUGAGCUUUUUCUUUUUUGGAAUCUCUCUUUUUGAAUUAUUGAUACUUUUUGGAUAACACCUUUUAUCUUUUUCAGUAGUCCCCGUCACAUGCCAAUUAUCAUAUCUUCAUCUAUAGACAUGUCUUCCCCACUAGAAUCUCCUUUUUUUUUUAAUCCUUCGUAGUAGUAGCCACAUGAUGACUGAUGCUUUAGCACCUUAUAUAUCUCGUGGUGUGUCAGCAAGGUGGAUUCCACGAGAUUUUCGAAUAUGCCCUUUUUCUUUUUUAAUAUGGUAUGUCUGGCUAAAAUAUUUUCUUUUCUACUCAUAGAAAAGAUUAUAUGCUCUUUUGUGGCUUCAUGGAGCCAUAUUUUCUCCUUGUUUAUCCUCUCAAGAGAUUCAUAGAGGACUUUCAUUUCUAUGGCCCUUUUGUUGGUGAGAGCUUUUGGCUCGAAUAAUUCAGGAUCAUAAUCAUUGUAGACUUGAUGUAAAUCAAUGGUUGGACUAACUUUUCUACUGCUAAUUCCAACUUGAAUCAAGUGCUGUGCUGGAUACCACUUGUUACCAUAGUAUUCAGGGCAAGCAGUGAGGAUCUUGACAAAAAUCACUUCUUUUGUUUUAGACAUGAUUUUGAGAUCAUUAAUAGCCUCUGCAACUUUUGUGGGAAGCUCUUUUAUUUCUCUGCAAUCAUCACUUACAUAAACAAGGUUAAGAAAACCAUAUUCAAACAUGUCUUUUAUUAGUUUUAGAUUAGCUCCUGGCACAACGUUUAUCAUUGGAUAUAACCCUAAAUGAUCUAGUAUAAUAGUCUGGCUAGGACGAAUCCCAUAGGCUAUUUUACCAAUUCUUUUAUAAUCAUAAGCGUAGUCGCUUCCUAUUGGUAUUUUAACCAUAGGGACAGAUUGUCUGCUUUUAUCAUAUUGGGGUCUUAGGCUUACUGAAGAUCCCUGAGAUUCUUUUUUCUUUGUACAUUGAUCUUUAAGAUCAUUGAUUGUGAGAUAUCUCUCUGAAUGUGUGACCAUUGAUCUUUAAAAUACCAAUAGGAAGAGUAGUCGCUUCCUAUUGGUAUUUUAACCAUAGGGACAGACUGUCCGCUUUUAUCAUAUUGGGGUCUUAGGCUUACUGAAGAUCCCUGAGAUUCGUCUUUCUUUGUACAUUGAUCUUUAAGAUCAUUGAUUGUGAGAUAUCUCUCUGGAUGUGUGACCUUUAAGCUCUGCGAAGAACUCGAGGCAUUUUGACCCUCAAUUUGAUCUUUAAAAUGGACAUUUUUUUAGCAUAUUGCUAAUAUAUUGUUAUGAAGUUUGGAGUUCUGGAUGAUCUUGCAAACUUUUGUUUGGGCAAAGUUUGCUCAAUUCUUCAUGGGCAUCAUCUAUCAUGGCAAGCCCAUCAUAAAUCAUACUAUUGCCUUUGAGAAGUUAUUCUUGACCUUCAGAGCACAUUAUUAUGCCCUUAAUUAUUUUGGAAAUGCUCUGCUCCAUUGUAUUCUUGGCAAAGAUUAGAUCCUUUAAUAUAUUCAAUUUCAAAAUCAUAUUCAGCAAAAAACUGCUGCCAUCUAAUUAAUGUUUUCUAUUGAGGAAGAUUAGGCAAUUUAUUGAAUAUAAAUCCUUUGACUUGAGUGUUAUCGGAUCUUACCUUAAAUUUCUUUGGUAACAAAAAGAAAGUAAAUUUAGCUAUUCCUUUUUUAAUAGCUAAUAAUUCAUUUUCAUUACUAUGAUAAUUCUUUUCUAUGGGUUUGAAGGUCCCGCUAGAAUAUCUACAAAUUUUUUCUUGAUAUGUUUUUAAGACUGCUCGCCAGUGAUUAUCUGAAGCAGUAGUUUCAAGAAUUAAAUUAUCACUAGAGGUAGGGAAUCCUAACCUUAAGUAAAAAGCCAAAAAAAUUGACUUAUUUUAUUAAGUCAAUUUUUGAAAAUAUAAAUAAUGCAAAAUAUAAGAAUAUCAUCUACAUGAUCUAUCUUAUUAUUUGAAAAUAUAAGAAUAUCAUCUACAUAAAUAAUGCAAAAUUCAUGAAAUUUUUUUAAGAUGCUAAAUAUCUUUUUAUUUAUUAUAGAAGUAAUUAAUGUAUCUUUAUGAGGUAAAAAGUAUCCAUCGAAUUUGGUAUAUUUAUUUAAUUCUUUGUAGUUAAUGACCAUAUGAGCUUUUCCUCGUUUAAUUUCAGCAUGAUUUCUAACUGAUUAGUAUUAAAAAUUGUUUAAUUAUCAAGCGAUAAUAUGUUAUUUUAUGCUUAUGUUAUAAUUUAUAUUUGUGUUUAUGUAAUAUAUUAUGAAUUAUGAAUUAUGUUUUAAAUAUAUUUAAUUUUGUGUAUUUUUAUGUGUUUAUUAGGAAAAUUAUUAAUUUCACGUACUUUGAGGCUCCAAACAGAUAAACGGAGGUCAAAUUUGGAUUCCGGAGGUCCGAAAACCUUAAGAUCAGUCAAGAUCGGCUUAAAAUUGGGCUUGUGUAAAAAAAGUUGACUUUUCCUGUUGACCGAGCACUGAUUGGAUGAUGAAAUGAGCUUACAAUAGAUAUGAGUGCAUGGGAUAACUGGCAAUCUUGACUAAAUCUCAACCGUUCAUGAUUCAAUGGCCAUGAUUGUGCCACGUGGCAAUGGUUGGUGAAGCAAGUUGGAGGAUCCGAAUCUUUGUAUUCGGGUCGACCCGAUCCACCCAUUAACCCGCCAAAUCUCAACCGUUCUUUGGGCAAAUCGGACGAGUCAAAUGAUGCCAUGUGUGAUGUUGACUUUUGAAGUUUGACCAGCCAUUGGAUCUUGAUCUAAGGGUUGUGAGGAGCACAUGCAUGAAGCCUAUGAUGGACCGCAAAGCACUGGAUUAUGAAUUUAUUUUUCUAUAAAUAGGGCCUCAUUUUUAUGUUUUAAUCAUCUCUCUACAACUCUCUUCUUCUCAAAUUCUCUCCAUCUCCUUGUAAUCUUGAUUUCCAUAUGUGUUUUUAAUAUUUUGUAUAAUUAUUUUCAUUAAUAAAAUUAGUUUUAUUUCCAAUUUUAGUUGUUUUUAUUUCUUUUAAUUAUAAGUAAUUCAAUUUUACUACUUCUUUUUAUUUUAAUUAUGCUUAACUAAAUAAUAUUAGUUAGGGGAAGGUGAAACUCUUAAGAAAUAAAUAUGAUUUAAUCAAAUUCUAUGUUUAAUUUUAUAAAUUAAAUUAUUUUCUAUUUAAUUUUAUACAUGUUUUAUAUUUUGAAAAUUUAAUUUAUUGUAGACAAACAAAUGAAUUUGGCACAAUAAAUUCUUAAGAUCUUAAUAUAAGGCAUGGUGAAAUGGUAUUUUGACUUAUUGUAGACAAAUUAAAUUUUGGCACAAUAAAUACUUAAUCCAUCAUAAAAUUAAAGGGAAAAUAAUAAUAAUUUGUAUAAUUAAUCUUUUGAGUAAUAAAUCUAAAACAAAUUGGCAAAAAGAAUUUAUUAAGUUUUAUUUAUUUCUAAGAGUGGAUCCAUAACCCUAACUAGUUCAAUUCCAUAGUUUCAUUUAAAUUAAGUUGUUUAUAUUCAAGUUUUAAUUUCAAUUUUUAGAUAAAAUAAAAUAAACUAAUUAAAUCUUUUCUCUGUGGAUCGACCUCGGACUCACCGAGUUAUAAUACAACAAGACACUCUUAUACUUGGGAGUUAAAAUUUACUUUUAAGUUGUGUCAAGUUUUUGGCGCCGUUGCCGGGGAAAAGUUUUUUAUUUGGUUUGUUUUUCCGUUUUUUAUUUUUCUCUUAUAUGUAAAACUUCGUUUGCCCCCUUUUCCUUUUCUUAAAUUCUCCUUAGUCCCCAUGUCUUUCAUAUUUCUCGUUUCACCCCAACAAUUUCCUUUUCUAGCCCAAUCUUCUGGUAAUUACGUUCGGACCCCAACAUCUUUCAACUGUUUCACUUUCAUCCCAAAUUACUAAUUCUAAACUUCUAAAAAUUACAUUUUGACCAUAAAAUUAAAAAUAAUUUGCAAUAGAAUCCCUAGACGAAAUUCCUCAACAUAAUCAAGACUUGGACAUAUUUGGACAUACUUUGGACAUAUUUGGACAUAUUUGGACUUAUUUUGGACCAAACUAACUUUAACUACUAACUCUAAUUACUAACUCUUAACUUACUAACUGCUAACUGCUAACUGCUAACUUUUAUUUAAUUUCAGUUAUUUAAUUUUCUGCAUUUAUUUUAUUUCGUAUUUAUUUAUUUGUUUUUGCUUUAUUGGUGGGUUUAACCACCAAACUAACUACUAACUCUUAACUUUUAUUUUCAGUUAUUUAAUUUUCAGUAUUUAUUUAAUUUUGUAUUUUUUAUUUUUUUUAAUUGGUGGGUUCAACCACCAUUUUUUUUUAUUUUGCAUUUAUUUAUUUAUUUAUUUUUUACUUUGUUGGUGGGUUCAACCAUCAAAAUUGUUAUUUAAUUUUCUUUUGUAUACUUAUAUUAUUUAUUUAUUUAUUUUUUUAUUUUAUUUUGUUAUCAAUUUGUGUAAAUAUUAUCUUUAUAACAUAACCAUUGCAUGAGACGUUGGUCUCGAUCUUCAAGUGGCAGGUUAAUUCGUAGAUCUCAAUCUCCACCACCAAUCAUGGAUGAGAAUGAAGGCGAAAACGUUUUGGGCGAACUUAAUCCUCAAAUUGAUCAGGGAGACAACCAAUCUCAACAUGGGCAUGAUCAGAAUCAACCAAGGACUCUGAGAGACUACAUGAAUCCAACCAGAACCGGAGCACCGUCGUGUAUAGUAUUUCCUCCAGAAGCAUCUCGAUUCAACUUUAAACCAGGUAUUAUCCAACUUUUACCAACAUUUCAUGGUUUAGAAUCUGAGAAUCCGUACUUGCAUCUAAGAGAUUUUGAGGAAGUUUGUAAUACAUACACGGACCAAAAUUGUAGCAUGAACAUAAUUAGAUUAAAGCUUUUUCCUUUUUCAUUAAAAGAUAAAGCUAAAACUUGGCUACAAAACCUUAGAUCUGGAUCAGUAAGAACUUGGAAUAACAUGCAAGAACAGUUUUUUGAAAAAAUUCUUUCCACCUCAUAGAACAAAUUCUUUUAAAAGGCAAAUCACUUCUUUCACUCAAAAAAAUGGAGAAACAUUAUACCAAUGUUGGGAUAGGUUUACAGAGUUGCUUAACAUAUGCCCACAUCAUGGUUUUGAAACUUGGCGAUUGGUCACUUAUUUCUACGAGGGCUUAAUACCCCAAAGUAGACAGGUUGUUGAAAUGAUGUGUAAUGGUGAAUUUAGGGAUAAAAAUCCUGAAGAUGCACUAGAUUACCUUGACCAAUUAGCUGAAAAUGCACAACAUUGGGAUACUGUUGGAACUUUUGAAUUGACAAAUAAGCAACAAUCAUCUCCAUCUAGUGGAGGAAUCCAUAACCUUAGGGAAGAUCAUGAUUUACAAGCAAAAUUUGCAUCCCUAGUUAGGAAAGUUGAAGCUUUGGAGCAUAAAAAGAGUGAUCAAGUAAAAUCUGUUCAAGAAAUUGCAUGUAACAUAUGUAAUUCGAAUGAUCAUUUCACUCAAGAGUGUCCCACUUUGCCUGCACUUAAAGAAUGUCUAAAUGAUCAAGCUAAUGUCAUUAACACUUUCAAUAAACCAAACCCAUAUUCACAGACUUAUAAUCCUGGUUGGAGAAAUCAUCCGAAUUUCAGUUGGAGGAAUAAUAAUAAUGCACAAUCUUCACAAGCACCACCUCCACAAAAUUUUCAAAAUCCUCAGCCUUAUGCACCAUAUGUUCCACCACCCUGGAAAAAUCUGGAAGACACAAUGCAUUCAUUCAUCAGAAAGCAAGAUGUUAUUAACAAUCAAAAUGCACAAAAUUUUUCUGAUUUGAAAGAUACUCUUGCUAAAAUUGCUUCUGCACUCACCAUUCAAGAAAAAGGAAAAUUUCCAGCCCAACCACAACCAAAUCCUAAAAUUCAACAAAAUCCACCCACAGACCAAGUCAAGUCAGUUAUAACUCUUCGUAGUGGUAAGGUUGUUGAUAGACCUAUGCCUGAACCUUAUGAAAAUGAUGAAAAUUCAAAGGGUAAGGAAGGACUAAAUGAACUUACACCUAGUGAAGAAAUAACUAGUGUUCCACCUGAACCACCAUUUCCGCAUGCAUUGAAUAAACCAAAGAAAUCAAACCACUCUUCUGAAAUUUAUGAAAUCUUUAAGCAAGUGAAAGUUAACAUUCCUCUAUUAGAUGCAAUCAAGCAGGUUCCUUUAUAUGCCAAAUUUUUAAAGGACUUGUGCACUGUUAAGAGGAAAUUGAAGGUAAGAAAGAGUGCUUUCAUGGCCGAACAGGUAAGUACAAUUCUGUCUACUAAUAAUAAGUUGAAAUAUAAAGAUCCUGGUUGUCCUACCAUUUCUUGUAUUAUUGGUAACCACAGAAUUGAGCAUGCUUUACUAGAUCUUGGUGCUAGUGUUAAUUUGCUUCCAUAUUCAGUUUAUCUUCAACUUAAUCUUGGUGAGUUAAAAUCAACUUCAACUACACUUUUGCUUGUCGAUAGAUCAGUUAAAGUACCAAAAGGAAUAGUGGAAGAUGUUUUAGUACAAGUUGAUAAAUUUAUUUAUCCUGUGGAUUUUAUUGUCUUGGAAACUGAACCUGUUGUGAAUAAUUACAAACCAAUUCCUGUAAUUUUAGGUCGACCAUUUUUAGCAACUGCUAAUGCUUUGAUUAAUUGUAGGAAUGGUUUAAUGAAUUUAUCCUUUGGGAAUAUGACUUUGGAAUUGAAUGUUUUCAACAUGUGCAGGCAACCUAAUGAAGAAAAUGAGAAUGAAGAUGAUACUGAUGAACAAAAGGAAUUGUUUGAAUCUUGUAUCGAGGAAAAUAUUCAAAAAGGGGAUUUUUCUGAACUUUCAAAUGUUUGUUUAGUUAAUUCAAUUGAGUCAAAUAAGCAACUUGAACUUGAUAUUUCUAAUAUAAAUUCGUUGCUUGAUUCUGUGCAGACUUCACAAAAUUAUGAUGACGAGCCAAAAUUUGAGGAGCUUGGAAGUAUUGAAAAGACAGAACAACAAGAAGCACCUAAAAUGGAAUUGAAACCUUUGCCUGAAGGAUUGAAAUAUGCUUUUCUUGGAGAAGAACAAACUUAUCCUGUUGUGAUUUCUUCUACUUUAACAAGCGACCAAGAAGGUAAGUUACUUACUGUUCUUAAAAAGCAUAAAAAUGCAAUAGGAUGGACUUUAAAUGACAUUAAAGGCAUUAAUCCCUUAAUCUGCACACAUAGAAUUAAUUUGGAAGAAAAUGCUAAAAUAUGUCAACAACCUCAAAGAAGAUUAAACCCACACAUGAAAGAGGUAGUCAAAACAGAAGUCCUUAAAUUACUUGAUGUGGGAAUUAUCUACCCUGUUUCUGAUAGUAAGUGGGUAAGUCCUACACAAGUAGUGCCUAAAAAAUCUGAAAUCACUGUUGUUAAAAAUGAAAAAGGUGAAUUAAUUCCAACACGAAUUACAUCUAGUUGACGCAUGUGCAUUGAUUAUAGAAAAUUAAAUGAAGCCACUAGAAAAGAUCAUUUUCCAUUACCAUUCCUUGACCAAAUCUUAGAAAGAGUAGCAGGACAUCCCUACUACUGUUUUUUAGAUGGAUAUUCAGGUUAUUAUCAAAUUCCUAUAGCACUUGAGGACCAAGAAAAGACCACAUUCACAUGUCCUUUUGGAACAUUUGCAUUUAAAAGAAUGCCAUUCGGGCUUUGUAAUGCUCCUGCAACAUUUCAAAGAUGUAUGUUAAGCAUUUUUUGUGAUAUGGUUGAACAUUGUUUAGAGGUCUUUAUGGAUGAUUUGACUGUGUUUGGGAAUUCUUUUGAUGAUUGCCUUGAUAAUUUGGAGAAAGUUUUAAAAAGAUGUGUUGAAAAAGAACUCGUGUUGAAUUGGGAAAAAUGUCACUACAUGGUUACUUCUGGAAUUGUUUUGGGUCAUGUUGUUUCUAUUAAAGGAAUUGAAGUUGACAAAGCAAAAAUCGAAGUCAUAUCUAAAUUGCCACAACCAAAAACAGUUAGAGAUGUGCGAUCCUUUUUAGGACAUGCAGGAUUUUAUAGGAGGUUUAUAAAAAACUUUAGUGCCAUAUCUAAACCACUUUGUAACCUCUUAUUAAAAGAUGCACCGUUUGAAUGGAAUGAUGAUUGCCAAAAAUCUUUUGAAAAAAUAAUUUGUCUUUUAACAUCUGCACCUAUUAUGCAAUCUCCUGAUUGGUCUUUGCCAUUUGAAUUAAUGUGUGAUGCAAGUGAUUUUGCUGUUGGUGCUGUUUUAGGACAAAGAAGGGAUGGUAAGCCUUUUGUGAUUUAUUAUGCGAGUAAGACUUUAGAUAGUGCUCAAAUGAAUUAUUCUACAACUGAAAAAGAAUUACUUGCUGUGGUAUUUGCAUUAAACAAAUUCCGUUCAUAUUUGCUUGGCUCCAAAUCUGUUGUGUUUACUGACCACGCUGCUGUGAGAUAUUUGAUGAGUAAACAGGAUGCCAAACCGAGGAUAAUUCGUUGGAUUUUGUUACUACAAGAAUUUGACCUUACCAUCAAAGAUAAAAAGGGUGCUGAAAAUGUUGUUGCGGAUCAUCUAUCAAGACUCACAUCCGAAUUCUGCAAUGAUAUAACACCCAUAAAUGAUUCUUUCCCUGAUGAAUUUUUAUUUUCUGUUACUUCAAUGCCAUGGUAUGCUAACAUUGUUAAUUUCCUUGUUACAGGUAAAAUGCCUUUGCAAUGGAAUGCUCAAGAGAAGAAGAAAUUUUUUGUUGAAGUAAAGAAAUUUUAUUGGGAUGACCCUUAUUUGUUCAAAUAUUGCCCAGAUCAAAUUUUUCGGCGAUGUAUUCCUCAUAAUGAGGUAAGUAGUGUCAUUAAUUUUUGUCAUUCUGAAGCAUGUGGUGGUCAUUUUUCUUCAAGAAAAACUAUUGCUAAAAUUUUACAGUGUGGAUUUUAUUGGCCUACCAUGUUUAAAGACACAUAUGAAUUCUGCAAAAGUUGUGAAAAAUGUCAAAAAUUGGGAUCAAUUACAAAAAGAAACAUGAUGCCCUUAAAUCCCAUACUUGAAAUUGAAAUAUUUGACUGUUGGGGAAUUGAUUUCAUGGGUCCAUUUCCAUCAUCUUUUGGAUUUGUGUAUAUAUUAGUUGCAGUUGAUUAUGUCUCAAAAUGGAUUGAAGCAAUUUCUUGUCGAAAUAAUGACAGUAAAACUGUGAUUAAAUUUUUAAGAGAAAACAUUUUAAGUCGAUUUGGAAUCCCUCGAGCCAUUAUCAGUGAUGGAGGUAAGCAUUUUUGUAAUAAGUCAUUUGAGUCUUUAAUGAAGAAAUAUGGAAUUACACAUAAAAUUGCUACCCCUUAUCAUCCUCAAACAAAUGGUCAAGUUGAAUUAGCAAAUAGGGAGAUAAAACAAAUUUUGGAAAAAACGGUUAACCCAAACCGAAAAGAUUGGUCUCUUAGACUUAAUGAUGCACUUUGGGCUUACCGCACUGCAUUUAAAACAUCAUUAGGAAUGUCACCCUAUCGGUUAAUUUAUGGUAAACCUUGUCAUUUACCUGUUGAACUUGAACAUAAAUCACUUUGGGCUAUUAAAGCUUUUAAUUCAAAUUUGGAUGAUGCUGGUAAUGUGCGAAAAUUGCAAUUGAAUGAACUUGAGGAAUUAAGGAAUGAUGCAUAUGAAAAUUCAAGAAUUAUUAAGGCAAGAACAAAAGAAGAUUAAACCCACACAUGAAAGAGGUAGUCAAAACAGAAGUCCUUAAAUUACUUGAUGUGGGAAUUAUCUACCCUAUUUCUGAUAGUAAGUGGGUAAGUCCUACACAAGUAGUGCCUAAAAAAUCUGAAAUCACUGUUGUUAAAAAUGAAAAAGGUGAAUUAAUUCCAACACGAAUUACAUCUAGUUGACGCAUGUGCAUUGAUUAUAGAAAAUUAAAUGAAGCCACUAGAAAAGAUCAUUUUCCAUUACCAUUCCUUGACCAAAUCUUAGAAAGAGUAGCAGGACAUCCCUACUACUGUUUUUUAGAUGGAUAUUCAGGUUAUUAUCAAAUUCCUAUAGCACUUGAGGACCAAGAAAAGACCACAUUCACAUGUCCUUUUGGAACAUUUGCAUUUAAAAGAAUGCCAUUCGGGCUUUGUAAUGCUCCUGCAACAUUUCAAAGAUGUAUGUUAAGCAUUUUUUGUGAUAUGGUUGAACAUUGUUUAGAGGUCUUUAUGGAUGAUUUGACUGUGUUUGGGAAUUCUUUUGAUGAUUGCCUUGAUAAUUUGGAGAAAGUUUUAAAAAGAUGUGUUGAAAAAGAACUCGUGUUGAAUUGGGAAAAAUGUCACUACAUGGUUACUUCUGGAAUUGUUUUGGGUCAUGUUGUUUCUAUUAAAGGAAUUGAAGUUGACAAAGCAAAAAUCGAAGUCAUAUCUAAAUUGCCACAACCAAAAACGGUUAGAGAUGUGCGAUCCUUUUUAGGACAUGCAGGAUUUUAUAGGAGGUUUAUAAAAAACUUUAGUGCCAUAUCUAAACCACUUUGUAACCUCUUAUUAAAAGAUGCACCGUUUGAAUGGAAUGAUGAUUGCCAAAAAUCUUUUGAAAAAAUAAUUUGUCUUUUAACAUCUGCACCUAUUAUGCAAUCUCCUGAUUGGUCUUUGCCAUUUGAAUUAAUGUGUGAUGCAAGUGAUUUUGCUGUUGGUGCUGUUUUAGGACAAAGAAGGGAUGGUAAGCCUUUUGUGAUUUAUUAUGCGAGUAAGACUUUAGAUAGUGCUCAAAUGAAUUAUUCUACAACUGAAAAAGAAUUACUUGCUGUGGUAUUUGCAUUAAACAAAUUCCGUUCAUAUUUGCUUGGCUCCAAAUCUGUUGUGUUUACUGACCACGCUGCUGUGAGAUAUUUGAUGAGUAAACAGGAUGCCAAACCGAGGAUAAUUCGUUGGAUUUUGUUACUACAAGAAUUUGACCUUACCAUCAAAGAUAAAAAGGGUGCUGAAAAUGUUGUUGCGGAUCAUCUAUCAAGACUCACAUCCGAAUUCUGCAAUGAUAUAACACCCAUAAAUGAUUCUUUCCCUGAUGAAUUUUUAUUUUCUGUUACUUCAAUGCCAUGGUAUGCUAACAUUGUUAAUUUCCUUGUUACAGGUAAAAUGCCUUUGCAAUGGAAUGCUCAAGAGAAGAAGAAAUUUUUUGUUGAAGUAAAGAAAUUUUAUUGGGAUGACCCUUAUUUGUUCAAAUAUUGCCCAGAUCAAAUUUUUCGGCGAUGUAUUCCUCAUAAUGAGGUAAGUAGUGUCAUUAAUUUUUGUCAUUCUGAAGCAUGUGGUGGUCAUUUUUCUUCAAGAAAAACUAUUGCUAAAAUUUUACAGUGUGGAUUUUAUUGGCCUACCAUGUUUAAAGACACAUAUGAAUUCUGCAAAAGUUGUGAAAAAUGUCAAAAAUUGGGAUCAAUUACAAAAAGAAACAUGAUGCCCUUAAAUCCCAUACUUGAAAUUGAAAUAUUUGACUGUUGGGGAAUUGAUUUCAUGGGUCCAUUUCCAUCAUCUUUUGGAUUUGUGUAUAUAUUAGUUGCAGUUGAUUAUGUCUCAAAAUGGAUUGAAGCAAUUUCUUGUCGAAAUAAUGACAGUAAAACUGUGAUUAAAUUUUUAAGAGAAAACAUUUUAAGUCGAUUUGGAAUCCCUCGAGCCAUUAUCAGUGAUGGAGGUAAGCAUUUUUGUAAUAAGUCAUUUGAGUCUUUAAUGAAGAAAUAUGGAAUUACACAUAAAAUUGCUACCCCUUAUCAUCCUCAAACAAAUGGUCAAGUUGAAUUAGCAAAUAGGGAGAUAAAACAAAUUUUGGAAAAAACGGUUAACCCAAACCGAAAAGAUUGGUCUCUUAGACUUAAUGAUGCACUUUGGGCUUACCGCACUGCAUUUAAAACAUCAUUAGGAAUGUCACCCUAUCGGUUAAUUUAUGGUAAACCUUGUCAUUUACCUGUUGAACUUGAACAUAAAUCACUUUGGGCUAUUAAAGCUUUUAAUUCAAAUUUGGAUGAUGCUGGUAAUGUGCGAAAAUUGCAAUUGAAUGAACUUGAGGAAUUAAGGAAUGAUGCAUAUGAAAAUUCAAGAAUUAUUAAGGCAAGAACAAAAGCAUUUCAUGAUAAAAGAAUUUUUCGAAAAACAUUUGAGAUUGGUCAAAAAGUGUUGCUUUAUAAUUCUCGUCUUCAUUUAUUUCCAGGAAAGUUAAAGUCAAAAUAGAGUGGCCCAUUUGUUGUAAAAAAUGUAUAUUCAUAUGGGGCCAUAGAAAUUGAGAAUCCAAAUAACGGUGUCACAUUUAAAGUUAAUGGUCAAAGAUUAAAACCAUAUCUGGAACAUCACCCACGUGACGAGGACACCGAAAUUAAUUUGGAUGACCCACCAGUUCUUGAUUAAGUCUUUAAUGAUUUUUUUUUUUUUUACUAUUAUUUUACCGUUUCAUUGUUUGAUUUUUUUUCUUUAGAUUGAUGCACUGUACAUAGUUUUUUUUUAACAUUGUUUUUCUUGUGUAAGCGUGUUUGUUUGACAGUUGUACAUUCUCUCAUCAAUUUUCAUUUUACAUCAUGAGCACCUCAAUGAGAAAAUACCUAUUCGCACAUCUUAAAAGAUUUCGGCGUAUAAAAUUUCACUUAAGAGGCCUAAUACAAAGCUGUAAAUCACAUCCACUUUGGGAUCUGCAACCACCAGAAUUCGUGUCCUAUGUUGAGGAUCUAGAAGGACAACUCAGAACAGUAGAGAGUGGCAUAUAUGAAUUUCAAAUAGAGCUUGAGGUUAACUCAAUGAGAGGACGAAUGUAAGUUCAUUUUCCUUUUAUAUUGUGUGCUUUUUUUUUGCUCGCUUUCACGCUUGAUUUGAUUUUGCAGAUUUGAUUUUGGUGUGUUUUGAUUUAUUUUCCCGUAUAAAUGGCGGAUAACGGUACUCCGUGACUUCUUAAGUCGGUAUCUUCAGUUUCCCACAAUAACUGAAACCCCAAAAUCAAACAUGGAAGAAAUACAACAUAAACUCCAUAAGCAUUUUCCCUCUCUCCCUCAGAAUGCCCUCAGGAAAAUUUACAAAGCUCGUUGUGAACGACUGCGUUUGUUAAUGAUCAAUGGCAUUCUUUCUGACAUUCGUUGGUUAAUUGAAGCAAAGGUCUGAUUAGCAGGUGAGUUUUCUAGUCAAUUUGUUUCUUACAUGCCUGGUUUUGGUAAAAGUACGUUUGCUAAGAAAAGGAGAGCUAAACGACUUGGCUCAAAAUGUCAUAACUGUGUAAGACUUGGUUGCAAACGACCGGAUUGUAAAUCUUUAGGAAUGGUUUCUGAUACUCGUGAAGAUAAAAUUAAAUUCGUUAAAGAUGGCAUGAGUAAAGAAUCGUUGGAUGAUAUCUUACGAUCUCUUGAGACGCAUCGAAGCGGAAUUGUGCAAUGUGAGAUUUACAAUUUGUGGAUACUAUUCCAAAAACAAAGUGCACAGUUAAGUCUUGGGAAUCUGACUCAAAAAGACCCUGUUUGCCAGUUUAUAAGAAAACUGGAUGGGAAGCCGAUCCUCGACCCAUAGAGGGCGUUCAAGCCGUUACUGGACGUAAAACCAGAGGAAGAUGUGAGCCACAAUCACAACUACUAGUAAAUAUCCUUUCACUUCACUGUUAUUUUACUUUACUGUUAUUUUAUCAUUUGAAUUAUUGCAUUUAGCGAUGUGAUUUUGUAUUUAUUUGGUUUCUUUUACUGUUUGCUUUUUCUAAUCAUUACUUUUUUUUUUACUAUUUGUUUUUGAAUUAUUGAGCCACGAGCUUUCCUCGUCAUUUGACAAAUAUGCCAACCCAUUUACAGCUGUUUCUCUUUAUUUAUGUCACCAAGAUCUUUAAAUAUGAGCUCGUUUUUCAAACACUCACAACUUGUUUUUGAAAAAUUAGUCCAAUGGCAGCAUCUUCAAGUAAACAAUUCAAAAAUAUUUGUGUGCUUUCUGGGUUUCACUAUGGAAAGUACAAAGAGUUCGUUCAGGUAGCUGUAGAUCUUGGUCGUGUCAUAGCAGAGAGGAAACUGCAUCUUGUAUAUGGAGGAGGUGAACGAGGGUUAUCAAGACUUGUCUCAGAAGCUGUUUUUACCAGAGGAAGCCAAGUACUCGGCAUUAUCCCAAAACCCAUGAAACCGCUAGUGUGCAUGUCUGGCCCACCAAUUGGAGAAGAAUUAGUGGUAUCAAGUAUGCAAGAGAGAAUAUCUGAAAUGAUGAAUCAUGCUGAUGCUUUUAUUUUCUUGCCAGGAGAUCUUGCAACUUUUGAGGCACUAAUUACAUUUGCAUCUUGGGCCCACUUGAACAUUCAUCAAAAGCCCAUCGGUUUGUUAAAUGUUAAUAAUUUUUAUGACGGCUUGCUAACUUUUAUUAAUCAUGCAAUAAAGAAUCAUUUUGUUCCACAUUCUGUAAAAAAACUCUUUAUCUCUGCUUCUACUGCUAAUGAGUUACUUGAUCUUUUACAAGCUUAUACACCAGAGCCAGAUCCACAGACUGUUGCACUGAAUUGGUCGACUAAUGAUGGUAACGGUAACAGUAGCAGUAAUAAGAAGUGCGAUUUAGAUUUAACUCUCCGUUUGUAAAUAUUUGCUGUUGUAGUGUUCAUGUGAUGUCUUCUACACUCUUUCUAUUUCCUUUUAAAACAUUGAGGACAAUGUCUUUUUCAGGUUGGGGGGAGGGAAUAGUUGAUAAUUGUGGAAUGUCUUAGUCCUGGUUAUGUGUUUACAAAAAAAAAAAAAAAAAAAACAAUAACAAAAUUUUUUUUUUCUGUAAAGACUAACUUAGGACAAAUUUGAGUCGAAGAUGGCAGGAUAUAGAGAAUGUAGUCUCUCUAGAAACGCAUCUUCUUAAUCUUAAGGGUGUUGUUAAAAAAAAAAAAAAAUUGACUUUUUCUUCAUCUUUGUUAUCUACUUUUAAGCUUCUGCAUCAAGUUAAGGUGAGAUCUCCUAUUCUUCUUCUUUUAUUAUUCUCUUUUAUUUUUAUUUAUUAUUAUUAUUAUUUUUUUGCAUAUCUGUAAAAUUAUAAAAUGUUAGGAUAAUGUUUAGAUUAGGUUGUGGGGUGGGGAUAAUUGACGUAUGUUUUAAAUAUGUAUGUUGUUUUUUUCUCUUUUCUCUUUUCUUUUCUUUUCUUUGCCAAAAAAAAAAAAAAAUUGUUUUUUGUCUAGGAUGGCCGUGUAAAGAGUCACGACUUUUGAGACGCAUCCUAAUAGUCUUGUUGUAUUAUAUUUUGAUUUUGAGAUUCAUGGUAAGUUGUUUUUGUUCCCUUUUCUUUGAAUUACUCAAAUUUGUGAACUCUCCACUUGGUUAUUAAGUUAUUUAAUUGUUUACUCAUUUAACAGGUAUUAUUGAAUCAUUCUUCACACACACAUUAUGACACAUACUAGUGGGUUGUAAGUUAAAAUUUUACAGCAUUUAGUUCUUUUGAUUUAUUAGGAAAAGUAUCUAAGGUAGUAGAAAGUGUAUAGUUCCAAAAAAAAAAAAAAAAGUAGAAAAAAAAUUGUUUUUAAUUUUUCUAUAUCUAGAACCCGAGUAAUUAAGUCCGUAGGGGUGUUUCAACACCUAGUGCCCUAAGGUCAACUGGUCUGGGAGUCACUGGCCUAAAGCUCACUACAUGGGUAAUAGAUAUAUUGUUUGUUUAUUAGAAACCCGAGUAAUUAAGUCCGUAGGGGUGCUUUAACACCUAGUGCCCUAAGGGCAACUGGUCUGGGAGUCACUGACCCAAAGCUCGCUACACGGGUUAGAAAUGUAAUAUAUAAAAAAAAAAUGUGUGAAUAAUCUAUUGCCUAAAGAUAUAAUUUCUAAUGAAUUUUAGAACGAAAAUGUUGUUUUUCUUUUAAUGAAGCCCCAUAAGUAUUGUGUUAAUUACUUGAGCACAAAAGAAGGUUUGAUGAUAUUCUGGAUAAUGAGUGAACAUCAAUGUGGUAAAGGAAUUUGGGAGAGUUCAUUUAUUUGGUAAUUUAGAGGAUAGAUGAACAACUAUUAACUUGCAUGUGAAUUUUAUAAAUCUUAAUAUAACGCUUUAAUUGCUAGAGGGCUAGCAAUAAGCUGGUUGGGGGGUGUGAUUAGUAUUAAAAAUUGUUUAAUUAUCAAGCGAUAAUAUGUUAUUUUAUGCUUAUGUUAUAAUUUAUAUUUGUGUUUAUGUAAUAUAUUAUGAAUUAUUAAUUAUGUUUUAAAUAUAUUUAAUUUUGUGUAUUUUUAUGUGUUUAUUAGGAAAAUUAUUAAUUUCACGUACUUCGAGGCUCCAAACAGAUAAACGGAGGUCAAAUUUGGAUUCCGGAGGUCCGAAAACCUUAAGAUCAGUCAAGAUCGGCUUAAAAUUGGGCUUGUGUAAAAAAAGUUGACUUUUCCUGUUGACCGAGCACUGAUUGGAUGAUGAAAUGAGCUUACAAUAGAUAUGAGUGCAUGGGAUAACUGGCAAUCUUGACUAAAUCUCAACCGUUCAUGAUUCAAUGGCCAUGAUUGUGCCACGUGGCAAUGGUUGGUGAAGCAAGUUGGAGGAUCCGAAUCUUUGUAUUCGGGUCGACCCGAUCCACCCAUUAACCCGCCAAAUCUCAACCGUUCUUUGGGCAAAUCGGACGAGUCAAAUGAUGCCAUGUGUGAUGUUGACUUUUGAAGUUUGACCAGCCAUUGGAUCUUGAUCUAAGGGUUGUGAGGAGCACAUGCAUGAAGCCUAUGAUGGACCGCAAAGCACUGGAUUAUGAAUUUAUUUUUCUAUAAAUAGGGCCUCAUUUUUAUGUUUUAAUCAUCUCUCUACAACUCUCUUCUUCUCAAAUUCUCUCCAUCUCCUUGUAAUCUUGAUUUCCAGGUGUGUUUUUAAUAUUUUGUAUAAUUAUUUUCAUUAAUAAAAUUAGUUUUAUUUCCAAUUUUAGUUGUUUUUAUUUCUUUUAAUUAUAAGUAAUUCAAUUUUACUACUUCUUUUUAUUUUAAUUAUGCUUAACUAAAUAAUAUUAGUUAGGGGAAGGUGAAACUCUUAAGAAAUAAAUAUGAUUUAAUCAAAUUCUAUGUUUAAUUUUAUAAAUUAAUUUAUUUUCUAUUUAAUUUUAUACAUGUUUUAUAUUUUGAAAAUUUGAUUUAUUGUAGACAAACAAAUGAAUUUGGCACAAUAAAUUCUUAAGAUCUUAAUAUAAGGCAUGGUGAAAUGGUAUUUUGACUUAUUGUAGACAAAUUAAAUUUUGGCACAAUAAAUACUUAAUCCAUCAUAAAAUUAAAGGGAAAAUAAUAAUAAUUUGUAUAAUUAAUCUUUUGAGUAAUAAAUCUAAAACAAAUUGGCAAAAAGAAUUUAUUAAGUUUUAUUUAUUUCUAAGAGUGGAUCCAUAACCCUAACUAGUUCAAUUCCAUAGUUUCAUUUAAAUUAAGUUGUUUAUAUUCAAGUUUUAAUUUCAAUUUUUAGAUAAAAUAAAAUAAACUAAUUAAAUCUUUUCUCUGUGGAUCGACCUCGGACUCACCGAGUUAUAAUACAACAAGACACUCUUAUACUUGGGAGUUAAAAUUUACUUUUAAGUUGUGUCACUAACUAUAAAGGCUGGGUUACUUUGAGGACUUUUAGAUUCUCCAAAAUUUUUAUCAAGUUUUUCUAUUUUUUUUUUCAUAAUCUGAUAUAAUUUGAUUGAUUUUUAUAUUGUAUUCACCACGCUGGCUGCUUCGAAAAUGUAAUUUUCGAGUUGUUUACCUAAUAAGAUUAUAAAUUCUUGGUGUGGUGAUGGAAUGAUUACAUGGUGUUGUAAGAGUAAUUCUUUCGUUAGUCAUUAUAUAAAUGAACUGACAAAGGAAAUUGACUUCUAAAAGUAUAUAUGCUCCUAUAUGAUUAUAAGACCAUAAUAUAUGGAUACUUAAAAUGUAAUCUUCGAUUUGGAUUAAAGUUUUUAUCCUACAUGUUCCUAAAAUGAUUUGUUCACCAUUUAUUCCUUGUCCUGUUAAGGGUUUAUAAUCUUUCGAAUAUGAUUUUGGAUAAAUCCUUAAAUUAGGUAAGCUAACUCCUGAACCAGUGUCUAUUAAAGCAUGAAACCAUUCUGGCUUAUGCUUAUAAUAUGGUUUAAUCACUUUUAUAUAAACUAUAAAAAGAUUAGACAUAUCUUGAUAUGGUUUGCUUAAUUCCUUCAACUGUUAAGCUUAUUUUUCUAUCUCCUAUAGAAUAAGGAGUAAAAUUCUCAAGAAAGUUCAUCCCUAAUAAUAAAGGACUUAUUUAUGUUUCAUAAUCUGGUUCUAUGAAAAAAGAAAAGAUGAAUUCUAUCCCUUUUAUUCUUAAUAGUAUUUCACUAUAUUGACUUAAUGUCUUUCUUUCUCCAUUAAAUCCUACAUAAGUAUGAGGCUCAAUUAAAAUUUUUCUUUCUAAAUAUUUAAUAAUUUUAGAAUCUACAUAAGAUUUUGCAGCUCCUGUAUCAAGGAUAGCAAAAGUCUCGUGCCAUGAUUUUCCAUUAUUAUAUUCAAUCUUAAUUUUUAGAUUUUGAUUAUCCAGUAUUGCUAAAUUUACUGGACUAUUUGUCCUUUCUCGAAAAUGAGCUCUUAUCAUGACUUGAAUUCCUCCGAUAUGAACAUAUCCAAUUUUAAGUCUAUCACUAGAUUUUAUCUCAUUUAUCUUAUCUUUUAUAUCAGUUUUUAAUAAUAAUGGUAUAUUUGUAUUUCCUCUAGCAUACCUAAUUUCAAUAGGUUCUUCUCUUACAGUAGCACUAAGAUACAUUAUAUUUUUUCUUUUAAUCAUGUUAGCAAUGCCUUGUGCUAACUUAUUAACCGAAGUCAUAGAUGAUUCCAAUCCUUUUUUAUUAUUCUUGAGAUAUUGCUUUUUAUCAAAGAUUAAUUCUCUAUUAAAAGAACCUUGUUCUUCUAACUCUUCAUCUUGAUAUAAAUCUUUAUUUUCUAAUUCUUCUAUACUCAUUCUGAAUCAGAUUCUAAAUCAGAACUUCUCAAAGUUUCAUUAGAAAGAUAAUAUAUGCUAUCAUUUUCACUAAUAUCUUUGCUAUCGGUGAUUAAUUCUAAAUCAUUGAAAUCUUCAAAUAUUUUUAUAUUUGCUUUCUUCGUUUUAGGACAUUCAUUUGCAUAAUGUUCUUCUUCAUUACAUAACUAGCACUUGCAUUUUUUAGGUGCAUUGGUUUUGGAUCUUCUUUUAAAUUUAUUUUUCUUGUAGAAUUUCUUUUUAUAUUUAUUUUUCUUGUAAUAUUUCCUGUUGGCUUUAAAGAAUUUCUUCUUUUUGAAUUUUUUUUCUUGUGUUUAUAGAUUUUAUCUGAACAUCCAAAUCUUGGCGGAUCUUCUAAUUUAGAACAACAUAAUUCUCGAUUUUGCCUUUUCAUAAGUCUUCUAUCUCUUAUUUCAGAACACUAUUCAUUUAUUCUAUUUUGAGCAAAUCUAAUCCUAUUUCGUAAUGUAUAAGUUUCUGUAGUAUCUUUGUAUUCUUUGUUAUAUUCCAACAUAAUCCUUCUACCCCAUGGGUCUGGUAUCUUUACAAAAUAUAGAUCAUGGUAAUAGCAUAUGUUAUCCUCAUCUUUAUCAAAUUCACAUUUAUAAUAUAAUUCUUCGAAGCUACAUGUAUAUUCUUCUAAAUAACAUAUAUUACAUAUUUCAAGCCUUGUUAGCUUCAUUAAAUUUUCUAUCUGUUUUCUUUUUAUUUCUUGUUGAAAAUCAGUUUCCCAAUCUUCUCCCAAGAAUUUUUUUCUUAUUUCAUUUUCGAAUCUAUUUAAAACCUGAUCAACACUUUCGUUUCGAUUAUUAUUUUCUCCAUACAAUAUUCUAUUUUUAUGAUUAUCAUUUAAUCCCAUAAACCAAUGAGAAACAAUUCCUAUAAACGAAAUUUUAAGGAAUUCUAUACUAUUAUCCCUAUCAAUUUUGUGAAAUGCAAAAGCCAUUUUCAUAGAUUUAACCCAAGCGGUAAUCGUUUUAUCUCUAUCUUUGAUACAGUCUAAACCUAACCAUACACCAUCAUGGUUGAUUGGUCUUUCUCUAUAUUCUCCUGGAGUUUUAUGAUCUUUUUUAGGUUUGUUAAUCCUAAAAUAUUGACCUUGUGCUCUUUCCUGAGUUGGUAUUUCUUCCCUAACAUAGGAAGCUCUAUUACUAGUUUCUCCUUGUUAAAAACCGUUUAACUUUGGUUCAUUCAUUUUUAGAUGUUCUAUUCUAUUUUCAAUAUCCUGCAAAUUAAUGACUAUAUCAUCUUCUUCUUCGGAUUCAGAUUCUUUAUCAGAUAUCUCUUGAUUAGGUAAUUCUAUGUUUUCACUUAGCAUUCUUAGACUUAUUAAUUUUUUGUCUUUGUUUAUUUUGUUAAAUAUCGGUUUAGAUGUUGUUAUCAUUUCUUUAUCUUUAAGUUCAUUAUAGUAAAUUAUGGUAUCUUGUAAAAUUUUAUUUUGUUUAUUGAUCUUCUGUACUUCAAUCCUUUUGUAAUUUUCCAUUUAUGCUUAUAGCGAAUUUAUUACCAAUUUUUUCAUCGAUUUUUUCAAUUUUUUGUAGUUGAUUUCAAUCUUGUUGAAUUUAUUUUCAAUUGAACUUUUGUUCACAAUAUUAAAGAUUUCUUGUUUUAAUCUAUCUUGAUCUUCAAUAUUAAAGUCUUUUAUUAAUAGCUUAACAAAAUCAAAUUCUUCACUCAUUCGCUAUCCUAUCAUUUUGACUUGUCUUAUAUUUUCGGCAUCAAAGCUUUUAAUCUCAAGUAUCUUAUUUACACUUUCUAUAUCAUCUAUGGUUAAAUUAGGGUUUCCUAAUUUAUUUAAUAAAUAUAAUGAGAUCCAAUUUAAUUGAUUAUUUCCCCACAUAUCAGAAUCAUUUACUAAAUCAAAUGGUUGAAAUCUUCCAUAAGUAAAUCCUCUAUGCCUAUAGCUAGAAGGUGGUAAUAUGUUGGUUUCAAUAUUUCUAUAUACUUCUCUCCUGAUCCUAAAGAGAAGAAUAGGAUCAAUAUUUAAAUUUCUAAUUUUUAUUAUGAUGAGUUCUCCAAUUUUAAAUUCAUGAACUCUAACUAAAUAAAAUUGUAUUAAUUGUUUAUCAUCCAAUAUAUUAACUUCUGAAUAAUAAUAUUGUUUAUGUUUUGUUAUAUUAUCUUUAACUCCACACUUGUUUAAAAUUCAACACACAGAUGUGCCUCUUUCUUACUAUACUGGAAUCCUCGGUAAACUUUUUGUUUGCGCAAUUUAUGUGAGCAAAUUGUGUCUUCUUUUUCAUAUGUAAAUGUUUUUGAUAUCUUGAUGUGAAGGUAGAAAAUUGCAUGUUUUGAGUUUUUGCAUAUUUGAUGGAAACACAGAACUGUACCUGAAUCUUUCAGAACCCCCUUUUCUUUGAAGUUUGAACACUUUUCUUGAAUGUAUCAACUUUAUUUAUGGGAUAUGUUGCCAAAUUGGCAAAUCUAUUCGUUAUAAAACUUUCCUUUGACAGUUUAAUCUAAGCAGAUGUUAAUUAUGCAAAUAGAGUGUGCCUAAGAUUAGUUUCAUAGAUUUGUCUCCUUCUGUACAGUAAAAACUUUGAGCAUUUUCGCCAUAUUCUGAUCAAUACACUCCAACUAGUUAGUUCUUGAGGCGUUUUAUGGUUUCGUGGAGUGAGGCAAGAUGUAUACGUUUGCAAAUUGGCAAUGUCUUUUGCUUGAUGGGUUGAGAGUUGUGAGUGUCAACAGGAAACAAGACCUCUGUUUUAUGAACUCCAAAAAGUUAUUCUGUUAAAAAGAUCGAGACAGAGGCCAUACUAUAUUUAUUAUUGCUAUAAAAGUGUGAAAAAAUAUUCUUUGUUUAAUAUUCUAAACGAUUGAGCCAUUUAGUUAUGAUACUCUGCUGUAUUGGGGCUAAUAAUCUAAGUCGGUUCAAAGUGGUAAAUUUAUAAAUUGAUAGGUAUGCCUGGUAUGACCGCUUACGUUGGAUUUUAUGAGGUCUGCUCUCCUAAGCAAGGAGAGUGUGUCUUCAUAUCCGCAGCAUCUGGUGCAGUUGGACAGCUUGUGGGGCAGUUUGCAAAGUUAUUGGAUUGCUAUGUCGUCGGAAGUGCUGGAAGCAAAGACAAGGUAUGUAAUCUGUGUGAAGUACUUGAUUGUUUCCAUGUUACUUUCAAACAUUUAAAUUAAAAAGGAAAUUUUCAUAAUCUUGCCUUUUCUAUGAUUUUCAAAACCAAGGUUGAUCUACUGAAGAACAAGUUUGGGUUCGACGAGGCAUUUAACUAUAAAGAAGAAGCUGAUUUGAAUGCAGCAUUGAAAAGGUUAGCAUCAAUAAAUGCCUUAGCUUGAUGCAGCUUGAUGAAGUAUGAUACACAUUUCUGACCAAUAUACUGCGUUCCCUGAUCUCUUACUUGAAAUAUCUUGGUUUGAGAAUCUCAUGCCAAUGCCUUUAACAUUUUGGCAGGUACUUUCCUGAAGGAAUUGAUAUAUAUUUUGAAAACGUUGGUGGAAAAUUGCUUGACGCAGUGCUACCCAACAUGAAAAUCCGUGGUCGAAUUGAUGCAUGCGGUAUGAUCUCACAGUACAAUCUUGACAAGCCUGAAGGUGUGCACAACUUGAUGUAUCUUGUUUCGAAACGGCUUCGAAUGGAAGGAUUCAUUGUUCUCGAUCACUAUCACCUCUAUCCAAAGUUUCUGGAAAUGAUCAUUCCUCACAUCAAAGAAGGGAAGCUUGUAUACGUCGAAGACAUGGCUGAAGGUCUUGAGAGUGCUCCGGCAGCUCUCAUCGGUCUAUUCUCUGGCCAGAAUAUUGGGAAACAAGUGGUUGCUGUUGCUCCUUAAUGAAGAACAAGUUAGUGUUGUCUGUCCUUUUACCCUUUGACACAAAACUUCAAUGUUAAAGAGAGAAUGCUGUUCAUAUAUACUGCUUUAUAAAAUAAUCAAGUGAGUGCAAGUUUCAUGAUAUUUGCUGAAUAAAAUAUUGGAAAUUAAGCAGCUAGCCUAGCUCCUUCUUGUAGUUGCAGUUUGAAUGAUGCUGCUGCACAACUGCUGCCGAAAAAAUCCUUAAUAGAUGAUUAGCAAGGUUUCAAAAAUAAAAAUAAAUGUUUGUGCAAUGUGUCGAAUAUGACAGCCACAAAGAAAGAGCACACAAAUUGAUUGGUUUUAUGUCUUCUCUAGGAGAAAGCUACAAUACAAGAAAUUGUACUGAUGGAGCCAUGGACCAAAUUUCUUAUUUAAACUUUUAAUUUUUUUAUUAAAUUACUUAUGUUAUUAUGGUUUAUAAUUUUAGAAAUUCUUUAGAAAUUAAUACAGAACUAGUAGCAAGUUGAGAAAUCUAUUGAAUGGUCAAGAUAUGAUCAUGUUUAUUGAAUUAAAUUGACAAUCAUCAUUUUGAUAAAUUAUUGUCAGGAUGUUUGAUUCAUGACACGUGUAAGCAACUAAAUGUGCUAAAAAAAAGUUAAUGAGUUGGGCGUGUUUGAGUUAAUGAGUUGGGCUUGUUUGAUAUUCAUUUGUUGUAAUUCUUUUAAUAAUUAUUGGGGAAAAAAAGUUAUAAUAAAAAAAAUUAUAAUUAUAAAAUAAAAAUUAAUAAUAUAUAAUAAAUAAGAUUUUAAAUAAUAAUUUUAAUAAAAUAAUAAAUAUAUUAUAAAUUUUUUAUGAUUAAUUUUUAAAUUACAACAAUAAAUAUUUAACAAACACCUUAAUACCACAACUAACACCACAACUUUUGAAUUAUGAUAGUACAAUCUAAAUGCCACAGGCCUUAAAAAAUAAAAUUACAGUCAAGUUUUAAAACUGUUAAUGAUAUUCACAAAGACUCUGGAACAAUAUUACAGAAGGUGCUCGUCGUGUAAGCAACACAUGGGACCCAACCAAUAAAUGUUUCUGAUCCUCAACUUUCCUCAUCACUGUCCCUGGAAACAAUUCUGAUUUUCUUGUCUGAUUAAACAACUGAGAAACAAUGGCGGCCGACCAAGAAGCUGGGAGCAAUAAGCGGGUGAUUCUAAGCAACUAUGUGACAGGUUUUCCAAAAGAAUCAGACAUGAAGAUAACAAGUUGAUCAAUAAAGCUGAAGGUAGCAGAGGGUGUUUGGGAGAAAUACGUCGACGAGACCAGGCAUGGUGAGCAGAUAUCUGAUGGCAGAGUUCUGCGAACCGGUGUGUUCCGUAAAAGCCUGGUGCGCGGGGGAACAGGAGCAGAAGUAUCCUGCUCGUCCACGAGCACGUCAUCCGCGAGGCCAAUUUCCUGUAAGAGGCAUAAGGUCAUUCCGGCUAGAGGUCGAGAGGCGAGGAGACCCGGUCGACGGCAGUUGGCAAGACAUGCUCCCCAGCCCGAGAAUCUAGGCACGACAGCCACGCUUUCCCCAGAACCGUGGCGUAACACGCAAGAUCUCACAGAACCACGACAGCCACGCUUUCCCCAGAACCGUGGCGUAACACGCAAGAUCUCACAGAACCACGACAGCCACGCUUUCCCCAGAACCGUGGCGUAACACGCAAGAUCCCACGUUUGCCCAUAACGCAGCAGUCAGAGUCCCAUACCGUCUCGAAAAAAGCGGAAAACUGGGAUUCAGGGGAAGCCUAUAAAAAGGUAGCCAACGAAGGUAAAAGGGUUAGCAUUUUUGAGAUUAGAAAAGAAAUGAAAAAAGAAGAGAAAACCACGAAAAAGCCAUAAGAUAUGUGGCAAGCGUUCCCCGAACCUUCAUAUCUGACUUGAGCGUCGGAGGGUUUGCGCCGGGAAAACAACCGGCGUACUCUGACUUGUCUGUGUGCGCAGGAACCUCUGGAGAAGAAGCCUCACGUGGAGACCUCCUGGUCGUGAAGAAGUUGAUCGGGCAGAGAUCCUGGUCGUAGAACGAGGAGAACCGGAAUCCCGCAUCAACAUUUUGGCGCCGUCUGUGGGGACCGGAGCAAAAAGCUUCUGUUGAUAGCAAGAAGAGGGGUGAAGCAAGUGAAAAACAAUGGAGACAGGAGGAAGUAGUGCACAAGGGGGUGAUAGGAAGCUUAACGAUUCCGUGACGCUGAGGGAGAUAGUCAGUGAAGCACGGGAAAAAGUCAUGUUCGACCGGAUGGAACGGAUGGAAAAGCAGAUGGAGACCUUGACAACCAUCCUGCAUGAGCUGCGGAGCGAGCGAAGUAUAAUCCAAGAGGGAAGGGUGAGAGGCGGUGGAGUGGCACCAGGUCCCGAUAGUGCGGGGAGAAGUCAAACCACCGGGAGAUUUGGUGGUGAGAGAGGUAACGUACCUCUGCGGGGAGAAUUUCAUAGAGAAAGAGAGCAGUCCCCGGCAAGACAGACUGGCGACGAGGACGACGGGGUGGUGAAUGCAGAGGAAACAGAGUUGAGGCAACACUUGCAUGAUGUAGAGCAAGAGCGGGAUCAAGUUGCAGCACGUGACCCUGGUUGUGCAGUGCAGCUGGAGGAGGAAGUGCGCAGACUAGCACAGAUAAUCGACGACAUGCAAGGAAGGAACAGAGCCCCUGGUUGGAGGAUAAUGCUGGACGGAGAAUCACCGCUCGCAGCAGAGAUCAUGAGGGCAGUUAUUCCGAGAGAUUUCCGCCUCCCAGACCUCAGAUACUCGGGAAGAACUGAUCCGUUGGUGCACAUAGAGCGCUUCAACGACAUAACUGGGGUACAAGGAUUAUCUCAAUCCCAAAGGUGCAGAGUGUUCCCACUAUCCCUUGAGGGACGUGCACGAGAAUGGUACAGGAAACUUCCUCGGGGCAGCAUUAAAACCUUCGAGCAGAUGUGCCAGGAAUUCGCGGAGCAGUUUAGUGGGGCAAUGGCGCCGGAAGAUGACAUGAUGGAGCUGAAAAGCAUGAAACAGGGGGAGCAAGAAACCCUUCGGGAAUUCAUCAAGAGGUUUCAUCGGGCUGUCCUUGACUUGGGAGCCUUCAACCACCCUCAGGCGUUAAGGGGAUUGAAAGAAGGGGUGAAGAUAGGAAGGCUGUGGUACAAUUUGAGAAGCCCAGCUAUUCAAACGUAUGCAGCCGCAUACGAACAGGCUAAGAGAGACAUCGAGAUUGAAGAGGAGAAGGCUGCACGGAUUAAGACAGACCAGUUAGAAGGGUUGGGGAGGAAAGAGAAGAAAGCAUUACCGGGGAAUGGGCCGAUCAGGAGGAGGGACCACCAGGCCUCCGGUAGUGGAGCAGGAGGUCGGGUAGCCGCUUACCAGCCUCAUCAAAGGCCACCACAGUAUCAGCGCAGCAGGGCGCAACCUCCUCGUUCCCCAGCUAGGGAGCCUUGGAGAAGGCAUGAGUCGGCAUCUGGUGGUCUCCAACAACACCCCCACGGUAUCAGAGCGAGCAGACCAGAAGUACUUCCACCGCCCCCAACUCAGAGCGGGGCAAACAGAGAAAGAGCAGUGCACCUGAUCGACCAGAACCCGGACUAUGGGCGGUACACUUCCUUGAAGAUGUCCCUGGAUGAGGUGUACGAGGCCAUAAAGGAUCGAGGGCUGCUGCACCUCCCUACACCAAUAACAAAGCUACCCAACAGGAGGGAUAGAGGACGUUAUUGUAAGUUCCAUGGCACCCAUGGCCAUACCACAGCAGAGUGUAGAGAUCUCAAGACCCAAGUCGAAGAUUUGGUGAGAAAUCGGUACCUGGACGAGUUUAUGGAUGGGACUUUCCCGAUGGGGGCCACAACAGGUGAAGGGGAGCAGAGUGGCGGAAACGUUAGGCGCGAGCAGCCCGCAGUAAGGGUGAUAGCUGGGGGCCCGACAUUGGCCGGAGAUUCCAACAGAUCGAGAAAAAAUUAUGCUAGGUACGCCAUGACCAGUAAAGAGGUACUCCUCAACACCCCAGCAGCCAAACGAGCAAGGGUCAGGCAAGUGCCAAUCAUGUGGACGGAUGAGGAUGAGGAAGGGAUUCUAUACCCCCACGAGGAUGCUUUAGUCAUCAAGGCUACUGUCGCUAGCAAGAAGUUUGACCGGAUACUGAUUGAUACAGGGAGCUCAGUUGAUGUGUUAUUUAAGUCAACCCUGGAAGAGAUGGGAAUAGCCGACCGGAAGUUGGAAUACACCAAUACCUCCUUGAAGGGGUUCGGAGGAGGGAAGCUGGUCCCUCUGGGCGUGGUCGAGCUGCCUAUCACAAUUGGGAGCUCUCCGACAGAAAGAACAAUGAUACUGGACUUUGUCGUAGUGGAUGAGGAAGGUCCUUACCAGAUGAUCCUAGGUCGGCCAUUUUUAAGGAUGAGCAAAGCGGUGUUGUCCAACCAUUAUCUGGCUCUGAAGUACCGGGUGAACGGGGUAGUAGGAGUGGUACGAGGAGACCAGAGGAUCGCAAGAAGCUGCUACUCCUCGGCAGCAAGGGAAGCAAUGCAGAUAACAUCCCUCGAUACCCGAGUGGAAAACAAGAAGGGCAGACAAGAACCUGUAGAGGAUCUGGAAACAGUAAGCCUGGGACCAGAGAACCCGGGAAAGACGAUCAGAAUCGGGUCGAGACUUAAGGGAGAGCAAAAGCAGGAGUUGGUGAAAUGCUUACAGGCUCAUGCUGAUGUGUUUGCUUGGACACAUGAAGACAUGCCAGGAAUUGACCCUGAGGUAGCAUGUCAUAAGCUGGCAAUAAAGAAAAGUGCUCGGGCAGUAAGGCAGAAGAGGAGGUGCUUCAACCAGGAGAGGUAUGAGGCUAUAAAUGGCGAGGUGGAGAAGCUCUUGAGAGCAGGGUUCAUUCGGGAAGUCAGUUACCCUGAGUGGAUAUCGAAUGUGGUGUUGGUAAAGAAGGCAAACGGCAAGUGGAGGAUGUGUGUGGAUUUCACAGACCUCAAUAAGGCGUGCCCAAAAGACAGCUUCCCUUUACCAAAGAUCGAUCAGCUAGUAGAUUCAACGGCUGGACAUGGUCUGCUUAGCUUCAUGGACGCGUUCUCGGGAUACAACCAGAUCCCCAUGUACGAGCAGGAUGAGGAGAGCACGGCUUUCAUCACUAACCAAGGUUUGUUCUGUUACAGGGUAAUGCCAUUCGGUCUCAAAAAUGCCGGGGCCACCUAUCAAAGGCUGGUGAACAAAGUCUUUAAGCCGUUGAUUGGGAAAACCAUGGAGGUGUACGUGGAUGACAUGAUCACCAAGUCCAAAAUCCCGGAGGAACAUGUCAGACACCUCGAGGAGACAUUCGAGCUUUUGAGGAAGUAUAAGAUGAAGCUCAACCCGGAGAAGUGUGCUUUUGGGGUCGAGUCAGGGAAAUUCCUUGGAUUCAUGGUGAGCCAUAGGGGGAUUGAAGCACAUCCCGAGAAAAUCCAGGCGAUUGUGCAAAUGACGUCUCCCCAUAACCUGAAGGAGAUGCAAAGCCUCACGGGGAGGUUGGCGGCGUUGAGCAGAUUCAUAUCCAAGGCUACAGAUAAGUGUAAGCCAUUCUUUCAAGUGAUGAGGAGGGGAAAGAAAACAGAAUGGACCUCAGAAUGCGAGGAAGCCUUCCGGAACUUGAAGCAAUACUUGCAGCAAGCUCCGCUGCUGUCCACACCGAGGGAUGGGGACAAGUUAUAUCUGUAUUUGGCGGUAUCGGAUCGGGCCGUCAGUUCUGUUCUGGUGAGAGAGGAAGAAGGAGUUCAGUAUCCGAUAUAUUACACCAGCAAGGCCCUGCUCGACGCUGAGACCAGAUACCCACCGUUGGAGAAAUGGGCACUUGCCCUUGUGGUUGCUGCUCGGAAGUUGAGGCCAUAUUUUCAAGCAUUCCCGGUCUUGGUAAUAACAAACCAGCCAUUGCGUCAAACUCUGCACAAGCCAGAUGCCUCUGGUCGGCUCGUCAAGUGGGCUGUAGAGCUGAGCGAGUUCGACAUAGACUAUAAACCCCGCGCAGCGAUAAAAGCCCAGGCAAUGGCCGAUUUCGUAGCUGAAUUCACAGAGCCCGAAGUAUGCUUAGAUCAACAAGAUGCAGAUAUAGGCAAUGACGAAACUCAAGUAUGGCAGAUGUCUGUGGAUGGGUCAUCAGGGGAGCGGGGUUCAGGAGCAGGGAUUGUCUUGGAAGGCCCAGAGGGGGAGGAGAUCUCUUAUACUGUAAAAUUGGAAUUUGCAGCCACGAAUAACCAGGCAGAGUAUGAAGCCUUGAUAGCAGGUCUGGAAUUGGCUAAGGCCGUGAAAGCAGACAGAGUUAAGAUCAGAACUGAUUCCCAGCUGGUUGCGAAUCAUGUCAGUGAAAGAUUCCAACCAAGAGAGGAGAAGAUGGGGCAGUACCUGAAGAUAGUCAGGCAGAUGAUGGGGAAGUUCGAAGCAGUGGAGGUGAUACAAAUCCCCAGGGAGCAGAAUAGUCGAGCAGACAUUUUGGCUAGGAUGGCAGCAGUAGCCGACCCAAAAAUGCCAAAGUCGGUCCCUCUGGAGGUGAAGUCCAGCCCAAGUAUCGAUCAGAAUUUGGGGGUGUUGCAGAUAGAACAAAAAUGCUCGUGGAGGGACCCGAUAAUUUCAUACCUUAGAGACGGGGUAUUACCACCAGAUAAGAUGCGAGCUCGCAAGCUUAGAGCCCAGGCCUCGAGAUACACGAUGAUUGAUGGGGUACUGUAUCGGCGAGGAUAUACACUACCGUUCCUUCAGUGUUUGGAUGAGGACGACGCGGAUUACGUACUGAGAGAAGUACACGAAGGAAUUUGCGGAAAUCAUUCUGGCGGGAGGUCCCUGGCCCAUAAGGUUCUAAGGCAGGGAUAUUUCUGGCCGACAAUGCACCAGGAUGCGCAAGAGAAGACCAGGAGUUGUGUAAGCUGCCAGAGUUUUGUAAAUUUCUCUAACCAACCACCAGAGAAGCUCACCUCCAUGACCUCCCCCUGGCCAUUUGCUCAAUGGGGAAUUGAUCUGAUCGGCCCAUUGCCAAAGGCACGGGGAGCAGCAACAUAUGCAAUAGUUGCUAUAGAUUACUUCACGAAGUGGAUAGAGGUAAAAGCCCUUAGCAGGAUCACAGAGAAGAAAACAACAGACUUCGUAUGGAGAAACCUGGUCUGUCGAUACGGGAUCCCUUAUGCCUUGGUAACGGAUAAUGGCAGGCAGUUCGAUAAUCACAGCUUCAGGGAUUUCUGCCAGAACCUCGGGAUAGAGCUGAAGUAUUGCUCGCCUGCUCACCCUCAAUCGAAUGGACAAGUAGAAGCAGCCAACAAGACCAUCAAGAGGCUUUUGAAAACCAGGCUUGGAGCAAAAAAGGGUGCGUGGGUUGACGAGCUGGCAGGUGUGCUAUGGGCAUCCAGAACAACAAAACCGCAACUGGGGAGACACCGUUCGCUUUGGCUUUCGGACAUGAAGCGGUCGUGCCGGCUGAGAUAGGAACGACCACACACCGGACAAAUCAUUUCAAUGAGCAGGAGAACGACGAGCAGAUAUGUUUGAAUCUUGAUCUGCUAACGGAAAGGAGGGAGCAAGCAGCCGAGCGAUCAGUCAUUUACCAAUAGAGGGUUGCUCGGUAUUAUAACCAGAAGGUGAACAUACGGCAAUUCAGGGUCGGAGACUGGGUACUGAGAAGAGUGAAUCAGAGCACCAAAGAUUCGACUCAAGGAGUGCUGGGACCGAAUUGGGAAGGGCCAUAUAGAGUCAAGCAGAUAGCGGGACCCGGAGCUUACAGGCUGGUUCGCACGGACGGCCACGAGGUGAAACGCCCAUGGAACGCAGCACACCUCCGAAAAUACUUCCAGUAAGACUUGUUCACAUGUGAAAACUAUUUUUGCUCAUGUUCAUUACCGUUUAUCUUUCACGCUUAUUGUCCAAACAAUUUCAUGUAAGUCGAAUCCUGCCAUUAAUGGAACGUCGAGGAAUUUCUUUCACUUGAAACCGAGAAAAUUUCCCAAGGCAUGCAAAGGCUCACCAAGUCUCAAAGCCUGUCUUAUGGUGAGACAGAAGCCAAGCAUGCCAGGAUCUGCUCGGCCACGAGAAGGCAAGCAGAAUCCCAAUCCUCGAAGAAUCCAAGGCACGCAAAGGCUCACUAAGUCUCAAAGCCUGUCUUAUGGCGAGACAGAAGCCAAGCAUGCCAGGAUCUGCUCGGCCACGAGAAGGCAAGCAGAAUCCCAAUCCUCGAAGAAUCCAAGGCAUGCAAAGGCUCACCAAGUCUCAAAGCCUGUCUUAUGGCGAGACAGAAGCCAAGCAUGCCAGGAUCUGCUCGGCCACGAGAAGGCAAGCAGAAUCCCAAUCCUCGAAGAAUCCAAGGCACGCAAAGGCUCACCAAGUCUCAAAGCCUGUCUUAUGGCGAGACAGAAGCCAAGCAUGCCAGGAUCUGCUCGGCCACGAGAAGGCAAGCAGAAUCCCAAUCCUCGAAGAAUCCAAGGCAUGCAAAGGCUCACCAAGUCUCAAAGCCUGUCUUAUGGCGAGGCAGAAGCCAAGCAUGCCAGGAUCUGCUCGGCCACGAGAAGGCAAGCAGAAUCCCAAUCCUCGAAGAAUCCAAGGCAUGCAAAGGCUCGACAAAGUCUCAAAGCCUGUUUUAUGGCGAGACAGAAGCCAAGCAUGCCAGGAUCUGCUCGACCACUAGAAGGCGAGCAGACUCCAAAGCAUUCGAAGAAAUGCCCAAGGCAUGCAAAGGCUCGACAAAGUCUCAAAGCCUGUUUUAUGGCAAGGCAGAAGCCAAGCAUACCAGGAUCUGCUCGACCACGAGAAGGCGAGCAGACUCCAAAGCAUUCGAAGAAAUGCCCAAGGCAUGCAAAGGCUCGACAAAGUUUCAAAGCCUGUUUUAUGGCGAGACAGAAGCCAAGCAUGCCAGGAUCUGCUCGACCACGAGAAGGCGAGCAGACUCCAAAGCAUUCGAAGAAAUGCCCAAGGCAUGCAAAGGCUCGACAAAGUCUCAAAGCCUGUUUUAUGGCGAGACAGAAGCCAAGCAUGCCAGGAUCUGCUCGACCACUAGAAGGCGAGCAGACUCCAAAGCAUUCGAAGAAAUGCCCAAGGCAUGCAAAGGCUCGACAAAGUCUCAAAGCCUAUUUUAUGGCGAGGCAGAAGCCAAGCAUGCCAGGAUCUGCUCGACCACUAGAAGGCGAGCAGACUCCAAAGCAUUCGAAGAAAUGCCCAAGGCAUGCAAAGGCUCGACAAAGUCUCAAAGCCUGUUUUAUGGCGAGACAGAAGCCAAGCAUGCCAGGAUCUGCUCGACCACUAGAAGGCGAGCAGACUCCAAAGCAUUCGAAGAAAUGCCCAAGGCAUGCAAAGGCUCGACAAAGUCUCAAAGCCUGUUUUAUGGCGAGGCAGAAGCCAAGCAUGCCAGGAUCUGCUCGACCACUAGAAGGCGAGCAGACUCCAAAGCAUUCGAAGAAAUGCCUAAGGCAUGCAAAGACUCACCAAGUCUCAAAGCCUGUUUUAUGGCGAGACAGAAGCCAAGCGUGCUAGGAUCUGCUCGACCGCGCGAAGGUGAGUCGAAUCCCAGGCAUUGAAGAAUCUCCAAAGGCAUGUGGCAAAACCAUGAGCCAAGCCGGAACCUGCUCGUCUAGACAGAGACAAGCAGAUUCUCAACCGAAAAUUAAUUCAUAAUUACAACACAAGAAAGUAAUCAAAAACCAUUUUUAUUAAUUUGUUAAUAAUUAACAGAGGGGAUAAUCUUUAUGAACAUUGUUCAUUACAAUACAAGAAAUAUAUCAGGAAGAUGGUGGACCAGUAAGCCCGGCAGCAUCGGUUGGCUGGACCUCCUCAGGUGCAGGAGGGGUAUCACCAGUUGCGUCCGGGGGGGUGCUCGCCUCGCCAACAUCAGCAGGGACUGCAUGAGCAGGAGAGUCUUCCUCCUCAAUCACGAUCGGCUCUACCCCAUCGGCAUCUUCCUUGGCCGCCUCCUCGUCCAUAUGUUGAGCAACACCAGCUGCAAGGUCAUCCAUCUUCAGAUCAGGGUGUUGCUUCCCGAGGACGGCCAUGAUGCAACGAUAGGAAUGCCGAAGUCCCUGGUCGUACUGGUUGUCAGCCUCCCUCUCUAAGUUCUCGACCUGAGCUCGGUGGGAGUCGCGGAGAGAUUCGAGCUGAGCCUCAUACAUAGCCUUCUGCCUUUGCAGAUCCUCCUUGACCGUGGUAAGCUCCUCCUCGAGGGAAAUGGCUUUUGCUUGAGCAAGUGAUUCUUGCUCUAUUAGCUUCAGAUUCUCGAGAUUCAGGUCCUUCUUGCUCACGAGUUUAGUUAACUCAUUGAGGUAGGGGACCAGGUGUUCUGCUCGGCUGUCAGGUAAGCGAGAUCGAGGCCCGACAGGAGGAAAAGAGGAAGCAGGAUCUGUGGCUGCUCCACUAGCUUCCCCGACUUUUACAGGAGCAGGAGGUAAAAUCUUCAAGGGUGGGACCUGCUGCAUGAUGUUGGCCCGCUUUGCAGCAGGGGCAUCCUUACUCUGGUCCCUCUUCGUGGUUGGAGGUCGGGAACGUUUUCGGGUCAGAGCCCCAAUCACAGCGUCCUCCAUCCUAUGGCCAGGAAGUAUCAAGCGAGACUCGAGCAAGUUGUAUGUAGUUAGCAGUUCUCGGCUCGAGCAGGAAUUGGCUAGUACAGCCUCGACCCGUUUGAGCUGGUCAGGUUCAAGCGGGAAGUGGACACCCCAAGAAACUACAACACAAACAGACACUUGGUUAGAGACAAGCCAAUAAAGCAAGAACAAUUAUGGAUGCAAGACAUCUAGAGUGAGCAGGCAACCUGGGACCGUGAAACGGGGUGGGACGUGACAAUCCUUCCCGCCUAUUUGUGCAACUUGACCCCAAGGACCCCCAGCAAAAAAGAAUUUCCUCUUCCAAGCCCCACCACCACCGGUUGGAAGAUCGGUUAUGGGUUUCCGGCUCUUGGUGCUAGAUUGGAAGUAGUACCAGCCGGCAUCUUUGGGGCUGCUCUUUAGCUGGUACAAGUGCUUCACCUCAUCAACCGUGGGCUCGCUUUGGCAACAUUUGUCCCACAAUAUGAACAGACCAGAGAGCACUCUCCACCCAUUGGGAUUCAGCUGACCAGGAGCUAGAUUUAGCCCGUUAAGUAUCUGGGCAAAGUAGGGUUGCAAGGGACACCUCAGCCCGUACUUAAAGCUCUCUAGAAACAGGGUAACGUAUCCCCUAGGAGGCCGGCUGGGAGCAUCCUUCUUUCCUGGGACCUUGAGAGGUAUCUCACCAGGAAUGCUAUACCUAAGCCGGAGGUCAUUGAGCUCGUCAAACAAGGUCGUGCACGUCAUGUAAUCAAUGGCAUAAUCGCGCGACAAGGCUCUGCCUCCUACUGUACCCCGUUCCUCUGGUCGUGAUGUUCCAGAUGGAGACACCUCACCAGAGUCACCUUCCCCAUUCUCACUUAAGGUGUCCUCAGAGCCAGAAGGUCUCUCUUCACCAUUGCUUCCACUCGUGGAGGUUGUUUGGGGGGACAUCCUCCUAGCACUAGUCCCGACACUAAACCUAAUGGGUUCUAAGGGGAUCCCGGGGUCAAAAGCAGAAUCAGUGAGCAGACCAGGCAGGAAACUUAGUUCGUCGUCAUCAAUCUCAACGACUUUCUCCUUACCUUUCGACAUUCCCUAAGCCCUAACCACAACACCACCAACUACUACCCAAACAGAAGAGAAGAGAAAUUAUCUACAACUAUCCGAGACCAAGGAGAUAGAAGAAAUACCUGAAGUAAUGGUUCAGUCGGUGAAAGUCAGAGAUGGAGGCCUUUUAUGCCGGAACUUCUUUGCCGGAGAAACAGAGACGGAGACGGAGUGAAUGAUGAAUAUGCCGUUCGAGAGGAUUUGGUUUUCCUAAUGAGGACGGACUCUUGGGUUGCCAGCAUUUAACGGCGCCGAAUCCCGAGGGUCUCAUAACCGUCGGUUUGAAAUUCAAAUGGAGGGGGGGAUUUCUGCCACGUCACCUCGUCCGCAAUUAAAUGCGACAUGACUCUUGGCAGCCUUUUCCAAUCCCACGCGGGCGAGUACUAACGAGUUUCUACUGCUGGUCCACUACAUUACCCAACACCAGAAACUGGGGGACCGGUGUUUGGGAGAAAUACGUCGACGAGACCAGGCAUGGUGAGCAGAUAUCUGAUGGCAGAGUUCUGCGAACCGGUGUGUUCCGUAAAAGCCUGGUGCGCGGGGGAACAGGAGCAGAAGUAUCCUGCUCGUCCACGAGCACGUCAUCCGCGAGGCCAAUUUCCUGUAAGAGGCAUAAGGUCAUUCCGGCUAGAGGUCGAGAGGCGAGGAGACCCGGUCGACGGCAGUUGGCAAGACAUGCUCCCCAGCCCGAGAAUCUAGGCACGACAGCCACGCUUUCCCCAGAACCGUGGCGUAACACGCAAGAUCUCACAGAACCACGACAGCCACGCUUUCCCCAGAACCGUGGCGUAACACGCAAGAUCUCACAGAACCACGACAGCCACGCUUUCCCCAGAACCGUGGCGUAACACGCAAGAUUCCACAUUUGCCCAUAACGCAGCAGUCAGAGUCCCAUACCGUCUCGAAAAAAGUGGAAAACUGGGAUUCAGGGGAAGCCUAUAAAAAGGUAGCCAACGAAGGUAAAAGGGUUAGCAUUUUUGAGAUUAGAAAAGAAAUGAAAAAAGAAGAGAAAACCACGAAAAAGCCAUAAGAUCUGUGGCAAGCGUUCCCCGAACCUUCAUAUCUGACUUGAGCGUCGGAGGGUUUGCGCCGGGAAAACAACCGGCGUACUCUGACUUGUCUGUGUGCGCAGGAACCUCUGGAGAAGAAGCCUCACUUGGAGACCUCCUGGUCGUGAAGAAGUUGAUCGGGCAGAGAUCCUGGUCGUAGAACGAGGAGAACCGGAAUCCCGCAUCAACAGAGGGUUCAAAAGACACGGUGCUUUUGAAGAAUCUUUAUCUUUAUUGUGAUCCUUACAUGCGAGAGCGUAUGAGCAAGCUUGAUAGACCUUCUUUUGUUGAUUCAUUCCAUUCUGGUGAGGUUAGUUCAUCACGACCUCAACUUAGAUUUUGGGAUGGUUUACGAUUCACUCUCAGUUUAUGCAGAAAAACAAUCUAGUUUUAAUUUGGCAGGGUUUUUCCUUCUCUCUCCUUUUCUUCCUUUUCUUCAUUGGUUUCUUCCUCUUUUAUAGCCGCUAUCCCACGUUUUCGUUCAUCCUUCAUCCCCAUUUUUCGGGUAGUGGCAGCCCCUCAUGGGACUCCAACUGCUACAUUAUGGGUAAAUGUGGGACACCGUAUCUCCCUCAAUGGUUUUAGAAAAAGCGCAACUGUCGUGAUUUCGUGAGAUUGUGUUCCCGUUCUUUGGGGAAUGGAUAUCUGCUCGGUAUAUGUCUCUGGUCGGCCUAUAUUUAUAGAAGGCUCAUUAUCAGUAUUCUACUUAUACCAUUCAGCUGAGGUGAUCUACCUCGAAAUGAGAAUGAUAACAUGACUGACCUGAUGCUCUUAUUUACUUAACAGUAAAUUUUCUAUGACCCUACAGGUGACUAAUUAAUGAGAACUUGACAAUGACAAAAGAAAGUGUAUGAGCUUUGCAGGCUGGCAUGCCAAUAUUGACUGUGUGGCACCAUCCACCAUCUGCAAUUGAAUAUCAUUAUUGUUUAAUCAAUGUGGUGGAGUCCACUGGAACCACACCACAUGGUCAGUCUUAUCUCUAUUCCUCAAUUUUCAGUAUUCCAUACAUCAAACCAAUUUCAUGUUUGUUAGCAAUUAUAAUUUCAUUGUUGGUGACGAUUCUGAUUCCUUUUGUUGAGAAUCAAAUAAAACGGCAUUGAAUGAAGCUUUCAAAGACAGAAUCUGCACUUGUCAAAGGGGUAAUCUGCACUUGUCAAAGACAAGAUCCGCGCCGAACGGAUUGACACAUUUCCUUCCGUAUUCACAUAUGUAAUCUUUGAAAAAAUGUAGCCUCUGCAUCUAUAAAUAACUCUCAAUGUAUAAUGCUUUAUUUAAGAAAUGAAAACACGUUUCUUCAUGGUAUCAGAGCCAUGAAUACGCUCAAGUUUCUUCAAGUUCCGCUGCUCUGUUUGUAACAAAAAUAGAGGAAACCAAAUUCCUCCCACAACCAUUUUUCCCACCAUUUUCUUUCUUAAACCCAUUCCUACCAUUACAGAUAUCCAUGCCGAUCAAGAAACAAGCCACCCAUACGUAAAAAACUUGAGUUUACAAAUUUAUCAACAAUCCCAUCAAUUUUCUGAGAGUGUGUUCCUAAAAAACCAAGAACACCAUCAAAUUUCUCAGUUUUCAGUGAGGAAACUGUAAAAAUUUCGCAUUUAAACACAUUCCCACGCGCUCCCACGCGCCACCCGAAGCCACGGCCAGUCAACCACGCGCCUCUGUCAUCAUUCACGCGCUCUCACGCGCUCCAGAGGUUGAAGAAGACGCCAGCCGACAUGUCGUUCUUAUCUCAGAAGUUCAGCAGUCACAAAACGACGUGUCGUUUUUUGUUAUAUUAAAAUCGACAUGUCGUUUUGUAAAUUAGAGAUAAAACGACGUGAUGCUUAGUCUCCAGAAGUGCAGCAGGAUUAAAACGACAUGUCGUUUAUAUUCCACCAUAAUCGACAUGUCGGUUUGGCAAGCAGUGGCCAAACGACCUGGCGUUUUGUUACCUAAAAAGGUUAUUUUUUUUCUUCUUCCAAUCUAGAUGGAAAAAAAAAAAACAAACAAAAAAAAGAAAAAAAAGAAAAAAAAGAAAAAAAAGAGAAAAAAAAAAAAACAAAAAAAAAUGGAGAAAACUCCAACUGAAUCUAGUCCUGUUGUCAUUCAAUCUGUUCAAUCUGAUGGAGUAUUUAAUGCUGGAAUUAUCCUCACUGAGACAAACUACGAUGUUUGGUCUCAAAUAAUGGAGAUGCAUCUUGUAGAAAGAGAAAAACUCUCAUAUAUUCGUAGCAGCACAAAGCCAUUUGAGGAAUCUUCAAAGGAAUAUGAGAAAUGGUAUAGUGAGAACCAAAAAGUAAAAAGAUGGUUACUCAUAUCCAUGUCUCCGGAGAUCAUGAAGCGAUAUUUACGAAUUCCUACAGCCUACGAAAUCUGGGAUGCAUUAUCAAAAGCCUUCUAUGAUGGAAGCGAUGAAUUACAAGUUUUCACUCUAAACCAGAAGGCAUUCUCUACCAAGCAAAAUGGACAACCACUCUCUAAAUUCUAUGGAGAAUUGGUCGAAAUAUUUCGAGAACUUGAUCACCGAGAUAAAGUGGUCAUGAAGGAUCCAGAAGAUAUUGUAAUAUACAGAAGGUCUGUUGAAAGAUUGAGAGUGCACAUUUUUCUUGCUGGGCUAGAUGAAGAAUUUGACCAAGUUCGUGGAGAAAUUCUACGAAAAGACAUUAUCCCAGACUUAGAAGAAUGUUAUUCUUUGAUCCGAAGAGAAGAUAUACGGCAAAGCAAACUAAACAAGAAGGUCGACUCAGAAACGUUUGCAAUGAUAGCACGACAGCAGCCUCAAAGGAAGUUUGUUGACAAGUCAUCACUCCAUUGCACUCAUUGUAGAAAGAAGGGUCAUACGAAAGAACAAUGUUUUGAAAUCAUUGGAUAUCCUGACUGGUGGGAUACUCGAAAGAAGAACACCAAGCAUGGAUCAAAAACUGCAGUAGCUGAAUCCACAUCCACUACAGAUCUUAGAAAAGAAUCUUCAGUGCAAAUCGCAACCUCUGUCAGUCCAGGUAAGGCCCUUAAAACUCUUACACCUGUUAUUAAUAGUACAUGGAUAAUUGAUUCUGGGGCAACUGAUCAUAUGACUUUUGAUUCUCGACAAGUUUCUCAAUUGAAACCAUCUUCACAAAAAUAUAUUUCCACUGCAAAUGGAACCACAACCUCAGUUAUUGGGGAAUGAUCUUUACGACUCACAAAUGAAUUAAAUUUAGACGCUGUGUUAAUUGUUCCAUCUUUAGAUUAUAAUCUUUUAUCUGUGUCUCAAUUAACCACUUACUUAUCAUGUGUUGUAAUUUUUUGGCCUGAUCAUUGUGUGUUUAAGGACAUCCAAACGAAGCAAACGAUUGGUUAUGGUAUUAGACGAGGCAGCUUGUACUACUUGGAGAUGUCAUCAACAAACACUGGAAAGCUAAGCCCCGCACUAGUUGCAGAUAGUUCCAUAAAAAAAGGGAAAUCAGAAAUUUGGUUAUGGCAUAGACGUUUAGGGCAUGUGUCAUUUAGUUACUUAAAAAAAUUAUUUCCUAGUUUGUUUCUGAAAUUUGAUGUUUGUAACUUUAAAUGUGAUGUUUGUGAACUUUCAAAAAGCCAUCGAACUACUUUUCCAUUGUCCUUAAAUAAAAAUCCAGUUCCUUUUAUGGUAGUACAUUCUGAUGUAUGGGGGCCAUCUAAAGUUUCUACAAUUGGAGGUGCUCGUUGGUUUGUUACAUUUAUUGAUGAUUGUAGCAGAAUGACAUGGAUUUUUCUGAUGAAAUCGAAAGACGAAGUAAACUCUUUAUUUCAAAGAUUUCAUAAGAUGGUGACAACUCAAUUUCAGACACAAAUUCGAGUUCUACAUACUGAUAAUGGAGGUGAGUAUAUGAGCACAGCAAUUCAACAGUUUCUGAAAUCACAAGGAUCUGUCCAUCAAACCACUUGUGUGGGGACACCCCAACAAAAUGGCGUUGCUGAACGAAAGAACAGACAUUUACUAGAAGUUGUUCGAGCAUCACUAAUCCAAGCCCACAUGCCAUUAUCUUAUUGGGGAGAAGCAUUGACAUCCGCAGCAUACUUGAUCAAUCGAACACCUUCAAGCUCCCUUGGAUUCCAGACUCCUUUCCAAGUUCUGAAUGAUGCAAUUAUGUCACCAAAUGUGCCGAAUCUGCCCCCACAUGUGUUUGGCUGUGUUGCCUUCGUUCAUUUGCCGCAACAAGACAAAUUAUCUCCUCGAGCACUACGUUGUGUGUUUGUAGGGUAUGCCUUACAUCAAAAGGGAUACCGAUGCUAUCAUCCACCAUCAAGAAAAAUAUACAUCACCAUGGAUGUCGUUUUUCAUGAAGAUAUCAUGUACUACUUGUCAGAGUCUGAAUUUCAGGGGGAGUAUAAUGAAGAGGAAAUUCAUACUCUUACAUAUCUUCCACCUGAAGAAAGUCAAUCUUCCAUUGAGAUAGUAAACCUUCAAGAUACUGGAAAAGCAAAUGGUGAUGAUUCGCAAGCUGAGAUAUGUGAAAACACAUUUGGGGAGCACAAUACUCAGACACAACUGCAAUCGAGAAUGAGUCACAUGAAGAAAUACCUAACCAAUCGUCUGCAGAGGAUGUUCCUACCACAAGUCCAAUCAGAAGAAUUCUUCCCCAGCGUCAAAAUAGAGGUAUCCCUAAACCCACAUAUGAGCCUGACUUCUCUAGUAGAGUCAAAUACCCUAUGAGUCAUUUUGUGUCUAACCAUCGCUUGUCAGAAUCAAAUCAGUCAUUUGUGAAUCAAUUAUCUGCUGUAUCUAUUCCUAACAGUGUGCAGGAAGCUUUAAAAGAUCCAAAGUGGAAAGCGGCUAUGAAUGAUGAAAUGAGAUCUCUUCAGAAAAAUCAAACAUGGGAACUAGUUGAUCUUCCACCAGGAAAGAAACCAAUGGGUUGUCGAUGGAUCUACACUAUAAAAUACAAAGCAGAUGGCUCUAUUGAACGAUACAAAGCAAGACUCGUAGCUAAGGGUUACACCCAAACCUACGGGAUUGAUUAUACUGAUACGUUUGCACCGGUAGCAAAAAUUAAUACUAUUCGUAUCUUAUUAUCAUUAGCAGUCAACUUGGAUUGGCCAGUGCAACAGUUCGAUGUAAAGAAUGCUUUCCUCCAUGGAGACCUGUCUGAAGAAAUUUAUAUGGAUCUGCCACCAGGAUGCAGUGGACCAGAACGACUCAAUCAGAAAGUAUGCAAAUUGAAGAAAUCAUUGUAUGGGUUGAAGCAAUCCCCAAGAGCAUGGUUCGGGAAAUUCACGAAGGCUAUGGUUCGUUUUGGGUAUAACCAAAGCAAUUCAGAUCAUACCUUAUUCAUUAAAAAACGACAAGGUAAAAUCACUGCCCUUAUUGUCUAUGUGGAUGAUAUGGUAGUUACAGGCAACGACGAGGAAGAAACAAAGGCUCUUCAGAAGUACUUGUCAAGAGAGUUUGAGAUGAAGGAUUUAGGUGCCUUAAAAUACUUUCUUGGAAUUGAGGUUUCUCGAUCUAAGGGAGGAAUCUUUCUGUCUCAAAGGAAAUAUGCCUUAGAUCUAUUGCACGAAACGGGAAUGACAGCUUGUCAGCCUAUUGACACCCCAAUAGAAGAAGGACUGAAGUUUUGUAUUACUUCAGACCAAGUUCCAGUAGACAAAGGAAGAUAUCAAAGGCUGAUUGGAAGAUUGAUGUACUUGUCCCACACAAGGCCAGAUCUUGCUUAUGCAUUGAGUGUUGUAAGCCAGUUUAUGCAUAAUCUCGGAGAACAACACAUGAAAGCAGUAAUGCGGAUCCUGAGGUACCUGAAGACAAAUCUAGGAAAAGGAAUCUUAUUUUCCAAAAAUGAAGAUUACAGCAACAUAGAAGUUUAUACUGAUGCAGAUUGGGCCGGGUCAGUUAGUGAUAGACGCUCUACUUCAGGAUACUUUACCUUUGUGGGAGGAAACCUUGUCACAUGGAGAAGCAAGAAACAACAUGUCGUUGCCCGUUCGAGCGCUGAAGCAGAAUAUCGAGGCAUGGCCCUUGGGAUAUGUGAAGGGCUAUGGAUAAGUUUUAUCUUAAACGAUUUGGGCUAUCCAUCACAACAACCAAUACAACUAUACUGUGACAACAAAGCUGCACGAGAUAUUGCUCAUAACCCAGUUCAACACGAUCGAACAAAACAUGUGGAGGUAGAUAGAUUUUUCAUCAAGGAGAAAUUAGAUGAAAAAAUCUUAGAAUUGCCGAAAAUUCGAUCAGAAGAUCAACUUGCAGAUAUUUUAACGAAGGCCAUUUCAAGCAGGGCAUUUACAAAAUUCCUAGACAAGUUGGGUAUGCAAGACAUCUAUGCACCAGCUUGAGGGGGAGUGUUGAGAAUCAAAUAAAACGGCAUUGAAUGAAGCUUUCAAAGACAGAAUCUGCACUUGUCAAAGGGGUAAUCUGCACUUGUCAAAGACAAGAUCCGCGCCGAACGGAUUGACACAUUUCCUUCCGUAUUCACAUAUGUAAUCUUUGAAAAAAUGUAGCUUCUGCAUCUAUAAAUAACUCUCAAUGUAUAAUGCUUUAUUUAAGAAAUGAAAACACGUUUCUUCACCUUUCUUUCUCACAAAACGGAACCAUGGUUGCUAUUGGAGAGAUCUUACUCAACGCCUUCUUUCAGGUGUUGUUUGAUAGGUUGGCUUCUUGUAAUUUUCUCAGCUUUGUGCGUCAACUCCAAGGCGGGGUUGAUUUGGAACUCAAAAAGUGGGAGAAAAAGCUGAAGAUGAUUCAGGCUGUGCUCUACGAUGCAGAGGAGAAGCAACUGAUCGACGAGGCUGUGAAGACGUGGCUGGACGAACUCCAAGACUUGGCUUAUGACGCUGAGGACAUUCUUGAUGAGUUUGCUACUCAAGCUUUGGAAAGCGAGUUGAUGGAGCAAAAUCAGGAUAGCUCUGGCCAGCUUCUUAGUUUCAUCCCAGCUAGUUUGAGUCCGAAUGCUAUUAUGUUCAAUUAUAGCAUGGGGUCCAAGAUUAAAGAUAUUACUAGCCGGUUGGAGCACCUCGGCCAAGAAAGAAUUGAACUUGGUCUGCAACGGAUUACUGGAGGGGCAUCAUCAUCUACUGCUGCCGCACACCAGAGGCCACCCAGUUCGAGUGUCCCAACAGAACGUGAAGUAUUUGGAAGAGAAGAAGAUAAGGCCAAAAUUCUUGAUAUGGUUUUGGCCGAUACCCCAAGUGAUCAUGCCAAAUUUGUUGUAAUACCCAUUGUUGGCAUGGGCGGAAUAGGAAAAACAACUCUUGCUCGGGAGGUCUACAAUGACAAGGCGUUGAAGAUUCCAAGUUUGAUGUAAAAGCAUGGGUUUGUGUCUCUGAUGUCUUUGAUGUUUUGGUCAUCUCAAAGGCACUUCUGGAGUCAAUCACCCGCAGGCCUUGUGUUCUAAGCAAUUUAAAUGAAGUGCAGGUUGAGCUGAAAAUAGUUGUGGAUAAAAAAAGAUUUCUACUGGUCUUAGAUGAUGUUUGGAACGAGGACUACAGCUUGUGGGUAGACUUAAAAGCUCCUUUCAUGGCUGCUGCACCAAACGGUAAAAUGAUCAUCACCACACGCAAUUCAAAUGUUGCAUCAAUAAUGGGACCAAUUGAACAUUACAAUCUCAAGAGUCUGUUAGAUGAUGAUUGCUGGUCCAUUUUCAUACAACAUGCACUUGAAUCUAGAGAUCUUAACGCAAAUCAAAUUUCAGAAUCAUUCCGCAAGAAAGUUGUUGGCAAGUGUGGGGGCUUGCCCCUGGCAGCAAAAACACUAGGGGGCCUUCUGCGUACUACGAGGCAUGAUGCAUGGGACGAUAUAUUAGAUAGCAAAAUAUGGGAUUUACCUCAACAAAGUGGCGUUCUCCCUGUGUUAAGAUUGAGUUACCACCAUCUUCCGUCUCAUUUGAAAAGAUGUUUCGCUUAUUGUGCAAUCUUUCCAAAAGAUUAUGAAUUCAAUGAGAAGGAGCUGACUUUCUUAUGGAUGGCUGGAGGAAUUAUUCGACAGUCAAGAAAGAAUGAGCAGCUGGAAGAUUUGGGCGGCAAGUGCUUUCAUGAUCUAGUGUCAAGGUCAAUUUUUCCACAAACCAGCUCGGGUAGUUCUAAAUUUGUAAUGCAUGACCUUAUCCAUGAUCUUGCUGAACUGGUUUCUAGAGAAACCAUUUUCAGAUUAGAGGAGGCCAACUUGUCAUCAAGAAGAUUUGAAAGGAUCCGCCAUGCUUCCUAUACCCGUGGUUGGUAUGAUGGUAAAAAUAAGUUCAAGGUUUUCAAUGAAAUUGAACAUCUACGAACAUUCCUACCAUUACACGAAAGACGAGGAUAUUACAUACCUCGAACGGUUCUAUCUGAUUUGCUGCCAAAGUUCAGAAGGUUGAGAACGCUAUCUUUACAAGGAUACUGUAUUGGUGAGUUACCAAUGUCAUUUGAAGAUCUGAGACUUUUAAGGCUCCUCAACCUUGCUGACACUGACAUAAGAAGUUUACCUGAGUCAACAUGCACAUUGUUGAACUUGGAAAUUUUGAUAUUAAGAAAUUGUUCCCGUUUGAUAAAGCUUCCGCCCAAAAUGAGGAAUUUGAUCAAUUUACGCCAUCUCGAUAUAAGAGGUGCGAAGUUGCUGAAGGAGAUGCCGUUCGGAAUGAAGGAGUUGAAGAAUCUUUUACAAGUUUGGAAGAUUUAAAAUGUUUAAACUUUCUUUGUGAUGAACUCUGCAUGAGUGGAUUAGAGAAUGUGAAUAAUCCACAGAAUGCAAGAGAAGCCACAGUAUGCGAGAAGCACAAUCUUGAAGCAUUGACUCUAGAUUGGGGGUCUCAAUUUGACAAUUCUCGAGAUGGAGUAGUAGAAGAGCAUGUACUGGAAAUUCUACAGCCCCAUAAAUGUAUAAAAAAGGUGGCAAUCAGGAACUAUGGUGGUGCAAGAUUUCCGCAUUGGAUCGGAGAUCCUUCGUUCUCCAAGAUGAAGGUCCUUAAAUUGGAGAACUGUCACAAUUGUGUAUCGUUGCCGUCGCUUGGCCUGUUGAGUUCACUUAAGCACCUUGCUGUUAAAGGGCUGAAGAAACUAAAAAGCAUAGAGUCUGAGGUUUAUGGGGAGGGUUUCUCAAUGCCUUUUCCAUCACUGGAGAUUCUAAGUUGCGAGAAUUUGCCAGAAUGGGAGCAUUGGGAUACCGAGAUCAAAGGAAAUGUGCCUGUUGAUAUAUUUCCUCGUCUCCAAGAACUUUCCAUUGCAGAAUGUCCCAAACUCUCUGGACAACUGCCUGAGCUCCUGCCUUCCUUGGAGACACUUGUUGUUAGUAAAUGUAAAAAGUUGGUAGUUCCAUUGUCUUGCUAUCCGAUGCUCUGCAGAUUAGAAGUUGAUGAGUGCAAAGAACUAGUCUGCCGGACUCCGAUUGAUGUUAAGUUGAUAAAGUCCAUGACUAUUUCAAAUAGUUCAUUAGACCUGAAUGGAUGUAAGGGGAUGCUAUACGAUGGUCCAGCUGGCUCUUCACUGCCAAAGCCCAUGACUACUACAAAUGUUUUGGAGUUUGGAAAAUUAUUGAAGCCUGGAUUUCAGAUAUUCGAAACUUUGGUAAUUGGCAAUUCUGAACAGCUCAAGUCAUGGAGGCAGCAUGGGGAUUUUCCUAAAAAAUACAUGGUCACUGACCAUAGGUUUAAGAAACCAGUACCAGGGCUGAAUAUGCUCGCUUCCCCUGAAGAGGUAAAAAUUGAAGAAAGCUGCGUAAGUCUUGUUUUGUUUCCAGAGAUCAAUUUUUUUCCCAGAAAUCUACGCUCUCUUCUAAUUAAAAACAGCACAACUUUAAAAUCCUUACCCGAGGAAAUGAUGGCAACAAUUCACAACUCGAAAGGUUGUAUAUCAGAGAUCGCGACUGUCUAACAUUCAUCGCAAGACGGAGGCUACCGGCAUCUCUUAAAAGGCUUGAGAUAGAAAAUUGUGAGAAAUUGCAACGUCUGUUCGAUGAUGAAGAGGAUGCUUCUUCUUCUUCUCCUGCAUCCUCGUCGUCCCCAGUGAUGCUGCAACACCUGAGUAUAGAGAACUGCCCAGAGCUCACCAGUUUAUCAUCGGGUGUCCAAUUCCUUGAGGCGCUUGAAUUCCUCGAGAUACGGGAUUGCCCAAAGCUGGAGUCAAUACCGGAUGGCCUGCCCAAUCUUAAAUGUUUACAGAGCAUUUAUAUAUGGAAAUGUCCAAGUCUUGUUCCUUCCCAGAAAGAGGGCUUCCCAACACGAUUUCAAGGGUUGGCAUUGGCGAAUGUGACAAGCUCGAAGCCUUGCCCAAUGAUUUGCACAAAAUCAACUCUCUUCGAUAUUUAAGCAUACAGCUGUGUCGAAAUCUUGUAUCGUUUCCAGAAGAAGGUUUUCCUACCAGUCUAACAUCACUUAGAAUUGGAGAUUUCAAAAUGUAUAAGACCCUCGUCCAGUGGGGGUUGCACAGGCUUACCUCUCUUAGACGCCUCUAUAUCGUUGAUUGUGAUGACGAAGCAGAGUGUUUUCCAGACGAGGAGAUAGGAAUGACGCUGCCCACCUCUCUCACUGAUCUGUACUUAUCGGGAUUCCAAAAAUUGAUAUCCCUGUCUUCGACGGGUUUUCAGAGCCUCAACUCUCUUCAAUAUUUGUUGAUCGCGGGUUGCCCAAAUCUCACAUCAUUUCCAGAGGUGGGCCUUCCAUCCUCACUUUUGGGAUUAUUCAUUUUCAAAUGUCCAAAGCUUAAAAGAGCGUGCAAAAGAGAUCAAGGAAAAGAGUGGCCCAAAAUUGCUCACAUCCCUUGCGUUGAGAUAGACGAAAAAUUCAUAUACGAUCCCGAAUCAGAGGAGUAGAUUUCUGUUAUCCAUUAAAAACGAUCUCCUAUUAGUUUUAUUUUUUAAAUAAUAAUUUUGCAGUUCUGUUUUCUGUAUAAUUAUAAAUCCUCUGCCGUUAAUUAUUGACAAUGUCACUCACGUGAUUCCGUCUUCACUAAUCAGACUGUAUGUUGAGGCUAUUUGCUUUUUAAUCAAAGAUUAAAUUAUAACAUUUAUCUUAAAAUUGAAUAUCAUAGACAGAUAGACGAUUUUUAAAUCCAAAGUUUUUUGAUCCACUUCAAUUAGCAUUUAUUUUUUCCCCCAAAACAGGCAAGCCGAGAGUUUCAAUCAAGAAUUGGAGGAUGUGAAUGGGAUUUUUGUGAAAACAUAAUGGAUGAACGAACAUUUCAUCUGUGAUCUCAAAGUCAACAGAAUUUUAUUUACUCAUUGACUUUUCAACUCCUGUGGUUAUUUAUGGGUGAAAGAUAAGGGCAAUUACAAGAAAUUUGCAAACUUUGUCAACUUCUUUUAAUUGUACCAAUUUGUCGUUUAUGUUUUAGUUUUAUUUUUUCAGUUUUGUUUAUUGCUUAGAUGGUAGAUAUAUCGACAUUUUAGAUUUCAGAUAUUUGUCACCAGUUUCAUUCCCUUUUUUUUCGUUUUUUUAAGCUAGUUUGACUAAUUUUAACCAGAAUUAGAGCAGAAUAUUUUGGAGCGAGCAUACUUGAAAUGAUGCUUUUUAAUUUUGAUCUAGUAAAAAUACAUAGCCCUCACCGGCAGAAUUCUAGUCCCUACCGGGAUUCAAGAAAUUGAAAUUUCUGUCUUCAACGGGUUUUCGAAGCCUGACCUCUCUUCGAUUUUUGUGGAUCGGGAAUUAUAAAUUUACAGUUGUCAGAAGCUUGAAAAAGUGCGCAAAAGAGAUCGAGGAAAAGAAUAUUUCUCUGUUUAGUGAAGGAUGAAUGCUUGGAGUGGAGUAUUUGGUAACAUUUCUGUUUAGUUAAGGAUUUUGAAAUUAAUGAUGGUAAGAUGUGUACUUAUUCUUUCUUCCAGACAACCUUGCCUUCUUUCUUCGGUAGCAUAUCUAAUGAAUAUUUCUCUGUUUAGUUAAGGAUGAAUGCUUGCAGUGGAGUAUUUGGUAACAUUUCUGCCGUAGAUGAAUCCUUGAAGAAAUGCCUGCACUUCCUGAGACCAAAUACAGGUCUGAUUCAAAACAACACCUGUCCCAGAAAAUAUGAUACAAGGCAAAGCCAUGUUCUGAUAAUGUUUCCUUAAGUACAAAGUUGCAAGGAAACUUGAUUCAUUAACUACAAAUUUUUAUUUUUAGGACCUUGCAUCUGAAAGGUUCAGUGUAAUUUUUUUUUUUCAAUUUAUUGCUCAGAUCUCAGACGAGUAUAUGGUUUAGAUUACAAAACACUUACGAUUAAUUUCAUUUUUUUUUAUUUCAGGGAGAAGAAGUGGUCAGUUUCAAUCCAGAAUUGGAAUAUGGCAAUUUGGUGCAAGCACAAAUACCUGGUCACUUCGUCAGUGAACCUGAACUUUACUGAACUUUACACAGUUUUUUCAACUCAGUGAUUUUUGGAACGCAUAUUGGUGUAAGGAAAUCAAACGAAAUUUAUGCAUAGUCAAAUUCUGAUAUUUGCUAUAUUUUAUACAUUCUAAAGUUUCUCCAGUUUGUUCUCAGAUUACCAUCACUUUUUGCCUUCACCAAAAAAAAAUAUAUAUAUAUUUGAGUGGCUUUCCGGUGGAUAUUUAAUCGGAGGCAUGACUGGAUUUUUUUUCACUUCUGUAGAUCUUGCAUUUUAAACUGGCAAAUUUAACUUUAAUUUCAAUACGACUUUGUUGGUGCCUUCUGUUCCAGGAGCUAGAAAGAUGUGUAGUUUUCAGAUAAAGGGGCUUGUGAAUUCUCUAGUAAGAAUCCAAUAAUUUGCUUUUGCACGUUCAUUUUAUUUGUAGAUCCUUGCAUCUGAAUUUGAUCAAUCCAAAAGGAACUGCUUUUAGAGGGAAGAAGAAUAGCAGUACCUAUUCGAUGACAUAGUGUAUGGACCCUCACAUGUUAACUUUCAUGAAAAACACAUUUAAGAAAUUUGCAACUUUUUGGUUAGUUAUGUAUCCAAUGUUGUUUUCUGUUUUAGCAUUUGUAGAAUCUACUGUAUUAUAUUUUGGCAGCUACAGUAUCUGAGGUAUCUUUUGCAUUUAACUUGCUUUAUAUGUUUUGUCUGUGACUUAAGAACACCAAUAUUUGCCAGAGAUUUAGAGAAGCAUAUCAAGAUGCUUGGCUAACUUGACAAACUUCAAGAUCCUUCAUUCUUCACAAUGCAAAACUUGUGAGUACACUUAUGCCCGCAAUUAUUGUGAAAUGCUUGCAAUUUUGAUGCAGCGAAAUGGUUUGUUGAUGCAAAGGUUUGAACUUUUAAGGUUUACCCUGCAGGGUAGUUGGAUGCUGUAUACUCGAAAAGCCACCAACAUCAAGAACUAUACCUCCAAGACUGGGUUUGCAUUAAUUCAAUCAGCUGAAAUAAUGAUGCAAAGGACACUAUCAGCUGGACUUAGAGACCAGUCAGAUCAAUUAUCCAUUUUAUCAACAGUUAAUGUCAUCAUGGUGGCUAUUAGAGGAAACAGAGGAUGUGUCGGAAUCAAUAUGAACAGUGAGAAGAAUGAGAGGAGCUUUGAUUAUAAAUUGGCUCAAUGAACUCAUGCUGGUAAGUGGUAAUUAAAGAAAUUUGUGCGCUUAGCAGAGUUUCAAUAUUUUCUGUUUGGGAUAUAGUUGAUAAGUUGAUACUCUGAUUAAUAAGCCUGAUUAUAGUAGCUGACUGUAUUAACCAGGUUCUUUUCUUUCUUUUUUUUUUGGUGGUUUGCUGUUGUUUUGAUUAUGCUGUAACUACAAGGAAGAGCCGGACUUGGAUGCAGGCGUUCAGCUUUUAAUGGUUAAGAACAAAUGUAUGCUUUAACCAUGUUUCUCACUUAUUACAAUGUACGCAUUGAAGGCAUCUGAGCUGAUCCUGAAAAUGUCAUGGAAAUACUUCUCUGUUUACAUAAAACAGGACAAAUAGAGAUCUCUGAUCAUGCCUGAGAAUUCGUUGCAUUGAAAUUUCUACCAUUGCCAAAAAUAGAAUAAACUAGGGAUACAUUAGCGUAAGACUCAAUUUUGAGAAGGAAGUUUGUACUUGCAGCCUAAAAAAUCAUGUCUUUGUUGUAUACUUGUAUGUUUCUUUGGGAAAUGAAAGAUUCUGUGUUCUUUUAUUUCAAGUUUGCUGAAAUCACAUUUGUUUUCUUAGAUGCUUUCCAGAAGGUAACAGCAUCAAUUUCAAAAAUGCUGGGGUAAUAUGCAUCACGCAGUGCUACUCAACAUGAGAAAUCCUGGCUGCAUUAACUGUAUGUUGAGUGAUCGCACAGUACAACCUUGAGAAGCUUGUAAGGAGUAGACAACUAGAUGCGAGUAGUUUCAAUAUGGAUUCGCAUCAAAUGAUUUCUUGCCACUGAUUACCAUAACUUCUAUCCCAAAAUUCUGGGAACUGGUCAUACCAGCUAUGAAGUAUUGUAUACGUUGAAGAGCUCAAGGCCUUGCAAAAGCUCCGUCAGCCUUUGUAUUGGCAAACAGAUGGUUGUAGUUGCUUCUGAAUGAUAUGAUUAAUAGAUUCUGUAAAAAUGAAUUGUGCUAUACGCUUUCAGAGUUCUGUUAAGAUGUCUUGGUAGUUUUUGAUGCUUGUUUGAUUUAUAUUGCAUUCAGCUAUAAAUCAAAGGUUCAGAACACGAGUAUGUUGCUGAUUUCCAAAUAGAAAAAUUGCCUUGUGAUGUUAGUGUCCAUUGUUUUCACAGGAGAUCAGGUUCCUUGUUAUUGAAUCAAGAAGGCAAACGCAUCCAUGUCUGAGUUCAAUUGUGUCCCUUCUAUUUUCUAUUACUGACUCAUUUAUUUUGAUUUCUUCAUUGUGAUUGAAUUGGUUUUUUAUUCCAAAUUAGUCAAAACCUCAUAGAGUUAUUAAGUUCCGUUAGCAUUCAGAACUACGUACCAAAUGAUUAACAGGAUUAAAUUACAAUAAAGAAUUAAGUUCUUUAUUGUAAUUGAAUUUGCUUUCUCAUGUUUAGAGAUAUUAUGUUCUGGUUAGGGGUGAUUUCUUGAAGAGUCAAUCCAUUUGUGUUUAUACAUUUUUCUAUUGCCUUGAUUUCUGUUUUCUGGGGAGUUUAUACAGAUUCUUAUUUUAUGCUUCACAUGCCACAUGAAAGAUCAAAGCCUUCUGUCUGAACAUAAUAUACGUAGAAAGUUAAAUUUAUUUAUUUAUAAGCAUGUCCCAGUGCCCAGUGGCAUCCUCUUAACUUGUGAUAGUCAAAUGUAUUAUACGAUACAAUAUCAGCUUGACUUUAGCAUAGAGGAGAAUAGGGUUGGUGUUGGACUGAAUUCUGAUCCUUGAAUAAAUAUAACAGCUGCCUGAACCAGCUUAUUUGACUCCACAACUUUAUACUUGUUUUAUAGUCUAUGCCUACCUCCAUCGUCGGCAGCUUACAGUCUCUUUUAGCAUUUUAAAAAGUUUCAUGAUAUUCCAUAGUUCGCAUGGACUGCUACAAUUUAGAGAAACAUAAUUACGGCAUAUUUAAUUACCACGCGAGGAGUCUUCUUUUUUGCGCACCAAUAAUUCUUUGUACUUAAUUAGAAGAUGAGAAAUCCUUUAGCCGAACCACGAACUCACCUAUUAGUGGGGUUUUUUCCGCUUGCAUUCAGUCGCUCAAGUGAAAAUUGCGUGCAAUUUUUUCCUCAACUAAAAUUGGAAUAGAUAUUUUGUUAUUGCUGGCACAAAUUUUCCUUUAAGUCAAAUUGGAAUAGAUGUUUGUGAGAUGCCUAGACCUGAGAUUUUGUUAUGAUUAUAUGCAUUAAAGCUUUCGGUAGACCCUUGAAAUCUUAUGAUCAAUGUAUUAGAAAUUUAGAAUUGGGGUUUAUAAGAGCUAGUUUGACCAUGUUAUAACUUUUAAAAUUAUUGUUGCUAAUUGUGUUAUAGAAAUAAUUAAUCAGUUGUAAAAAUAAUUAGUUAAACAUUUGGUAAAUUUUAUUUUUAAAAGUGUUAGGAGUUUUAAAAGCAGACGUACGUACUUAGUAAAUCUCACUUUUAAAAUAUUAUAAGAAUGCAAAAGGUUUAAAUAUAUAUAAAUCUAUACAAUUUAUUUACACAUGCAUUUAUAGAUACAUGUAUAUAUAAUAAUUGAUAACUAAAAUAAAGAUUUUUAUUUUAUUAAUUUUUUUUGUUAUCUAAAAAAAGGUAAUAAUAAUAUCUUUAAUGACGUAUUUAUUAAUCAGUAAUCGGAAUGGACUGGAAUCAAAAUGGAGGAAUGGAAAUCGGAAUAAAUUGUUUACUUUAACUAUCAAUAUUGGAAUCGCAAUGAACUGUAUUAUCACUUAUAUAUUUAUUUUAUCUGAGAAUCAGAAUGGAUUGAUUUAAAUUACUAGACAGACCUUAUUAUUAUUAUUAUUAUUAUUAUUAUUAUUAUCAUCAUUAUUAAAUAAGGUAAAAAGGAAUUUUCAAUUUUUACUGAAGUAAAAAUAUCAAUUCACUUCUCAUUUUCAGCCCUAGGGAAUGAGACUCCCAUUCCACAUUCUAGAAUUUAUAGAGUCCACUCAAAUUUUCAUUCCCAUUCCCCCUCCUUGUUUUGCAAGUAAACAAGUUAAUAAUCCUAUUCUCUCAUUUCUACUCCCAUUCUCAUUCUCAAGUACUAACACAUCAAGGUAUUCGGUUCGGUUUUUGCCCAAUAGAACUGAAAUUAUUCGGUUUGGUUUGAUUUGGUUUAAUAUAAAAAGCCAAAGGGUUUAUAUUUUUAUGAACCAAAUGGUUUGUAUUUGAUUCAAUUCUAAAACUGAACCGAAAGCACAAACCAAUCGGUUCACGUAAUUUUAAUUAUUUUUAGAAAAAGAAAAACCAAAACUAAAUCGUAGAAUGUGAAUCCCUAAAAUCUAAAUCCCUAAUUCUCCUAACUAACUAAAACUAAUCACAGAACAACACAACCACAACAACCUAGCAAGCGCAGCGGUAGCCCCUCGAACCACGCUCACUCUCAAGUAUAGCAUGACAAUAGGGCUCUCUCAUGCAAUGAUAGGUAAUUUCUUAGUUUAGAAGGGAAAGUAAGAGAAACAGAGGAAGAAUAUAAGUUGAUUAAAAGGGAAAAGUCAAUUCUUAUUCCAAAAACUUGCUUAGUGCAAGUUCAAUAGGGUCUCUUAAAUAGACCUAUACAUAUAAUAAAAACUAGAAAAGACGAAAAUCACUUGAAAAUAAAAAGCAUGAUCACUUAAAUGGUAAACAUACAUAACCGCCAUGAGCUACAUGCAACCUAAGUCAAAUAAUCAACUGAAGAAACUUGAUCCCCAUGCAUAUUGAGCACAUACCAUUCCCCACCCUUUAGAAACACCUUGUUGGUGCGGUUAAAGUGAGGGUGAGCCUUUGAGAAUCACCAACAGUUCCAACGAGUGUCCUCAAUUGCUGCUCCUAUCCCUAUAACCAGUAUUGAGUUGUACGAAUGGCACAUGAUCUUCAAUCAUGAAUAGUUGCAGCUUUUAACAACAGUGUGAUACAAACUAAUAAAAAUAAUAAAAAUUAUUUAUUUUAUUUUAUUGUAUUAGUUAAUUUUGAACUAGUCAAAACUAGUUGCCCUUAUUUUGUGGAACUACAUGUAAUUAGUGGAGCAUUAUGUGAGAACAUGCUUAGUGUUACUAAUUUUUAGGUUGUAAUCCUAAAUAAACUUUUAUUAUAUAAAGCUUAAUGUUACUCAAUAAAAAGGAUCAUGAGUUUAUUAUUUUGGCAACAUAAAAGUUGUAAUUGGGAGUUUAUUGGUUUCUCGAAUAACCAAUACUUAUUUGGAGGUUUGGAUUUCCUUGAAUUAACUCCAUUUGUCAUCUAAUUUUUCUAUUUCAUUUGAUUUCUCCUUAUAAACUUUAGUGUUCGUAUCACAGUGGCCAAGAAUAAGUUUCUCGUCACAAUAAUAACACAACCCUUUUCCACGAUGAGCAUGUGCUUCUUAGUUAGAUAGUUGCUGGAUAUGAGGGGAAGCGAUGUCAUCGGCUAUUUAAUCAACCUUAGGAGGUGGACCUAAGACUCUAACAAAGCUAUUUGGGGUUGGUUGCUAUAUCACCAAAAUAGAGGGUGGUAGAGAAAAGUGACUAGUGCAUUGAGAAAGUGAAUUUCGCUCCUCAAUCAGUCUUGUCACACCAAUGGUGUUAGCCAAGGUAAAGGGCUAUUUAAUCUUGACAUCUAGUUGUAUCUCAUCCUGAAGACCUACAAUAAAACAACCAAUUAAAAAACAUUCGAGUAAGCCAUCAACCUAAUAUAAAAGCUUUUCAAAAGUUUAUUGAUAUUAAGCUAAUAAUGGAAGUCUAUUUCAGGUGCAUCAAAGCCUUAGAUGGGUCCUCAUAAUCCAUUAGUUCGAAUCGUAGAAGGACUGUUGUUGAUGCUGAAAUCUGCUCGCCCUCUACCCAACCAAAUCAUUCCACCAACAUUUGUGUAUGCAAUGGAGAGAAUACUGCCCUUUUGCCUCCUUCAGCAACUGCGGAUGCUCCAGGGGUUGGAAUCACCUUUUUCCCUUCUUUCUAAUCCUGCACUCACAGAGAUAGAUCAGAGACGCCGGUGGUUUUACCAGCAUAAACCCUCCAAUACUUAAGUUAGCACAAGGUGUUUUACGGGAAAACUAUGUAACUUGGAUUGUUUGGUUUCUCGUAAUGCUUUCUAAAACUUGUAAAGAAUAUAAUCUGGUUUCAAUUUGGCAGAGUUUUCCUUUUUCUCUCAAUUUUUCCAUCCCUUUUUUCAUUGGUUUCCCGGCUUCUUGUAACCGUUGUCCCACGUUCCUAUCUACUCCUCAUGCCCCCCCUUUUAUCGGGUGAUGGCAGGCCUUCAUGGCCUCCAACCACUGGAUUGUGGGUAAACAUGGGAUGACAUGUCCCUCUUGACGGUUUGGGGCAUAGCGAAACUACCGCAUUUUCGUGAGAUCGUGUGCCCCUUGUUUGGGUGAUGGGUAUCUGGUUGGUAUAUGUCUCUAGUCGGUACAUUCCUCUGGUCGGUGCUCGUCUCUAGUAGGCCCACUUUUGUAUGAGGCGUUUUACCAGGGCUCUUUUUGUGCCGCUCAGUUGAGGUGAUUCACCUCGGGGUGGGAAAUGAGGGCAUGGCUGAGCUGGUGCUCUUUAUUACUUAAUACCAGUCCCCUAGUUUCUGGUCUUGCGAGUGAAAUGAGUUGAGAUUAGAAACUAAGAAUCGGAUUUUAUCGACCCCGGGAAAUUCCUAUCUGGUCUUCGUGUUAUUGUGAUGGACCUGAGGUUCUGCCUUUUGUUUAGGGAGAUUUUUUAUCUAAGUAUGGGCCUUUGUGAGCAUGUCCAAUAUAUAGCUGGGCUAACAUCUCGUCAGGCCUUUUAUAACGGUCAGUGACGUGUCGUUUCUCGUCCUUUCAUAUUUGAAAUUUGAAACGACGGCUUAUCUGCCCUCGAUAUACGGCGAGUGAGCUAGCACCCGUAUAACUUAAACGCUUCCAUUUCCCUAUUUCAUUUCAAAUCCCUAAAUUGAAGCUGUCAUUGCGUUUCACUAUCCGCCAUUUCACUGUAAACUAAGUCCCUCUUUGGACUUCAAUCACACUUUUUGCGUCCGAAACCUCUAUUUGCUGGGUCCUCUCUCCGUCACAGCAGCACUACCAGUGCCAGUUUAUUCUAGGUAUCACUUUUAACUUCUUCGCUGGUUGUUGUUGAUUGGGUUCUGUGUUGCCCCUUUUUGUACCCAUACACUCGGAUUUACUGUGUUUUCCUUUUUGAGUUUUUGAUAUGUCAAACCGAAAGGGGAAACUAAUUGUAGAUGAGAGUGAUGAAGAGGUGGGGGACUCAUACCCCAACCUGUUUGGGCCUAAUGACCCCUUAUCAUCUUCUCGUAGUAUAAGUCUUUCCCAUCAUAGGGAUACCCUAGAGUAUCCUCAUCGCGUGACCACUUUGCCUUCCCCUGAAUUAGAACCCGUGGGAAACCGUGGUGGUUCAGCUUCUUGCUCUGGUGAAAAUCACAGUUCUGAGGGCUGGGGGGGUCCCUGGAAAGUGGGUGAAGGUAAGGAGAGUAGCUCCGAGCCGAGCAGACCCUCUAAGAAGAGAAACUUUGGUCAUAUGAUGGCGGGAGAUGCUUAUCCCAUUGACUAUAUCACCUGUGUUACCACCCACACUGACCUACUCAAGUUUAGAAACCUCUACCAUAUCCCUGAGGUGGUUCUUCUUUUAAUCCCUGGGAAAGGUGACUUCCCCAGUCGGCCUCCAAGGGGAUAUGUCACGAUGGGCACGAUUACCCCUUCAACCUUACUUUGCUUGGAUACUGGGUGGUAUGCAUCUGGCUCCAGGUCAGCUUCACCCGAAUGGGUGGAGGGUUCUCUCAGCCAUGUAUGUGCUAUGGAAAAAGUGUGGACUUGAGGAGCCUUCUCUUGAGGAAGUGAAGCAUUUAUACCAGCUGAUGAGCUUUCCAAGGGAAGCAGGUUGGUACUACUUCAUGUCAAGCUCUGCAAAGAGGAAGCCUGUCACCGACUUUCCUUCUUCCUGUAAAAAUUAGAAGAACAAAUUCUUCUUUGCUGGAGGAAAUUGGUGUCCAACAAUUCAUUCGCUUAGUGGUGAUAUUCACCUCCCAACACAUUUUGUCACCCCAGGUCGUUAAUUUUUCUGCAUACUUCACUUCUCUAAUCGUUACUUAUCGAGUUCCUUAACCUUGUUUGUUCUUUCAGAAUUGUGGGGUUUGAUCAAGAAACUUGACGAUAGACCACUGCUCCAGGUGGAAAUGGCUCUGGUGAACGCGUCUACCUGUCACGAUCUCAUAUCGUUAAUAAAUCUUGUCGGGUUGCACUUAGUGGACGUAGCUAUUGGGAUGGACAACAAGAUCCUCAGCGCUAUGUCUAAGAAACACACUUUGGGUUCAGGUAGCUCCAGCAACCUCCCUCCUCCUUUGAAGAAAGUCAAUGUUGGUUCCUCCAAGGCUUCUGCUCCUGCUCUGCCCCCUCCUUCACCUCGGAAGAAUGGUAGGGAGAAAGUUAGUGACAAGAGCCCCGAGGUCAGCAUUCAAUUUGGAGACCGAUCCUCUCCUCUACCGCCUCGGGACCAGGGUGACUAUCUGACCCUGUACCAGAGAGAUUACAACAAGUCGAUGGGACCAAAAAUGGUCAAGGACAUUGAAAGCAUGAACCUCAGCGAGCUAGGUGGUUCAGUUCAAAUGGUCUCCUUUAAGCUGGCUACUCUGGUUUCUUGCUACAAGAAUAGGUCUACGCGCCAAGAGAGGAGGCUUCAAGCUGAUAACGAGGACUUGAAGAAAAAGGCUAAUUCUGUUGAUCGCUCGAAGGAGAAGCAGAUUGAGCUACACAAGCAGAUCAUGGACCUGGAGGAGAAAGUGGCUAUUGCUGAGUCUAACUCCUCCAAGCUUGAGGGUGAGUUGGGUGAUCUAAAGUCCGAUCUCCAGGUUGCUCACAGUGAACGAGAUACUUUGAGGACGACCCUUGAGGAACAUAUUAGGUCCUUAGAUGAGCAGGUAGCCGAGCUGAAAGGCAAAUCUGUUGAGGUGGACAAUUGACUGGAUGCAGAAUAUAACUCUGGGCUCGCCUUUUGCUACAAGUGCAUCAUGUUUGUGCUUAAGGGAGAAUAUCCUGAGCUUGACAUGAGCAAGCUGGAGGCUGGAGUGCAGAAAUACAUGGCCGAGCCCGAUCAAGGGGAUAAGGAGCAGGGAGAGCAGGAUCAGGUGGAGGCUCCUUCAGAUGGGGUGCAGGAGAGGGAAACAGAGGAUUAUGCUCUUGAAACAGGUCAGGGGUCACUGCCUGCUCCCCCAGAAGUUGCUGGUCCACCUUUUAUCGAGGCUGCUGAACCUCAUAAUCCUUAGGCUUAUAUAUAUAUAUAUAUAUAUAAAUAUUAUUUUGUAUAAAUUCUAAACUCCCAUCUGUCUACAAAUGUUUGGAUGUUUAUAAACUUUGGAUGCUUUUUGUUUGCUUUCUUGCCAUGGUUUUGGUUGUGAAUCGUUUCUACAAGUUACCUUAACAAUUUUGAGUGACUUUGGCUGCUGGUCCUUUUGUCGUCCGAGCAGGAACUGACACUUGUUUGCCUUAGCGAAAUUUGUAAAACUUACAUUUCAGUUUUUCAAACGACUGAGCAGGAACUGGCGUUGGUUUGCCUUAACGAAAUUUUGUAAAAUUGCCUGCUGGUGCUUUAGGCGACCAAGCAGGAAUAGGCACUUGCUUGCCUUCAUAAAAUUUAUAGAUUUGCCUGCUGGUCCUUUAGGCGAUCGAGCAGGAAUAGACACUUGCUUGCCUUAAUAAAAUUUGUAGAUUUGCCUGCUGGUCCUUUAGGCGUCCGAGUAGGAAUAAACACUCGCUUGCCUUAAUAAAAUUUGUAGAUUUGCCUGCUGGUCCUUUAGGCAACCGAGCAGGAAUAUGCACUUGCUUGCCUAAAUAAAAUUUGUAGAUUUGCCUGCUGGUCCUUUAGGCGAUCGAGCAGGAAUAGGCACUUGCUUGCCUUACUAAAAUUUUUAGAACGAGGGAAUUUAUGCUGAAUUCAUCUUUAUUGAACUUUGCAUGGAUUACAAGAGGCGAGAUAUAGUCACGUGUAACAAUUCAUCAUGCUUUUAACAUAAAUAACUUAUUGAAAUAAAACUUGGUAAGGCAGUUUGCUUACUGGAAGUAUUUCUUCAAGUGCUUAGCGUUCCAUGAUCUUUUCACGUCUCGUCUAUCUGGGUAAAUCAGCUUGUACGCUCUUGGGCCAGUUAUUCAUACCACUCUGUAUGGGCCCUCCCAUUUCGGGCUAAGAACACCAUGAAUAGGAUCUCUUGUGCAUUGGUUCACUUUUCUAAAUACCCAAUCUCCUGCUCGGAACUGUCUCAUGCGAACAUUUUUGUUGUAGUAACGCAUGAUCCUUUGCUGGCAUUUGGCUGUUCUCUGCGAUGCCCCUUCUCUUUUUUCCUCCAGCAGGUUCAGGCUCAAGCAGAUCUGCUCGUCAUUUUGUUCUUUGUUGAAAUACUCUGUCCGAUAUGCCCCCACCCCAAUUUUUGCUGGGAUUACUGCCUCAUGACCGAAAGCUAAAGCAAACGGGGUUUCUCCCGUGGCCAUUUUGUGGGUUAUCCGGUAGGCCCAUAACACUCCUAGUAACUCGUCGACCUAAGCUCCUUUUUUUUCUCAUAGCCUGGUUUUCAAGAGUUUCUUUAUUACUUUGUUGGCUGCUUCCACCUGCCCAUUUGCCUUGGGGUGUGCUAGGGUACAAAACUUCAGGUCCACCCCUAAAUUUUGGCUAAAUUCUCUGAAGUUGUGAUUGUCAAACUGUCUCCUAUUGUCUGUAAUGACAGCAAUGAGGAUCUCCUAUCUGCAGAUGAUAUUCUUCCAAACAAAAUCCGUUAUCUUUCUCUCUGUGAUUUGACUGAGGACCCUUACUUCUACUCAUUUGGUGAAGUAGUCUAUAGCCACAAUUGCAUGUAUUACUUCUCCUCGGCCCUUGGGUAAUGGGCCAAUCAGGUCAAUUCCCCACUGAGCAAAAGGCCAUGGGGAUGACAUAGUGGUUAACCUUUCUGGGGGCUGAGCAGGGACUUCCGAGAAGCUCUGGCUGACUUUAUAGUUUUUUGCCAUCCCCGUCGCAUCCUGAUGCAUGGUCGGCCAGAAGUACCCUUGCCGAAGCACCUUGAAAGUCAAAGUUCUCGCCCCCGAGUGGUUGCUGCAUAUUCCUUCAUGAAUUUCCCUCAACACAUAAUUUGCUUCCUCGUCAUCCAAGCAUCUCAAAAGGGGCAAGGUGAAUCAUCGGCGGUAGAGUACCCCAUCGAGUAGCGUAUACCUUGCUGCCUGACAUUUCAACUUUCUUGCUUGCUUCCUGUCCUCUGGUAAGAUGCCCUCACGAAUGUAUAAUAGAAUGGGGUCCAUCCAGGAUUUUUCGAUGCUCACCUGCAUUACUUCUGCUUCCUCCCCUAUGCUUGACGAGGUUCUCACUUUUAGUGGAAUUGACUUGGGUAAUUUUGGAUCUGCAAUUGCGGCCAUUCUGACCAAUAUAUCUGCUCGGUAAUUCUCAUUCAGAUAUAUCUGCUUUAUUUCUAUCUCUUGGAAGAGCUCAACCAUCUGUUUUGCCUUCUUCAAAUAAAGCCCCAUCUUCUCUUCCCUCGCUUGGAAUUGAUCACUGAGCUGAUUACAGACUAAUUGGGAAUUUGCUCAGAUUUCUAUCCUUUUUGUUCGUAGUGCGUGUGCAAACCCCAGCCCAGUGAUGAAAGCUUCAUAUUCAGCUCGGUUAUUCGUAAGCUGAAAUUUAAAUUUCACUGCAUAAGAUACAUCGGCCCCUUCUAGGCUUCGUAUUACAAUUCCUGCUCCAGAUCCCUGUUUACUACGUGACCCAUCAAUUAUUACUAGCCACACCCCCUUUGAUUUCUCCUGCUUCACUGGUUGCUCCUCCCAAAUUUCCUCCCCUAAUUUAACACGGUCAACCAUAAAAUCGGUCAAGGCUUGGGCUUUGAUUGCUUCUCGGGGUUUGUAGGAUAGGUCGAAUUCGCUCAACUCCACGGACCAUUUACUAACCGACCAGAUGCAUCUAGUUUUAGAGCAUUUACCGAAGAGGCUGGUCAGUCAUCACAACUAUCGGGUGGGCCUGAAAGUAAGGUCUGAACUUGCGUGCUACUGUUAUUAAAGCUAGUGCCCAUUUCUCCAUUAGUGGAUAUCUGGUUUCUGCAUCUACCAGGGCCUUGCUAGUGUAGUACACAGGGUGCUGCUUUCCUUCCUCUUCUCUGACUAAUACCGAGCUGGUAGCCCAUUUAAAGACUGCCAAGUACAAAUACAGCUGGUCACCUUCUCCAGGAGUUGAUAGUACAAGGCGCGGGCUAAAUAUUCCUUCAGCUGCCCGAAUGCCUCCUCACAUUCUAACGUCCACUCCAUUUUCCUUCAAUUCUUUAUGAUUUGGAAGAAAUGGUGACAUUUAUCUGUGGCUCGCGAGAUGAAACGGUUCAAUGCUGCUAACUUCCCUGUAAGACUCCGUACCUCUUUAACUGUCCGGGGGGACUUCAUUUUUGUUACUGCCCGUACUUUUUCCGGGUUGGCCUCAAUCCCUCGAUGGCUCACCAUGAACCCCAAAAAUUUACCCGCGCUAACUCCAAAUGCACACUUUUCCGGAUUCAGCUUCAUCUGAUACUUCCUUAGCAGUUCAAAAGUCUCUUCCAAAUGCUUCACAUGAUCCUUCGGUUCCUUGGACUUUGUGAUCAUAUCAUCCACGUAUACCUCCAUAGUGUGACCGAUCAGUGGCUUGAAAAUCUUAUUCACCAACCUUUGAUACGUAGCCCCUGUGUUUUUCAGGCCAAAAGGCAUCACCUUGUAGCAAAAUAAACCCAUGUUAGUUAUAAAGGUGGUACUCUCCUCAUCUUGCUUGUUCAUGGGUAUCUGGUUGUAUCCCGAAAAGGCAUCCAUGAAGCUAAGCAGACUAUGACCUGCCGUUGAGUCCACCAACUGAUCUAUUUUAGGUACGGGAAAGCUGUCAUUUGGGCAUGCCAUAUUAAGGUCUGUGAAAUCCACAUACAUUAUCUAUUUCCCAUUGGCCUUCUUUACCAGCACUACAUUAGAAAUCCACUCCGCAUAUUUAGCCUCCCUUAUAAAUCCUGCUUUCAACAGCUUCUCCACCUCGGCAUUUAUGGCCUCGUACCUUUCCUAGUUAAAGCACCUCCUUUUCUGCAUCACCGGCCUUGCCCCUUUCUUGAUUGCCAACUUGUGGCAAGCUACCCCGCGAUCAAUUCCUGGCAUGUCCUCAUGAGACCAGGCAAAUAUAUCUGCGUGGGACUAUAGGCACUUCACCAGCUCAUCUUUUAUUGCUUCACCUAAUCCUGACCCGAUCUUAAUCACUCUGCUCGGGUUAUUCUUGCUCACAAAAAUCUCCUCCAGUUUCUCGACAGGCUCUUGACGACCCUUCUUAGAAUCUCUUCGGUUAUCCAGAGAGGUAACAUGUAGCGUCUCCUUGGCCGCUGUUGCGUAACAGCUCCUUGCUAUUCUCUGGUCACCUUUUACUACGCCCACAACUCCGUUUACUCUGUAUUUCAAUGCUAGAUAAUGCAUGGAUAUAAUGUAUUAGCUUGCUCUCAUAAAAGGUCGCCCUAGUAUCAUCUGGUAGGGGUUUUUCUCUUCCACCACUACGAAGUCCAGCAUAAUUUUCUUUUUAGAUGACUUCGCUCCUACGGUAAUCGGCAGCUCUAUGAUCCCCAUAGAGGUCAACUGUCUUCCUCCAAAUCCCUUUAAGGAUGUGUUCGUUCGCUCCAAUUUCAAAUCUGCAAUCCCCAUAUCAUCUAGGGCCGACUUAAAUAAUAUGUCGACCGAGCUGCCUAUAUCCACCAAUAUUUGUCGGAAUUCCUUACCCGCCACUAUUACUUUAACUACCAGUGCAUCCUCAUGAGGGUAUAAAAUGCCCUCUUCAUUAUCAUCUGUCCACAUAAUGGGAACUUGUCUUACUUUCACCCUCUUGGUCGUUGGUAAGUUGAAAAGUACCUCUUUGCUGGUCAAAGCGUAUCUCUCAUAAUUCUUUCGUGCUCUGUUUGAGUCUCCAGCCAAUGUUGGCCCUCCUGUUAUCACCUGAAUAUUUAGCUGUUCCCGCUCUAGGCUCCUUUCAACUCCAUCACCCAGCGUAUAUUGUGAUUCAAUGACGGGGGAUACUCCAUCUACAUACUCAUCCAAAUACUGGUUCCUCACCAAAUCUUCCACUUGAGUCUUCAAGUCAUGAUAUUGGCUGAUAGUGUGACUAUGAGUGUCGUGAAAUUUGCAGAAUCUGUUCUUAUCAUGUCUAUGAGCGGGUUUUGUUAUAGGGGCAGGAGGGUACAGCAGGCAUCGUCCCUCGAUUCUCUCAUACAACUCCUCCAUAGAGACUUUCAGUGGGGGUGUACUGUUUGUACGCCAAGCUUUGGUCAAUCAGUUGGACCGUUCAGCUAUCGUGGGUAUCGUUCCGAGCUGGUAUUGUAGGUAGCUGGUUUGGUUGACCAGCCCUGGAGUUAACUAUAUGCAGUACCCUGGGAGCGCUGUGAUAAGGGUGGGCGACUAACUGCCUGAAUUCUCGUUGCCACUCGGGGAAUGAGGGGCGCGGAGGCUGAGCUCAGUUGUGUUGGAGCUGUUGCGGUCUCUGAGCCAUGGGAUAAGGGCGAGACCAAGCUGAUAUUCCACACAUCACUAGCGAUUCUCCAGCUCGCCUUCCUGAUCCGCUCCCGCUCAGGGUUCUUCAAUCUCCAUGUCUCUCUUUGCCUGCUCAUACCCCGUUGAAUAAUUCUGAACGAUGGGACUUCACAAGUUGUACCAUAAUCGGCCUAUUCUUACACCCUCUUUUAAUCCCCUUAACGCCUGCAGGUGAUUGAAAGCUCCCAGAUCAAGCACGGCCCAAUGGUAUCUUUUCACAAAAUCCUGAAGGGAUUCGUGUUCCUCCUGCUUCAUCCCCAUCAAAUCCAUCAUAUCGUCAUCUGGGCCUACUGAUUAUCGGAACAGUGUUGUGCAAAUUUUAAUGAACUCGCAAGCACACGAAUCUAUUGUAGUAUAGAUCAUUGGUAACGAGUGUCGAUCUCAUGAGGAGGUGGAUUUUAAUUGUGUAUAGAAUUGAUUUUGUAAAUGGGUGGUUGGAUUUGUGGUGGAAGUGAUUCAGAUUAUCCUAAAAUUGGAAUUAAAAUGGUGAAAAUAAUUUGAAGAGAAUUCUAUUGAAAUGACGUACUUGGGUAUCUGGAUCCGUAUCAACAUGCAUCAUGGGCUAAAUAUUCCUUAUUAAUACCAAUUAAAUCAUGAGGGGGGAAUCCACACCUCAUGAACCACGCUCUAAUCAAUAUGGUGUUAAGGGCUUAUCGUGCCAAAUAAUAAUAACCUGUACUAGAGAGCCGGUGUAACCAAGGCGGUAUCUAGACAAUACUAGUAUUAUUUGUCAACGAGAAGUCAAAACAUCCAAAAAAACUAGAGGGGAAGAGAAAAUAAAUUUACCAAAUAAAGCCCAUGACACAUGUUGAGACUUCACCUUCAACCCAAGCUUGAAAGAAAAUUAGCUACUCAUAAUUGAACUAGGGGCAAAAUGGGAAUUUAUUAAAAUACGUAGAAAAUACAAGAUGGAGAGAGAAUUACAGAAAAUGGAGUCCAAAAAUGGAUUUAGGGAUAUCAAAUUAGGGGGAGAGGCCCCCUUUUUAUAGAUACAUUGAGUAAAUCGUGGUCAUCGGAUAAAAAAUAGUUUGGACGCUCAGGAUUGCGCCACGUCAUCAGUCAACAGUCCGCGUGAACAGUACACGAUUUGACCACGCGGAUGAACAGUAACACAGUUUGACCCGGGUGAACAGUGACGCAGUUUGGUUGAAAAUGAUCCUGUGUGUUGCAUGUACCGUACAUGAGAUUUUUGAUCCACUGAUAUGCUGCCACGUCAUCGAUCAACAGUGCAUAAGAAUUUUAGUCCAACAGGAUCGUGACACCUCAUCAGUCAAUGCCACAUCAUCGGUCAAUGCCACGUCAUCGAUCCGUCUAUGUGAACAGUGCCGUGAACAGUAACGUAGACAGUACCCGUACAUGUGAAUAGUACCGUAUAUGUGAAUAGUAUUAUUUUUCUUUUUAUGCUCCUCCUAAGAUUUUUGACCGUCCUAAGUUCAAAAAUGAUGUCCGUUUUGCCAUCUGAUCUCUCGUUUAUUGUGAAAUGACUGUGAUACCCCUAAAAUACAUAAAAUACUUGAUUAAAAUAAAACACACGUAAUUAAAUUACAAGUAAGGGUUGUUAGUAAGACAUUUUCUAACACUCAACAAACAGCUCGGCCAACUCUUGGUAUAUCUGCUCGUAUCCCCUUAUACUUCCUCGUGGUAGCUUACGAUACCAUUCUCUGGCUCGUCCUUCUAGUGUCAAUGGGAACACCCUGCACCUCUGAGCUGCUGUUAGCCCCUGUAUGCCCGUCAUGUCAUUGAAGCACUCAAUGUGCACUAGCGGGUCGCUUCUCCCGGAGUACUUGAGGUUGGGAAAGCAGAAAUCUCUUGGGAUAAUAGUGCUUAUGAUCUCGGCUGAUAGCGGAGAUUCUUCAUCCAGCAUUAUCCUCCAGCUUGGAGGCUUUCUCUUGCCCUAUAUCUCAUCCAUCACCUGCGCUAGCCUGCGCACCUCACCUUCCAAUUCCAAAGCACGGUCAAGGUCGCGCGCAGCUACUUGAUCUCGCUCCUGCUCGGCAUUAUGCAGUCGCUGUCUGAGCUCGCCUUCGUCAACAUUUACUCCUCGGUCAUUGAUUUCUAGAACUCGCCCAAGGCGAGAUUGAUCUCUCCUUUCAUCCACACGCUCCCCGGGGAUCCGACCAGCACUUCUAUGGGGAUGUAUCCCAUAGGGUUGUUCUACUAGCGGAGGGAUCUCCUCGAUUCUACGCCUUCGUAGGUUGGGUUCCGCCAUAGUUUCAUCCCUUACCACAGUGGUCUCGCCUUCCCUUCUCCGCUCAUCCCUAAAGUCAUAUAAUAUAGCUGUGAGCGUCUCCAUUUGGUUUGCCAUCUGUUCCAUUCGGUCUUGCAUCAUCCUCUCUCUAGCUUCAUUCGCGAUCUCUCGGAGAGUGAUCGAUUCACCAGUUUCAUUGUCGCCCCCUAAGGCGUCCUUCCUUGUCAUAUCCAUAACUAAUCGUUCACUGCGUCUCUGGUGAUUACUAACUUGAUGGUAGCUUUUUAUCCAGCUCCCUACAGACGGCACCAAAAUGUUGAUGCUGAAACAUGCUUGCCCUCUGCCCGGCCAGAUCGUUCCACUAACGUUUGUGUAUUCAAUGGAGAGGAUACUGCCCUUUUGCCUCCUUCAGCAACUACGGAUGCUCCAGGGGUUGGAAUUACCUUUUUCCCUUCUUUCUAAUCCUGCACUCACAGAGAUAGAUAAGAGACGCCGGUGGUUUUAUCGGCGUAAACCCUCCGAUGCUUAAGUUAGCACAAGAUGUUUUACGAGAAAAUUAUGUAACUUGGAUUGUUUGGUUUCUUGUAAUGCUUUCUAAAACUUGUAAAGAAUAUAAUCUGGUUUUAAUUUGGCAGAGUUUUCCUUUUUCUCUCAAUUUUCCAUCCCCUUUUUCAUCGGUUUUCCAGCUUCUUAUAGCUGUUGUCCCACGUUCCUGUCUACUCCUCAUGCCCCCCCUUUUAUUGGGUGAUGGCAGGCCUUCAUGGGCCUCCAACCACUGAAUUGUGGGUAAACGUGGGAUGACAUGUCCCUCUCGAUGGUUUAGGGCAUAGCGAAACUGCCGCAUUUUCGUGAGAUCGUGUCCUCCUUCUUUGGGUGAUGGGUAUCUGGUCGGUAUAUGUCUCUAGUUGAUACAUUCCUCUGGUCAAUGCUCGUCUCUAGUAGGCCCACGUUUGUAUGAGGCAUUUUACCAGGGCUCUUCUCGUGCCGCUGAGGUGAUUCGCCUCGGGGUGGGAAAUAGGGGCAUGGCCGAGCUGGUGCUCUUUAUUACUUAACAACUGUCUUUGAAAAUUUUGGCUAAGUUAGUAGGCCACAAAAUUUUAUUAACCAUCUAUGCAAUUAUAGAGCAAUCCCCUCCAAAUAGAAUGAUGCCAAUUGUAUUUAUUGUUCUAGGACUACAUUCUCAAAUCCGAAGAAUUAUUCCACCUUAUGAAUCCAACCAGUCGGAUCAUCUCCGUUGAAAUUUGGAAAGUUUAGUUUGAGAUAGUGGUGAUGGUUGGGAAAGUUUGAGGAGAAAGGUUUUAUGGCUUGGUUAGAGGAUGUUGUAGCCUGUAGGUGCAAAGGGGUUAAUUUCAGAGGCAAUUAUGUGUGAGGUUUGUGAUGCACGAAGAGAUUGAAGAUUUCUUGAACCUCAUUACGAAACUCAGCAUUUGAUUGACUUCGGGUAGCCGUAUUUCGAGCAACCUUUGUUUGAUACCAGAUGAUAGGUAAUUUCUUAGUUUAGAAAGGAAAGUAUGAAAAGUAGAGGAAGAAUAUAAGUUGUUUAGAAGGAAAAAGAUAAUUUUUAUUCCAAAAGCAUGCCCACUAUAAAUCCAAUAAUUUCUCUUAAAUAAACCUAUACAUAUACCAAAAACUAAAAAACUAGAAAAGAGGAAAAUCACUUGAAAAUAAGAACAUGAUCAAUUAAAACGGUAACAUGCACAACCGCCACGAAUCAAAACCAAUCGAUUUUAAAUAGUAUGAAUUGAAAUCAAAUUAAACCAAACCAAACUAAAUCGGACCGAACCGAAAUAUUAGGUUCGGUUCUAAAUUUUGGUUUGAUUUUGGUUCAGUUCUAAAUUUUCGGUUCGAUUCUAACUUGUUGUUUUAACACCACGAUUUAUGUUCGUUGGAAGUAUCUUCCUCGUCGUCCAAAAUUCAUCCCACUUGCAGCUCAUUCUCUCAUGCAAUCCCUCAUCUUCUGUAGUGAUUUGAUUGCUCUGAUAACUAUAAGCAAUAAACCACUGCCCAAGAAAUUUUGCCAAGAACAAUUCAAGAUGAAAAUAAGCCAAUGAUUGAUUUAAAGUUCUAAUGAUGAAACGAAACCUUAGCUCUAGGUUAAUGGAGAUUUAACAAAAGAUUGAAACAAAUCAAGAAGCAAACACACUCAAUGCAAAGACAGGAUUUUAAUGUGGUUCAAUUAUGCACAAAGUUCAUAAUCUACAUCCGCGGGAGAAGCCACAAAAAUCUCUUUAUUGAUGAUUCAAGAUGAAUUUUAUUGAGAAAAUACAGAGAUCGUUACAAGGAACAAGAUUACUCUUUCUCACUUUCUAGAAACUCUCUGAAAAGCUCAAUCACACACACGUAAUCUGCUUCAACAACCAGCCUCUUUAUACUCUCUUAUGAAAACCCAGAUUGCACAGCCCUUUGACACGUGUGUAACAGCUUCUAACGACUUGAUUCCUCCCUCACAUGCUAGCUCACGUGUUUUACUUAAGUUUCCUAAAAACGACACAAAGCAAUGUCGUUCUGCCUUAUGCUGAAGAGCCCGUGACUGCACGUGAGUUGUAAGUAAUUCCAACUGAUCAAAACGCAAUCGUUUUGGGACUCUGAGUUUUGAAUUCAUAACACUCCGGUCCACAUCUUCCUCACCCACUAAUAUAAACAAAGCACAAAACAAUUCCAAUCUCAGAAUUAAGAUCAUGCUCAGACAAAUCCUUAAGCCCAUCAGCGAUCUAUCGUCUACUGCGAGCUAAUCGAGAGUGCCAUCUAAUACGAGGUGGCUGAGAGACCGUGAGAGUGAGAUGUUGACCAGAGAUAGACAUAGUGAGAGUGAGCGUGGUUGCGUGAGUGUGGAAGAAAGGGGAUGCUGCUAUGCUGCGUGUUGUGCUUGAGAGUGAGCAUAGUUGCAUGAGAGAGAGAGGGGCUACUGCUAUGCUGUACUUGAGAGUGAGGGUGGUUGCAUGAUAUCUGCUCAAUAUGUAUGGGAUGAAGUUUCUGAUGGGUAAAAAUCAUGUUUUUAAAUUUUUAUAAAACCUUUUUAAGAUCGCUUUCAUAUAAUAUAUAAGAAUUUGUAAUCUAGAAAUCAUACCUUGAAAAUCCGAUUUAGCUUUUUCCGCUGGAAUGAUUUAGGCUCCCAGAUCACGAUCCAUCACCACCACUCCUGUUAGAUUACGAUCCGUCACCACCACGCUUGUUAGAACACGAACUGGCACCAAUGAUCUUCCAGGUUAUGACUCAAGUUUGAUCUGCACUUGACGUGUGGGCGCCUUUAUCACUACCAAAGCAACUAGCACAAGAAAACUUUUCUCUCAACAAUAGAGAGAAAAAUCUUUUUCUCUGAUCUGUAUAAAGUGCCUGCUCCCUUUUUCUUUAGAGAAAAUAAGCAUUUUAUAUCUCCCUUUAGUGAAAACCCUAAGCUCCAAAAAAUCAAAAAACAAAACUCACGUUACUUGCUUUUUCUAUAGGGGACACACCUUGUAAAAUAACAUAAUAGCCCUUACACACAAGCGAAUUAAAUGGAGCCUCCCACUAAAAGAUAUAUUUAGGCUUUUGACCCAAAUAGCUUAUCUUACUUAUUAGUCCAGUAGUGGUGCAUUCAAUUAAAUGAGCUAACCCGGGGAUCAUUUGGGAACAUACAAUAGUGGCUAUAACAAUUAGACCUGUAAUUAAACUAGCCUAAUUAUUUAAUUCCAAAUCUACUCCACUAAAAGAUUGGAAUUGACCUCCAUAAUUGUAUGCUCGAAUAAUAAUUUGUCCCAAGUCUAAUUGAUUUCUUUACUGCACAAUCCUUUGUAUCACAUCGUUAAUUCAAUUGAUAUCUCAACUGUCCAAUCAAUUUAAUAACAUCUUGUUCCUUGAUACUUAUUGGUUUUCUCUAAUGAUCAUUUUCAACAUACUAAAUAUGUUGACACACUCUGGCCAAAGAAUUCUAUGAUCAAGUGCCGAAAACCCAUCAAGAGAUGUAUUGUACAAAUUCUAUAUUGUUAAUCCAUAACUCCAAUACUCAUAAUUGCUCCCACCAAGAUACCGGGUAAUCUUGACCACAAGAAUGUGUCGUGCCCAUUGGUAACUCAAAUGGAAUAACAAUUACAAUCAUGAAAUCAUAAUUAACUCAAGAUUAAGAUUACAGUAAAAUCAAUAGAUUUAAUAAGUCUGACAGUCAUUUCAAUGUUAAUUAAAUCUCAUAUGUGAUCCUGUUCAAUGUAGUCGUACUACAUUAAUAAAUUCAUACAUGAUUAAGACAAAUCAUUCAAUGAAUUCAUUACAGUCUAUACUUAAAUAAAGUGCCCAACUUUAUUUAUCAACUGCGAACUAAAUUUAUUUAAUCAUAAGAUAACUUAUAUUUAUGUCUUCUGUGAAUCCACAUGGUGAUCACAUAAAUACAUAUAAUAUGAUUAAAUGGACUUUGAUCAAAAUAUUAAUGCAAUUAAGAUAUUUGAAUAAAAUACCUCAUUAAUUUUAUUAGUCAGAAAAAAUGUUUAUUAUAAUUAAAUAAACACAUAUACUUUUAAAGAGUAUAUUUUCCCAACAGUUUCUUCAGUUGGUUAUUUCACUUAGUCAAAAUAAAUUAUAGUAGUGGUUGCAUACCUGACUUUGGAGGUAAGGCUGGAGGCAAACUUCUACAUUAAUUUAUAACUUGUUUCACAACAUAUUACGGUUAUAAAUGAGACUUAAUCCAAAGACGGAAAGAGAGAAAUUUGCUACACUCUUUAGUAUCCAUUAUUGAGAAAAACACCAAAAUUAACUUUUACUUCUUUAAAAUCAUUUUUGAAACCUCCCAAAAGAUAUCUCAAAUGGGUUCUCAAUUUUUUAAAACAUUACUUUUGGCUAAACACCCCAUCCUCCAGUAGAUUUUGAAAAUGUCAAAAUGUAUAAGACACUCAUCCAGUGGGGGUUUCACAGGCUUACCUCUCUUAGAAGUCUUUGCAUUCUUGGAUGUCAUGAAGCAGAGUGUUUUCCAGACGAGAAGAUAGGAAUGACGCUGCCCAAUUCUUUAACUUGUCUGUCCUUUCGAGGAUUCAAAAACACAUUUAAGAAAUUGGCAAUUUGUUGUUAGUCACAGUAUCUGAUGUUCUUUUCUUUUAUAGUUUGCAGAAUCAACUGUAUUAUAUGUUGUCAUUUGCAGUAUCUGAGGUGCCUUUUGCAUUUUACUUGACCUUUAUUUGUUUUGCUAGUGACUGAAGAAUACCAACAUUGGUUAGAGAUUUGGAGAAGCAUCUGAAGAGGCUUGACAAAGUUGGAGAUGCACUUGCUCCCAAGCCUUCAAUCAUCACAAUGCAAAUCCGAUGAGUACUUAUGCCGGCAAUUAUGUAAAAUAUUUGAAAUUUUGAUUCAGGGAAAUGGUUUGUUGAUGCAAAGCUUUAAACUGUUAAGACUUACCUAGCAGGCCUGUUGGAUGUUGUAUCAACUCCAAAAUCCAACAAGAACUACGGCACCAAGACCCAUUUUUUACUGAUUCAAUCAGCUGAAAUGAUGAGGCAAAUCCCACGUGUUCGAAUCAGUCAUCCAUUUCAUGAACUGUUAUUUUCAUGAUGCUGGCUAUUGGAGUUGAAGAGGAAACAAGGAUGUGUUGGAAUCAAUGAGAACAGUGGGAAGCAUGACUCGAGCUCUGAUUAUAAAUAGACAUUUUAAAAACAUGUGCUGGUAAGUGGUGAUUAAAGAAAUUUGUGAGCUUAUUCAAGUUUCAGUAUUUGCUGUUUGGAUAAAGCUGAUACCAAGUUUGGCAAAAUCUGUGCUUUCUUUGUUCAAUCUGUGUUAUGGUUAAAGUAGAUGCUCUGAUUAAUAAGCCAGCCUACGAUAGCUGGCUCUAAUAAUCGGCUUCCUUUUUCUUGUUUGCUGUUGUAUAUUCUUUCAAUUUUUUUUCCGCAUUAGGACGAUCAGUUGAAGAACAAGUUUAUGUUUGACGAUGCAUUUAAGGAAGAGCCAGACUUGGAUGCAGAUCUGAAAAGGUUAGCAUGAACGAAAACCUUCAGAACUGACUGAAGGUUUCUGAGUUGAUCCUAAAAAUGUAGCAGUUGUCUGUUUCAUAAAGCAGAACAAAAACAGAAUAAGAGAUCACUAAUCAUGCUUGAGAAUUCAUUUAAAUAAAAUUUCAAAAAUUGCCAAACACAGCAUAAACUAGGAUGCACUUGCUUAAGAUUCAUUUUCAGAAGGAAGUUUGUACUUGCAGCUCAUAAAAUCAUGUUUAUGUUGUAUGUUUAUUCAGCAAAUGAAAGAUUCCAAGUUUGCUGAAACCAUAUUAUUUUUUUACCAGGCGCCUUCCUGAAGGUAUCGACGUCAAUUUCAAAAAUGUUGGGGAUAAGUUGCUUGAUGCAGUGCUACACAAAUAUGAAGGAUUUCUUGUCGGUGAUUACUACCACCUCGAUAAAAAAAUUCAUGGAACUGGUCAUGCCGGCAAUAAAAGAAGGAAAGGUGGUAUACGUCGAAGACAUAGAUGAAGGCCUCGAGUCCAUCAGCCCUCGUUGGGCUAUUCACUUGUCGGAAUGUCAGGAAACAACUUGUUGAAGUUGCGUGGGAAUUUUAAAACUACCAUAUGUUGUAGAAAUGCACUGAGCCAUGUGCUUUCAGAGCUUUGUGAAGAUGUCUUGGCCAUGUGUUUGAUACAGGUUAUGCUUGUUCCAUUAAAUUGUAUGCACUUAUAAAUCAAAGAUUCAGAACAUGUGUAUGUUACUGGUUUCCAGAAUCCAGAUCAAUAAAUGCCUCCAUGUAGAAGUUCAAAUUUUAAAUUUUUUGAAGUAGAGGUGUAGAGUUUCUUUUUUCAAAAAAGAAAAAGUAAAUUCUGAAGACUUUCUUUAUUUAAUUUUACAAUCUUAUUUUAUUUCUUUUACGAUAUAUUUUUAAAAUACUUAUUUAGUAAAUUAUUAACAUCUAUACCACUAAAAGAUUUUUUUUGUUAAACGCUCUACUUACAAAGUUAUAUUAAUUAUAGAUUUACUCAAAGAAGCCCUAUUUAAAAAGUUACAGCAAAAAAAGUCAUAGUUACCUUUAGUAAAUAAUAAUCUUCUAAUCUGUCUUACAACGGACUUUUGACAAAAGUGUGCUACUCCCACCUCCUCAAAGUCCACCCGACACCCCGUCUUCUCUAUUUAAAAUUUUAUAUAGUUGAAAAUUAUAUUUUCUUUUACUUGACGCCCCUCCAAAUUCUAAAACUUAGCUUCGAUGAACCUUCUUCGUUAAAUCUCGUUGCUUUCCUUUUUUCUUGUUACUUGAGAAGAAGAACCAGAGUCUAGAAGAAUGAAAGAAAAUUCAGCGUGAUAGAAAUUUAGAAAUUUCAUCCGAUCUUUUUUUCUUAAAUUUUUUGGUAUUUUGAUUCGUUCAAUGGAUUCUUGAUCAUUCUUCAUUCUUUCUAGUUUCUACCAUGAUUCGGAAAUUUUUCUUAAAAAAACUACUACUCUUGUGUAUUUAAAAAAAAAGGAAAGAAAGAAAAAAGGCAUUAAUAAAGAAUUGCGCACGUAACAUUAUUAGUACCCUGUUGAUUGGUCGUUUGGUCUUCAAGAAAUGCUAGUUAAUAUGUGCUUGAAAUUAUAUUCUGCUUUUUUUUUCCCUAUGUAUUGUUUCCCGUUUGAUUACAUUUCAAACAUUUUUAACACGAAUGAAUGUUUUAACCAUUUUUGUCACUUCAUUAUUACAAUAAGCUGAUUGAAGUUAUCUGCGUUGGCCCUGAAAAUGUAAUGGACACUACUCCGUUUACAUAAAACAGGACAAAACAUCGAUAUUUCUACCAUUGCCAUACAUAGUAUAGCCUAGGAAUACAUUUCCAUAAUUAAUAUUUAUUUCAGAAGGAACUUUUCACUUGCAGCUAACAGAAUCAUGUUAAAUUUAUGAUGUAUGUUUAUUUGGGAGAUGAAAGAUUCGCUGCAUUAUUUUAUUCCAAGUUUGCUGAAAUCAUAUUUGUUUUCCCGGCUGCUUUCCUGAAUGUAUCGACAUCUAUUUCGAAAAUGUCGGGGGUAAGAUGCUUGGUGCAGUGCUACUCAACAUGAGAAUUCAUCUUCUAACUCGUUACCUGAUAUUAUUGUCUUCUUGAAAAUUUAAUUAAGCUUAGAAGUCCCUUAACCACAAAAUCAAUGGAGUUUAACUCUAUCGAUAGACAACUUUUAAGUAAUAAACCAACACAUGAGUUCAUCUCUAUUGAUACUCAAGUUCUAAGUCCCUUAUUCAAUACUAAAAUCCAUGAGAAUUAAACUAACCGUAGUUUAACAUGUGAUUAACAAAUGGUAAAAGGUUCAAAAAAUACAUCAAUUAUAAAAGAAAUAAAAUCAGCAAAGAGACCACAUCAGAAAUUUCUUAGAUGUCCGAAACUAUUAAAAGAAUUCACAUACCAAAUCAAAAAAAGUAGAAAAUGCUUAAGCUCCUUAAGGUAAUUUGAAGUAUGAAAGUGAAUGGCAUAUAAUCCAAUAUAAAAAAAAAAUGGUUUUAGUGCCGUAUAAAGAGAAGUUAAUGGUGGUUACAGAAGUGGGGAAAGUUGAGUACAAAUCAGAUAAUGGGAGGUUCCUAAACUUCCUUAAAUCAAUUUUAAUUUCAAAAAUAAAAUAAUAAAAAAUAAAAAAUAGCAUAAAAGAAAUAAGAUAAAAAUUACUUUUCUAAAAUUGCAUGCAAGUAUACAAAAAUAACAUAUGUUGAUAUUACAUCGAGAAAGGUCCAUCAGCCCUAGUUGGGCUAUUCACUGCAUAGAAUGUCGGAGAACAACUUGUUGUGGUAGCUGUUGGGAAAAUAUGCUCUUUAAAAGCAUGUGUGUUUAUUUAAAUGUAAUAAACAUUUUUUCUGAUUAAUAAAAAUAAUGAGGUAUUUUGUGCAAAUAUCUUAAUUGCAUUAAUAUUUUUAUUAAAGUCCAUUUAAUCAUAUUAUAUGUAUUUAUGUGAUCACCAUGUGGAUUCACAGAAGACAUAAAAUACAAGUUAUCUUAUGAUUAAAUAAAUUUAGUUCGCAGUUGAUAAAUAAAGUUGUGCACUUUAUUUAGGUAUAGAUUGUAAUAAAUUCAUUGAAUGAUUUGUCUUAAUCAUGUAUGAAUUUAUUGAUGUAGUACGACUACAUUGAACAGGAUCACAUAUGAGAUUUAAUUAACCUUGAAAUGACUGUCAGACUUAUUAAAUCUCAUUGGCAUUGAUUUUACUGUAAUCUUAAUCUUGAGUUAGUUAUGAUUUCAUGAUUGUAAUUGUUAUUCCAUUUGAGUUACCAAUGGGCAUGACACAUACAUGUAGUCUAGAUUACUCGGUAUCUUGGUGGGAGCAUUUAUGAGUAUUGGAGUUAUAGAUUAACAAUAUAGAAUUUGUACAACACAUCUCUUGAUGGGUUUUCGGCACUUGAUCAUAGAAUUCUCUAGCCAGAGUGUGUCAACAUAUUUAGUAUGUUGAAAAUGAUCAUUAGAGAAAACCAGUAAAGAUCAAGGAAUAAGAUGUUAUUAAAUUGAUUGGACAGUUGAGAUAUCAAUUUAAUUAACGAUGUGGUACAAAGGAUUGUGCAGUAAAGAAAUCAAUGUGGCUUGGGACGAAUUAUUAUUCGAGCAUACAAUUAUGGAAGUCAGUUCCAAUCUUUUAGUGGAGUAGAUUUGGAAUUAAAUAAUUGGGCUAGUUUAAUUAUAGGCCUAAUUAUUGUAGCCACUAUUGUAUGUUCCCAAAUGAUCCCCGGGUUAGCUCAUUUAAUUGACUGCACCACUACUGGACUAAUAAGCAAGAUAACUAGCUAUUUGGGUCAAAAGCCUAAAUAUAUCAUUUAGUGGGAGGCUCCAUUUAAUUAGUUUAUGUGUAAGGGGUCUUAUGUUAUUUUACAUGGUGGGUCCCCUAUAAAAUAAAAAGUAACGUGAGUUUUAUUUGUGAGCCUAGGGUUUUCACUAAAGGGAGAUAUAUAAGGCUUAUUUUCUCUAAAGAAAAAGGUGAAGCCACUUUAUACAGAUCAGAGAAUAAGAUUUUUCUCUCUAUUGUUGAGAGAAAAAUUUUCUCGUGCUAGUUGCUUUGGUAGUGAUAAAGGCGCCCACACGUCAAGUGCAGAUCGUACUUGAGUCAUAACCUGGAAGAUCAUUGGUGACAGUUCGUGAUCUAACAAGCGUGGUGGUGACGGAUCGUGAUCUAACAGGAGUGGUGGUGGCGGAUCAUGAUCUAGGAGCUUAAAUCACUUCAGCGGAAAAAGCUAACUCGGAUUUUCAAGGUACGAUUUCUAGAAUACAAAUUCUUAUAUAUUAUAUGAGAGCGAUCUUCAAAAGGUUUUAUAAAAAAUUUAAAAACCUAAUUUUUCCCCAACAAUUGGUAUCAGAGCCAUCUCAUAUUAAUAUAUAAGAAUUUCGUAUGAAAUUAAUCUUGAUAUUUAUGUAUUAGAGUGGCACAAUUUAUUCAGAUAUAUAUUAUUUGUUUAAUAUAUGAAUAAAGCAUGUUUAUGGUUUGUCUUAAUUCAUGGUUAGAUUUUCUGUUGUAUUUUUCGUUUGGAUCUUUAACAAGAGGGGUGGUUUUUAUCACAAUGUUUCCCUCUUGAUUUAUUUUACUGUUAUAGAAUUUUUGUAAGCCAAAAAUUGGCCUAGGAAAUUUGUAAAUAAAUCACGGAUGACAAAUCAAAGCGACGGAGGCCGGAAAUUUCGACAUCGACCGCUGACCAGCGCACUCGCUACAACCAACGAGCGGCACACGCUGCAAGCGCAUGCUGGCAGUGCGCGCAGCAAGCAGCGCGCGCGGCCAGCCUGGCCAGCGGCGCGCGUUCCAGCAAGCAGCGCGCGCAGGGAUGGUUUGUUUCCGGCAUAUCGGCAACGGCAAACUCGACGUUGAUAGCGGCUGUCCGAUGAGAUUGGCCUGAACAGUGGCCGUUUGUGGAGAUGGCGACUGGGGAAGAAGAAAGAAAGAAAAAUAUGGAUUUAGGGUUUCAUGGCUUUUAUCAUGGAGAUCCCUAUGGUUCCAUAAUUUUUCACUUGGGCAAUUAAGUUUUAAUUUUUUGCAUUUAAGUCUAAAAAUAGUUUUCGGCUUAAAGAAUCCUAGUUUUAGGUCCAAUUGAAAUUUGGGCUUAAUGGAUUAAAAAUGCAUAGAUAAAAUUAAAUACAUUAAAAUUUAUUUUUGGUCCAAAAGUUUUAUUUUAAUAAAAAAAAUUAUUUAUUUAUUUAUUUCCUUUAAAAAUUAAAAUUGGACCAAUUAGAAAUUAUUUAUUUAUCUCUCAUUUGUACUUGGGAGACAGUCUAUUGUAAGUAGUGUGUAUUUUUGCAUGUCUAGGAAAGUUCUGUCAACAAAGGCGAUAAGUGUAUAAGGAUUCUGGUUUUUAAUUGGGACCAAGUUCCCAUCUAGUUUCCUGGAAACUUUCUUGGUGCAUUUAUUCACGCGAAAUUAACAUCAUAGAGACUGUUUUUCAAGUGAAAAUAGUUCGUUGAGAAAAUGGUAGAAGGUGAAACUUUCAAAAUUGGGGAGAGAUCUACCGAGACUAUUUCAGGAGACACUUCAGGUGGGAGGCGAGAUUUGUCAAAUCGCUAUUCAGCACCUGUAUAGAAGGCCAGAAGAUCGAUGUUGAAAAGUUUGAUGGGAAAAUCAACUUCGGCAUGUGGAGGCGCGAAGUUAUGGAUGCCCUUAUUCAAAUCGAUCUCGAUGUUGUUCUGAAAAAUAAAAGACACUUGUAUGAUGAAGAAAUUUGGGAUCGUAUGAAUGAAAAAGCAUGUGGUCAGAUCAGAUCUUGUUUGACCAAGGAGGUGAAAUACUUGGUGAAAGAUGAGGAGUGUGCGGUGACUUUGUGGCGUACAUUGGAGGAGAAGUACCUGGUGAAAAGUCCUGAAAAUCGCCUUCAUGCAAUGAGCCAAGUAUAUGGCUUUCGAAUAAAGUCUGGGGUGUCAAUGCACGAUCAUGUUUUAAGAUUUGAAAAGUUACUUGCUGAUUUGAAGAAUCUUGAUGAAGAUAUUAAGGAUGAAGUCAAGGCUAUGAUUCUGUUACACUCACUACCAGAGGAAUAUAGCCAUUUUGUGACUACUUUAAUAUAUGGGAAGAGUGUGAUCAUCUUUAAAGAUGUUUGCACAACAUUGACUAGCUUAGAGAUUCGAAAUAAUGAUAAAAAUUCUAAACGAGCAUCGUCUGAAGCUUUGGUGAGUAGAGAUUGGGCGAUGGAGAAACAAAAGAAGCGUGGUGGAAAGAAUUCUCGAUCCAAAUUGAAAAGCAGAAAUAUAGCUCGAGAUGAGUGUGCCUUUUGUCAUGAAAAGGGCCAUUGGAGGAAAGAUUGUCCAAAGGCUCAAAAGAGAGAUGGGAAGAAACCAGCAGCAGCAAACAUGGCACGGAAAGAUGAGGGCUCUGAUUAUUCACUAAGUAUUACUCUUGCAGCAUACGUGGCUAGUUCGAGUGAGUGGAUACUUGAUACUGGAGUGGUUUACGGAUUUUUAUCAUUUGUGUCCUAUUAAGGAAUGAUUUACGGAUUUUCGUAAUCUGGAAUCCGGUGCAGUUGUGAUGGGGAAUGAUCAACCUUGUCGCACAAUGGGGAUAGGAACAAUUCGGCUCAAAAUGUUUGAUGAAAUGAUCAGAGAACUCAAAGAGGUUAGAUUUGUUCUAGCUUUAAAGAAAAAUCUAAUUUCUGUGGAUUUCUGUGGGUGCUUUGGAAGCUAAAGGCUACAAGGUUACCAUUGAAGAUGGUAUAAUGAAGUUUACACAUGGGGCUAUGGUGAUUCUGCAAGGGGUUCGGUGUCACAAUCUGUACUAUUUGAAGGGAGGUACAACUGAUGAAGCAAAUGUUGUUAAGGCGCACAGUGACACCACCAAGCUAUGGCAUGUACGAUUGGGACAUGCUGGAGAGAAGUCUUUGCAAACUCUGAUGAGGCAUGGACUCUUAAAAGGUACCAAAACCUGUAAAUUAAAUUUCUGUGAGCAUUGUGUAGUAGGCAAGAAAACAAGGGUCAAGUUUGGUAUAGUUAAUCACGAUACUCGUGAGAUUCUUGAAUAUGUUCAUAGUGAUGUAUGGGGACCAACCAAGACUGCAUCAAUUGGUGGAAGCCAUUACUUUGUUACAUCUAUUGAUGAUUUCUCUAGACGUGUGUGGGUGUACACCAUGCGAGCAAAGGAUGAGGUUCUAGAGAUUUUCGUGAAAUGGAAGAAAUUGGUGGAGACUCAAACUGGCAGAAAGAUCAAAGUAUUACGAUCUGAUAAUGGGGGUGAAUAUACUUCUGAUCCAUUCUUACAAGUAUGCCAGAACGAGGGUAUUAAAAGACAUUUCACGGUGAGACAUACUCCGCAACAGAACGGUGUGGUUGAGCGUAUGAAUCGUACUUUACUGGAGAAGAUACGGUGUAUGUUAUCUAAUGCUGGUUUAGAUAAAAAGUUUUGGGCUGAAGCUGUGAGCUACGCAAGUCACUUGGUAAACCGGUUGCCUUCUGCUGCAAUUGGAGGUAAAACUCCUAUGGAAAUGUGGUCUGGAAAGCAUGCACAAGACUAUGAUUCCCUUCGUGUAUUCGGGUGUUCAGCUAAUCAUCAUGUCAAAGAUGGUAAACUGGAUCCUCGUGCUAGAAAAGCUAUCUUUGUGGGAUUCAAAGGUGGAGUAAAGGGCUUUAAGCUUUGGGAUCUCGAAGACAAAAAGUUUGUGUGUAGCAGAGAUGUCACAUUUGAUGAAGCUUCAAUGAUGAAAGCGUCAAGUUCUCAGCAGGUGGAGAACAAGACCAAAAAGGUAUUGCAGCGGGUGGAGUUUGAUGCAACUCCAUAUGUACCAGUUAGUUCUACAUCAAAUAAGAGUUCAACUAUGGAGGUGACACCUAGAGUUGAAGAAGAGGUCAUUUUUUCUGAUGUCUCACAAAAUGAAGAAACAAUUGAUGAUGUAGAUAAUGAUGAUUUUAUAGCAACAAGGAGGCCAAGAAGAGAGAUAAAGAAACAGGGAUGGCUUACUAAAGAUAUGGUGGUAGCAUAUGCACUUCCAGUUAUUGAUGAUGACAUCCCCAACACUUUUUGUGAAGCAUUACGCAGCAGUGAAAGUGAUCAGUAGAAGUUAGCCAUGGAGGAAGAGAUGAAAUCUCUCCAUCAAAACCAGACUUGGGAACUUGUAAAGUUACUAAAUGGGAAAAGGGCUAUUGGUAAUAAAUGGGUCUACACCACAAAGCAAGGAUCUCCGAAUCAAACAACUCCUCGAUACAAGGCAAGGCUCGUGGCAAAAGGUUUUGCUCAAAAGGAAGGUAUUGACUACAAUGAAGUUUUCUCCCCAGUUGUAAAACAUACUUUCAUUCGUAUCCUACUUGCCGUCGUUGCAGAAUAUGAGUUAGAGUUGGCUCAAUUGGAUGUUACGACGGCGUUCUUACAUGGAGAUUUGGAAGAGGAAAUCUAUAUGAUUCAGCCUUGUGGUUUCAAAGUUGCUGCAAAGGAGAAUCAUGUGUGUAGGUUGAUUAAAUCUUUGUACGGACUGAAGCAAUUGCCAAGGCAGUGGUACAAAAGAUUUGAUCAAUUUAUACAAGGGCAGAAAUUCACCAGAAGUGAACACGAUCAUUGUGAUUACUUUAGAAGACUACCAGAUGGAGCUUUCAUCUAUUUGUUACUCUAUGUCGAUGAUAUGCUUAUAGCUUCGAAGAAUAGAGAUGAGAUCGAAAGAUUAAAGAAGCAGCUGGCUUCUGAGUUCGAGAUGAAAGACUUGGGUGAUGCACAGAGAAUACUUGGGAUGGAGAUUCGUAGAGACAAGAAGAAUGGGAGCGUAUGAUUGACUCAAAAGUCUUAUUUGAAGAAAGUGCUAGAAAGAUUCAGUAUGGAUGACAAAACUAAACCGGUAUGUACACCUCUAGCUCCUCAUUUCAAAUUAAGCUCUUCUUCAUGUCCUAGAUCUCAAGAAGAGCGCGAUUACAUGGCUCGUGUUCCAUAUGCUAGUGCUGUGGGUAGUCUUAUGUAUGCUAUUGUAUUCACAAGGCCCGAUAUAUCUCAAGCAGUGAGCAUGGUUAGUAGAUACAUGCACAAUCCGGGUAAAAAUCAAUGGCUUGCGGUAAAGUGGAUUCUCCGAUAUUUGUAUGGGACAGUUGAUGUUGGGUUAUUAUUCAAGAAAGAUUGUGGUCAACAAUGUGUUGGGUAUUGUGAUUCUGAUUUCGCUGGAGACCUUAACAAGAGAAGAUCAACAACGGGCUACGUAUUCACAUUGGGUGGAGGUCCGGUUAGCUGGAGAUCGAUUCUACAAUCGACAAUUGCUCUAUCCACUAUGGAAGCAGAGUAUAUGGCAGCAAUUGAAGCUGUAAAAGAAGCUAUCUGGUUGAAAGGCUUGUUAGGUGAUUUGGGAGUAAUCCAGGAGAACAUUACGAUCUUCUGUGAUAAUCAAAGUGCGAUAUUCCUUGCAAAGAAUCAAACAUAUCACGCUCAGAUGAAGCACAUAGAUGUGAAAUAUCAUUAUGUGAGGGAGAUUAUCGAGAGCGGUGUUGUGUUGUUGAGAAAGAUCGAUACCAAAGAUAAUCCAUCAUAUAUGUUAAUGAAGGUAGUUUCUGGAGUUAAGUUUCAACAUUGCUUGAAACUAAUUCAAAUCCUUCGAUUGUGUUAAGAUAUGUCCUUCGGAAAUUUUGAACUACGGUUGGCUUGAUCCCAAAUUUUGGGUACGUUUGGCAGUCACAGAGAUACAGCCACUUUGCGGAUGAUGAUUGGUUGGGAGUCGGCUCAGAUUUGAACAAACCUUCGCCGAGGUGGAGAAUUGUUGAAAAGUCAAAGAAUUGCUUGCCAAUUUCAAAAGCAAAGUUGGUGGGUUUGCCAAAUUCAAAAAAACAAAGUUGGCCGGCUUGCUAAUUUCAAAAGGCAAAGUUAGGUGUUGAAAAACUUGUACAUGCAAUAUAAGAUCCAGCUCAACGUUUUGACCAAAUGAACCCAACUUGGAGCAGAAUGCACUCUAUAAAUAGAGAAGCAUUUUGCAAUUGUCAAUCAUCCCAACAAUUUGUUAAGCUUAUAAAUUUCUAAGCUUUUGAGAGUUCUAAGAGUGUGAAUAAUUGGAGAGUGUGUGUGAGAGUACUUGGUAUAUUUGGGUUCUGGGAAAGUGAGAUUUCUUUACUCAAAUAAUUAUUAAUAAUAUAAUUAUUUUUCUCUUGCUUCCGUGGACAUAGGCAUAUUGUCGAACCACGUAAAUUUUGUGUCCUUUAUUUUUCAGUAAUUAUUUGGUGUGUUUGAUUCCGCAUUCCGCGCACAACACCUACAGGUGACUAAUUAAUGGGAAAUUGACAAUGACAAAAGCAAUUUAUGAGUUUUGUAGGCUGGCAUGCCUAUGUUAUAGCAUUGUUCGAUGAACUGCCACACCACAUGUUUUUGACGAGAAAUAAAAACAUCAAGAUAUUGCCCGCUUGCCGUAUUCCACAUCGUGAAUUGUAUCUCUGUUCCUCAAUUUUCAGUGUUCCAUACAUAAAACCAUUUUCAGUUUCUCUUGUUAUCAAUUCAAUUUUCUUGUUCGUGACGAUCUUGAUUCCUUUCUUUCUGGUAAAACGGAGCCAUGUUUGCUGUUGGAGAGGUCUUCCUCAACGCUUUCUUUCAGGUGUUGUUUGACAGGUUGGCUUCUCGUAAUUUGCUCAGCUUUGUGCGUCAACUCCAAGGCGGGGUUGAUUCGGAGCUCAAAAAGUGGGAGAAAAAGCUGAAGAUGAUUCAGGUUGUGCUUAGCGAUGCAGAGGAGAAGCAACUGACUGACGAGGCUGUGAAGAUGUGGCUGGACGAACUCCAAGACUUGGCUUAUGACGCUGAGGACAUUCUUGAUGAGUUUGGUACUCAAGCUUUGGAAAGGAAGUUGAUGGCGAAAAAUCAGGAUAGCACUGGCCAGAUUCUUAGUUUCAUACCGGCUAGUUUGAAUCCGAAUGCUAUUAUGUCCAAUUAUAGCAUGGGAUCCAAGAUUAAAGAUAUUACUAGCCGGUUGGAGCAACUCUGCCAAUAUAGAAUUGAACUUGGGCUGCAACGGAUUGCUGGAGGGGCAUCAUCACCUACUGCUGCUGCACACCAGAGGCCACCCAGUUCAAGUAUCACAACAGAGCGUGAAGUAUUCGGAAGAGAAGAAGAUAAGGCCAAAAUUCUUGAUAUGGUAUUGACCGAUAUUAGAAUUCGUAAUAAGAUGUUUGGAAACAAAGAAAAACAGAGAAAAUGAAAAAGGAAACUUCACGAUUUAUUAACCAGAAUAUUCAAUGCUUAUUAAGCUUACUUAGCUAAGCUUAUAUACAAUUAUUCUAACUAAUUAAACAACUGCAAAACAACUAAUAACAACUUCAGAUUUAGUUUAGCCAUUGAGCUCUUGCCACAUGUCAUUCAGUUACAUUCAAUCUUGUCCAGCUCAGCAGCUCUGUCCAGCUCAGCAGCAACUAUAUCUUCAACAUCCCCCCUCAAGCUCAACCGAGGAAGUAAGGUUGAGCUUGUCACGUAAGUAGAGAAAAGGGUGAUAAGAAAGAGCUUUGGUGAGAAUAUCAGCAGUUUGUUCUGAGCUAGAAAUAUAUUGAACCUUAAGACAUUGAGCAGCAACUUUCUCUCGAACAAAAUGAACAUCUAAUUCAAUGUGUUUUGUUCUGGAAUGAAACUUAGGAUUAGAGGCUAAAGCAGCUGCACUUUGAUUAUCACACCAUAUGAUUGGAAUGGAGGGAAGAGUAAGACCAAUCUCAGCAAGAAGAGAACGAAUCCACAAGACUUCAGCUGCUGCCAUUGCUAGUGCUCGAUAUUCAGACUCAGCACUAGAUCGAGAGACCACUGCCUGUUUCUUAGAGCACCAAGACACUAGAUUUGGACCCAUAUAGACACAAUAACCAGCCACUGACCUCCUAUCAUCUCUGUCUCCAGCCCAAUCAGCAUCACUGAAACAAUCAAUCUGUAUGCUGCCAUGAUUGUAGAACUGUAAACCAAGAUUAACAGUACCCUUCAGAUAUCGUAAAACCCUUUUACAAGCCUGCCAAUGAUUGACAGUUGGAGAAGAUAGAAACUGACUGAGCUUGUUGACAGAGAAAGCAAUCUCUGGUCUGGUCAAUGUUGCAUACUGAAGAGCACCUAUGGUGCUUCUGUAUAGAGUAACAUCAGAAAAGGGUUCACUAUCAGCUUUAGUAAAAGCCACUCCAGAAAGCAUAGGAGUAGAACAAGGAGUACUAUCCUGCAUGUGCACCUUGGCAAGCAAAUCAGUGAUAUACUUGGAUUGAGAAAGAUGAAUACCAGAUUUAUUGUAAAUGACCUGAACUCCCAGAAAAUAAUUCAAUGCACCAAGAUCUUUAAGUGCAAAAACAGACUGGAAGUUGGUGAUGGUCUGCUGAACAAGCUGAGGAUUGGAGCCUGUAAUAAUAAUAUCAUCUACAUACACCAAGACAAGUAGCAGAUGACCUUGUGUGCUCUUAAAGAAGAGUGAAGUGUCUGAAAUAGAAUUUGUAAAGCCCCACUGAGUUGUAAGAACUAGUUUGAGUCUGUCAAACCAUGCCCUUGGAGCCUGUUUAAGGCCAUAAAGAGCUUUGUGCAGCUUACAGACAUAAUCAGGCCUGGAACUAUCUAUAAACCCCUCAGGCUGUUGCAUAUAAACUUCUUCAGUGAGGUAGCCAUUAAGGAAGGCAUUAUUAAUGUCUAUUUGCCUCAGUACCCAAUGAUUCAUGACAGCCAUACUCAAGAUAAUUCUGAUGGUUGAAGACUUAAUGACAGGACUGAAUGUUUCAUGAAAAUCCAGCCCUUGAGUUUGGUGAAAUCCCUUAGCAACAAGUCUAGCUUUGUAUCUAGAGACACUGCCAUCAGGAUUAUAUUUAAUCCGAAAUACCCACUUAUUCCCAAUUACUUUAAUGGGAUGUGUAGGUUUGACAAGAGUCCAGGUAUGAUUAUUGACUAAGGCUUGAUAUUCAUCUGUCAUUGCUUUAUGCCAAGCUGAAUCUUGAAGGGCUUUUAAGGUAGUAGCAGGUUCUGUAGGUUUGGUAGGAUUGGCUGUAAUAUAGGCUUUAGGUUUGAAGAUACCAGCCUUUGAUCGAGUGAGCAUUGGAUGACCAGUAGAUGACUGCAAUGGUGGAGUUAAAUGAUGAACAGGUGAGGUAGAUGGUUCUGAGUGUGAUUGUAUAGAAGAUUGAGAAGGAGAGUCUGGAGAGGAUUGAGAGAACCUGAGAUCAGCUGCUGUAGAGGAUGAAGACUUGGUUAUAUCAAGUUGAAUCAAAGGACAAACAGAAGAUGAACAAUGUGAAGAAGACUGAGAUGAAUGAUCUGAAGAAGAGCAAGAGUGACUGACAGAGGAAAAAUCAACUCCUGACUGAAAAGGAAAACAUGACUCAUCAAAUGUAACAUGGUUACUGACAUAGAUUCUACCAGAGGAAUGAAGACACAAGUAGCCUUUGUGAAGGGAGCUGUAACCAAGAAAAAUACAUCUAGCAGUUCGAAACUCUAACUUAUGAUGAUUAUAAGGCCUCAGAUAUGGGAAACAAGCACAUCCAAAAACUCUCAUAACAGAAUAAUCUGGUCUUUUGUUGAAUAAUUUUUCAAAAGGUGAUUUGUUAUCCAGAAUGGGUGUAGGGAGCCUAUUUAUGAGAAAUGUGGCAGUAUGGAAAGCAUUCCACCAAAAUUUCAGUGGUAAAUGUGCUUGAGCAAGAAGGGUAAGGCCUGUUUCCACUAUAUGUCUAUGUUUGCGUUCAAUCUUUCCAUUUUGAUGGUGAAUAUAAGGACAAGGAUGUCUAAAUUGGAUUCCCUGCUCAGCAAGAUAAGGAAGAAAUGGCCUAAAUUCACCUCCCCAAUCUGUUUGAAGACACUUGAUUUUCCUAUUUAGGCAUUUUUCUAUCAUAUGCUGGAAUUCAAUAAAGGUUUGUAAGGCUUGAGAUUUGGUAACAAGAGGGAAUAUCCAGGUGAACCUAGUGAAAUCAUCUAAGAUGGAAAGAUAGUAGUGAUAGCCUUGAGAGGACAGCAAAGGAGCUGGACCCCAUAGAUCAGCAUGCAACAGCUCCAGUGGUUGAAUGGUAGUGGUGUCUAUAGAAGGAAAAUGCUGCAUGUGACACUUUCCAAAUUGGCAAGCAUUACAAAAAAUUGGUUUCAGGGCUCUAUUGAUAUCGAGAGAAGGAUGCAAAUGCUUCACAAUUUGUUUAAGAGCAUGCACAGUUGGAUGACCCAUUCUUUUAUGUAAAACAUUGUAAUCAACUGAUUUUGAAUGAGUAACAGACAAGGCCAUUGAGGCAUCAUUAUUGAAUUGAGAAAUAUUUACAUCUGUCAAAAUUUCUCCAGAAUGUAUAGAGUUUGAAACAUUGGAAUGACUAAUCAUUGACACUGGAGAGGAACAGACAUUUGACACAGAACUGGAAUUUGAGAUGACACAGAAAACAUUAGACGGAACUCUAUUUGAAACUGCAGCAUGAGACACUACAACAGGACCUUCAACUUGAUAUAAUCCUCCUCUAGCAAUCCCCUUGAGCAAGAUGAUCCCUGAUUUCUUGUCCUUGACAAAACAGGAGGUUUUAUGGAAUUCAACAACAACAUCAUUGUCAGCAAGUAAUUUAGAUACACUUAAAAGGUUUUUGGUUAUAGUUGGGACAUGCAAAAUAUUAUUAAGAUAGAUAGAUGUUGCAGCAAGUGUAUUCAAUCGUGUGCACCCAACAUGUUUAAUAUGUAAUCCCAUGCCAUUUCCUACAUGUAGCUUAUCAAAACCAUGAUAAACUGAGUAAGAAGAAAAGAUACCUGCUUCCUUAGUCACAUGAUUGGUUGCCCCGGAGUCAAUAUACCAAGCAGGAUCAGCUACAACUCCAUAAUCAGCAACUGGACCAGUGGGAGCAAAUUGUGCAGUGGGAAUAGCAGAAGGAGCAACUCCAUAGUUAGCAAAUGGAGUAGCAAUUGCACCAUUGUAUUGACCUUGUAAUCCUUGAAACACAAGAAACCCUUGAGGAUACAUAACAUUUGCAUUCUGAUAUGCAACAUUCCCUUGAAACAUGGGUGCAUUAUAUCUAGGAGCACCAGUUGCAGUUCCAUAAAAAUUUCCAUAACCUCUUCCAAACAUGUUCUGAGGCUGACCAGGAAAGCCUCUAAAAUUGAAUCCACCUCUAGGCCUAAAGCCACCUCUUCCUUGUCUAGGAAUAAAGUUCUGAUUAAAUCUGUUCCUGCAUUUGUAUGCUCCAUGACCAGGUAUGAAGCAUAUUUGACAAAUUACUUCCUUAUCAACAUUAUAUCCUCCUUUGCCAUUAUCAAAAUUUCCACCAUUAAAACCUCUCUGAUUAGCAUUAUUGAACUUAUUGUAAUUCUGUCCUUUCUGAGCAAAAUUAGCUGACAUAUCAUGCAACAAUUCAUUUUGCACCUUUCCCUUACUCAUCUCAACCCUAGUUUCAUGACUAAGCAUUAAGGAAUACACUUCUUCAAUAGUGAGAUUAUCUUUUUCCAGCCUAGCAAGUAUAGUUGUCACUAAUGACUCAUAGUUGUCAUCUAAACCAGUGAGCAAAUGCAUUAUAAAAUCUGUUGAAGCAAGAGGAUUACCACCAAUAGCUAAGCUAUCUGCAAUUUUUUUCAUCUUAUUGAAGUAAUCACUUACUGACAUAGCUCCUUUCUUUGUGGUUUGAAUCUGCAUUUUCAGAGGCAUGUAUCUAGCCUUUGACUGUGACAUGAACAUCUCGGCAAGUUUCUCCCAGAUCUCAAGUGAAGUAUCACAAUCCACAACCAUGAUAAGUACAUUGUCUACCAUAGAUGACAGCAUCCAGCUCUGUAGAAGCUUGUCAGCUUUCUUCCAGUCAAUAUAGUCAGAAUUUUCACGUCUGCUUGAGCUAGGAGCUUCUGAUCUACUGGCAGCAUUCUCAUAUGAGGAAAGAAAACGAUCUGGACAAGGAGAUUCUCCAUUGAUAAAACCUUCAAGUCCAUUGGCAAUAAUCGAAGCUUGAAUUUGAGCUCUCCACACCAGAUAAUUUGUUCGAUCAAGUUUUGUUGGUUGAAUAAAAGAAAAAGAAAGUGAAGACGAUCCUGAAUUGCUUUGAUUCGUCAUGUUUCGUGGCUCUGAUACCAUAUUAGAAUUCGUAAUAAGAUGUUUGGAAACAAAGAAAAACAGAGAAAAUGAAAAAGGAAACUUCACGAUUUAUUAACCAGAAUAUUCAAUGCUUAUUAAGCUUACUUAGCUAAGCUUAUAUACAAUUAUUCUAACUAAUUAAACAACUGCAAAACAACUAAUAACAACUUCAGAUUUAGUUUAGCCAUUGAGCUCUUGCCACAUGUCAUUCAGUUACAUUCAAUCUUGUCCAGCUCAGCAGCUCUGUCCAGCUCAGCAGCAACUAUAUCUUCAACAACCGAUACCCCCAGUGAUCAUGCCAACUUUGUUGUAAUACCCAUUGUUGGCAUGGGCGGGAUAGGAAAAACAACUCUUGCUCGGGAGGUCUACAAUGACAAGGCCGUUGAAGAUUCAAAGUUUGAUGUAAAAGCAUGGGUUUGUGUCUCUGAUGUCUUUGAUAUUUUGGGCAUCUCAAAGGCACUUCUCGAAUCAAUCACCCGCAGGCCUUGUCUUCUGAACAGUUUAAAUGAAGUGCAGGUUGAGUUGAAAGUAGCUGUGGAUAAAAAAAGAUUCUUGCUGGUCUUAGAUGAUGUUUGGAACGAGGACUACAGCUUGUGGGUAGACUUAAAAGCUCCAUUCUUGGCAGCUGCACCAAACAGUAAGAUGAUCGUCACCACAUGCAAUUCAAAUGUUGCAUCAAUAAUGGGACCAAUUGAACAUUAUAAUCUCAAGAGACUGUUAGAUGAUGAUUGCUGGUCCAUUUUCAUACAGCAUGCACUUGAAUCUAGAGAUCUUAACGCACAUCAAAUUUCAGAAUCGUUCCACAAGAAAGUUGUUGGCAAGUGUGGAGGCUUGCCCCUGGCAGCAAAAACAUUAGCGGGCCUUCUACGUACUACGAGGCAUGAUGCCUGGGACGAUAUCUUGGAUAGCAAACUAUGGGAUUUACCACGACAAAAUGACGUUCUCCCUGUGUUAAGAUUGAGUUACCAUCAUCUUCCGUCUCAUUUGAAAAGAUGUUUUGCUCAUUGUGCCAUCUUUCCGAAAGAUUAUGAAUUCAAUGAGAAGGAGCUGACUUUCUUAUGGAUGGCUGGAGGUAUUAUUCGACAGUCAAGAAAGAAUGAGCAGCUGGAAGAAUUGAGCAGCAAGUGCUUUCAAGAUCUAGUGUCGAGGUCUAUUUUUCAACAAACCAGCUCUGGUAGUGCUAAAUUUGUAAUGCACGACCUUAUCCAUGAUCUUGCUGAAUUGGUUUCUAGAGAAACCAUUUUCAGGUUAGAGGAGUCCACCAACUUGUCAUCAAGAAGAUUUGAAAGGGUUCGCCAUUCUUCGUAUGCCCGUGGUAGGCUUGAUGGUAAAUCUAAGUUCGAGGUUUUCAAUGAAAUUGAACAUCUACGAACAUUCUUGCCAUUAUGCAUAAGAGGUGGCGUUACUUCUGGUUAUAUAACUAGCAUGGUUCUCUAAGAUUUGUUGCCGAAGUUCAAAAGGUUGAGGAUGCUGUCUUUAGACGGAUACCGUAUUAGUGAGUUACCAAUUCCAUUUGAAGAUCUGAGACUUUUAAGGUUCCUAAACCUUGCUGAUACUGACUUAAGAAGUUUACUUGAGUCAACAUGCGCAUUGCUGAACUUGGAAAUUUUGACAUUAAGAAAUUGUUCCCGUUUGAUAAAGCUACCGCCCAAAAUGAUGAACUUGAUCAAUAUUCGUCAUCUCGAUAUAAGAGGUGCAAAUUUGUUGAAGGAGAUGCCAUUCGGAAUGAAAGAGUUGAAGAAUCUUCAAACAUUGUCCAACUUUAUUGUGGGCAAGGGUGAAACUGCAUCUGGUUUGGAAGAUUUAGGAAGUUUAAACUUUCUUUGUGAUGAACUUUGCAUUGCUGGAUUAGAGAAUGUGAAUAAUCCACAGAAUGCAAGAGAAGCCGCAUUAUGUGAGAAGCUCAAUCUUCAUGCAUUGACUCUAGAUUGGGGGUCUCAAUUUGACAAUUCUCGAGAUGUAGCAGUAGAAGAGCACGUGCUUGACAUUCUACAGCCUCAUAAAUGUAUAAAAAAGGUGGCAAUCAGGAACUAUGGUGGUGCAAGAUUUCCACUUUGGAUAGGAGAUCCGUGGUUCUCCAAGAUAUAAUUCCUUGAAUUGGAGAACUGUAACAAUUGUGUAUCUUUGCCAUCGCUUGGUCUAUUGAGUUCACUUAAGCACCUUGCUGUCAAAGGGCUGAAGAAGCUAAAAAGCAUAGAGUCUGAAGUUUAUGGGGAGGGUUUCUCAAUGCCUUUUCCAUCAUUGAAGAUUCUACGUUUUGAGAAUUUGCCAGAGUGGUGGCAUUGGGACACCGAUAUCAAAGGAAAUGUGCACGUUGAUAUAUUUCCUUGUCUCCAAGAACUUUCCGUUGUGAAAUGUCCCAAACUCUCUGAAAAACUGCCUGAGCUUCUGCCCUCCUUGGAGAUACUUGUUGUUAGUAAAUGUGAAAAGUUGGUAGUUUCAUUGUCAAGCUAUCCAAGGCUCUGCAGAUUAGAGGUUGAUGAGUGCAAAGAACUAGUGUGCAGGAUCCCAAUUGAUUCUAAGUUGAUAAAGUUCAUGACUAUUUCAAAUAGUUCAUUAGACAUGAUUGGAUGCAAGGGGAUGCUAUACGAUAGUCAAGCUGGCUCUUCACUGCCAAAACCCAUGACCACUACAAAUGUUUUGGAGUUUGGAAAAUUACUGGAGCCUGGAUUUCAGAUAUUAGAAACUUUGGUAAUUGGCAAUUCUGAACAGCUCAAGCCAUGGAGGCAGGGAAGGGGACUUUCAAGUUUUAAUAGACCAGAACACCGGCUAAAAAUACUUGCUCACCCUGAUGAGGUAACAAUUGAGGAAAGUUGCGUAAGUCUUGUUUUGUUUCCAGAGAUCAAUUUCUUUCCCAGAAAUCUGCACUGUCUUCGAAUUUACAACAGCACUGCUUUCAAAUCCUUACCGGAGGAAAUGAUGGACAACAGUUCACAACUCGAAAGCUUGUAUAUCAAAGAUUGCCAUUCUCUACCAUUCAUCACAAGACGCAAGCUACCUUCAUCUCUAAAAAGGAUAGAGAUUGAGAAUUGUGAGAAAUUGCAACGUUUGUUCGAUGAUAAAGACGAUGCUUCUUCUUCUUCUCCUUCAUCCUCGUCUUCCCAAGUGAUGCUUCAACAUCUAAGUAUAAAGAAUUGCCAAGCGCUCUCCAGUUUGUCAUCGGGAAUUCAAUUACUUGAGUCGCUCGAAGAACUUGUGAUAACAAAUUGUCGAAAGCUGGAGUCAAUACCCGAUGGCCUGCACAAUCUUAACUGUUUACAGAAGAUUACUCUAGUGAGUUGUCCAAGUCUUGUUUCCUUCCCAGAAAGAGGGCUUCCCAACGCCAUUUCAUGGGUUGACAUUAGUUAUUGUGACAAGCUUGAAGCCCUGCCCAAUGACAUGCACAAACUCAACUCUCUCCAAACUUUAAGCAUAAUUCAAUGUCCAAAGCUUGAGUCGUUUCCAGAAGAAGGCUUUCCCACCAAUCUUAGAACGCUUAAAAUUGGAAAUUUCAAAAUGUACAAGACCCUCGUCCAGUGGGGGUUGCACAGGCUUUCCUCUCUCAGAAGCCUCUACAUUUAUGGAUGUCAUGAAGCAGAGUGUUUUCCAGACGAGAAGGUAGGAAUGACGCUGCCCACAUCUCUAACUCAUCUGUCCUUAUUGGGAUUCCAGAAAAUGAUACUUCUGUCUUCAGUGGGUUUCCAAAGACUCACGUCUCUUCAAUGUUUGAAGAUAUGGAAUUGCCCAAAUCUCACGUCAUUUCCAGAGGUAGGCCUUCCAUCCUCACUUUUGGAUUUAUACAUUAACAAUUGUCCUAGGCUUAAAAAGGCGUGCAAAAGGGACCAAGGAAAAGAGUGGCCCAAAAUUGCUCACAUCCCUUGCGUUGUGAUAGAUGGAAAAUUCAUAUACGAUCCAGAAUUGGAGGUGUAGAUUCUAUUAUUAAAGUCGGUUUAUUUAUAUUAUCCACUAUAACAAUCUCCUAUUAGUUUUUUUUUUUUUUUUUUAAUGAAAAAAAUUGCAGUUCUGUAUAAUUUAAAAUAUAUAUAUUAAUCCUCUGCCCUUAAUUGAAAAUACCACUCACUUGUUUCUGUUUUCACAAGUCAGAUUGUACGUUGAGGCUAUUUGCUUUUUAUCGGUGUUUGUUAAGGUAAUUAGUGUCUCAUAGGCUGAUUAUAGGCAGAUGAAAUUAUAACUUUUAACUUAAAAUUUAAUACCAUAGACAGAUAGAUGAUUUUUAAUCCAAAGGUUUUUAGAUGUGAUCAAAUUGUCACAUGCAUAACAUAUUAGGCAUGCAUGAUGUAUCACAAGGUUGAUACAUCUUAUAUGCCACGUGAUGAAAUUAAGGAUGUUUCUCUUACAAGGGACACAUCCUUACAUGUUCAAAUUUGAACAUGUAACUUCCAAGUGGUUAAUGGAAGUUACUUGUUCAAAAUUCGAACAUAUAACUGUCAUAUUGUUGCCUAUAUAGAGGCAUGAACGCAUCACAAAUUCAUACAUUCCAAGACAUACUUAAAGUCUUAUCAUAUUAUGAUCUUGCAGUUUUGCAUGUAGCCACCAGCCUAAGGGCAGUGUAAAACGAUCCCAAAAACCAUCAAUAAUAACAAUGGAUAUAGUUCCUAAAUAAACUGAUGAAAUUUAAGGAUGAUUGGAUGAAACAGCUAUGAUAAAAUGAACUAUCUCGAACCGAGCGAAUGGCACUGACUCAUGAAUAAGUGUGGAUUCCAAAUAUCUUCAUAUCUUCAUAGAUAUUCAUUUCCGUGUUAAUUCGAGGACUUCUAGAAAUUUAGUUAGUUAUUCUAUGAAAUAGAUAUACUAAUAAUAAUAAAACAAAAACGACGGGUGUUACACAAAUUCACAAGUAAAACUGUACUACUUGGAAACUGUGAACAGUAUAGAUUGAAGAUCAUACGAUUGCUAUUUUCAUUGAGUUUCAUGCAUAAAACUUUAUCGAUUAUUAAAUUAGACAUCUUUAUCUUUCUAUCCAUAUGUUUAUUGUUCAAAAACUUAUUGUAUAUUAAUUGUUUUGAUUUUUAAAAAUUGAAACACUGGUGCUGGAAAAUUCUGAUUUUCAGUAGCGAUUCUCAAUUCUAUAAUUUAUUUCAUAACUCCAAAUACUUCUGAAAAUUCUGGGAAUUUUUAUUACUGUACACUUAUAUGUCUAGUUUCUGUCUUUUUAAUUUCGUAAUUUUUGGCUUUAUAUAAAAAUCAUAGAGUUAGACUGCGCAAUCCCAGAAACUGUUUUCCAGAAUUGCGAGGGCUGAUAUUUAGGGCAGUUUGGGAUAGUUUUUCAUCAGUAAAUGUCUUAUAAAUCUUUAAUUCUGACUCCUAUUGUUUCCUCUAAUUGUCAAAACUAGAAUCACUAUUUUUGGACAUGUGUAACUAAAGUUAUAAAUUUUUCAAGCAACAGUCCUCUGUUUAUAUCGUUAUUGGACAGUUUGGAUAAUUUUGUGGAAAAAUAAGUUUUCAGGGGAUGUUUUUAAACUCUAAUUGAUUAUGUAAAAAUUUAAAUUGAAUGCCAAUAUGUUGACAAUAGUGUUUUGUGAUAUUUGUGAUAUUUCCGACGUACUUAUAGCUUGUUAGAAAUCAGCUCCUAUAUAAUGGUCUAGUAUAGUUUAGUGAAUUGAUGUGCUUAAGUAAGAGUGCAUGGUUUAAGGAUUUUUGGAUUUUCCUAUCUAGGUCAGAAUUGAAUAAGAUAUUGAUAGUACUUUUUUCUUAACAAUCAUAGGCCAAAAGUGAGCUCGUUUGAUUUGGGUUAUUGUUGAUUGCUUUGUAUCAUGGUAAGUAAAUUCAUGCAUAAUAUUUAUUAAAGUAUACACGUAAAUAUUUAUUAAUAGAAUAAUGUUGUCCAAAUGGAUUGGCAAGUUAUGGUUUUGAAGUUAUUUUAAAAUGUUUUCUUAAAUUUGUUUUAAAAAUAACUUCAAAAUACCUGCUUCUCUAUAAAAUGUUUUCCUUAAAAAUAUUUGUAAAGCUUUGCCAAUUCAAUGUCUUGUAAGCGUUUUAUCGAAAUAUUAUGGAAUGAUUGAUAUUGGAAAUCUGAAAACUGUUUUUAAGGUUUUGGCUCAUUGUCCGUAGUUAUCGUUACUAAUAUUACUAAAUAGCUAGUUGUAUUGUGCGCACCUAUUGACGAUUAUUGCAGGGUAAAGUACCCUGGUAGAACUAUAAGUUGGGUCACCGAGAUUAUAGGUGACAUAUUGAACUAUUGACCAGGUCACCGGGGGUAUAAGUGACACUAUGUGAUAUGAGUAAAUUGAAUGAAAGAAAAGUUUUAUUGAUAAAAGAUUUCUUACACGAUUAUUUAUUGAAAAUGAUUAUUAUGCUAUGACUUAAUUGAUUAUGAGUUUUACCGCACACAUAUGAUUACAAAAUGAUUUUUGUUUCCUAACUUGUGGUACUACAUAAUAAUGAUUAUAUACUUUUUUCCUUAUUGGUAACCUUAUGCAUGAGUUCGCUUACCGAUUGACGGCUCACCCCUCGUCUCCAACAUUUUAUAGAUUGAUUUUAGUGAUGUGCGCUUUUGGUCUAGCAAAGAGGAUUUAGCUGAAAAACUUUGGCAUUUUCUAGAUGAAUUAAUUGUAGCUAGUUUGAUUAUUGCUUAGAGCUAGAUUUUAUUUUGGAGGAUUUUUGAGUUAUUUUUUAUUUUAGAGACUAUGUUUUGUCAAUGAACAACAUUGACUUUAUUUGAAAAUAGUAAUAAGAUUAAUGUUAUAAGGUUUCAUUUGGGGUGUUACAACUUGUCUCUUAGUAAGUUUAUUUUUGUUAGCCUAUCCAGUAAGGUUUAUUAUCGACUGACAUCAUUUUCAAUGAAAUCAUCUUAUGUUGUUAAGUUUUGCAUAAAUAAAUAUUUCAGUAGGGUCAAAAGAGCAAGAGUUUACCUAUAAAAAAAAAGUCAAAAUUAGUUUAACCACCCCAGUGCGAAUUUCUGACCACGUCUUGCUUUGUAUGAUUUAACUCUAUUAUUAAUUAGUACUAAAAUAUCGAUGAAAAAAAUGGACAUGAAUUUUGAUCUCGUGUUGCUUUGUUUUGGUUGAGUGGCCAAUUUUAACUUCAUGUUAAACUUUCUCAAUUAUUAGUUGAAUUAUUUGGAUUUGAAAACUUAAAACCACCAUUUUAAUUUGUUUAGUAAUGACUAUGUUGAACUUCAACAUUUGUUUUCAAGAAAAAAAUUGAUCAAACUAUGAUGCUCUUGUUUCUAUUAUUAUGGAAUCUCUUUUUCAAUCGUCAAAGUUUGAAUUAUAUUAUGCUGCCUCUGUAUUUCCGCAGAAACAGAAUCAGUUGGUGAUCCUUCAAAACAAGAAAAACCAAAAAAAGAUGUAGUGCGUGAUAAGAUAAUGAGACAGAUGGCUCAUGUUGACAUUAAUACUCAAGUUGGAAGUUGCAUGCCCCUUGCUUGUAUGCGGACUGGGACCAUCAUCCACAAAAUUGAGGUAUACCCGGCUGAAGGUGGCAAGCUAGUUCGAGCCGCUGCGACGUCAGCCAAGAUUUUGAAGAAGACCCACUUCAAGGUACUGCUUAGUAAGGCUAACUUCUGGAAAUGAGAAACUGAUUGACGCUAGAUGUCGAGCCCACCAUUGGUACAGUGUCUAACCCCAGCCAUGGAGCUACGAAGCUUAGGAAGGCUGGUCAGAGCCGUUGGUUGGGUCGAAGGCCUGUGGUUGGAGGAGUAGCCAUGAAUCCAGUUGAUCAUCCUCAUGGUGGAGGUGAGGGACGAAGCAAAAGUAGCCGUAACCAUGGAAGGUGUUCACUUACGCCUUGGGGCAAGCCUUGUAAUUCUGGGUAUAAAACUGCAUUUCCUAAGGGAAAAAAAAAAAGAAAAAGAAAUUACCCGUCUGAUAAUAUUUUCCUUCUUUGCUAUUUAGCCUUUUUAAUAAUGUUACAUUGUUUGUCAUAUAUUUGAGGUUAGUUUUAGACCAAUUUUUAACUGAUCCAUAAUGAAACUGAAGUUUAAUUUUCUAUUGAACUUUUCCUGGUUUUACUCUUCUGUCAUUUCAAUUUAGCAAUGAUUUAAGAUGUUGAGUUCUGUGCUUGGAACAUGUAAAUGGGAAAGAGAGAUAUAAUGGGGUAGAAUAUAGAUUUUGUGUUUUGGUUUCUCAUGUUUAGAGAUAUUCUGUUCUUUUUCAUUUGUUCAAUUUGGUUAGUGGUGAUUUCUUAAAGAGUCGAUGCACGUGUGUAUAUAUACUUUUCUUUUGGCCUUGAUUCUGUUUCUUGGGGAGUUUAUGCAGUUUCUUUUUUUAUGCUUCGUAUGCCACAUGAAAGAUGAAAGCAUUUUGUGUAUUUAGAAUUGACUUGCAUCAUAGUAACUUUGAAUCACUGUUAACAUUUGUAUAAUAGCAGUCUGAGAUCUCCUUGAAGGAUUCAAAAGCAUUUUAUUUGAUGGUCUAGACCUAAAAUCAACUCCUUUAUAUAGAUAGGUUGGUCUUCUUCAAAGCAAUUCCUAUUUUAAGUAAUCAAAAUUUUGAUUUGGAAGUGUGUUUUAACACUACCAAAAGUUCUUUAAAUACUAAAAAUGUGUUUGGGAGUGAGGUGAUGUGGCUUUUAAGCUACAAUUACUGCAAAGUAAAAGUCAGUGAGUAUAAAUAAGAAAAAAUGACUGUUGAGUUGCCAAAGCCCAACUGCCGCACAUCACUUCCAAAUGCACCGUAAAAUGAUUUUGAGUCUUCUAUAUUAUUGAAACAAAAUACAUGAAAGCACUUUUGGCUACAGAAGUACACUUGGGGUUCUUUAUAAAAUUCUUCGACAGCAAUUUUUCCCCCUUUUUGCUCAUGGCGGUUUUUCUGGUUGUUCUUUUAAGAAAACACUUAAAGGUUCUUUUUAUAGAUUUCUGAAAGUACUUCCAACAUAAGCAUUUUUCAGAAAUUUUUUCUGAAAUUAAUUUUAUUUACUUAUCGACUUUUCAACUCCUGUGGUUGUUUAUGAAAUGAAAGGCAAGGGUAAUCACAAGAAAUCUGCAAACUUUAUCAAUUUUUAACUAUACCAAUUUGUUGUUUAUGCUUUACUUUUAUUUUACAGUUUUGUUUAAUGUUUAGAUGAUAGAUAUAUAGACAUUUUAGAUUGGAGAAUUUUGUCAACAAAUUCAUUCCUUUCUUUCACUUUUUCCCUUUUCAGAGGAAAGCAAUUUUGACUAAUUUUAGCCAGAAUCGGACUAUAAUAUUUUGGAGCAAGCCUACUUGAAAUGAUGCUUUUUAAAUUUGAUCUAGUUAAAAUACACUGCCGUUACCCAAAAAAUUCUAGUCUUGGAUUUCAUAGAAUGCCCUUUUAAGAUAUUUUCUCAGCUCUUUGUUGGUCGCAGCAUCUGAGAUUAGCAUUCUCACAUUUCACUUGUUUUGCCUUUGUUUUGAAGGUAACUUAGUUGCAUAGGUGAAUCGAGGUUCAAGAAUGCCGAGAUGGCUACAAGUUUCAAGAAUCAUUUAAAGAGGCGUAAUGACAGCACCAAGAUGGGCUUUGUGAUUAACAAGAUUACUAAUUGAACCAAUCUUGAUGGGACAGAGGACAUGUCAGAACCGUUGCGCACAGGGAGAAGAGUUAGGGGAGCUUUGAGAGUUGAGACCAUCAACAUCCAGAAAGGCUGCUGGUAAUGUUUCAUGUGUUACAAAGUUGCAAGGAAAUUUCAUUUAUAUUUUAACACCUUGUAUUUGAAAAAUUUAAUGUAAUUUUCUCUUUUUUCAAUUUAUUAUUCAGAUCGUAGACUAGUAAACGGUUUAGAUCGCAAGCUUUUAUUAUGCAGUUAUUUUCUCCUUUUCAGGAAGAAGUGGUCAGUUCCAUUCCAGAAUUGGAAUAUGGUAAUUAGGUGCAAGCAUACGUUGUAACAAUCAUUUCUUGUUUGUUUGAUUAUGCUUAUCUAUUUAGUUGUUUAUCGUUUGGUUGUGUUAAAUUAUUUGAAUUAGCAUUAUUUGAGAUAAAGCAUAAUUCUUUUAUUUAUUUAUUUAUUUUUUAAAUAAAUUAUUAUAGAAUAUCGUCUUUAUCGUAUAAUGUAUUUUUAUAAAAGUAAGCAUUUUUAUAAAAUUUAAACUCUUCCAAUCUCCUUAUGAUUAAAACCCUUAACCUAAUAAACGUAUAAAAGCAAAGAGUCCUAGGAUUUUCUUUUGUGCACAUUUGGAAGAAUUUUUGAGGUAAUUAUCCUUCUCUAAAACAUAUUCUCUAAUCUUAGGUGUUUAAUGAUGAAUGCAUGCAUUGUUUUUUUAAUCAUGAAUGACUAGCUAGACAUUAUGAGGCAUGAGUACUGUGAUUCUAUUACUGUUUUCCCUUUAUUUUUUAUUCAGGUUUUCACUAAAGUUUUCAUAAAAUUAAACUAGACAUUUUAAGGCUUUCAAUGAUAUAUUUUGUACGAAAAGAUUACCAGUAACCAAUUUGUUGUGAAUUUUCGAAUUCAGAACAGUGGUGCUGGAAAAUUCUGAUUUUCAGCAGCAUGUUUGACUUUGCCCAUUUUUCUGUCUGUCUAAAUGAUCCCUAAAAUUAUGCUGAUUUUUCUAUUAAAUCCUCAUUAUGUCUACUUACUAUAUGUUCACUUUCAUAAUUUUCAUUGAGUAAAAAAAAAAUUAAAAAUCAUUAUGUUGGGCUGCUGCAGUUUUGGAAACUGCUUUCCAGAAUUGCGAUGGCUGACAAUAAAAUUACUUUAGGCUAUUAAAAGGCUUUAGAAUGGCCUAUAAAAAUUAUAUUCAUAUAAUUUAUGAAUUCCUUAUGAUUUAAAGUUUAUUUGACUAAUUUUGAUAGUUAACAUUAAGUUAUGAAUUUUUCAAGUGCAAAACAUAAACCUGAAUGUUUCUGGACAGGUUUGCUGGUCUCUUAAUAUAAAUUCGUUUAAAAUAGUGUCAUAUCUUCAAAAAUUCUAGGAAUUUGAAGCUUUGUUUCUUGAUGCAUCUACUGUUUUAAAAUCAAGUGGUCUAAUUUUUAAGAGUUCUAUUAAAUAUUUUACAAAUUUUCCAGUUCAGCAACCUCUGUUUUUAUCACUGUUGGACAGUCUGGAUAUGCAUGUAAAAUUCUUUUUGCAAUAUGUUUGACUUUUAUUCAUUCUUUUGAAUUUUUAUUUGAAAUGUUAUCCAUGUUUAUGGUUUAUUUUCUUUGAUUUUACAAUUUUCCAACAUUUGAUUAGCUUGGUAAAAAUCGGCUCAGACUAGCUUUAAUGGUUUAGUGCUUAUGACUAGGCUUGAUUAUGUUAGAUUUAUAUCAAGAUCAGAAUGAGUAAUAGUAUUGAUAAGAAUGUGUCUUGAUAUUUUAGGACGAGAUUGAGCUCGAGGCUAAGGUUACUAUUCUUUAUUGUUGAGGAUUGAGAUAAGUAGAUUCAUGCAUGGUAUAUGUAUUUCACUAUUAAAUUAUUUUUAAUUCGAGGUAUCUAUUAUGUUAAAUGAAAAGUAUUUGAAACUAAUUUGUUUUAGCCUAUUACAAUAUUUUGUUAAAAUAAAAUCGUUCUUUAAAUUAUUUAUAAUAAACCUUUUAUUUAUUAAAAACUUGUUUUAUAAAUUGUCUUAAAAAAACUUUUAUUAAAUUGUUUUAAGUCAAAUACUUUGAAAUAAUUAUCAAUUAUUUAAAUGAUUAAAAGUUCAAGGAUGAUUUUAAAUGUUUUUGCUCAUUGUCUGUAAUGAUGCUAUGUUAUGUUAUAUGUUGUGGAAGGCUAGUUGGAAUAUGUGUACAUAUGAUGUUAAUGUUAAUGAUUCUCGUGGGGUACAGUACUCUAAAUGAUGUCAUACGGAUGGGUCACUGGGUCUACAAGUGAUACUAUGUGGAAUGAGCUAAGUAUGUUUUAUGUAUUUAAAAAGCUAAUUAUGUUUUACAUGUUUGAAAUGCUAUUAUUAUGUUUAAAGGAUUUAAAUGACUUUCUGAUGUUUUGAUUUAUUUUUUAUAAAUGAUUAUUUACAAAAGUAAUUUCCCUUAUUAUUAUUAUGCAUAUCUAAGAAAUUCAAACAAUUAUAAUUUAAUGGUUUUUAGUAUUGUGCAUGAAUUUACUUACCGAGUUGACGGCUCACCCCUUGUUAUCAUAUUUUUGUAGAUAGAGUUAGAUGAUGUGAGCUCAUGAUCUUAGGAGGAAGAAUGAGAGCUCGUUUAUUUUUGGGGAUUAAUGUUACAUUAAUAAUUUAGCUUCCUUUGGCAUGAUAUUUAUUUGAGAAUUUGUUAUUUCAUUACUUAUUAUCUUUUGGAAGAGGAGCAUUUACUGUUGGAUAUUAAUUUGAUGAUUUUAGAUACGAGAGUGAUGAAAUACAGUUUCACUUCAAUUUCACUUUAGUAUCUUAUUAGUGGAAUUGGGGUGUUACAUACGUGCCCGGUCAAUGAACUUGAACUUUAAAUAGUUUUUUCAACUCAUUGAUUUUUGGAACUCAUAUUGGUGCAAGGAAAUCAAAAGAAAUUUAUGAUUAGUCAAAUUCUGAUAGUUGCUAUAUAUUAUACAUUCUAAAGUUUCUUGAGUUUGUUUUCAGAUGAAAAUAUGAUCAAUUCAUUUUGUUUUUGAAGUGUAGGAAAAUAGGCUGGGAUAUUAAUGCAUAGGCAAAAACUUUUUGAGUGGCUUUCCAGCGGAUAAUUAUCGGAAACAUGACUGGAUUUUUUGACUUCCGUAAAUCUUGCAUUUUAACCUGGCAAAUUUAACAAAAGUUCAAUACAACUUUGUUAGUGCCUUGUGUUCCAGAAGCUAGAAAGAUGUGUAGAUUCCAUAUAAGCGGGCUUGUAAUUACUCUAGUAAGAAUCCAAUUAUUUGCCUUUGCACCUUCAUUUUAUUUGUGGAUCCUUGCAUGUUUCUGAAUUUGAUCAAUCCAAAAGGAAUUGCUCUGAAGAAUAGCAGUAACUAGCCUAUGUCUUAGUGCAUGGACCUGCAAACCUGAGCUGACAAAGCUGAAACUAUUAGUUUGAGGUGACAAAUCCAUGAUCGUCACCUGUUAACUUCUGCUAGUUGCUUUCGUGAAACACUUUUAAGAAAUAAGCAAUUUGUUGUUAGUCGCCGUAUCUGAUGUGCUUUCUUUUAUAGUUUGUAGAAUCAACUGUAUUAUAUGUUGUCAGUUGCAGUAUCUGAGGUGUCUUUUGCAAUUUACUUGACCUUUAUUUGUUUGCUAGUGAGUUAAGAAUACCAACAUUGGCCAGAGAUUUGGAGAAACAUCCGAAGACGCUUAACAAACUUGGAGAUGCACUUGCUUCCAAGCUUCAUUCAUCACAAUGCGAAUCCGGUGAGUACUUAUGUCUUCAAUUAUGUAGAGUGUUUGAAAUUUUGAUGCAGCGAGAUGGUUUGUUGAUGCAAAACUUUAUACUGUUAAGGACUUACCCUGCAGGCUUUUUGCAUGUUGUAUCAACUCCAAAAUCCAACGAGAACUACAGCACCAAAGCCCAGUUUUCACUGAUUCAAUCAGCUGAAAUCAUGAGGGAAAUAACAGUAUAGCACCAUCAAGCUGGACUUAGAGAAUAAUCAGAUCAGUCAUCCAUUUCAUGAACUGUUAAUUUCAUGAUGGAGGCUUAGUGGAGCUGAAGAGGAAACAAGGAUGUGUAGGGAUCAACAAACAACAGUGAGAAGCACGAUUGGAGCUCUGAUUACAAAUAGACAAUUUAAAAAUAUGUGCUGGUAAGUGGAAAUUAAAGAAAUUUGUGAGCUCAUUCAAGUUUCGGUAUUUUCUUUUUGGAUAACGUUGAUACCAAGUUUGGCAAAUCUGUGUUUUCUGCGUUUAAUCUGUGUUUUGGUUAAAGUAGAUGCUCUGAUUAAUACUUGUUUGUUUUCAUAAAACAGGACAAAAAGAGAUCACCAAUCUUGAUUGAGAAUUCAUUUAAGUAAAAUUUCAAAAAUUGCCAAACACAGUAUAAACUAGGAUGCACUUGCUUAAGAUUCAUUUUCAGACGGAAGUUUGUACCUCCAGAUCAUAAAAUCAUGUUUAUGUUGUAUCUUUAUUCAGCAAUUGAAAGAUUCCAAGUUUGCUGAAACCAUAUUAUUUCUUUCCCAGGCGCUUUCCUGAAGGUAUCGACAUCUAUUUCGAAAAUGUUGGGGAUAAGUUGCUUGAUGCAGUGCUACAAAACUAUGAAGGAUUUCUUGUCGGUGAUUACUACCACCUGGAUAAAAAAUUCAUGGAACUGGUCAUGCCGGCAAUAAAAGAAGGAAAGGUGGUACACGUGGAAGACAUAGAUGAAGGCCUCUGUAUACGUCGAAGACAUAGAUGAAGGCCUGGAGUCCAACAGCCCUCGCUGGGCUAUUCAUUGAUCGGAAUGUCACGAAACAACUGAUUGUAGUUGCUUGGGAAUUUAAAAACCACCAUAUGCUGUAGAAAUGCACAGAGCCAUGCACUUUCAAAGCUUUGUGAAGAUGUCUUGGUCAUGUGUUAGAACAGAUUAUGUUUGUUCGAUUAAAUUGUACGCAGUUAUAAAUCAAAGAUUCAGAACAUUGCAUGUAGAAGUUCAAAUUUUAAAUUUUUGGAAGCAGAGGCGUAGAGUUUUUUUCUUUUGGAAAAAAAAAUCUAAAUUGUGGAGACUAUUUUUAUUUAAUUUUACAAUCUUAUUUUAUUUCUUUCACAACAUAAUUUUAAAAUAUUUAUUUAGUAAAUUAUUAACAUCCAAACCACUAAAGAUUUUUUUGUUAAACGCUCUACUUACAAAGUUAUAUUAAUUAUAGAUUUACUCAAAGAAAGUAUAUUUAAGAAGUUAUAGCAAAAAAAAGUUCUAAUCUGUCUUACAAAGGACUAUUGACAAGAGUGGUGCGACUCCCACCCCUUCAAAGUCCACUUGACACCACGCUUUCUCGAUUUAAAAUUUUAUAUAGUUGAAAAUUGUGUUUUCUUUUAAAUCUCCUUGCUUUCCUCUAUUCUUGUUACUUGAGAAGAAGAACCAGAGUCUAGAAGAACGAAAGAAAAUUCAGCGAGAUAGAAAUUUGGAAAUUUCAUCCGAGCUUUUUUUUUCUUAAAUUUUUUGGUAUUUCUUCCUUGUUUCUAUGGAUUCGUUCAAUGGAUUCUUGACCAUUCUUCCUUCUUUCUAUUUUCUACCAUGAUUCAGAAUUUUUCCUUAAAAAAAAUCUAGAUGCAUGGCCAAAUGAAAUGACCCCCUUUAGAGCUUCGGUUACUGUUGCAUAUUCAGCGUCUGCAUUUGACAAAGCAACUAAAUGCACACUAAAGACUUGCUGUUUCCAUUCAGUAUGCAGUUACACAGACAAAGGCCUUAAUUAUUGUCAAGUUCUCCAGUAGCAUACUCCGAAAUCCACAUACCAACCCACCAGAACUCCAAUCUUGAAACUCCAUAAAUCAAAAUUGAAGUGCCUGCCUCUCUGGUACCUCUCAAGGUCCAUUUUACUACUUUCCAUGUCUUUCCAUGCAUCUACUGACAACUUGGGAAAUGCCAGGUCUUGCAAGCACCACUACUUACAUUUGAGUCUGCUAUUAUUAUUAUUACUAUUUUAUUAUUAUUAUUUAAAAAAAAACACUCUAACUAGGAGAGACAAGUUCCGUGUAGUAGGACUGAGCAACAGGGCCGUAGCAAAUAUUAUGUUUUUAAUCAUUCUUGUACCAAAGUAUUUAAGUAUGCGAUAAAAAAUAAUAAUAAUAAUUUAUUGACAACUAAAAGUUAAUAGUGGCUGGGGUGGACCUGGGUUUUGUUUAAAAAAAUUGAUUAAUAAAAUUUUCGAAAUUUCAAAUUUCUAGUACAGAGAAAAUUGAUGAAUAAAAUUCUGCAAGUUAAUUUCUAAUAUGCCAUGAAAAUAUUAUCAAGUUAAAUUGUAACAUCGUUAAUCACUUAAUCCUCAGUCUAAUAUGCCAUAUAUUUGUUUCUCAGGCUUUAAUCGAAAGUGCCGGUGAUUUAUUGUUAUUUUCAGUAAUCAGAUAGGUAUGUUAAGGCUGUUUAAUUCAUCGACAAUGUACCAACAAGACUCAGAUUGGGAGAUUGUAAAUGUAAUUAACAAUAAUCUUUUAUUCAUUUUGAAGUUCAUUCUAUUGUUUACACAGGAGCAGCGUUCUCUUAUGUUUUAUGGAUAUAAUGUUUGGUAAUCCUAAUUUAAGCUAAGGUAUAUAUAUUUCCUAAUUACAUCUAAUUUAAGCUUAUUCAAAUGCAAUCAAUUAAUGUUCAAUAGUAAAAAUUCCAAAUACUAUAUAUUGUAAGAAUUUUAAUCGUAAUGACAAGGUGAUCAUUUGAAUUAUUAUUAUUAAAUUAUAUGUAUGGUGGAGUCCACACGGUUUUGACUAGAAAUCAAAGAGUUAAGAGACAAUAUUAAUUUAUUUAAGUUAAUAGUAUUUGUUCUGUUUAGUACGUCUUUUGACCAACAAGCAUCCCGGCAUUGCACGCAUUAAUUAAUAAAGCAUUGUGCAUGUCACAUUAUUAGAGCCAAUUGCGCCCGGUACACCUCCAUACUUCAAAAAUUAUCUUAAUACCCUAAAAUCUGUUUUUACCAAAAUUUUCAUCGAUACCCUUUAAAAACGGAUAGGAAAUUACUAAGCUAUCCUCAUUUUAAAACAUUUCAACUCAACGGACAGCACCUCUCCCUUCUCUACUGAAGCAAACAAACACUCAUCUGCUGCAAUUCCCUCCAUUAUCAAACUCAAAUAAACAAACACUGCAAUUCCCUCACCGGCAUCACCUCUGCAAUUCCCUCACCGGCAUCACCUCUACCGAAACAAAUAUUCAUUCUCCAUACAUGAUAAAUUGAACUUCAACACGAGCAAACUAAGCUUGAGAAGGGGAAGCUGCCACAACUGAGAAAGAGAAGCCUAGUUCGUCUCUACAUAAUCGCCGGCGAGAGCUGAUCCUUUACUGUAAAAUAGUCAUAAUUUAACUAGUUGAGGUAAGUAAUUCUCUAUAAAUAGUUUUCUUGUUGAUAUUCAGGGAAAAAAAAAACAAAAAGUUAGGGUUUAUAUAGAAAAAUUAGAUUAAUUAGUUGCGGGUCUCUCAUUACAUGUUCAAAAACAAAUUUCUAGUUGUUUUACUACAUGCAAAUUGUGAACAAUUGAUGGAUUGUGCCGAUUAUAAUUUUGUCAUGUAACACACAAUUUGGUCGUGUAAGGUUAUGUAGGAUUCAAGGUUGUGUAUUACACGACCUUCAUGUAUUGCACUUACACGACUUCAUGUAUUGCACUUACACGACUUCAUGUAUUGCAAUUACACGACUUCAUGUAUUACACGACGUUCAUGUAUUACACGACGUUCAUGUAUUACACGACCUUCAUAUAUUACACGACCUCAUGUAUUACACGACCUCAAAAUUACACGACUUUUUUUACUGUUGUUAAUUCAUUAUAAUAACUUAGUUGUUUAAACACUUAAUUUUUGCUAAGAAUUUAUAUUUGUUGCUAUGCAGAAAAUGUCAACGAAAAGUAUUCAGGAAAAAAUGAAACGAGGCAAACCGAAAGUGAAAAUUACUAAUUUGUCAUCGUUGGAACCAAUAAGAAUAAUAAAAAAUAACCUUAGUGACGUACAAUUGGGGAUUUUUCGCAAAUCAUGUUUUGGGCACUUUUUGGACUUGAAUGAGUUUCAGUUUUGUGCCCAGUUGUUGCACAAGUUGGUAUUAAGUCAUAUGCAUUCAUCCGAUAAGGCAAUGUAUUUUAAGAUAGGGAAAAAAGUUUGUCGAUUUUCAAUGUUUGAAUUUGCAUUAGUUACUGGACUGAAUUGUGAAGAAAUUUAUAAACCUAACUUGGACAUUGUUGAUGACGGUGGUCGUGUAUGUGAUGUUUUGUUGGACGGUUGCACAAAGUUCACUAACACAACGCUAGGUCAGAUAUUUGAAGCAACUAAGUCCAAGGAUGAUAUGAAAAUGGUUAAAUUUGCCAUGUUGUACUUUUUGGAGGUUGUAUUACUUGGAAAAGAAUAUAGAUCAUCUAUAAUUAGGGAUCACAUUCUCCACAUUGACAACUUUGAAGAUUUCAAUAAAUAUCCUUGGGGCCGUGUCUGUUUUGAGAACACAUUAGAAAGUAUGAAGAAUGUGAUUGCAAUUAGACAGAAUAGAGAAAGGGCAAAUCCAGACUAUGUCCCUGAAAAGGAGGCAUACAGUCUUCAUGGCUGUCCAUUUGCAGUUCAGGUAACAAAUUGUCAAUAUUGGUUUCGUAAAGAUUAUUAAGAUUAGGAAUAUUAAUUAUUUCUUUUACUUGCACAGGUAUGGGCACUUGAAAUUUUCAGUGAAGUGUGUGAAACUUUUUCCUCGAAAUGUAAGCAUGUCAAAUAUCCAAGAAUUCUAAAUUGGACAAUCACUAAACAUGUUAGCUCUAAUUUGCUUGACUAUUCCAUAUUUGAUAAGAAAAAGGUAAUAACAAACAAUCUAGAUCGUUAGUGUCUUUCUUUUUUUCUUUUUAAUUUAUCUUUGACAUUUAUUAAUUGGCCUAAUUAUUACAGCUUAAGGUACUGGAGAAGUUGGAUGUCGCUGAUGAAAUAGAGGCAUCACAGCCUAAUCUACAAUGGUUUUGGCAAACAAAUUGGCUGCAACAACUUGAAAAUGAUUUUCGUGUUGACUCAAAGAGUAAAAAAUCAGCCACUCCAGUCUCAGAACAGAAAAGUAGCAGUGUUGUGCAGAAAAAUUAUGUGGCCAUGGAAGUUAAAGAGACUAAUAAACGUGCGAAGUGUCAAGUUAUGUCCAUGAAAUACAAAAUGAAUUAUGAACAUGCAAAUUCUGUUGAGGACAAAACUGUAAGUUUUUUUAAUCUUUUAAUAACAAUUGCAUUUUUCAAUUUUUUUUUUGUUUGCCUAAUAGGCUCUGUCUUGUUCUGCUUGCAAGGGUAAACGUCUUGGUUACAUUGAUAAUUUGAUUUCUUUUAUCGAGGACAAGUUUAAUUGUUUGGAUAAGCGUCUCAAAAAGAUCGAAGAGAAGGUGCAAAAAAUUGACUCAUUAGAGGAGAAUACAGGUGAUGUGAGGGAGAUGAGAGAACAAGUCAAUAAAAUUGUAGACUUAGUGGAGUUCCUAAAUUCAGCGGACUACAAUGUGAAGGUUCAUUUUAUUAUUAUUUUUAACUAAGUAUGUUAUUAUUUUUAACUAAGUACAAAUUGUGUAAAGUUAUUAAUAUUUGCUGCUGUGCAGAUUCCGACAACAUUUGAUGAUAACCCGAGUAUUGCCACACCUGCGACUGUGUUUCCAAGCUUCACCACAAAUGCAGGCAUAGUCAAAGAGGAUCCAAUAAUUAUUCCGUCUACACAGCAAGAGGUGAAAAAAUAUGAAAGAAAAAGGCGAUCUCGAAAGGAUGCAGCUGUUUUACGCACGCCAUAUACUAACCCAUUUCGAAAAUCGCGACAUGUCAACGUCGAUGAAGCAAAACAGCAAGUUCAGUUUGAGCAUUGGCUGAAGGAGGAUAAUAUGGAAUCGUAAUUCCUUAUUUCUCUUUGUAAACUUACUUUUAUUUGAAACAAUAUUUCCUGGUUGACUAUAACAAGCAAUAAGUUUUACUCACAUUUUCUUUUUCGUUACUGCACAGUAAAAUAUUAUCGUGGCCUAUGCAUAAAGCAACAAAGAACUUCUUCCGCAGCUUGUAUGAUGCAGACGCGUGGUUAAAUGGCGGGGUAUUAUUAAUAUAGUUUUUGUUUAGCAUGUAAUUUACUGCAGUAAUGUUUGCAUUUAAUAUUAAUUUACAUAUGUUGGUAAUAUGUACAGCAUAUAGACGUUGGUUGUUACGUGAUAAGAUAUGAUUUGGCCAAGCUCACUAUGCCACAUUUGCACCAAUGUGCAAUCAUGGAUAGUGUAUUUCAGGUACUUAGUACUCUGUAGUAAUAAACAAAUAAGAUAUGUAAAUUUGUGCACUGAAAACUUGCAAAAUUCAUUGUUUUUUCAGCAAAAGCUUUUGUUGAAGUAUGAGUUGUUUAAGAAGGAUCCAACUACAAUAUGGGAUGAAGAUCAAGAACAUGAUUUGACAAUCAAACAAGCAAAUGGCGAAGAUCUUCCAUUCGCUAUUCCAUGGAGAGAUGUUUAUAAGGUAAAGUUUAAAUUUUCUUAAUGCAUCGCUAAAGUUUAAAUUUUCUAUUUUUGAUUGGCUCAAAUUAUUGUAGGUUUAUAUCCCAAUUAAUGUACUUGAGUGUCAUUGGAUUCUUGCUGAGGUUGACAUUGUAAGGGAGACAAUUUCCAUAUAUGACUCCAUGGUUUCUAUAAUGAAUGACUCAACAUUUUUGAAAGAAUUAUUGCCAUAUGCUGUUAUUAUUCCUCUUCUACUGGAGAAGGUUUUAUGGUAUGAUUCGCACCCUGAAACUACCCAAAAAAAUAAAGUUUGGAUAGUUUUGCGUUUAGCGAAUACGCCACAGUAAGAAUCUCGGUGAGCAUACCAAAUGCUCAAUUUAUUUUCAUUUUACUGUUAUAGUUAUAUAUUCAGUAUAUAGUUAACUAUUUUUUAAAAUUCUCAGUGGAGAUUGUGGUGUGUUUGUUUUGCGUUACCUGGACACACUUGCACGUGGUGAAGAUAUUCAAACAAAUUGUACGCAGGCACAUGUCUCUUCUUAUCGCAAGCAACUAGCUGAAAGACUUUUCUAUGACCAGUCAUUACUUUCAAAGAACAACUAACAUGUGAGUAUUAUUUUUUUAAAUGAAGUCAUUGCUGUUGGAAUAGUUUGGUUUCUUAAUGUGAAACCAAAAUAGGCCAUCACUGUUAGUUUGGUUUCUAAUUAAUUUCAUGGAUUUAUUAUAUGCAGGCAUUCCUCAUGCAUGCAUGUAUGCUUCGGCAGAGGAAGAAAGCAAUUUCAAGAAAAAAAAACUUUUAAAUGGUUGUAAUAUGUUUAAUUGCGAUAUCCAUUAGUGUAUCCUAUCCAAAUAUUGACAUUGUAAACUGAUAACUUUCUUUAUUUAUAAUAAUUAAUCUCAUCAUUUCUCAAACUGUCGAAUAUGCAAACUUAUUUGUUUGCUGUAAUUUAUGAACACACAAUUUGGUCAUGUAAGGUCAUGUACACGACGGUCGUGUAUUACACGACCGUCGUGUAGUACACGAGUAUAUUACAUGACCUUAAUAUAGUACGCGACUAUUACAUGACGUUCAUGUAUUACAGGACUUCAUGUGUUACACGACUUUUUCCAAUAAUCAUCAGAUUAAUUUAGUUCUUUAAGGACUUAAUUGGGGCUAAAAUUUUAUAUUUGUUGCUUUGUAGAAAAUGUCAACUGAAAUUAUAAAAACAAAGAAGUUAAAUUAAAUUGGAAUGUAAAGAAAUUUAGUUAUUUCAUAAUGCAACAAAUUACAGUUUCCAAGCAUAACAUAUCCAAGACUAAAAAAUUGUAAAUCCAAUUAUCUAAGUUUGGUUAGCCGUAGGGCCAUGCUCUUGCUCUGAAAGUGGUGUUGUUGCAGUGCAUGUUAGUCGAUUAUGCCCCUCAAUCUGCACCUACUACACUUGCGGUGCACGAUGUCUUCCCCUUGAGAAGGUAUUCUAGUAGUUCGCGGUCGUCCUACCUCUCGCUUUUUCAUUGGCAGUGACAGCACAUAUGCACGCACCUCUUCUGAAACAUCCCAUUCCUCUUGUGGACCCACAAGAUAAAUGCUCUCUGCAUAUGCUGUAACCCAUGCAUUGACAGAAUAAUAAUGAGCACAUAAAUCAUAAAUAGAAUAGUUACGCAUAUGCUUACAUACAGCUACCACAUGUUCAUAGGGAAAUUGGUCAAUUUGAAACUCAUUACAACUGCAAGUCUUUUGUAGCACGUCAACAUGGCCAUCAAGGUCGCCAUCCUUAACUAUAAACUCAUGGAAAUUAAUCUGUAUUACUGGAUAUGUGUGUGAUUUAUCCAAUUUCCCUUUCAACUAUUUCUCAACCCAAGUAGUCAUUAAAGUACAUGCAUCCAUUGCCAAAUCUCGCCUUUUUGCAAACCAUUCUUGUAAUUUGUCAAUGAUACAAUCCAUUAACUUAUAAAUAGGCAAGGUUCGUGCUUCUUUUAAGAUAGAAUUCAUACUUUCUGCAAUGUUAGUCGUCAUAAUCCCAUAACGCCUCCCCUCAAAAUGAGAACGAGCCCACUUCUCAUAUCCGGCAUCAGUCAGGUAUUGGUGAACAUUCAAACUAACACUGCGGAUGACAUUCAUAUAUUGAGUAAACUUAAUGGGCCGAUAUGCCUUUGCAGCCAAUUCAAAUAAAGCACCCACAUCAACUUCUUUAAAAUGAGCAUUUACAUUUCGUUUUAGAUGAUGCGUACAUAUGUCAUACCCUACAGUAGGAAAUACUUUAUCAACUGCUUUCUUAAUACUUCCAUGACGGUCAGAAAUGAAUACUAAAUUAGGAACAUCACCAAUAGACUCUCUUAACUUCAUAAAAUACCAUUCCCAUGAAGCGUCAUUCUCACUGUCACCUACACCAAAUGCAACAGGGUAAAGUUGAUUGUUGCCAUCAAGAGAUGUUGCAAUGAAUAAUGUUCCUUUGUACUUGCCCCUCAUGAAUGUACCAUCAACUGCAAUAACAGGCCUAAUACAUGAAGUGAAUCCUCUCAAAGAACUUCCAAUGGCCAUGAAACAGUACUUGAAGUUGUUCGCACUGUCUUUUUUAAUGAAUGUUCGACUUCCAGGAUUUUUUUUUUUCAACCAUUGCCAUGUAUGAGGGUAAUAAAUGGUAUGAAUCAGCCGGACUGCCCCUAACCAUCUCCAUUGCAAACUCCCUUGCUCUCCACGCCUUGUGAUAACUUAUUUCAUAACCAAACUCUUUUUGAAAAUCUUGCAUAAUAUCAGCUGGCUUAUACGUAGAUGAAGCACCAUCAAACUUGUGCCGAAAAUUUUUCCCAACUAACUUGGAUGAAGCUUGACGGUUGUCUUUUUCCUGUGAAUCAAGGGAGCAAGUAUGGACAUUGUAAUACUUUCUAAUUUCAAACAUGUUGCAACCUUUAAGUCUACUUGCACGAAGGCGCCAUUUGCAGUUGUCAUCCAUACAAACAACAACAAGUAAGUCCUUGUCUGAUUUUGGGGUUUUGAAUUGGAACCUUUUUUUCACAACUAGUGCUUUAAGCUUUUCUUGCAAUGCCUCCUUUGACUCAAACACCUCUUUCACCAUCGACACAUCAGUAUCACCACUAACUUCUGUUGAUAAUAAAUUACUGCUACUAGUAAGUAAAUUUAUUCUGGGCACAUGUCCAUUGUUUGAGGUUCUUGAACUUAUAGGAGCUGGAGUAUUAUCUCCUAAUGCUAAAUCAACAGCUAAUGGUGGCUCAUCCAAACAAUCAACUUCAGUUACAAAUUCAUUAACUUCAGUAAAAUUGUUCGAACUGAGAAUAGGAAAUGAUGGAGGCACGUAGCUGGAGAAAGCAUGACUCUCUUCCCAUGAAAGACGAGGUGAAGGUUGUCUAUCCACCGGAACUGUCGAAAUUGAUCUACGUUCAAAAGUAAUGCAGAGCGGGUUUCUAAACUCCAUUCCACUAGCUACUUCCUCUAAGAAAAAUUCCACAUCAUCAUUGGUUUGAAUUGUAACUGGUGGCAUAGGAUCAGAUGUCUUAAGUUUGAACUUCAUUGUGAUUUCGAAUUCCGAAGUAUCUAUAUCAAUAACUUCAGCUAUCUUGUCCACCAAUUCGGCAUAUGUUGUCGAUCGUGGUAUCAUUAUCCCUUUAGCCUUGGAACCUUUGAACUUAUACUCGUCAUUUUGCUCAAUCCAUUCACCAUUAAAGAGAAUAGGCACACGUACCAAAACCAUUUCUGAUGAUACAAUAAAAACAAUAAUAUCAAAUUUCAUAUACAAGUAAGUACACGACUUACACGACUAUAAUACUUACACGACUUACACGACUAUAUUUCUUACAUGACCUACACGACUUACACGACUAUAUUUCUUACAUGACUUACAUGACUUACACGACUAUAUUACUUACACGACCUACAUGACUAACUAUAUGACGUACACAGUAUCAAGAGAAUGCACGGCGCGAAACAUUUUCGCUAUAAAUAAGUUAUAUUGCUGAAAAAAAUAAUUAAACAACCUACAUUGCAUAUAUUUCUACAUAUAAGAAAAAAUGGUGAAAAUAAAACAUUGUAAUGUGAGGAAAAUUUCUAAAUUUUUCUCAAAAUUAAUAAAUUUAAAACCCAAAAACAUUAACAUACCUUAUUGGGUUGUUUAAUAAGCAAUGCACCUUUAAAGAAAGAGUGGGUGUUAAAGAAAUAAAUACAUAAUUGUAUUUGUGUAAGAAGUUAUGAGAGAUUUUGAGAGAUUCUAAGAGAUUUUGAAAGAAUCGGCAGCAAAAAUGGAGUUGGGUGAAAGAAAUGAGGAAAUGAAUAUGAAGACAAUUUAUUGAAUGAAUUUGAUGCAUUCAUUAAGGGUAUUUCUGACUUUACUCACAUUUGUUAGGGUAUUCAUGAAAACUAAAAAGGGAGGGGGUAUUUCAAUAAUUUUGAAACUAUUAAAGGGUAUUUAAUUAAAAACCCCACAUUAUUAGUACCUAGUUGAUUAGUCAUUUGGUCUUCAAUAAAUGUUAGUUGAUAUAUGCUUGAAAUCAUAUUCUGUUUUAUAUGCCGAAUCAUAUUGUAAGAUGGUGAUAUUAGCAUGUUUCUUUUUCUUUGUGCUGUUUCUCGUUUGAUUACAUUUUCAACAACAAGUCGAUCUGUUGAAGAACAAGUUUGGGUUUGAUGAUGCUUUUAACUAUAAGGAAGAGCCAGACUUGGAUGCAGCUCUCAAUGGGUUGACACGAAUGAAUCCUUUCACCCUUUUUCUCACUUCAUUAUUACAAUGCGCUUUGAAGUUAUCUGUGUUGUUAAGGUUAAGGUUAACCCUGCAGGCUUGUUCGAUGCUGUAUCAACUCCAAAAUCGAACAACAUCUACAGCACCAAGACCCGGUUUCAAUCAGCUCAAAUGAUGAGGUAAAUAACACCAUCAAGCUCAGCUUAGAGACUCAUUAGAUAAGUAAUCCAUUUUCUCAGCUGUUAAUCUCUUGAUGGUGGCUAGUGGAGAAGCAGAGGAAACAAAGGAUGUGCCGGAAUCAAUUAGAACAGUGAGAAGCGUGAGGGGAGUUAUGAUUAUAUUUAGGCUUUUUGAUGAUGCUUUGAACAAAAAGGAAGAGCCAGACUUUGAUGAAGCUCUUGAAAGGUUAGCGAAAAUGAACGCUUUAACCAUGUUUCCAACUUCAUUAUCACAAUAUCUGACAUUGCAUAACUUCAAGUAAAGUUGCUCUUAAAAGGUUAGCAAAAAGCCAAAAAUGAUUGAAGUUAUCUGAGUUGAUCCAGAAAAUGUAAUGGAAAUACUCCCCUGCUUCGUAAAACAGGACAAACAGAGAUCGCUGGUCGCGCAUGGGAACUAAUUGCAUUAAAGUUUCAAACAUUACCAAACAAACUAGGAUGCAUUUGCUUAAGAUUCAUUUUCAAAAGCAAGUUGUAUGUUUAUGUUGCAGCCUAUAAAACCAUGUUUAUGUUGUAUGUUUAUUCAGGAAAUGAAAGAUUCGUCGUGUUAUUUUAUUCCAAGAAUUCGCUGAAACCAUACCUGCUUUCCCAGAUGCUUUCCUGAAGGUAUCGACAUCUAUUUAAAAAAUUCUGGGGGUAAGAUGCUUGAUGCAGUGCUACUCAACAUGAGAAUUCACGGCCGCUGCUGUAUGCUGAAAGAUCUCACCGUACAACCGUGAGAAGCCUGAAGGUGUAUUCAACUUGAUACAACUGGUCGUAGUUGCUAGGGAAGGAUAUAAGGUGUACUCAACUUGAUAUGCUGUAAAAGUGCACUAUGCCAUGUACUUUUAAAGCUUUUUGAAGAUGUUUUGGCCAUGUGUUUGAUUAGAUUGUACUCAGAUAUAAAUCAAAGAUUCAGAACAUGUUUGUUACUGUUUUUCAGAAUCCAGAACAAUAAAUACCUUGAAAUGUUUUUGUUCAAUGAUUUUGCAGAAGACCAGCUUCCUUGUUAAUGAAUCAAGAUGGCUGAAUCCGUCCCUAAGCCAAAUCUGUUUUCACUUUUAGGUUAGAAAUUGUCAUUAAAAAGUGUUUGAUAAAAUAUGCUCCGGGAACGCUAUUCGUCAGAUGGUUACUCCAAGUUUAUGAAAUCAAUGGUAUUUCAUCAUAUUCAUAACACUCUGCUUUAAUAUCUAUUCUAACAGAGAAAUUAUAUACAGAGAAUAGGUUGCGUUAGAACUUUUGCUAGAAAAAAGUGACAAGAAUUCAUCGUUCACUUGUAUCUUAAGUAAGUGUAAAAUUUAAAAUCCCAUCAUGAAAAACUCCUGGGAGAAAAAACUAUAAAAAUUAAAGAAAAAAGAGUGUGGCGUGCAUGUAAAUUAUGUCGAUUCUAUCUAUACGAUAAAUACACUCUCUUUUACAAUGGCACGGAUGCUUCAUUGAGUAAUCAUGAUUGUUGCUGGUAGUGCUUUGUUGAAUCAAUCUGCUAGAUAUUCAGCUUUCUUUCUUUCUUACUUUUUUUUUGUUUUAAUAAAUAGCUUGUGGUUGUGAAAAUAAUUUGAAUUAAACUAUGCUUAACUGCCUAUUUGGUACAACUUCUCUACUAGCCAAAAGAUUUUUUUUUAAUCAUUUAUUUAUACCUCGAGUAGAGUUUUUGGAGAUUAAAUAGGUGAUAUUUUGUCUCUAUUAAAAAGAAAACUCAAAAGGUAGGACUAUUUGAAGUUUGAAUCCACCAAACUACUCAUUAAAAAUUCAUUUGUGAAAAUAAUUUUUAAUUAUUAAAAUACCCCUAAAUUAAAUUACAAUUAUGAACACUAAAAUAUAGUAAACAAUUUUUUUUUUACUCUUUGAAAUUGUCCUUACAUUCGAUAUUAAAUUUUUUUCUUAAACUCUAAAUUAAUUUUUUUUUUCAUUUUUAAGUAAUUUUAAGGCACAUAUAAAGUGAUUCAUAUUGAUUUUAUACUAACAAACUAUUACAGCAGAUUUGGAAAAUGAUUAACUCGUUCUCAUUUUCCUAGUGAAAAUGCAAAUAGCUCAUUUAAACGUUAAGGAAUUGGAGAGUUGCUGCUGGAGAUGAAAGAUGUGAAUUAAACAUCAGAAAAAAAAAUUAUGUUUACUAUCUUACCAGACCAAGCACCGAAAAGCAUGGUAAAGAAAAAUUACAUAAUUCUGACUUAGAAGACGAAAAAAAAUGAAAUACAAUUUGAAUAAGAGAUAGAAGAUAAAGCACGUGAAUGGAGGCAGAAAGCAAGUAAUGAUAACUCUUUCGACAAAACUAAUAUAUAUCAAAAUGCAAUAUCAAAAAUGAAAAUAAAAAUUCAUUACGAAUACAUGUUAAUGAUAUCCCAAGUGUUGAGUAAUAAAAAGUACCAGGCAGGCAUCUCCCCAUUCCAUGCCUGAGAAUGAAUCUCUCCAGCUGAAUGAUACGAGCAGAUUCCUAAUAAUAUAUCCUUUAUGGAACACAUACCAACUAGAAACGAAUACCGACCAGAAGUUCAUACCGACCAGGUACUUGUCACUCAAAGAAAGAGAAUACAAUCUCACGAACGCGCGACAGUUUUGCCACAUUCCAAACCGCUAGGGAGAACACGACGCCCCACGUUUACCCACAUUCAGUUGUUGAAGACCCAUUAAGGCCCUUGAUCACCCAAAUAUGACGGGAAGGAAAAAUAUUCUGAGAAAGUGGGACGAUUGCCUAUAAAAAGCUGGGAAAUCAAUUAAGAAAGGGACAGACAAAAAGAGAGAGGGGGGAAACUCUACCGAAUUGAUACCAGGCAUUACUACAUAAUAGCCUUAAAUACAUUUUACUUUAAGAACAUCACAAUGAGUGUGCGUAACCAUAAAUCAUACAAUUUUCCCGCAAACUUCAUGUACUAACUUAAGCAUCGGAGGGUUUAUUCCGGAAAAACCACCAACGUCUCUGGUUUGUUUAUGUGAAUGUAGAUUUGAAAAGAAGAGAAAGAGUGAUUUGAGUUCAAGGAGCUCGGGCAAUUGCUAAAGUUAGUGGAAAAAAUUAAAUGAGACUCAAAAUCAAUCCAGAGGAAUAAAUGAGAAACCUAAUCCUAAUAAAAUACAUUCACAAAUCUUAAUGCUAAUUAAAAUCACGGAUAAAAAACAUAAUAUGAAUGAAUUACAGGCACAACUAUUUUAUUAAGAAAUUAAUAAAAUCGUGUAUUAAUAUAUUUUGUACAUUUUUUUUCCAUAUAUAACUUUCGGUAAUUUAGUUUUCCACUUAUCAUUUUUACUCCAAAAAAAUAUUGAGAAUAUUAUUUAUGUUUUGGUGUAAAAUAUUUGAACAAUAUACAAAUUUUCAGUUUAAUACAUCUAAACAUUUAUUAAGUUAUAAAUGAAUUUAAUGGGUUUAACUAGUACAAAUACUAUUAUUUUAUAAAUUGGGUUUAAUAAUAGUAUAUUGGGGAUUUAGGUUGAGUAAAUUUUAAAAUUUUAAAAUUAAAGGGUGGGUUUGUUUAGCAAAUGAGUUUUUUUUUUUUUUUUAUUACAUGAGACUAUUGCUCAAAUUACAGUUCAAGUUACAACUCAUAUUACAUGAGAGUAUAAUUGAUAUGUACAAUCAUAUAUUUAUACUGAGCCCUGUUGAUAUUAAUGCUGAUAUGACACCGCUCAGAUUUUUAACCCUCUCAAAUAUUUGAGGGAUGUCAAACUCCCAUCCUGGGAGAAAGACUGUCUUCACUCGAGCUCAAGGGCUCCAAGAAAGAAUAUUUAAAGUAAAACCCCUACAAUGCGACUGCGGAGGCUCGAACCCCUUCCCUCACAUUUGUGAGGGAGGGGCUUAGCCUUAGCCCAAGUGGCUCUUUUAGCAAAUGAGUUAAGGGAAUAGUUUGUUGGGAUUUAAAUAGCCCCACCCAAACUCAAAUGUAAAAUUUUUGAAAAAAGAGACUAUUACGUUUUAAAAAAAAGAAUUAAAAGGUCAAGAAUACCUCUAUUUAAUUUUAUAAUCAUAUUUUAUUUCUACCCUAAUAUAAUAUUAAAAAACUUAACUAAAAAUUUUAUAAUUUUUUAUAAAAAUUACCAUUAACAUCCAAAAAGCUAAAGAUUAAAAAAAAAAAAGGAACUGUAUUUACAAAAGUUAUAUCAAUAAUAAAUUCAGUCCAAAGAAAAAAGUUAUUGUAAACAAGUACUCAUAUUUAUCUCUACUUUAACAAUAAUCUUCGAAUCCGUUUUACAAUGGAUUUUAACCAAUGGGCUUAUGAGUCCUUUUUUGGAAAGCAUGAAAGCGAUGGCCCAAUCUCUAAACUUCAUUUUCUUUAGCCAGAAAGCCUAAAACAAGACCAGCCCAUAGAUAUAUAACUACCGGAAAAAAUUAAAAAGAAAAAAAAGAGUAAAAUUGUGUAAGAGCUUUUAGAAUUACAAUUUUAGGAUCACGUGUGUAAAUGGAACUCCAAGAUUGAUCAAGAAUUAACAAGGCAAGAUGAAGGGAUGAUCUUGUAGCAAAGAAUGAAGAAAUUGAAUCAAGAAAGUACUCUAGUGCUUUAGUGCUUUACAGUUAAGGGAUAUAGGGUGCGUUUGGGAUUGAGGUUGGGCAGCUGUAGCUUAAAAGCUACAGCACUAAAGUGUUUGGUAAACACUAGCUGCUGUAACUUUUAAGCUAUGUUGAUAUAAUUUUUCACUUGUAUAAUAUAAAAUUUAUUAUAUCUUUAAUAAUUUUGAUAAAAUUAUUAUUUACAAUUUAUAUUUAUUAUAUAUUAUUAACUUUUAUUUCAUAAUUACAACUUCUUUUUUACAGCAGCUGUAGCUUAAAAACUACAGCACCUCAAUCCCAAACACAACCAUAGUGUGAAUUCAUUACAAAGCAUUCGCAAAGAAAUUGUUUUUAAAUGAAACUCCUCGUCUUGACCAGAUUAUUUAUUAUUAUUCAAAAAAAAAAUGUUCAAAACUUAGCCAAAGUGAUAAACUCGUAAUUAUUCUACAAAGGGAACAAUUUUGAACGGUCGGAAAUUCCAUGCUUAUGAUUUUCUCUGCACUAUUUCAAUAAAAUUAUUACCCAGUGAAGACUUUAGAGACAAGUGCCCCCAUGAGAUCAAGCAAAUAUGCCCCCACAAAGAUCACAUAAUUAUUUCUUGUUCUUUUUCUUUUUGACAAUUUUAUCUGUGGUUUCAACUUUUACGCUUUAUUGUCAUUUCUCGUUGAGGGCUCCGCUGCACCCAUUACAACUUACCCCUAUAUUGUCUUUUACUGACUAAACCGUUAGAUUUGACGGAUAGCACGUUCAAUGCUGAAUUUUAAUUAUAUCAUCAAAUUUCGUUUAGCUCCUUAAACUCCAUUUUAUUUUUUAUUUCUUUAUAAAAUAUUCAAAGCUUCAUCAAGCUCCCGAUGGACCAUCAUGGCUAGGGGUGCAUUAGAGCCGAACUGAAAUAUGUUAGUUUAGUUUAGUUUGGUCAGUUUAAAUCGAAUGGUUUAGAAAAUAUAAAAUGAUCAAUUUUAAUUUUGAAUUGAACCGAACCAAAAAUUAAUUGAUUUGCUGUUAGUAUUUUUGCAUAAACAUAAAUGAUUAGUGAUUAUAAUUGAAUUGGACUAAAAAAAAUCAAACAAAAGUGAAAAAUAUAAAAUCUUAGACAAUAUAAAAGAAAAAAUAUUAAAUAUAUAAACCAAAACGAACUGAAUUAUUUUGACUCAGUUUUGGUUCAUAAUUUUUUAAACCAAACUGAUUUAUUCCCACCCCCUAAUCGUGGCCCUCUAUCUUUAGUCAUUCACCCUUGAGUUUGAUACCAAUUGUUGGGUUUCAAAUGAUUAUACACUCAAAUGGAACCCCUCAUAACCAAAAACUAACAGAAACAAUAAGAACACAAUGUUAAAAUCUUAAAUCAAUCGCAAAAAAGCACCCAAAACAGAUCGAUUAGGAAUAGUUAACAACAAAAGAUUUAAUGGUUCAAAAUCAUAAUGUGACCUACUUCCAUCCAAGAAUCAUACUAAUUGCUUUACUUGUUGUCAAAUACGAGAUCAUAAGAUUGUUUAUCACUCUACAGAGAAAAAAAAUUUAGAAGAAAUACUCCCCAAUUUUUCUCUUAAUAGUUAUGAAUCAACACCCCUGAUUUACUUUUCCUUAUUUCCUAUGAUCGGUUGCUGCUACUUAAUCCUUACCAAGCUCCAACAUAGUCCAAACACUUUUCAUGGUACAUGCACAGUGCACCUUCAGAAACUUUACAGCUCUUCUUAAAACCUCAGGCCUAUAGAGUGCAAUUUCGCACCUAUAUGCUUAGUCCUCUCAGUUCUCGUGAUGUUUUUGAUUUAUUUCUCGGACGAGUAGCACUUUUAGCUGCCAUAAUACAAUGUAAUUGACUUCUGAGCAUGACUUAAUUUUGAGAUCAUUACUUUUAGUUAAAUGAUCUCCUCCAGAGCUUCUACCUAUGUAGUGUUUUUAGACCUCUAUAGUUGAUAAAGCAUGUUCAAGGUGAAGGCUUGUUUUCCAAUCUAUAGUCCAAUUAUAGACUGGAACUGGUCAGGCUUAAUGCACCUUCAAAAGCUUCACAACUUAUAUUGAAACCUUAAGCCUUGUAGAAUGCUACAAAUUUUAAAUCCAUAUACUUAGUGCUCUUAUGAUUUGUUUGAUUUUUACUUAGAUGAAGAGCAUUUUAGCUAUAGAAUACAGAAACUAAUUCAAAGCCUGCCUUAGCUAUGAGAUCAUUCAUUCUAGCCAAAUGCCCCUUUAGAGAUUCUGCUAUUGUUGCGUAUUAAGCCUCUAUAUCAAAGCAAUUACAUGUCGAAGGCUUGCUUUGCAGUUAACAGCGCAAUUACAAUUAUAUAGAUUAAAGGUGUAAAUCCAUAAAACUACCAGACUUCAAUCUUUAGACUCCAUAGAUCAAACCAUAACUUAGUGUGCCUUUCAAUCUCAGGUAACUGUUUUCCACGUCUUGCCAUGUACUUGCUGCUAACACUAACAAUUUGAGAAAUGUUAGGCAUCGUAAGCAGCCGACAACACUCUUCUUCAUUUCUUCAUUGUCAAUUUCUUUCUUGGAACAUUGCUCCAUUGAGAGUCUGCUAUCAUUGCUCCAAUUAUUAUUAUUUUUGUUUUUGUUUUUUAAAAAAAUAACCGUGCAAUAAGAGUAUAAGACUAAGCAACGGUCCUUUUUUUUUUACCCAUUCUUGAACAUGAAGUAUUUGAGUAUGUAAUAAAAAUUGUUUAUCGAUAAUUAAAAGUUAAUAGUGGGUGGCUUUAGGUUUUGUUUACAAAAUUGACAACAAAUUAGAUUUUUCAAAUUCAUAGGUAAGAAACUUUUCAUUUAUUCAUAGAUUUUCCGGUUUAAACUUUAAAGGAAACUUAAAAGAAAAAGAUGUAUCAUUAGGUUUGUAAUUAAAAAAAUUUAAUAUUGUAUGAUCUGUUCGAUAUGCAUAAUUUAAAUAAACAUUAAUAUAGAUGUUAUAUAUCCUAAAACUUAAUUGACUUAAUUCUUAUGGUGCAAGGAAGAGGUUUCCAAGUUUAAAUCUAAAGUCUUGUAUUUAAUUUGGGGUCGGGAAAGCACUGGGAAAUAAAUGUAACAAAGGAAAAAAAAAAAAGAAUGACAGUCUGAGUGGAGCCAACGCGGUUUUAAAAAAAGUGAAAAAAAGGGUUUAAAAAAAAAAACGCGGUUUGCUUGCUUGUGGAAAUAGAAGUCUCAUGUUUCUUUGAAAGGUAAGCAAGUGUGAAUGUUUCUAUCUAGAGCUGGAAAAUGCAUUUCCGUGCAACUUACUUGAUGAAUGAAGUUUUCAUCGCUGACCCUGAUGUUUCCCUGAGCUGCAUUCAUUGCAGCUGAUGUAUUUCAUUUUGUUUUCGAAGGAGUGACACAAAAUCUCCUUCGUUAAGGUGAGAAUUUAGAGUGGCUUUAACUGUUAACAAAUAGCCUAAUAUAAGACUUAAUCUACUUCCUGCCCUGUUGUAUGCUUAUGAAAUUUGAUAGAGUUAUGAGUUUGCAGAAGCUACUGUAUUAUAUGUUGCUUGAGGCUGUAAAAAUGAGGCAGAUCAAACACACAUUUAAAUUUCAAUGACAAUUUACUGGAAGUAAAUUUCCUAUGACCCUACAUGUGACUAAUUGAUGAGAAGUUGACAAAUGACAAAAGAAAGUGUAUGAGCUUUGCAGGUUGGCAUGCCGAUACUGACUGUGUGGCACCAUCCGCCAUUUGGAAGUGAAUAUCAUUAUUCUUUAAUCAACAUGGUGGAGUCCACUGGGACCACACCACAUGGUCAGUCUUAUCUCUAUUCCUCAAUUUUCAGUAUUCCAUACAUGAAAACAACUUCAGUUUUGUUAUCAAUUAUAAUUUCAUUGUUGGUGACGAUUCUGAUUCCUUUCUUUCUGACAAAACGGAACCAUGGUUGCUGUGGGAGAGAUCUUACUCAACGCCUUCUUUCAGGUGUUGUUUGACAGGUUGGCUUCCCGUGAUUUGCUCAGCUUUGUCCGUCAACUUGGAGGCGGGGUCGAUUCCGAGCUCAAGAAGUGGGAAAGAAAGCUGAAGAUGAUUCAGGCGGUGCUCAACGAUGCAGAGGAGAAGCAACUGACUGACGAGGCUGUGAAGACGUGGCUGGACGAUCUCCAAGACUUGGCUUAUGACGCUGAGGACAUUCUUGAUGAGUUUGCUACUCAAGCUUUGGAAAGCAAGUUGAUGGCGCAAAAUCAGGAUAGCUCUGGCCAGGUUCUCAGUUUCAUCCCGGCUAGUAUCCGAAUGCUGUUAGGUUCAAUUAUAGCAUGAGGUCCAAGAUUAACGAUAUUACUAGCCGGUUGGAGCAACUCUGCAAAGAAAGAAUCGAACUUGGACUGCAACGGAUUCCUGAAGGGGCAUCAUCAACUGCUGCUGCUGCACACCAGAGGCCACCCAGUUCAAGCGUCCCACCAGAACGUGAAGUUUUUGGUAGAGAAGAAGAUAAGGCCAAAAUUCUUGAUAUGGUAUUGGCCGAUAGCCCAAGUGAUCAUGCCAACUUUGCUGUAAUACCCAUUGUUGGCAUGGGCGGGAUAGGAAAAACAACUCUCGCUCGGGAGGUCUACAAUGACAAGGCCGUUGAACAUUCCAAGUUUGAUGUAAAAGCAUGGGUUUGUGUAUCUGAUGUCUUUGACAUUUUGGGCAUCUCAAAGGCACUUCUCGAGUCAAUCUGCUGCGCAGCUAGUGAUCUCAAGACUUUAAAUGAAGUGCAGGUUCAACUGAAAAAAGCAGUGGACGGAAAAAGAUUCUUGCUGGUCUUAGAUGAUGUUUGGAACGAGGACUACAGCUUGUGGGUAGACUUAAAAGCUCCAUUCUUGGCUGCUGCACCAAAUAGUAAGAUGAUUAUCACCACACGCAAUUCACAUGUUGCAUCUACAAUGGGACCCAUUGACCAUUAUAACCUCAAGCAUCUGUUAGACGAUGAUUGCUGGUCUAUUUUCAAAACGCAUGCAUUGGAGGGUAGAGAUCAUAAUGCACUUGAAAUCUCAGAAUCAUUUCGCAAGAAAGUUGUUGCCAAAUGUGGAGGCUUGCCCCUUGCUGCAAAAACACUCGGAGGCCUUUUGCGUACGACGAGGCAUGAUGCGUGGGAUGAUAUAUUAGAGAGCAAAAUAUGGGAUUUACCUCAACAAAGUGGGGUUCUCCCAGUAUUAAGAUUGAGUUACCAUCAUCUUCCUUCUCAUUUGAAAAGAUGUUUCGCUUACUGUGCAAUCUUUCCAAAAGAUUAUGAAUUCAAUGAGAAGGAGGUGACUUUUUUAUGGAUGGCUGGAGGAAUUAUUCGACAGUCAAGAAGCAAAGAGCGGCUAGAAGAUUGGGGCAGCAAGUGCUUCUAUGAUCUGGUGUCAAGGUCAAUUUUUCAGCAAACAGCAAUCUCUGGUAGUUCUAAAUUUGUAAUGCACGACCUUAUUCAUGAUCUUGCUGAAUUCGUCUCUGGAGAAACCAUAUUCAGGUUAGAGGAGUCCACCAACUUGUCGUCAAGCAGAUUUGAAAGAGUUCGCCAUUCUUCCUAUGCCGGCGGUUGGUAUGAUGGUAAAAAUAAGUUUGAGGUUUUCUAUGAAAUUGAACAUCUACGAACAUUCUUGCCAUUACGCUUACGCAUGCGAGGUACUUUUUUCAUAACUAGAACGGUUCUAUCUGAUUUGCUGCCAAAGUUCAAAAAAUUGAGGAUGCUAUCUUUAGAAGGAUACUGUAUUGGUGAGUUACCAAUUCCAUUUGAAGAUCUCAGACUUUUAAGGUUCCUCAACCUCGCUGACACUGACAUAAGAAGUUUACCUGAGUCAACAUGCAAAUUGCUGAACUUGGAAAUUCUGAUAUUAAGAAAGUGUUCCCGCUUGAUAAAGCUUCCCCAGAAAAUGAGGAAUUUGAUCAAUUUACGUCAUCUGGAUAUAAGAGGUGCACAGCAGCUGAAGGAGAUGCCAUUUGGAAUGAAAGAGUUGAAGAAGCUUCAAACAUUGUCCAAUUUUAUUGUGGGCAAGGGUGAAACUGCAUCCGGUGUGGAAGAUUUAAAAUGUUUAAGCUUUCUUUGUGAUGAACUUUGCAUUGCUGGAUUAGAGAAUGUGAAUAAUCCACAGAAUGCAAGAGAAGCCGCAUUAUGCGAGAAGCACAAUCUUGAAGCAUUGACUCUAGAAUGGGGGUCUCAAUUUGACAAUUCUCGAGAUGUAGCAAUAGAAGAGCACGUGCUUGACAUUCUACAGCCUCAUAAAUGUAUAAAAAAGGUGGCAAUCAGGAGCUAUGGUGGUGCAAGAUUUCCACUUUGGAUAGGAGAUCCGUUGUUCUCCAAGAUAGAAUUCCUUGAAUUGGAGAACUGUGACAAUUGUGUAUCUUUGCCAUCGCUUGGCCGUUUGAGUUCACUUAAACACCUUGCUGUUAAAGGGCUGAAGAAACUAAAAAGCAUAGAGCCUGAGGUUUAUGGGGAGGGUUUCUCAACGCCUUUUCCAUCAUUGGAGAUUCUAAGUUUCGAGAAUUUGACAGAAUGGGAGCAUUGGGACACGGAUAUCAAAGGAAAUGCACUUGUUGAAAUAUUUCCUCGUCUCCAUAAACUUUCCAUUGUGAAAUGUCCCAAACUCUCUGGAGAACUGCCUGAGCUCCUGCCCUCCUUGGAGACACUUGUUGUUAGUAAAUGUGAAAAGUUGGUAGUUCCAAUGUCUUGCUAUCCGAUGCUCUGCAGAUUAAAAGUUGAUGAGUGCAAAGAACUGGUCUGCCGGACUCCAAUUGAUUUUAAGUUGAUAAAGUCUGUGACUAUUUCAAAUUGUUCACUAGACAUGUAUGGAUGCAAGGGGAUGCUAUACAAUGGUCCAGCUGGCUCUUCACUGCCGAAAUCCAUGACUAUUACAAAUGUUUUGGCGUUUGGAAAAUUAUUGAAGCCUGGAUUUCAGAUAUUAGAAACUUUGGUAAUUGACAAUUCUGAACAGCUCAAGUCAUGGAGGCAGCGUGGGGAUUUUCGACAAGAAUAUUUGGGCGUUCGCGUAAGGCGUCACAAACCAUCACAAGGGCUAGAUAUGCUCGCCUCCCCAGAAGAGGUAACAAUUGAAGAAAGUUGUGUGAGUUUUGUUUUAUUUCCAGAGAUCAAUUUCUUUCCCAGAAAUCUGCGCUCUCUUCUAAUUUGCAACAGCACAGCUUUAAAAUCCUUACCCGAUGAAAUGAUGGACAAUUCACAACUCGAAAGGUUGUAUAUCAGAGAUUGCGAUUCUCUAACAUUCAUCACAAGACGCAAGCUACCUUCAUCUCUAAAAAGUAUAGAGAUUGAGAAUUGUGAGAAACUGCAACAUUUGUUCGAUGAUAAAGAGGAUGCUUCUUCUUCUUCUCCUCCUUCAUCCUCGUCCUCCCCAGUGAUGCUGAAACACCUGAGUAUAAAUAAUUGCCCAGUGCUCACCAGUUUAUCAACAGGAAUCCAAUUACUUGAGGCGCUUGAAAGCCUCGAGAUACGGGAUUGUCCAAAGCUGGAGUCAUUACCAGAUGGCCUUCACAAUCUUAACUGUUUACAGGAGAUUACUCUAAACAGUUGUCCAAGUCUUGUUUCCUUCCCAGAAAGAGGACUUCCCAACACGAUUUCAAAUCUUGUAUCGUUUCCAGAAGAAGGUUUUCCUACCAAUCUAACAUCACUUACAAUUGGAUAUUUCAAAAUGUAUAAGACACUCGUCCAGUGGGGGUUGCACAGGCUUACCUCUCUUAAACGCCUCUGCAUCAUUGGAUGUGAUGAUGAAGCAGAGUGUUUUCCAGACGAGGAGAUAGGAAUGACGCUGCCCACCUCUCUCACUCAUCUGACACUUUCGGAAUUCAAAAAAUUGAUAUCUCUGUCUUCGACGGGUAUUCAGAGCCUCAACUCUCUUCAAUCUUUGUCGAUCGGGAAUUGCCCGAAUCUCACAUCAUUUCCAGAGGUGGGCCUUCCAUCCUCACUUUUGGAAUUACACAUUUACAGUUGUCCAAAGCUUAAAAAAGCGUGCAAAAGAGAUCAAGGAAAAGACUGGCCCAAAAUUGCUCACAUCCCUUUCGUUGAGAUAGACGGUAAAUUCAUAUACGAUCCCGAAUCAGAGGAGUAGAUUCUAUUACACAGGUCAGUUGAUUUAUAUUAUCCGCUAUAACAAGCUCCUCCUUUUUUAUUUUUUUUAAAUAAUAAUUUUGCAGUCAGUCACGUGAUUCCGUUUUCACAAGUCAGAUUGUAUGUUGAGGCUAUUUGCCUUUUAAUCGCAGAUUAAAUUAUAACACUUAUCUUAAAAUUUAAUACCAUAGACAGAUAGACGAUUUUUUAAUCCAAAGUUUUUUUUAUUCACUUCAGUUAGCAUUUUUUUUUCCCCCAAAUCAUGCAAGCCGAGAGUUUCAAUCAAGAAUUGGAGGAUGUGAAUGGGAUUUUUGUGAAAGAGUAACAUAAUGGAUGACCGAACAUUUCAUCUGUGAUCUCAAAGUCAACAGAAUUUUAUUCACUCAUUGACUUUUCAACUGCCGUGGUUUUUAUGGGUGAAAGAUAAGGGCAAUUACAAAAAAUUUGCAAAAUUUGUCAAUUUCUUAGAUGGUAGAUAUAUCGACAUUUUAGAUUUCAGAUAUUUGUCACCAAUUUGCAAAAUUGAAAUUUCUGUCUUCAAUGGGUUUUCAAAGCCUCGCCUCUCUUCGAUUUUUGUGGAUUGGGAAUUGCACAAAUCUCACAUCAUUUCCCGAGGUCGAGGAAAAGAGCGGCCCAAACUUGCUCGCAUCCCUUGGGUUAUGAUAGAUGGAAAAUUCAUGUACGAUCCAGUCAGAGGUGUUGAUUCUCUUAUUAAGGUCAGCUGAUUUCUAUUAUCCACUCUGACAAUCUCCUAUUAGUGUUUUUCCUUUUUUUUUUUUCAAAAUUUUGCAGUUCUGUAUAAUUGAAAAUGCCACUCACUUGUUUCCUUUUUCACAGGUCAGAUAGUAUGUUGAGGCUAUUUGAUUUCUAUCGGUGUUUGUUAAGGUAAUUAGUGCUCCCUCAUAGGUAUGACUAGAUUUUUUUCACUUCCGUAAAUAUUGCAUUUUAGACUGGCAAAUUUAGCAGUAAUUUUAAUACAAUUUUGUUGGUGCCUUGUGUGCCAGAAGCUAGAAAAAUGUGUAGUUUUCAGAUAAGGAGUCUUGUUAGUUCUCUAGUAAGAAUCCAAUAAUUUGCUUUUGCACGUCCAUCUAAUUUGUGGAUCCUUGCAUCAGAAUUUGAUCAAUCCAAAGGAAUUGCUUUUAGACAGAAGAAGAAUAGCAGCACCUAGCCUAUGUCAUAGUGUAUGGACCCGCAAACCUGAAACUAUUAGAUUGAGGUAAAAAAAUCAUUGACCCUCACAUGUUAACUUCUUCUAGUUACUUUUGUUGGGAAAAAAAAACAUUUAAGGAAUUUGCAAUUUGUUGUUAGUUAUGGUAUCUGAUGUUCUUUUCUGUUUUAGCGUUUGUAGAAUCUACGGUAUUAUGUGUUGGCAGUUGCCGUAUCUGAGGUAACUUGCCUUUAUUUGUUUGCUUCUGACUUAAGGACACCAACAUUUGCCAGAGAUUUAGAGAAGCAUCUCAAAACACUUAGCAAACUUGACAAACUUCAAGAUGCACUUGCCCCCACGCCUUAUUCUCCACAACGCAAAACUUGUGAGUACACUUAUGCCUGCAAUUAUUGUGAAGUGUUUGCAAUUUCGAUGCAGAGAAAUGGUUUCUUGAUGCAAAGUAUUAAACUGUUAAGAUUUAUCCUGCAGGCUUGUUAGAUGUUGUAUACUCGAAAAGCCAACAACAUCAAGAACUACAACUCCAAGACCAACUUUGCAUUAAUUCAGUCAGCUGUAAAAAUGAUGCAAAUGACACUAUAUCAAGCUGGACUUAGAGACUAGUCAGAUCAAUCAUCCAUUUCAUCAACGGUUAAUGUCAUGAUGGUGGCUAUCAGAGGAAACAAAAGAUGUGUCAGAAUCUAUACGAACAUUGAGAAGCAUGAGAGGAGCUUUGAUUUUGAGUAGGGUCAAUGAACUCAUGUUGGUAAGUGGUGAUUAAAGAAAUUUGUAAGCUUAGUAGAGUUUCAGUAUUUUCUGUUUGGAGUAUAGUUGAUAAGUUGACUCUGUUUAAGAAGCCCGAUUAUAGUAGCUGACUGUAUUAACCUUUUUUUUUUUGGUCUGCUGUUGUUUUUGGUUUCGAUUAUUUUUUCAACAUUGGGUUGAUCUGUUGAAGAACAAGCUUGGGUUUGAUUAUGUUUUAACUAUAAGGAAGAGCCAGACUUGGUUGCAGGCGUUAAGCUUUUAAUGGGUAAGAACAAAUGAAUGCUUUAACCAUGUUUCUCACUUAUUAAAAUGCAUGGAUUGAAGGCAUCUGGGUUGAUCCUGACAAUGUGAUGGAAAUACUUCUCUGUUUUCAUGUAACAGGACAAAUAGAGAUCUCUGAUCAUGCCUGAAUUUUUGUUGCAUUGAAAUUUCUACCAUUACCAAACAUAGAAUGAACUGGGGAUACAUUAGCUUAAGACUCAAUUUUGAGAAGGAAGUUUGUACUUGCAGCCUAUAAAAUCAUGUCCGUGUCGUACGUUUCUUUGGGAAAUGAAAGAUUCUGUGUGUUCUUUUAUUUCAAGUUCACUGAAAUCACAUUUGUUUUCUCCGAUGCUUUCCAGAAGGUAACAACAUCAAUUUCAAAAAUGCUGGGGCAAGAUGCAUCAUGCAGUGCGACUCAACUUGAGAAUUCCUGGCCACAUUACCCGUAUGUCGAAUGAUCGCACAGUUCAACCUUGAGAAGCUUGUAAUGAGUACACAACUGGGUGCAAGUAGUUUUGAAAUGAAUUUGCCUCAAAUGAUUUCUUGCUCGCAUCCCUUGGGUUAUGAUAGAUGGAAAAUUCAUAUACGAUCCAGAGUCAGAGGUGUUGAUUCUCUUAUUAAGGUCAGCUGAUUUCUAUUAUCCACUCUGACAAACUCCAAGACCGGGUUUUUUUUUUUUUUUAAUUUUGCCGUUCUGUAUAAUUGAAAUGCCACUCACUUGUUUCCUUCUUCACAGGUCCGAUAGUAUGUUGAGGCUAUUUGCUUUUUAUCGGUGUUUGUCAAGGUAAUUAGUGCUGCCUCAUAGGUUGAUUACUCACAGAUGAAAUCAUAACUUUUAUCUUAAAAUUUAAUAGCAUACACAGAUAGAUGAUUUUUAGUCCAAAGUUUUUUUAUUCACUUCAAUCAAAAUUUUAGAUUGCAGAUUUUUGUCAAGUAUUUCAUUACAAUUUUUUCAUUUUUUAUUUUAAACCAGAAUAUGAGUAUAACAUUUUGGAGCGUGCAUACUCUGAUGCAUGCAAUUAACUGUUUUUAAUCAUUGGAUUUUGAAAUUAAUAAUGGUAAGAUGUGUACUUAUUCUGUCUUCCAACAACCUUGGCCUCUUUCUUCGGUCGCAUAUCUAAUGAAUAUUUCUCUGUUUAGUUAAGGAUGAAUGCUUGGAGUGGGGUACUUGGUAACAUUUCUGCCUCAGAUGAAUCCUUGAAGAAAUGCCCGCAGUUCCUGAGACCAAAUACAGGUCUGAUUCAAAACAGCACCUUUCUCAGAAAAUAUGAUCCAAGGCAAAGUCAUGUUCUGAUAAUGUUUCCUUAAGUACAAAGUUGCAAGGAAACUUGAUUCAUUAACUACAGUUUUUUAUUUUUAGGACCUUGUAUCUGAAAGGUUCAGUGUUUUUUUUUUUUUCAAAUUUAUUGUUCAGAUCUCAGAGGAGUAUAUGGUUUAGAUUACAAAACACCCAUGAUUAAUUUCAUUUUUUUUUUAAUUUCAGGGAGAAGAAGUGGUCAGUUUCAAUCCGGAAUUGGAAUAUGGCAAUUUGGUUCAAGCACACACACCUGGUCACUUGGUCAGUGAACCUGAACUUUACGCAGUUUUUUCAACUCAGUGAUUUUUGGAACGCAUAGUGGUGUAAGGAAAUCAAAAGAAAUUUAUGCAUAGUCAAAUUCUGAUAUUUGCUAUAUAUUAUACAUUCUAAAGUUUCUCCAGUUUGUUCUCAGAUUACCAUCAUUUUUUGCCUUCACCAAAAAAAAAAAAUUGAGUGGCUUUCCAGUGGAUAUUUAAUCGGAGGUAUGACUGGAUUUUUUUCACUUCUGUAAAUCUUGCAUUUUAAACUGGCAAAUUUAACUUUAAUUUUAAUACGACUUUGUUGGUGCCUUGUGCCCCAGAAACUAGAAAGAUGUGUAGUUUUCAGAUAAAGGGGCUUGUAAAUUCUCUAGUAAGAAUCCAAUAAUUUGCUUUUGCACGUUCAUUUUAUUUGUGGAUCCUUGCAUCUGAAUUUAAUCAAUCCAAAAGGAAUUGCUUUUAGACAGAAGAAGAAUAGCAGUACCUAGCCUAUGACAUAGUAUAUGGACCUGCAAACCUGAAACUAUUAGUUUGAGGUAAAAAAUUCAUGACCCUCACAUGUUAACUUUCAUGAAAAACACAUUUAAGAAAUUUGCAAUUUUUUGUUAGUUUCGUAUCCGAUGUUGUUUUCUGUUUUAGCAUUUGUAGAAUCUACUGUAUUAUAUUUUGGCAGUUGCAGUAUCUGAGGUAUGUUUUGCAUUUAACUUGCUUUAUUUGUUUUGCUUGUGACUUAAGAACACCAAUAUUUGCCAGAGAUUUAGAGAAGCAUAUCAAGCUGCUUGGCAAACUUGACAAACUUCAAGAUCCUCCAUUCUUCACAACGCAAAACUUGUAAGUACACCUAUGCCCGCAGUUAUUGUGAAAUGCUUGCAAUUUUGAUGCGCUGAAAUGGUUUGUUGAUGCAAAGGUUUAAACUUUUAAGAUUUACCCUGCAGGGUAGUUGGAUGCUGUAUACUCGAAAAGCGACCAACAUCAAGAACUAUGACUCCAAGACCGGGUUUGCUUUAAUUCAAUCAGCUGAAAUCAUGAUGCAAACGACACUAUCAGCUGGACUUAGAGACCGGUCAGAUCAAUCAUCCAUUUUAUCAACAGUUAAUGUCAUGAUGGUGGCUAUUAGAGGAAACAAAGGAUGUGUCGGAAUCAAUGUGAACAGUGAGAAGAAUGAGAGGAGCUUUGAUUAUACGUAGGCUCAAUGAACUCAUGCUGGUAAGUGGUAAUUAAAGAAAUUUGUGCGCUUAGUAGCAUUUCAAUAUUUUCUGUUUGGGAUAUAGUUGAUGAGUUGAUACUCUGAUUAAGAAGCCUGAUUAUAGUAGCUGACUUUUUUUUUGUGGUUUGCUGUUGAUUUUUCUUUUGAUUUUUUCAACAUUAGGUUGAUCUGUUGAAGAACAAGCUUGGGUUGAUUAUGCUUUAACUACAAGGAAGAGCCAGACUUGGAUGCAGGCGUUCAGCUUUUAAUGGGUAAGAACAAAUGUAUGCUUUAAACAUGUUUCUCACUUAUUACAAUGCACGCAUUGAAGGCAUCUGAGCUGAUCCUGAAAAAGUGAUGGAAAUACUUCUCUGUUUACAUAAAACAGGACAAGAGAUCUCUGAUCAUGCCUGAGAAUUAGUUGCAUUGAAAUUUCUACCAUUGCCAAAAAUAGAAUAAACUAGGAAUACAUUAGCUUAAGACUCAAGUUUGAGAAGGCAGUUUGUACAUGCAGCCUAAAAAAUCAUGUCUGUGUUGUAUACUUGUAUGUUUCUUUGGGAAAUGAAAGAUUCUGUGUGUUCUAUUAUUUCAAGUUUGCUGAAAUCACAUUUGUUUUCUUAGAUGCUUUUGAGAAGGUAACAACAUCAAUUUCAAAAAUGCUGGGGUAACAUGCAUCACGCAGUGCUACUCAACAUGAGAAUUCCGGCCGCAUUACCUGUAUGUUGAGUGAUCGCACAGUACAGCCUUUAGAAGCUUGUAAGGAGUAGACAACUAGAUGUGAGUAGUUUCAAUAUGGAUUCGCAUCAAAUGAUCUCUUGCCAGUGAUUACUAUAACCUCUAUCCCAAAAUUCUUGGAACUGGUCAUACCAAUAAUGAAGUGUUGUGUAUGUUGAAGACAUUGCGAAAGCUCCGUCAGCCUUUGUAUUGGAAAACAGUUGGUUGUAGUUGCUUCUGAAUGAUAUUAUUAAUAGAUACUGUAAAAAUGAACUGUGCCACUCAUUUUCAGAGCCCUGUUAAGAUGUGUUGGUAAUGUGUUUGAAGGUUGUUUGAUUUAUGUUGUAUUCAGCUAUAAAUCAAAGAUUCAGAACAUGGUUAUGUUACUGGUUUCCAAAUCAAAAAAUUGCCUUGUGAUGUUAGUGUUCAUUGUUUUCACAGGAGAUCAGGUUCCCUGUUGAUGAAUCAUUAAGGCAAACGCAUCCAUGUCUUAAGUUCAAAUGUGUCUCUUCUAUUUUCUAUUACUGACUCCUUUAUUUUGAUUUCUUCAUUGUAAUGGAAUUGGUUUUUAUUCCAAAUUAGUCUUAAGUUCUGUUAGCAUUUGAAGAUAGAACUAGAACUAAAUGAUUGACUGGAUUAAAUUCCGAUAAAGAAUUAAGUUAUAUAUUUAGAGAUAUUAUGUUUUUUUUUUUUUCAUUUGUUCAAUUUGGUUAGUGGUGAUUUCUUAAAGACUCAAUCCAUGUGCGUUUAUGCAUUUUUCUUUUGCCUUAAUUUCUGUUUCUUGGGGAGUUUAUACAGAUUCUUAUUUUAUGCUUCACAUGCCACAUGAAAGAUCGAAUUCUUAUAAUAAGAGUCUGAGAUCUCCCUGAAGGAUUCAAAGCAUUUUAUUUUAUAUUAAACUCCUUUACGUGGGUUUGGACACUACCACAAGUUCUUUAAAUACUAAAACGAUUUUAAGUCUUUUGUAUCAUCUGAUUGAAAUACAUGAAAGCACUCGUGGCUGCAAAAAUACAGUUGGGGCUAUUUCUAAAGUCUUCAACAGCAUUUUCUUUUUAACCUUUAUCCUCAUGGUUGUUUUUGCAGUUGUUCUUUAAGAAAACAUUUAAAAGGUUCUCUUUAUGGAUUUUUGAAAAUAAUUUUAACAUAAGCAAUUUUCAGAAGCACUUUAGAUGUCUGGCAUUUAGAAAAUUUUAUUCCGGUGUCACAUAAAAUACUUAGGAAGUUAAAUUUAUUUAUUUAUGAGCAUGUGCCAGUGCCCUGUGGCAUCCUCUUCACUUGUGAUAGUCAAAUGUAUUAUACGAUACAAUAUUAGCUUGACUGUAGCACAGAGGAGAAUAGGGUUGGUGUUGGUCUGAACCAGCUUAUGUAACAGCUGCCAAAGGAUAAUUUAAUUGUACUUUGAGUAAAGCUUUUGCAAAUUAAACAAGUGAUAAUUUGUUUCUAUUAAGAAAAACUUAAAGGAUAGGGCUAUUUUAACUCACCAAACUACACAUUAAAAAUCUACUUACAAAAAUAGUUUUUAAUUAUUAAAAUAUUCCUAAAUUAAAUUAUAAUUAUGGACACUAAAAUAUAAUUUUUUUUAUAUUUUACCCUUUGAAACUAUCUUUACAUUCGAUAUUACAUUUUUUUCUUAAACUCCAAAUUGAUUUUUUUUAUUAAUUUUAAAACACAUAUAAAGUGAUUCAUAUUGAUUUUAUACUAACAAACUAUUAUAGCACAUUCGAAAAAUAAUUAAAUCGUUCUUAUUUACAUAGUGAAAAUGCAAAUAGCUCAUUCAAAUGUUAAGGAAUUGGAGAGCUGCUGCUGGAGAUGAAAGAUGUGAAUUAAACAUCAGAGAAAAAAUUAUGUUCACUGUCUUGCCAGACCAAGCACCGAAAAGCGUCGUAAAGAAAAAUUAGAUAAUUUAGAAGAUAAAGCACGUGGAAUGGAGGCAGAAAGCAAGUAAUGAUAACUCUUUCGACAAACUAAUAUAUACCAAAAUGUAAUAUCGGCCCUAAUAAAAAAUGUGUUACGUAAGUAAAAGCACCAGGUCGGUCGUGCUACUAUUUCUGUCCCGGUAUGGCUCACCUCAACUGAAUGGUACAAGCAGAGCAUGGAGACGAAUAUGGCCCGACCAGAGAUGAGUACCGACCAGAGGUGUAUGUCGAGCCGAUACCCGUCUCCUGAAAAAGCGGGAACACGAUCCCACAGAAUCGCGGAAUUUGCGUUUUUCCCAGAACCGUUGCGAGAGAUGCGAUACCCCACGUUUACCCGUAAUGUAGUAGUUAAAGUUCCGUGAAAGGCCACCACCCGAAAAAGGAGGGAUGAAGACUGAGCGGGAACGUGGGAUAACGGCUAUAAAAGAAGGAGAAAUCGAUGAAGAAGGGGACAGAAAAAUCAAAAGAGGGAAAACGCUGCCAAAUUAUUGUCAGGCUAUCUUCUUGAAAAUUCCAGAUAAAUCAAAAACUACUCUUAAAUCUAAAUUGCUCUGUUUUCCCGUAAAUACCUUGAGCUAACUUAGGCAUCGGAGGGUUUACGCCGGCAAAACCACCCGCGUCUUUGAUCCGUUUUUUUGUGAGCGCAGGUCUAGAAAGAGAAAGGAGGACGAGUCCAAGUCCCGCGGUUCGAACUUGAUAACAUAAUCGUUGGUGGAAAAUUCUGGUCGGUAACAAGGCGAGCAGAUUUAAGCAUCAACAUUUUGGCGCCGUCUGUGGGGAGCUGGAUAAAAAGCUACCACCAACUUAGUAGUUGCCAGAGAAGCGGUAAACAAUCAGACAUGGAUGUGCCCAGGAAAGACGCUCUGAGGGAGGAUAACGAGUCUGGAGAGACAAUCACUCUUAGGGAAAUUGCAAAUGAAGCCCGGGAGAGGGUAAUGCAAGAUCGAUUGGAGCGGAUGGAGAAACAAAUGGAGACUCUCGCGACCAUACUAUUUGAGCUGAGAGACGAGCGGAGAAGGGAUUGCGAAACCCCUGUGGGGAGAGAUGAUGUCGGAGCAGAACCCAGCCUCCGGACGCGUAGAGUCGAGGAGAUCCCUCCGCCGGCGGACCAACCUAAUGGGGUGCAUCCCCACAGAAGUACUGGUCGGAUUCCAGGAGAACAAAUAGAUGAAGGGAGGAACCAACCUCGCCCUGGGCGGGUACUGGAAGCUGAUGGCCGAGGGGCCAGUGUUAAUGAAGGGGAGCUCAGGCAGCGGUUGCAGAAUGCCGAACAGGAGCGAGAUCAAAUAGCUGCACGUGAUCCUGACCGUGCUGUAGAAUUGGAGGGAGAGGUGCGCAGAUUAGCGCAAGUGAUAGAGGAGAUACAGGGUAGGAGAAAGCCCCCGAGCUGGAGGAUAAUGCUAGAUGAAGAAUCUCCACUAUCAGUUGAGAUCAUGGGCACUGUAAUCCCAAGAGAUUUCCGCUUCCCCGACCUCAAAUACUCCGGGCGAAGUGAUCCACUGGUGCAUAUUGAACGUUUUAAUGACGUGACGGGUGUUCAGGGGUUAACACCAGCUCAGAGGUGUAGGGUAUUCCCAUUGACACUAGAGAGACGAGCCCGAGAAUGGUACCACAAACUGUUACGAGGAAGUAUCAGAGGGUACGAGCAGAUGUGCCAAGAAUUGGCCGAACAAUUCCGGGGGGCGGUGGCCCCAGAGGAUGAUAUGAUGGAACUAAUGGGGAUAAAGCAGGAGGAACAAGAACCCCUUCGAGAUUUUGUAAAACGAUACCACCGAGCCGUGCUUGAUUUGGGAGCUUUCAAUCACCCGCAGGCGUUGAGGGGAUUGAAGGAGGGUGUGAGAAUAGGCCGACUGUGGUAUAACCUGAGAAGCCCCCUGGUGCAGAAUUAUUCCGCGGGGUAUGAGCAAGCAAAGAGAGACAUUGAAAUCGAAGAAGAAAAAUCAGCCAGGAUAAAGAGUGAACAAUUGGAGGAGCUGAGACGAAGAGAGAUGAGAGCCCCAAAAGGAGCGGGUCAGGAAAGCAAGCUGGGGAAUCUUCAAUGAUGGGUGCAGUAUCCGCUCGAUCUCGCCUUUAUCCUAUGGCUCAGAGACCGCAGCAGGUCCAACACAAUCGGGCUCAGCCCUCACGCCCCCCAUUCCUGGAACGACAACGAGAAUUUCGGCAGUUGGCUAACCAUCCCUAUCACAACGCUCCCAGAGCACCGCAUACAGCCAACCCCAGAGCGGGACGAUCAGGUCAGCUACCUUCAAUAUCCGCUCGGGAUGAUACUCAUGAUAGCCGAGCAGUCCAGCUGAUUGACCAGAACCCAGCGUACGGACAAUAUACCCCGCUAAAAGUCCCUAUGGAGGAGUUGUAUGAGAGAAUCGAGGGACGAGGCCUGUUGUACCCUCCAGCCCCUAUAACGAAACCUGCUCACCGAAGGGAUAAGAGCAGAUUCUGCAAAUUCCAUGACACUCACGGUCACACCAUCAGCCAAUGUCGUGACUUUAAGAUUCAGGUGGAGGAUUUGGUGAGAAAUCGUUAUUUGGAUGAGUAUGUAGAUGGGGUUUCUCCCGUCAUUGAAUCACAGUACACGCGGGGUGAAGGAGAUGAGAGGAGCCUGGAACGUGAACAGCCAACUAUCCGUGUGAUAGCAGGAGGGCCAACCCUGGCUGGGGAUUCGAAUAGGGCACGGAAGAACUAUGGGAAAUACGCCAUGACCAGCAAAGAAGUUCUUUUCAAUUUGCCAGCAGCCAAGAAGGCAAAAUUGCGGCAAGUUCCCAUUAUGUGGACAGAUGACGAUAAAGAGGGUAUCCUAUAUCCUCAUAAGGAUGCACUGGUGAUUAAGGCAAUGGUGGCUGGUACAGAACUACGACGGAUACUGGUAGACACGGGCAGCUCGGUUGACAUCUUGUUUAAAUCGGCCCUAGAUGAUAUGGGGAUUGCAGACUUAAAAUUGGAACGGACGAACACAUCUUUAAAGGGAUUUGGAGGGGGACGGCUAACUCCCAUAGGAAUCGUCGAACUCCCAAUUACUAUGGGGACAAAGCUGUUUGAAAGAACAAUGAUGUUGGAUUUUGUCGUGGUAGAGGAGAGAAGCCCUUACCAGAUGAUACUGGGGAGACCGUUCAUGAAGAUAAGUCAAUGCGUUGUGUCUACGCAUUAUCUGGCACUAAAAUACAGAAUAAACGGAGCGGUUGGUGUAGUAAAAGGUGACCAGAGGGUGGCAAGGAGUUGUUAUGCUACAGCGGCCAAGGAGACGCUGCAGGUUACUUCCUUAGAUAAUCGAGGAGAACCUAAAAAGGGCCGCCAAGAACCUGUUGAGAAACUGGAGGCAGUUUCGGUAAGCAAAGGCGACCUGAGCAGAGUGGUGAAGAUCGGAUCGGGGUUGGUUGGUGCAGUCAAAGGCGAACUGGUAAAUUGCCUACAGUCUCAUGCAGAUAUAUUUGCCUGGUCUCACGAGGAUAUGCCAGGAAUUGAUCGUGGGGUAGCUUGCCACAAGUUGGCAAUUAAGAAGGGGGCGAGGCCGGUGAGACAGAAGAGGAGAUGCUUUAACCAGGAAAGAUACCCAGACGGACGAGAUGUGAAGAGGUCAUGGAACGCCGAGCACUUAAAGAAGUAUUUUCAGUAAGCAAAGUGCUCUGCUAAAUCCUCAUUUUGAUAAGUUUUCUUUGUUAACUGCAUGAUGGUUUAUUACGCAUGUACAUAGUCUGUAUUUUGUAAUACAUUCAAAUCGCAAUAAAGAUGAAUUCAGCAUGAAACCCUUCUGUUAAGCAAGGCCAUUAUAAUUUAUACCAAGGCAAGUAAGUGCCUGCUUCUGCUCGGUCAACGAAAGACCAGCAGCUAAAUUAGCGAAAUUUCUACCAAGGCAAGUAAGUGUCUGCUUCUGCUCGGUCAACGAAAGACCAGCAGCUAAAUUAGCGAAAUUUCUACCAAGGCAAGUAAGUGCCUGCUUCUGCUCGGUCAACGACAGGCCAGCAGCUAAAUCUACGAAAAUUAUACUAAGGCAAGUAUGUGCCUGCUUUAGUUCGGUCCACGAAAGACCAGCAGCUAAUACUACGAGAAUUCUGCUAGGGCAAAUAAGUGCCUAGUUCUGCUCGGUCAACGAAGACUAGCAACCAAUUUUAUUAAAAUUUUACUAAGACAAGUAAAUGCAUACUCCUGCUCGGUCCACAAAGAAACCAGCAAGCAAAAUCAGAUAAGUUGUCCAAUUAUUUUGCAGAAACCAUCUAUGAGCAAAUACCAGACAAGAAAGUCAAUAGAGAACAUCUAAAAGUUUAUAAAUGUUUGAUUGUCUACAAAAUAGAUGUAAAUCUAAAGUUUACACAGAAAUAGACUUAAAGAUUAGCAGGGUCAACGGCUCCAGCAGCUGAAGAAUCAGCAACCUCAGGAGGCGGGAGAUCGGCAAUACCGGGAGGAGGGGGCAUGGACCCUUGACCCACCUCGAAAGUACGUCCCCCGGCUUCCCCCUCCUGCACCCCCUCCAAAGGAGCCUCCGCCUGAUCCUGAUGACCUUGCUCCUUAUCUGCCUGGCCGGUUUCCGCCAUAUACCGCUGCACUCCAGCCUCCAGCUUACUCAUGUCCAGCUCGGGAUAUUCUUCUUUAAGCACGGACAUGAUACACUUAUAGGAGAAAGCAACCCCAGAGUCAUACUCGGCAUCCAGCUGGUCGUCCACAUCAGCGGAUUUGCCUUUCUCCUCAGCCAGCUGUUCAUUUAGGGAUUUGAUUUCUCCCUCAAGGGCAGUCCUCAGAGUAUCUCUUUCACUUUGAGUUACCUGAAGGUCAGACUUCAGGCUGCCCAACUCACCCUCGAGUUUGGAGGCAGUGGACUCAGCAAUUGCAGUUUUCUCCUCCAGCUCCAUAAUCUGUUUGUUCAGCUCGGCCAGUUUCUCCUUGGAGCGAUCAGCAGAUUCAGCCUUCUUUUUCAACUCCUGAUUAUCAGCUUGAAGCUUCCUCUCAUGGCGUAUGGACACGUUCUUGUAACACGAAACCAUGGUGGCCAGCCUGAAGGAAACCCUUUGAACAGAGGCAGCUAACUCGGAGAGCUCCAUACUCUCGAUGUCCUUCACCAUCUUGGGCCCAACCGACCUCUUGUAAUCCUUUUGGUACGGGCUCAAAUAGUCACCCUGAUCCCGAGAUGGAAGAGGAGAAGAUCGGUCCCCAGAUUGUAAGCUGACCUCAGGGCUCUUGUCGGAAGUUUUCUCCCCACUACUCUUACGAGGUGGAGGAGGGGGCAGAGCAGGAACUGGAGCCUGAGAAGGACUGGCACUGGCCUUUUUCGGAGGAGGAGGAGGGUGGCUGGAGCUGCUCGAUGCCCGACCACGCUUUCUGCUCAUCGCGCUGAGGAUCUUGUUAUCCAUCCCAGCGGCAAUAUCUACUAAGCCCGAACCGACCAGGUUUGUUGGUGACAGGAGGUCUUGACAAGUAGACGCGCUCACCAGAGCCGUUUCCACCUGGAGUAAAGGUCGGUCCUCGAGAGUCUUAACCAAACCCCACGAUUCUGAAAAAACAGACAAGGUUAAAGAACCCAAUAAGUGGCAAUUCGAGAAAGAAUAUAGGCAAAAAAUGAACGACCUGGGGUGACAAAUUGCGUUGGAAGGUAAAUGUCACCACCCAACGACCGAACUGCUGGACACCAAUUUCCCCCAGCAAAGAAGAAUUUGUUCUUCCAAUUUUUGCACGAGGAGGGGAAACCGGUGAUUGGCUUUCUCUUCGCAGAACUGGACAUGAAGUAGUACCAGCCCGCCUCCCUUGGGCUGCUCCGCAGCUGAUACAGAUGCUUCACUUCAACAAGGGAAGGCUCCUCCGACCCACACCUCUCCCACAACACAAACAUAGCCGAGAGAACCCUCCACCUGUUUGGGUGUAGUUGACCUGGGGCCAGGUGCAUACCCCCUAAAAUCUUGGCAAAAUAGCGCUGAAGAGGCAGCCGAGCUCCUAAUUUAAAGCUCUCCAGGUGCAUGGUCACGUACUCCCGCGGAGGCCGACUAGGAACAUCACCUUUCUCAGGAACCACAAGGAGAACCUCCUUAGGAAUAUCAUAGAGGUUCCUAAGCUUGAACAGAUCAUUUUGGGUGGUGGCACAGGCUAUGUGAUCAAUGGGGUAAGAAUCUGCCUCCAUCCUAUGCCCAAGGUUUUGUUUCUUAAGAGGUCGGCUCGGCUCGGCUCGGAGCUGCUUCCCUCACUAUCACCCGCUCCUUCAGGAACCCCGACCCCACCAGAACUGUGGUUCUCGCCAGAGCCCGACGCAGGUCCCCCUCUAUUUCCUACAAGCUCUAAUUCAGAGGAGGGUGAAAUGGUCAAGGGACGUGGGUACUCAAGGAUAUCCCUACUAUGGGAUAAGCCUACACUACGAGAGGGAUUCAAAAAAUCAGUGGGUAUGGGCAAGUUAAGGUCUGAAUCCCCAGAUUCUUCAUCACCCUCGUCUGCAAUCAACUUCCUUCUUCGAUUUGACAUACCGGAGUUCCAAAAGAAAACCAAAACAAACCCAAGUACACGAAUACAAAAAGAGACAGUACAGAACCCAAUCAACAACAGCCAAAAAAGAGGUUAAAGGCUAUACCUGGAAUGGACUAACAUUGGUAGCACUGCCGUGACAGAGAAAACACCCAGCAAAUGGAUACUCCGGACGCUGGAAAUGGGAGCAAAGUCCAGAAAAGAAAUUGGUUAGUGACGGAGAAACGAAUCGCAGAAUGAUGAUGAUUUUAGUCUAGGGAUUUGGAACGAAAAGGGGGGAAACGGAAGCAUUUAAGUGAUGGGAUAUGCCAGCUCACUCACCAUAUAUCGAGGAAGGAUAGCCCGUCGUUUCAAAUUUCAAAAUAUGAAGAGUCGGGAAGCGCCACGUCACUAACCGAUACAAGAGGCCAGACUAGAGCAAGCCCAGAUAUGCAAUGGACAGGCUCAUUAAGGCCCAUGCUCAGAAGACCAGAUGAGAAGCCCCGGGCUGGUCGGCUUCAACCAUCAGUUUCUACUCUUAACUCAUUUCACUCGCAAGACCAGAAACUGGGGGACUGGUGUUAAGUAAGUAAAAGCACCAGGUCGGCCGUGCUACUAUUUCCGCCCCGGUAUGGCUCACCUCAAUCGAAUGGUACAAGCAGAGCAUGGAGACGAAUAUGGCCCGACCAGAGAUGAGUACCGACCAGAGGUGUAUGCCGAGCCGAUACCCGUCUCCUGAAAAAGCGGGAACACGAUCCCACAGAAUCGCGGGAUUUGCGUUUUUCCCAGAACCGUUGCGAGAGAUGCGAUACCUCACGUUUACCCGUAAUGUAGCAGUUAAAGUUCCGUGAAAGGCCACCACCUGAAAAAGGAGGGAUGAAGACUGAGCGGGAACGUGGGAUAACGGCUAUAAAAGAAGGAGAAAUCGAUGAAGAAGGGGACAGAAAAAUCAAAAGAGGGAAAACGCUGCCAAAUUAUUGUCAGGCUAUCUUCUUGAAAAUUCCAGAUAAAUCAAAAACUACUCUUGAAUCUAAAUUGCUCUGUUUUCCCGUAAAUACCUUGACCUAACUUAGGCAUCGAAGGGUUUACGCCGGCAAAACCACCGGCGUCUUUGAUCCGUUCUUUUGUGAGCGUAGGUCUAGAAAGAGAAAGGAGGACGAGUCCAAGCCCCGCGGUUCGAACUUGAUAACAUAAUCGUUGGUGGAAAAUUCUGAUCGGUAACAAGGCGAGCAAAUUUAAGCAUCAACAAAAUGAAAAUAAAAAUUCAUUACGAAUACGUGUUAAAGAUAUCCCAAGUAUAGAUGUGACUGAAAUAUUUGAGAUUGAAGAAGAAUUAAGACUCAAAAUCAAUUGGGAGGAAUAAAUGAGAAACCCCAAUACCAAAAAAUACACGCACAAAUCCUAAUACUAAUUGUAAUCACGGAUAAAAAGCAUAAUACGAAUAAAUUAAAUGGGCAACUAUUCCAUUGAGAAAUUAAUUAAAUCGUGUAUUAAUAUUUUGUAUACAUAUAUUUUUCUAUAUAUAACUUUCGGUAAUUUAAUUUUCCACUUAUCAUUUUUACUCCAAAAAAAUAAUUGAGAAUAUUAUUUAUAUUUUGGUGCAAAAUAUUUGAACAAUAUACAAAUUUUCAGUUUAAUAAAUCUAAACAUCUAUUAAGUUAUAAAUGAAUUUAAUGGGUUUAAUUAAUAAAAUUACUAUUAUUAUAUAAAUUGGGUUUAGUAAUGGUAUAUUGGGUGGGUUUGUUGAGUAAAUUUUAAAAUUUUGAAAUUUAAGGAUGGGUUUAUUUAGUAAAUGAGUUAAGGGAGUAGUUUGUUGGGAUUCACAUAGCCCCACCAAAUUCAAAUGUAAAAUUUGUGGAAAAAGAAGCUAUUGAGUUAUUCUUUUAAAAAAAGAAUUAAAAUGUCAAGAAUACCUUUAUUUAAUUUUAUAAUCUUAUUUUAUAGUCAUAUUUUAUUUCCACCUUAACAUAAUUUUAAAAACCUUAACUAAUAAAUUCUAUAUUUUUUUUAUAAAAGUUAUCAUUAAUAUCCAAACGGCUAAAGAUUUUUUUUUUUUUAAAAAAAAAGGAACUAUGCUUACAAAAGUUGUAUACAUUAACAAUAAAUUUAGUCCAAAGAAUAAAGUUAUUCCAAACAAGCACUCCAAUUCAUCUUGCUAAUGAAUCAAGAUGACUGAAUCCUUCUCUAAGCCAAAUCUAUUUUCACUUUUAGGUCAGAAAUUGUCAUUAAAAAAAUGUUUGAUAAAAUAUGCUCUAGGAACACUAAUUCGUCAGAUGGUUACUCCAAGUUUAUGAAAUCAAUGGGAUUUCAUCAUAUUCAUAACAUUCUUCUUUAAUGUCUAUUCUAACAAAGAAAUCAUAUACAGAGAAUAGGUUUCGUUAAAACUUUUACUAGAAAAACUAACCACAAUUCACCAUUCAUUUAUAUCUUAAGUAAGCCUAAGAUUUUAUCAUUAAAAUCCCAUCAUGAAAAAAACUCAUGGGAGAAAAACUAUAAAAAUUGAAGAAAAAAGAGUAUGGCGUGCAUGUAAAUUAUAUCGAUUUUAUCUACAUGACAAAUAAGACUCUCUUUUACAAUGGCACGGAUGCUUCAUUGAGUAAUCAUGAUUCUUGCUGGUAGUGCUUUGUUGUAUCAAUCUGCUAGCUAUUCAGCGUUCUUUCUUUCUUUCUUCUUAUUUUUUUGUUUUCAAAUAGCUUGUGGUUGUAGAAAUAUUUCAAUUAAACUAUACUUAAGUACUUAUUUGGUAUAACUUCUUUACUAACCAAAAGAAUUUUUUUUUUUGGUUUUUUAUAAUUUAAUUAUACUUUAACUAGAGUUUUUGGGAUAAAACAAGUGAUAAUUUCUCUCUAUUAAGAAAAACUCAAAGGGUAGGGCUAUCUCAAUCCACCAAACUAUUUAUUAAAAAUCCACUUAUGAAAAUAAUUUUUAAUUAUUAGAAUGCCUUUACAUUAAAUUAUAAUUAUGGACACUAAAAUAUAAUAAAUUUUUUUUUUACUCUUUAAAACUGUCUUUACAUUUGAUAUCAUAUCUUUUUCUUAAAAUCUAAAUUGAUAUUUUUAUUUUAUUUUUUAUUAAUCUUAGAACACAUAUAAAGUGAUUCAUAUUGAUUUUAUACUAACAAACUAUCACAGCACAUUCGAAAAUAAUUAACUCGUUCUUAUUUGCAUAGUGAAAAGGCAAAUAGCUCAUCCAAAUGUUAAAGAACUGGAGAGCUGCUGCUGGAGAUGAAAGAUAAAUAAUUCUCACUUAGAAGAAGGAGAAAAAAAGGAAAUACAAUUAGAAUGAGAGGUAGCCAGUAGCCACUAGCCGCCACCACCACCAGUGAAACUAUUUCACAUAAUAGAAGAUAAAGCACGCGUAAUGGAGGCAAAAAGCAAGUAAUGAUAACUCUUUUCGACACACUAAUACAUAUCAAAAUGCAAUAUCGGUCCUAACAAAAUGAAAAUAAAAAUUCAUUACGAAUAUGUGUUAAAGAUAUCCCAAGUAUUGAUGUGAUUGAAAUAUUUGAGAUUGAAGUAGAAAUAAGACUCAAAAUUAAUUGAGAGGAAUAAAUGAGAAACCCAAAUAUUAAUAAAAUACACGUGCAAAUCCUAAUGCUAAUUAAAAUCACGGAUUAAAAAUAAUAAUAAUAUGAAUGAAUUACAGGCGCAACUGUUUCAUUAAGAAAUUAAUUAAAUCGUGUAUUAAUAUUUUGUACACAUACAUUUUUCCAUAUAUAACUUUCGGUAAUUUAGUUUUCACUUAUCAUCUUUACUCCAAAAAAAAAAUUGAGAAUAUUAUUUAUGUUUUGGUGUAAAAUAUUUGAAUAAUAUACAAAUUUUCUGUUUAAUAAAUCUAAACAUUUCUCCAGUUAUAAAUGAAUUUAAUAGGUUUAAUUAGUAAAAAUAUUAUUAUUAUAUAAAUUGGGUUUGGUAAUGGUAUAUUGGGUAUUUAAAUGGGUUUGUUGAGUAAAUUUUAAAAUUUUAAAAUUCAAGGGUGGGUUUAUUUUAGUAAAUGGGUUAAGGCAGCAAUUUCCCAAACUAAAAUUUUUAGAAAAAGACGCUAUUGAGUUUUUUUUUUUUUUAAAAAAAGAAUUAAAAUGUUGAGAAUACCUUUAUUUAAUUUUAUAAUCUUAUUUUAAAAAAUUUACCCAAUAAAUUUUAUAAUUUUUAUAAAAAUUAUCAUUAACAUCCAAACAGCUAAAGAUUAAAAAAAAAAAAAAAGAAGAAGGGAACUGUACGAGCAAAAGUUACAUUAACAAUAAAUUUAGUCCAAAGAAUAAAGUUACAGCUAAAAAGUGCUCCUAUCCUAUUUUUCUCUAUUUUAACAAUAAUCUUCUUCCAAUCCGUUUUACAAUGGACUUUAACAAAUGGGCUCAAUCUCUAAACUUCAUUUUCUUUUGCUUACCCAUGGCCAUUAGCCAGAAAGCCUAAAACAAGACCAGCCCAUAUAUAUAAUUUUUUUUAAAAAAAAGUAAAAAUGUGUGAGAGCUUGUAGCAUUACAAUUUUAGGAUCACAUGUGUAAAUGGAACCCCAACAUUGAUCAAGAAUUAACAAGACAAGAUGAAGAGAUGAUCUUGUAACUAAGAAUGAAGAAAUUGAAUCAAGACAGUACUCUAGUAAAACCCAGAAAACAGAGCUUGAAGAAUCACGCACAAAGCAGUAAAUUUGUAAAACCAGAAUUGGAGCUUCACUUCUCAAGAGAGACGAAACAGGAUACAGUCUAGCUUUAGCCAAAGUGAUAAACUCGUAAUUAUUCUACAAAGGGAACAAUUUUGAACAGUGGGAAAUUCCAUAAUUAUUCUUUUCGGUGAAUUAUUUUAAAUAAAAUUAUAAAAACCAAUAUAAAAUUAUUACCCAGUAAAGACUUUAGAGAGACAAGUGCUCCCAACAGGAUCAAGUGAAUAUGCCCCACAAAGAUCAUUUCUUGUUCUUUUUCUUUUUGACAAUUUUAUCUGUGGUUUCAACUUUUAUGCUUUAUUGUCGUAUCCCGUUGAGGGCUCCGCUGCACCCAUUACAACUUACCCCUAAAUUGCCUCUUACUAACUAAACCGUUAGAUUUUAUGGAAGCACGUUCAAUGCUGAAUUUUAAUUAUGUCAUCAAAUUUCGUUUAGCUCCUUAAACUCCAUUUUAUUUGUAAUUUCUUCAUAAAAUAUUCAAAGCUUCAUCAAGCUCCUGAUGGACCAUCAUGGCUAGGGGUGCAUUAGAGCCGAACUGAAAUAUGUUAGUUCAGUUCAGUUUGGUCAGUUUAAAUCGAAUGGUUUAGAAUAUAUAAACUGAUCAAUUUUAAUUUUUAAUUGAACCGAAAAUCAAUUGGUUCAUUAUUAGUAUUUUUUUAUAAACAUGAAUUAUUAGUGAUUGUAAUUAAAUUGGACUAAAAAAAAUUCAAACUAAGGUGAAAAAUAUAAAAUCUUAGACAAUAUAAAAGAAAAAAUAUUAAAUUUUUUUAACCGAAUUAUUUUGACUCAAUUUGGUUCAUAAUUUUUUAAACCAAAUGGAACCCUCAUAACAAAAAACUAACAGAAACAAUAAGAACACGAUGUUAAAAUCUUAAAUCAAUCGCAAAAAAGCACCCAAAACAGAUCGAUUAGGAACAGUUAACAACAAAAGAUUUGAUGGUUCAAAAUCAUAAUGUGACCUACUUCCAUCCAAGAAUUAUACUAAUUUCUUUACUAGUUGUCAAAUACAAGAUCACAAGAUUAUUUAUCACUCUAUAGAGAAAAAAUUUUUAGAAGAAAUACUCCCCAAUUUUUCUCUUGAUAGUUAUGAAUCAACACCCCUAGAAAGGCUAUUGAUUUACUUUUCCUUAUUUCAUAUGAUCGGUUGCUGCAACUUAAUCCUUGCCAAGUUCCAACAUAGUCCAAACAUUUUUCAUGGUACAUGCAUAGUGCACCUUCAGAAACUUUACAGCUCUUCUUAAAACCUCAGUUCUCGUGAUGUUUCUGAUUUAUUUCUGGGACGAGUAACACUUUUGUUGAACCUAGACCAGAUUUAGUAUCCAAUCAAGAAUUUCCAGGAUCUAGCUGAACUCUCUAAUCAAGACCUAAAGAAUAGUUAAUCAAAUCCACACAAAAGAAUCACCCAAAAACAGUAUACAAAGAACAACAAAUAUAAGUGGUUUUGAGAUAAAUGUAAUUGACUUCUGAGCAUGACUUAAUUUUGAGAUCAUUACUUUUAGUUAAAUGAUCUCCUCCAGAGCUUCUACCUAUGUAGUGUUUUUAGACCUCUAUAGUUGAUAAAGCACGUUCAAGGUGAAGGCUUGUUUUCCAAUCUAUAGUCCAAUUAUAGACUGGAAAUGGUCAGGCUUAAUGCACCUUCAAAAGCUUCACAAUUUGUAUUGAAACCUUAAGCCUCAGAAUGCUACAAAUUUUAAAUCCAUAUACUUAGUGCUCUUAUGAUUUGUUUGAUUUUUACUUAGAUGAAGAGCAUUUUAGCUAUAGAAAACAUUGUAACUAAUUCAAAGCAUGCCUUAGCUACGAGAUCAUUCAUUCUAGCCAAAUGCCCCCUUUAGAGAUUCUGCUAUUGUUGUGUAUUCAGCCUCUAUAUUUGGCAAAGCAAUUACAUGUCGAAGGCUUGCUUUCCAGUUAACAGCGCAAUUACAUAGAUUAAAGGUGUAACCAGGCAAAGAACUUAGUUAUUCUGCCAAGGUCUCCAACAUACUCCAAAUCCAUAUAACCACCAGACUUCAAUCUUUAGACUCCAUAGAUCAAACCAUAACUUAGUGUGCCUUUCAAUCUCAGGUAACAUUUUACUGUUUUCCACGUCUUGCCAUGUACUUGCUGCUAACACUAACAAUUUGAGAAAUGUUAGGCAUCGUAAGCAGCCGACAACACUCUUCUUCAUUUCUUCAUUGUCAAUUUCCUUCUUGGAACAUUGCUCCAUUGAGAGUCUGCUAUCAUUGCUCCAAUUAUUAUUAUUUUUGUUUUUUUAAAAAAAAAAAUUAACCGUGCAAUAAGAGUAUAAGACUAAGCAACGGUCCUUUUUUUUUUCCCAUUCUUGAACAUGAAGUAUUUGAGUAUGCAAUAAAAAUUGUUUAUUGAUAAUUAAAAGUUAAUAGUGGGUGGCUUUAGGAUUUGUUUACAAAAUUGACAACAAAUUAAGAUUUUUCAAAUUCAUAGGUAAGAAACUUUUCAUUUAUUCAUAGAUUUUCCGGUUUAAACUUUAAAGGAAACUUAAAAGAAAAAGAUGUAUCAUUAGAUUUGUAAUUAAAAAAAUUUAAUAUUGUAUGAUCUGUUCGAUAUGCAUAAUUUAAAUAAACAUUAAUAUAGAUGUUAUAUAUCCUAAAACUUAAUUGACUUAAUUCUUACGGUGCAAGGAAGACGUUUCCAAGUUUAAAUCUAAUUUGGGGUCGGGAAAGCACUGGGAAAUAAAUGUAACAAAGGAAAAAAGAAAAGAAUGACAGUCUGAGUGGAGCCAACACGGUUUUGAAAAAAGUGCAAAAAAGGGUUUUAGGAUAUAUUCUAUUAUCGUUUGUUUGCUUGCUUGUGGAAAUAAAAGUCUCAUGUUUCUUUGAAAGGUAAGCAAGUGUGAAUGUUUCUAUCUAGAGCUGGAAAAUGCAUUUCCGUGCAACUUACUUGAUGAAUGAAGUUUUCAUCUCUGACCUUGAUGUUUCCCAGAGCUGCAUUCAUUUCAGCUGAUCUAUUUCAUUUCGUUUGCAAAGGAGUGACACAAAACCUCCUUUGUUAAGGGGAGAAUUUAGAGUGGCUUCAACGGUUAACAAAUAGCCUAAUGUAAGACUUAAUCAAUUUCCUGCCCGGUUGCUUACCACUACUUAUCACUUUAACGUAUGAAACCUAAUCAAGAUUCCUUUGAUGAUUUUUCUAUUUGCUAAUUGAUUGAUAAGCUCUUCAGUGAAGAUAUAGUGUCCGCAAGCCAUAUGUUGAUAGAGUUAGAGUUUGCAGAAGCUACUGUACCAUAUGUUGUUAGAGGCGGUAAAAACGGAGGCAGAUCAACACACAUUUAAAUUUCAAUGACAAUUUACUGGAAAUAAAUUUCCUAUGACCCUACAUGUGACUAAUUGAUGAGAACUUGACAAUGACAAAAGAAAGUGUAUGAGCUUUGCAGGCUGGCUUGCCAAUAUUGACUGUAUGGCACCAUCCGCAAGUAAGUAUCAUUACUGUUUAAUCAACUUGGUGGAGUCCACUGGGACCACCCCACAUGGUCAGUCUUAUCUCUACUCCUAAAUUUUCAAUAUUCCAUACAUCAAACCAAUUGCAGUUUUGAUAUCAAAUUCAAUUUUAUUGUUGGUGACGAUUCUGAUUCCUUUCAUUCUCACAAAACGGAACCAUGGUUGCUGUUGGAGAGAUCUUACUCAACGCCUUCCUUGAGGUGUUGUUUGACAGGUUGGCUUCUCGUAAUUUGCUCCGCUUUGUGCGUCAACUCCAAGGCGGGGUUGAUUCGGAGCUCAAGAAGUGGGAGAAAAAGCUGAAGAUGAUUCAGGCUGUGCUCUGCGAUGCAGAGGAGAAGCAACUGACCGAUGAGGCUGUGAAGAUGUGGCUGGACGAACUCCAAGACUUAGCUUUUGACGCUGAGGACAUUCUUGAUGAGUUUGCUACUCAAGCUUUGGAAAGCAAGUUGAUGGCGCAAAACCAGGAUAGCUCUGGCCAGGUUCUCAGUCUCAUCCCGGCUAGUUUGAAUCCGAAUGCUAUUAUGUUCAAUUAUAGCAUGGGGUCCAAGAUUAAAGAUAUGACUAGCCGGCUGGAGCAACUCUGCCAAGAAAGAAUUGAACUUGGACUGCAACGGCUUACUGGAGGGGCGUCAUCAACCGCUGCUGCUGCACACCGGAGGCCACCCAGUUCGAGUGUCCGAACAGAACGUGAAGUAUUUGGAAGAGAAGAAGAUAAGGCCAAAAUUCUUGAUAUGGUCAAUACCCCAAGUGAUCACGCCAACUUUGUUGUAAUACCUAUUGUUGGAAUGGGCGGGAUAGGAAAAACAACUCUUGCUCGGGAGGUCUACAAUGACAAGGCAGUUGAGGAUUCCAAGUUUGACGUAAAAGCAUGGGUUUGUGUCUCCGACAACUUUGAUGUUUUCAACAUUUCAAAGGCACUUCUCGAGUCAAUCACCUCCGCAGCUAGUGAUCUCAAGACUUUAAAUGAAGUGCAGGUUCAACUGAAAAAAGCAGUGGACGGAAAAAGAUUCUUGCUGGUCUUAGAUGAUGUUUGGAACGAGGACUACAGCUUGUGGGUAGACUUAAAAGCUCCGUUCCUGGGUGCUGCACCAAACAGUAAGAUGAUCGUCACCACACGCAAUUUAAACGUUGCAUCAACAAUGGGACCAAUUGAACAUUAUAAUCUCAAGAGUCUGUUAGAUGAUGAUUGCUGGUCCAUUUUCAUACAGCAUGCAUUUGAAGGUAGAGAUCUUAACGCAUAUCAAAUUUCAGAAUCAUUCAGCAAGAAAGUUGUUGGCAAGUGUGGGGGCUUGCCUCUGGCAGCAAAAACGCUCGGGGACUUCUGCGCACAACAAGGCAUGAUGCGUGGGACGAUAUAUUGGAUAGCAAAAUAUGGGAUUUACAUCAACAAAGCAGCAUUCUCCCUGUGUUAAGAUUGAGUUACCAUCAUCUUCCGUCUCAUUUGAAAAGAUGUUUUGCUUUUUGUGCCAUCUUUCCAAAAGAUUAUGCAUUCACUGAGAGGGAGCUGACUUUCUUAUGGAUGGCUGGAGGUAUUAUUCGACAGUCAAGAAACAAUGAGCAGCUGGAAGAUUUGGGCAGCAAGUGCUUUGGUGAUCUAGUGUCGAGGUCAAUUUUUCAGCAAACAGCAAGCUCUGAUAGUUCUAAAUUUGUAAUGCAUGACCUUAUUCAUGAUCUUGCUGAAUUGGUCUCUGGAGAAACCAUAUUCAGGUUAGAGGAGGCCAAUACUCGGUCAAGAAGAUUUGAAAGGGUUCGCCAUUCUUCCUAUGCUUGUGGUGGAUGUGAUGGUAAAAAUAUGUUCGUGGUUUUCAAUGAAAUUGAACAUCUACGAACAUUCUUGCCAUUACGCUUACGCAGAAGAGGUGGCUCUAAUGCUGGUUACAUAACUCGUACGGUUCUAUCUGAUUUGCUGCCGAAGUUCAAAAGGUUGAGAAUGCUAUCUUUACAAGGAUACUGUAUUGGUGAGUUACCAAUUCCAUUUGAAGAUUUGAGACUUUUAAGGUUUCUCAACCUUGCUGACACUGACAUAAGAAGUUUACCCGAGUCAACAUGCAAAUUGCUGAACUUGGAAAUUUUUAUAUUAAGAAAUUGUUCCCGUUUGAUAAAGCUUCCACCCAAAAUGAGGAAUUUGAUCAAUUUACGCCAUUUGGAUUUAAGAGGUGCGAAGUUGCUGAAGGAGAUGCCAUUCGGAAUGAAAGAGUUGAAGAAGCUUCAAACAUUGUCCAAUUUCAUCGUGGGCAAGGGCGAAACUGCAUCUGGUUUGGAAGAUUUAAAAUGUUUAAACUUUCUUUGUGAUGAACUCUGCAUUGCUGGAUUAGAGAAUGUGAAUGGUCCACAGAAUGCAAGAGAAGCCGCAUUAUGUGAGAAGCACAAUCUUGAAGCAUUGACUCUAGAAUGGGGGUCUCAAUCUGACGGUCCUCGGGAUGCAGUACUAGAAGAGAAGGUACUUGACACUCUACAACCUCAUGAAUGUAUAAAAGAGCUGGCAAUCAGGCACUAUGGUGGUGCAAGAUUUCCACCUUGGAUCGGACAGCAUUCGUUCUCCGAGAUGAAGGUCCUUAAAUUGGAGAACUGUGGCAAUUGUGUAUCUCUGCCAUCGCUUGGCCUGAUGAGUUCACUUAAGCACCUUGCUGUUAAAGGGCUGAAGAAAUUAAAAAGCCUAGAGUCUGAGGUUUAUGGGGAGGGUUUCUCAAUGCCUUUUUCGUCACUGGAGAUUCUAAGUUUUGAGAAUUUGCCAGAAUGCGAGCAUUGGGACACCAAUAUCAAAGGAAAUGUGCUUGUUGAAAUAUUUCCUCGUCUCCAUAAACUUUCCAUUGUGGAAUGUCCCAAACUCUCCGGAAAACUGCCUGAGCUCCUGCCCUCCUUGAAGACACUUGUUGUUAGUAAAUGUGAAAAGUUGGUAGUUCCAUUGUCUUGCUAUCCAAUGCUUUGCAGAUUAGAAGUUGAUGAGUGCAAAGAACUAGUCUGCCGGACUCCGAUUGAUUUUAAGUUGAUAAAGUCGGUGACUAUUUCAAAUAGUUCAUUAGACAUGAAUGGACGCAAGGGGAUGCUAUACGAUGGUCCAGCUGGCUCUUUACUGCCAAAGCCCAUGACUACUACAAAUGUUUUGGAGUUUGGAAAAUUAUUGAAGCCUGGAUUUCAGAUAUUAGAAACUUUGGUAAUUGGCAAUUCUGAACAGCUCAAGUCAUGGAGGCAGCAUGGGGAUUUUCCGAAAAAAUACAUGGUCACUGACCAUGGGUUUAAGAAACCAGUACGAGGGCUGAAUAUGCUCGCUUCCCCUGAGGAGGUAUCAAUUGAAGAAAGUUGCGUACGUCUUGUUUUGUUUCCAGAGAUCAAUUUCUUUCCCAGAAAUCUGCGCUCUCUUCUAAUUAACAACAGCACUGCUUUGAAAUCCUUACCCGAGGAAAUGAUGGAAAACAAUUCACAACUCGAAAGGUUGUAUAUCAAGGAUUGCGACUCUCUAACAUUCAUCGCAAGACGGAGGCUACCAGCAUCUCUGAAAAGGCUUGAGAUAGAAAAUUGUGAGAAAUUGCAACGUCUGUUCGAUGAUGAAGAGGAUGCUUCUUCUUCUUGUCCUUCAUCCUCGUCUUCCCCAGUGAUGCUGAAACACCUGAGAAUCGAUAACUGCCCAGAGCUCACCAGUUUAUCAUCGGGUGUCCAAUUCCUUGAGGCGCUUGAAGACCUCAAGAUAGGGCAUUGUCCAAAGCUGGAGUCAAUACCGGAUGGCCUGCCCAAUCUUAAAUGUUUACAGAGCAUUUAUAUACGGGAUUGUCCAAGUCUUGUUUCCUUCCCAGAAAGAGGGCUUCCCCACACCAUUUCAGGGGUUUUCAUUGCGAGUUGUGUGAAGCUCGAAGCCUUGCCCAAUGAUUUGCACAAACUCAACUCUCUUCGAGGUUUAAGCAUACAGCUCUGUCCAAAUCUUGUAUCGUUUCCAGAAGAAGGUUUUCCUACCAAUCUAACAACCCUUGUAAUUGAAAAAUUCAAAUUGUAUAAGACACUCGUCCAGUGGGGGUUGCACAGGCUUACCUCUCUUAGAGACCUCUACAUCAUUGGAUGUGAUGAUGAAGCAGAGUGUUUUCCAGACGAGGAGAUAGGAAUGACGCUGCCCACCUCUCUCACUCAUCUGUCCUUUUGUGGAUUCCAAAAUUUGAUAUUUCUGUCUUCAAUGGGUUUUCAAAACCUCACCUCUCUUCAAUCAUUCCCAGAGGUGGGCUUUCCAUCCUCACUUUGGGGCUUAGACAUUAGAUAUUGUCCAAAGCUCAAAACAGCGUGCAAAAGAGAUGAAGGAAAAGAGUGGUCCAAAAUUGCUCACAUCCCUCGCGUUGAGAUAGACGGUAAAUUCAUAUACGAUCCAGAAGCAGAGGAGUAGAUUCUACUAUUAAGGUCAGUUGAUUUGUAUUAUCCGCUAUAACAAGCUCCUCCUUUUUUAUUUUUUUUUUUGAAAUAAUAAUUUUGCAGUCACUCACGUGAUUCCGUUUUCACAAGUCAGAUUGUACGUUGAGGCUAUUUGCCUUUUAAUCGCAGAUUAAAUUAUAACACUUAUCUUAAAAUUUAAUACCAUAGACAGAUAGACGAUUUUUUAAUCCAAAGUUUUUUUUAUUCACUUCAGUUAGCAUUUUUUUUUUCCCCAAAUCAUGCAAGCCGAGAGUUUCAAUCAAGAAUUGGAGGAUGUGAAUGGGAAUUUUGUGAAAGAGUAACAUAAUGGAUGAACGAACAUUUCAUAUGUGAUCUCAAAGUCAACAGAAUUUUAUUCACUCGUUGACUUUUCAACUGCUGUGGUUAUUUAUGGGUGAAAGAUAAGGGCAAUUACAAAAAAUUUGCAAAAUUUGUCCAUUUCUUAGAUGGUAGAAAUUGGAGUAUAAUAUUUUGGAGCAAGCAUACUUGAAAUUUCUUUCUUCAAUAUUUUGAUGCUUUCUUAUCCCAUGCACAAAAAUACUAGAAAAAACUAAUAACAACUAACCGAAAAUCCCAGGCGUCAUAUUCCUUUUUACCGCGUUUUAAAAUGCACAACAAUGAUAUUCUUACAAAUUUGCAAAAUUUGUCAAUUUCUUAGAUUUCAGAUAUUUUAAUGCUUUUUUUAAUUUUUGAUCUAGUAAAAAUACAUAGCCUUCACCGGCAAGAUUCUAGUCUUGGAUUUCACCUCUCUAACUCAUCUGUUCCCAUUGGGAUUCCAGAAAUUGAAAUUUCUGUCUUCAAUGGGUUUUCAAAGCCUCGCCUCUCUUCGAUUUUUGUGGAUCGGGAAUUGCACAAAUCUCACAUCAUUUCCCGAGGUCGAGGAAAAGAGCGGCCCAAACUUGCUCGCAUCCCUUAUUAGGUUAUGAUAGAUGGAAAAUUCAUAUACGAUCCAGAGUCAGAGGUGUUGAUUCUCUUAUUAAGGUCAGCUGAUUUCUAUUAUCCACUCUGACAAUCUCCUAUUAGUGUUUUUCCUUUUGAAAUUUUUUUUCCAAAAUUUUGCAGUUCCGUAUAAUUGAAAAUGCCAUUCAGUUGUUUCCU
rnacentral:lncRNA from 1 species